UUUGUUCCAGGACAUCGAUCCUGCCAUAUGCUGCGGCCUCGUACAAAGCAGCAUCCAUGCAAGUGAUCGGAGUUUGGCUGCCAUCUGCAUCUGCCGCCUGGUUCGAGAUCUCGGUUUGGCUACCGUCUUGAGCUGCAAGCUGUUCCAGGUAAAGAGUAUGUGAUUCUGCAGUGUUGAUGGAAGUGGAAAGAUCCAUAGGUGCUUCAGCAAUCAGCACUAUCCUCCUCUACACAACUUUUCCCCACCCCACCUUGCCUCCAUUAUAUAUUAAAAACAAAAAUUAACAAAAAUUAAAUGGGACAGAGUGGAAUGGCCGGCGGGAUUUCUUACACCCAACUAUGCUUUAUUUAAUUAGUUAAUUAAUUAAUUAAUUUAAUGUGAUGGGAUUGGGAGAGGUGACCCUGUCCCAUUUAAUUUAUUUAUUUAUUGAUAGAUAUAAGUAUACGUGAUGGGAAUGGCUAGAGAGAGACCCGUCCAGAAUUUGCCGGUUGCCAGCCUGUUGAUAGAAAAUACUAGCAUAUUUCUCGUGUACUUACAAAAUGGAGCCAAGAGGCUUGGGCAAAAGAAUUAACAUGUCAUUUUGAAUUUUAUUUUUUUUCUCGAGUACCAAUAAUUCUAAAUAUUUUAUAAAAAUAAGGAUAUUUGGGAAGUUGUUUUUAAAAGUAAUUUUUCUACUUUGAUUUUAUAAAAACAUUUUAAACUGAAUUUAUAUAAUAGUAAUUAAAUUUAAUUUAAGCCUUAUUACAAAUAAAAAUAGUUUUCUAAUUAGAUAUAAGUUAAAAAAUAAAUAGUUUUUUAUAAGAUAUGAAUAGUAAUACUACAAUAAAAACAUAAAUUAUAGUUUCUUAAUAAAUAAAUAAAUAACUAUUUUAAUACGUAUUAGAGAAGUAUGGAUAUUAACAUUUUCUUGAAAGCAUAAUUAAAUUUUUUUGUUAAAAAUGAAGAAUAAUAUUUUAAAAAUGCUCAUACACAACUUCGAAAAUAAUAUUUAAUUGAUAUUAAUAUUUUAUAUAUAUAUAUAUAUAUAUAUAUAUAUAUAUAUAUAUAUAUAUAUAUAUAUUUAUAGUAUUCAUAUUCGUUUCAUACGGGAGGUCUUACCAAGUCUUUAUUUUAUUUCAUUUAAAGUUUUGACCUUUUCAACAAAGUAUUUUCAUCUUUUUUUAAGAAAAUAAAUAAUUUUUUAUUUUUUAUUUUAAUUUUUUAGAAAAUGAAUAUGGAAAAAAUGUGUUCAAUAUACAUGAUUUUCUCUUCUUUUUUUUUUUCUUAUAAAAAAAACUCAAAUAAAUAAUAUUGUGAAGAUAUGUAUAAUAUAAAAUUUUCUACUCUAUUUUUCUAUUUCAUUUUAAAAAAUAUCAUAUCUUUAGAAUAAUUUCUUAAAUUAUAAAAAGUAUAAGGGUUUGUUUGACAACUGUUUUCGAAAAUAAUUCUGAAAAAUAGUUUUUAAAAAUUGUUCUCUAAUUUUUGUAAAAUAAAAGUCUGUUUGCAAACCGAAAAUAUUUUUAAAUUAUUUUUAAAUAUAUUUUAAAAAUGAUUUUUAUAUCAAAUGUUUUAUUUUUAAUCAUUUUAUAUGUUUGUAUAAUUAUUUAUUAAAACAACCAUCAGAAAACAAGUGAAAACAAUAGAAAAAAACUAAAAGAUAUUCUCUUAAAACACUUUAUUUUUUGUUCUUAAAAACAAAAAUAUAAAACAUUUUUUAGUUACCUAAUGUGUUUUUUAUGUUUUUGUUUUAAAUAAUAGAAAAUUAUUCUUAAAAACAAUUCUCAAAUAGACUCUAAAUAUAUAAACAUAUUUUUAGUUUUAAUUUUUAUUUUCUAAAAAAAUGAAAAUACCAAACAAGAUCUUAACCUGUCUUUAAUCACACUAAUUUAGGGCAAACUCCACACAAGAGUUUUUUUUUUUUUACAUUUUUUCUAUAUGUGGUUAUCAACUGCUUAUCUUUUUUAUUUAUCUGUUUGUUAGCUAGAAAAAUAGACUAUGUGGGAGGUCACCCCAAAUAUAAUAUACAUCCUUUUUAACGCUUGAAGAGUAGUCAUCAUGAAAAUCAUUUCAUCAUUUUGAGAAUAUUAUAAUUUUGAGAAUAAAACAAUUGUGAGCCAUAACCAAAGUAAUAAUCAAUUUCCUCAACCAGAAACAAAUUAAUAAAUAAAUAUAAAAAAAAGGGAACGAACAAAACACCACCUACUACAUGUUAAACAAGUUACAACUUGCAGCCAUAAAAGCGAUCUUGGAGCCGACACGAUUAUUUUAGUCCCUUUCAAACUUAUUUAAGGCAAACUCUUUCUUUUUAAUACUUGAUUUUUAUAAAUUUUCAAGGAAAAUAUGAAAAGAAAGAUAAUAAAAAAUAAAUUUAAAAUUAAUAAAUUAUUUUAUGUAUUAUUUUAAAUUCAUUUACUAUAUUUUUUUAUAUAUAUAAAGAUUAAAUAAUUUAAAAUUACAUACAUUUUUAAAUAAUUUUAAUUAUACUUGAUUUUUUUUUUCAUAUUUUUCAUAAUAAAAUCAAAUAUAAGAAAUUUAUUAUUUUAAUAUUUUUCAUAUUUUUCAAGGUUGCUUUCAUUUUUUCCAAACUUGUAACUUGUCAAUUGAUGAGCUAGUGGUGCUAGUGGGAAUAAUUCAAAUUUUUUAUUUGCUUCUAGCUAGGGUGGACAAAUUGAGUAAGAGCCCUGCUGUCUCUUGUUUAAUUGUUUUUAACUUGUAUGUCAGUAGGAAUAGUCCAUUAUUAUCUUUAUUCAGUGAAAACAUGGCACGCCAUGCACCUCGGAAUACACAAGCUGACAAGAGAUAUGAAAGGUUGUCGGUUUUUUAAUAUAUAAAAAGUUAUAAUUUACAAAAUUUAUGAAAGGGUCCACAUAUAUAGAAUAUUUAUAAAAUAUGAUUUCGAUAUAUUCUAAAAAAUUGUAAAAUGAUUGACCUUUGGGUCAUUUAAAAUUUGUGUGCCUAUUCAUAGAAGUAUUUAAUGAAAUAUUUAAUUAUUUUAAAAUAAUAUAAUUAAAUAAAAUAUAAGAUGACGAUCUUAAAGACUUAAGCUUGGUAUCUAAUAAGAGUUAAUACUUGAUACAUAAUUAUUAUACUUGACUUUAAGUUAACUUAUGUUUAAACCAUCAAUUUAAAACUUAUUAUAAAAUUAUAUUAUUAAAUUAACAUAUUUACCUUCAUCAAUACUUAAAAAAUGGGGGAGAGAAACACAAAAAUAUAGAGACACAUUAAUGUUAUUUUAGGUUGAAUUAUAUAUACUUAUUUAUUAUUUAGUUAUUAAGAAAUAAAUUUAUUACUUCACAUUAAUAAUAAUAAAUUCUUUAUUAAGUCAUCUUUAUUAAUGUUUGAGUGUUGUUAAGUAUGAACUUAUAUUUUUUUAAUUAUUAUUUUUAAAUGGUAAAUUAAUUUACUUUUAUAUUUUAAAAUCUAUAAAAUUAAUUAUUAUAUUUCUUUUUAUUUUAUGCAUUUAAGAUAAAAAAAAUAGUUAAAAUUAAUAAUUUGAAAAAGGAAUAGCAAUGUAAUAUAUUUCCAAACAUCAAAAUUUAUUAACAUAAUAAAAAUUUUCUAUUUUGAGUAAUAGCUCAUCAGAAAAUUUUAUAUUAAAAUUUCUUAAGAAAUAAGAGAAAAUAUAACUUAAAACAAAAUCUAUUCCAACUAAAAUAAAUUAUUAUUUUUUAUUUAUUUUUAAGACAACAGUUAUCAAAAUUUUAAAAAUAAUAAAAAUAAAUUUAAAAAUAAAUUGAAUUAAAUAAUAUAGAAAUAAAAAAUGAAUAAAUAAAUGAAUAGAUGUGAUGUAUGAUAUUAAUGGGUAAUUAAUUAUUCAUGGCACUUACAUCAUAUCGUAUUUUCUUAAGAAUUAUUUUUCAAGUCAUCAUUUCAGAUAGAGUGAUAUUUAAAAUGGAUGUCCGUUUAGUUAUGAUUUUAAAAAAUGGUUUUAAUUUUUCUUAUAAUUCAAAAAAAAUUUAUCAUUUAAGUGAUAAAAAAAUUAAAAACUUUUUUUAUGUUACUAUCAAACACAUUCUAAAAGAAAUGGUAUUAAAAUGAGUUAAUAUUUAUUAUUUACUGAUAAUAAUAUAAUAAUGGAUUUUAAAUUCAAGAACAGCAAUAAAGAGGGGACCCGUGAGUAUCCUAUUUAAUGUUGAAUAUUUUAUUUAUUAAUUAAUCUCUUUAGUUGUAUCAACAAUAAAAAGCAUGUUAAAAUAAUGGAAUAAGUUUUUCUAUCCUGUCAAUUUAUAUAUAACUUUGAAGAACUCAUCUUAGAACUACAAAAUGAUUAUUUUAACAAAAUGGUACAGACAAAAUUGUGGGCCUACCCUCAAGAUUCCUUUCAUAUUUCAAACUUGUAAAACUUGUUUAUGGAGGAGUUGGUGGUGGUGAGAAUAGUUUACAAUUUUUAUUCAUUUUUUGUUUGGCACUAGGGUGGACAAAUUUAAGCAAGUGUUUAAAUCUUGGUGAUGACAAGAUGGAUGAAUGCAUUUUUGAAAAUUUAAUUGAUUAAAAAAGAAUGAAAUGAUUUCAAGUUUAUAUUAUUGGUGCAAUACCAACCAAACUUGUGUUCGUCUAUUAUUUUUGGAGUUAGAUGAAUAUCUUCCCUACACAAAAGGAUGUCCGGAUAAGGUGAUUCGGACAUGCUCAUCUGAAACUUAAGUCAAAAAAUAAUAAGGACUAGUCUAGUUAUUUCGAAUGACUUUGUACAUGUGUUCCUUUUUCAUGCUUCUUGAGGGGUAUUUAUAGAGCGAAUGACACCAUUGUUAUAGCGUUGAUGGAUAUCAGAUGGAAUGGACAAACCACACCGAUUGAGAUUUUUGGACGAAUUAACCAACAUAGCCGGAGAUUUUGGGUACUGAGCAUAUGGAUAAUCACACCCAGUGUUUGAGUAAGACAACAUUUACGUCUAAAAGUCAAUGAAUACUAAUUGCUACACACAAUUAGCGACAUUGAAAAAUGUAAAUGCAGAGUCAACUACAUGGUCCGAGACUCUUACUUGACAACCAGCAAAUGACAUCAAUCAGGGAAUUUUAUUUGGUAUGAUUACCCAAUUCGUAUAGAAAUGAUGGCGUUGACUCUCUUGCUAAGGCUCGAUUUCCGCCCUGAUAACAAUCAUCAUCAUAAAAAAGACAUGAAUGCAUCCUCAAUGUUAUAACGAUGGUGCCAUCUGCUUUAUAAAAACCCAUCGAGAAGCAUAAAAAUGUACACACGUAUAGAGUCAUUUAAAAUAACUAGACAUAUUCUUAUUAUUUUCUAACUUAAGCUUCGGAGGGAUAUACCCGAACCACCUAUCCGGACAUCCUUUUGUGUAGGGAAGAAACCCAUUUGACUCUAGAGAAGCUAGACGAACACAAAUCUGGUUGGUACUGCAUCAAUAUGUAUAUCUAAUUUCUUGUCUUUAUAACUUGAUAAUCCUCUUUAACCUUUUUAUUAUUUACAUGUAAGUUAUAUAUAUAUAUAUAUAUAUAUAUAUAUAUAUAUAUAUAUUAUUUUUAUAAGAAAAAGAUAAAAAUAUUGUUUUCUAAACGGAUAGUUAAAAAAAUGUAGAAAGUUAAAUUUAUAAAUUGAGAAUCAUUUCAUCCUUUAAUCAAAUGACUUUUUUGCAAUUACUUAUUUCUAUUGUAAAGGGCUGGAAUCAUUUGUAAUGUUUAUAUUAAAAUUUGUGUGCCUAUUCAUAGAAAUAUUUAAUGAAAUAUUUAAUUAUUGUAAAAUGACAUAAUUAAAUAAAAUAUAAGAUGAUGAUUUUAAAGACUUAAGCUUGGUAUCUAAUAAGGGUUAACACUUGAUACAUAAUUAUUACAUGUGACUUUAAGUUAAAUUAUGCUUAAACCAUCAAUUUAAAACUUAUUAUAAAGUUAUAUUAUUGAAUUAACAUAUUUACCUUCAUCAAUACUAAAAAAUGGGGGAGAGAAACACAAAAAUAAAGAGACAUAUUAAUGUUAUUUUAGGUUGAAUUAUAUAUACUUAUUUAUUAUUUAGUUAUUUAAAAAUAAAUUUAUUACUUCACAUUAAUAAUAAUAAAUACUUCAUUAAGUCAUCUUUAUUAAUGUUUGAGUGUUGUUAAGUAUGAACUUAUAUUUUUUUAAUUAUUAUUUUUAAAUGGUAAAUUAAUUUACUUUUAUAUUUUAAAAUCUAUAAAAUUAAUUAUUAUAUUUCUUUUUAAAAAUAGUUAAAAUUAAUAAUUUGAAAAAGGUAUAGCAAUGUAAUAUAUUUCCAAACAUCAAAAGUUAUUAACAUAAUAAAAAAAUUUCUAUUUUAAGUAAUAGCUCAUGAGAAAAUUUUAUAUUAAAAUUUCUUAAGAAAUAAGAGAAAAUAUAACUAAAAACAAAAUCCAUUCGAACUAAACUAAAUCAAUUUUUUAAAAUUUAUUUUUAAGACAACAAUUAUCAAAGUUAUAAAUGUGAUGUAUGAUAUUAAUAGAUAAUUAAUUAUUCAUAGGUCGCACCAAUUUCAGGGCUUACAUCAUAUGCAUCUUCUUAAGGAUUAUAUUUUGAGUCAUUUCAAACAGAGUGAUAUUUAAAAUGGAUUAUUAAGAGCCCGUUUAACUAUGUUUUAAAAAAUUUUAUCAUUCACGUGACAAAAAAAUUAAAAAUGUUUUCUAUAACCUCUAUCAAACGCAUUUUAAAACAAAUGGUAUUAAAAUAAUAUUUAUUAUUUACUUAUAAUAGUAUAAUAAUGGAUUUCAAAUUCAAGAACAGUGUUCAAGAGGGAACACGUGAGUAUCCUAUUUAAUGUUGAAUAUUUUAUUAAUUAAUUAAUCUCUUUAUUUGUAUCAACAAUAAGAAGCAUAUUAAAAUAAUGGAAUAAGCUUUUCUAUCCUAUUAAUUUAUAUAUAACUUUGAAGAACUCAUCUUAAAACUACAAAAUAAUUGUUUUAACAAAAUGGUACAGACAAAAUUGUGGGCCUACCCUCAAGAAUCCUUUCAUAUUUUCAACUUGUAAAACUUGUUUAUUGAGGAGUUGGUGGUGGAAUCAUUUGUAAUGUUUAUAUUCUAAAAAAAAAAUUGGGAAAUGAUUGGCUAUUAAGUCAUUUAAAAUUUAUGUGGCUAUUCAUCAAAGUAUUUAAUUUGAUAUUACUUAAUCUUUUUUUAUUUAAGUUUUAUCAUUACUUUUGAAUGUUCAAUUGAGUCAAGUAUUUAUAAUAAUCUUAUUUUAUGUUAAAUUAUACGUACUUAUCUUUUUUAUUGAUUAAUAUAAAAAAAUAUUUCUUUUCUCAAUAAAGAUAAAUAUUUCAUUAACUUAUGUGGACCAACAUCUCUCAUGUGAUUCCAUUUGAAAAAACUAAUUUUAUUAUGAAAAAUUAUUUUUUUGAAAAAAAUAAAAUAACCACUUAUUUUUGUUCAUUUUUAAAAGAAAAGCAAAAUAAAUAAAAAAUAUUAAAAAAAACCAAUGACUCCUUUUUAAUUUUAUAUUAAAAGUUUGCAAAUUAUCUCAAUUCAAUAAAAAAAAUUCAAAUUUAUUGUUAAAAUUUUUAAAAUUUUUUUUUAAAUAUUAGAAAAUAUUUUAUUCUUAUUUAAAAAAAAAAGGAUUUUGCCCUUUCUAUUUUAGAAAAAGGAUUUGCAGUUUUUUAUUUUAGAAAAAGAUAUUUUAACAGUUUUUUUUUAUUGGAAAUAAAUACCCUAUAGGGUUUUUUUUCAAAAAAAAAACUUUGAAAAAAAGAAAAAGAAAAGACUCUUACCGUUUUUAUUUAAUAAAGGCUUGAUAGUUUUAUUCUAUUAAAAAAAAGAGUAAGAUGUUAUUUUAUUUGCAAACUUGGUGAUAAAGAACAAAUCAAAUGAAACCGAAAUAAAGAACAAAUCAUAUAUUCAUAGAAUUGAAAAUUAAAACGAAGGAAAAAAAUACGGAAAGAGCCCCGGCAAAAUGUCGUCCACCACCUCCUCUAAGAUCCUAGGCCUUCAAGCUUGGUCUUUAUCUACCCUUCCACGUGGUGGACAUGCUCUAGGCGAAAAGUAAGCAGAUGGAGGCAGUAAAGUUGGCCCAUGUCCAAAAUCAAAACAAGGCCAAAAUGAGAAUGAUUAAAACAAAACCCAAACCAACAUACACAAGCCCAAAACAAAUAAAGCCCCAACGCAACAGACAAAUUAAACCAGGCCCAAACUCAAAUAAACAAAUAUGAUGGACCAGAGCAAUAGUUGAAGCCUGAAAUAGUAUCCAAGAACCCCAAUACCCAUAAACGUGAAUCAAUAAAAAAACCCAAAUCAAAGCCCACAAAUAGCCCAAGUUCUCAAAACUAACACUUUGAAGUAGGGAUGGCAAUGGGGCGGGUCAUUUCGGGUACCCGCCCCGCCCCGCCCCUAAUGGGGUGGGAUAUUAUUUUUCUAAACGGGUAUGGGACGGGUUUGGGAUUUUUUUUGAAACCCGGGGCGGGUUCGGGGCGGGUUCGGGUAUUGCCCCACCCCGCCCCGCCCCGAUUAUAUAUAAAAUUAAAAUUAAAAUUUAAUUUAAUUUAAAAUUUAAAAUUAAAUUAAUUUAAUUUUUAUUUUAUUAUUUUUAAUAUAUAGAUAAUAAUAAAUUAUUUUUAAUAAAAUAAGUUAUAAAAAAUAUAAUUAUUUAAUUAUUUAUAAAAUAUAUUUAUUUUAAUAUAAUUAAAAAAAUUUAAAAGUAAUUUUUUAAAAAAAUUAAAAUUAAAAUUAAAUAAAAAGCUAAACGGGGCGGGUAUGGGAAUGUAGCAUACCCGCCCGCCCCGCCCCGCCCCGCCCCGCCCCGUUUAAUUUUUUAAAUGGGACGGGGAUGGGAAUUGAUUUAAAUAAACGGGGCGGGGUUGGGAGGGGGGCGCCCCGCCCCGAACCNNNNNNNNNNNNNNNNNNNNNNNNNNNNNNNNNNNNNNNNNNNNNNNNNNNNNNNNNNNNNNNNNNNNNNNNNNNNNNNNNNNNNNNNNNNNNNNNNNNNAAAAUUAAAAUUAAAAUUAAAUAAAAAGCUAAACGGGGCGGGUAUGGGAAUGUAGCAUACCCGCCCGCCCCGCCCCGCCCCGCCCCGCCCCGUUUAGUUUUUUUCAACAUACACCAUUGGGAAUCAUAUUGAUGGUACACCACGACGAUCUGAGUUGAGAUUGUAGUGAUGGUGAGCGGCUCUGUUCUGUACCAAAAGAACUGGUUCAGAAACGAGAGGAGCACGCACGAGACCGUUCCGAGAACCACAUUUGGAAGGUGAGCACCGACAGAGAAGGGUCGUCUGUGGUGGGCACAGUUAGAGCCACCUGUUUGAUCGGUGAGUUCUCUUUGUCUGGGCAGGUUUCAAUGAAGAAGACGAUGGUUCCAAGCUCGAAUACCGCCCUUUGAUACUGCAGAAAACAGAGAGAUAGAGAAUGUUAACUUUCUUUUGCAAAGAUCUGAAGAAGAAGAAGAAGAAUAGAGGACUUACUAAGAGGGGAGGUGAUUUCGUUUAAUUUUUGGGAUUGAAUCAUGAGCUAAGAAUCUGAUGGAAUUGUUAUGGUUUUGGGGUGGAUGUGCAUUUUUUAUCCUGGAUCCUCAUGUUCUUGGCUUGAAAAGUAGUUUUGGUUUUCUUUGUUCCUGAUUUUGUUUCAUUUUUCAAUUUGGGUGUUUUUGUUGUUUGGUCUUCACUCCAGUCCUUGCUUUUGUCAUUUCGAUGAAGUUCUGUUUGAGUUCAUUGCUCAAUCUGUUAUCUUUAUGUUUAAUUUUAAAAUUUUUUUUUCCUGUAAUUUGAUUAUGGGUUGCUCUGAAAGCAGAUGUAUAGUUGAAGAAUGAAACAAAUCAUAUUGAUGGUACACCAUUGGGAAUUUUAUAUGUAAACGGGGCGGGGCGGGAUGGGGUAAUACCCGAAUCCGCCCCGAACCCGCCCCGGGUUUUAAAAAAAAUCUCAUACCCGUCCCAAACCCGUUUAUUAAAUUUAAACCCCGUCCCAUUAGGGGCGGGGCGGGGCGGGUACCCGAAAAAACCCGCCCCGUUGCCAUCCCUAAUUGCAAAGGAAGGGUUUUGCUUUAUGCUCCUGAAACGGAAGUAUAGAUAAAAUAUUUUAUUUCAUUUGUGGAUUGACAUGAUUGGUCAAAUUAGGUAAAAACCCUUUGUAGCUUUGGACAUAGAUUGUUUGUUUAAUUUCGUAUGUUGAUAUUAAUAUGUUUGUAUUAAAACUUUACGGAUAUAACACCGAUCAUCAGUGUAACCACCAUUGUUCUCAUGGAAAAAAUAGCGAGAAAAAAGGCUUAGGAUAUGUGUUUAUAAAUGAACUCCUUUUCAUGGUGGAGUGCAUAAAAAAGUGAGGCAUACAAUAAAUGUAGAUGUGGGGAGCAUUGUGGUGAGGAGUAAUAGGCACAACAAAUACUUUAAAUGUUAUCAUGUGGAUUUCUUUGACAUAAACUAAUUUAAUAGCACAACAAUUAUAAGUGAUGUUUAUAAAUUUUACUUUUUGAUUGAUUUAAUUAUGUGGGUAUAAUUUUAAAUACCUAUUAUUAAUUAAAGGCAACUACCUAUUGCUCUCUAUUUUGUCAUAGUACAAUGGAUUUAAUGCUAUUUUGUACAAGUAUUAAUCUAUGAAACUAAAGUCCAGACAACAUAAAAGAUAUUUUGUAAAAGAAGUUUCAAUCAAAGUGGUAGAUGUCUCUGUGUUAAAGCCCUACCAACUUUGUUGUUAGAGUUAAAAGCCCUACCAACUUUGUUGUUAGAGUUAAAAGCCCCGAUCAAUUUUGUUGUCGGAGUUAAAAGCCCUACCAACUUUGUUGUCGGAGUUAAAAGCCCAACCAACAUUCUUGUCUGAGUUAAAAAAAAGUUGUUGGAAGUAAAUCAUAACUAACACAAUUAUUUAUAUGGAGUAAUGAUGAAAAUAUUGGUAAUCAUGGAUAUAUCGGUAUUUCAAUUUUACAGAUAUAUUGGAAAUAUAUCGACAGAUAUUUUGACACAAAAUAUUGGUGGACUUAAAAUUGAUUAGAACUUAAAAAAACGUAAAAAAAAAAUAUUCUUCGAAAUAAAACUAGAAAUAUGAUAGAUAUUUUAAAGUUGUUUUAUUGAAGAAAUUGAUAUUUGUAUGGUAAAAUUUAUCAUAUUUGAUAAUUAUAUUGUAUACGUUAACAAAAAAUAUAAAUUUUAUAAGUGUACAUUUAUUAUUAAAUUACAUCAAAUAUUAUUUGAUAAUAAUAUUGUGAUAUUUGAUUAUAAUAUAUCUAAUUUUAAAAUAUAUUUAAUAUUAAAAUUAUGAUCCAUUUAAUUCAAUUAUAUUAAAUGAUAUAAAAUAAAGGAUAAUAUAUGUAUACUUUUUUUAAUAUUUAAUUAAUAUAUAAAUGAUAUUAAAAAUAUUAUAAAGAAAAUUAUCAUAAUAAUUUUUAUAUUUUUGGUAAUUAAUUAAUUAAUUUGUUCUUUAAAAUAUUCUUUUAAUAUUUUGUUUAUAUGAUGAGUUUUAGUAUAUAUACAUUUGGUGAUAUAAGCGAACUUGCCCCAAUGGUCGACUGAAAGUUAGAACCUUUUGUUUGGGAUUUGAGUCGUUAGGAUUUUUUAAUCCUUGAUGCGGAGAUGAGAGUAGUUUUGUAAAAGUUAUACUUUUUUAGCAUAAAGGAAAGUUCUAUGUCCAAAAUAGGAUUUUGAUUUUCUCUUUCUUUCUUACAUGGAUAAGAGUAGCAUGUAAAAGUUACAAAAAUAAAAGUAAGUUUCAUGAAGCCAACACAUUAAAAAUAAUAAUAAUAAUAAUAAUAAUAAUAAUGAUGUGUUUUUACUUGUCAUGUAAAAAAAAAAAUAAUAAUAAAAAUAAAAAAUAAAAACAAAAUUUUGUAGUGGUUGGAAGUGAAAAGAGAGGAGAGGUUAGAAGUUAAUGUUGAGAUUGAUAAUUUUCACAAUUGAAGCUUAUGUUUUGAGGAUUAUUUUUUUUGGAAAAGUGAAAUAGUUAAAAUUCUUAAAUAUAUUAUUUUUUAAAAUAGUGCAUCUUAACAUAAAAAAAAUAAAAAUAUCGAUUUAUAUGAAUAUAUCAAUAUAUAGGGGUCGAACUCUAUUCCCGUGAUCUACUUGACACUUUUUUUAAAAGCCUAAAAAUGCUAUCCCACAUCGAUCGCUUGAUAGAAAAUAGAGCACGAUUUAAUAGAGGGUGCCUCGCAUUAAGCCUCUGCCUGGUGCAGCGGGCAGCCUCAGAUCCUUUACUUAUUUUUUGUCAAGAUUAUCCUAUCAUGCAUGUGAUAUAACUAAAAAAAUUUAGGGAGAAUUAUGUUUUGGGGGUAGAUGGGCCCCCAAAUUAACAAAAGGUUCAUGUAACUCUUCAAAUUGAGCCCAAGACCCAAUGAAAGUAUGAAAAUUGAGUUAAAGGAUAUUAUCCUUCAGUAUUUCCAAAAAUGCCCUUUGUUGAUUUUGAGAAAAAAAAUUAAUAUUUUUGAAAAAUACUUUUAUUUAAUUUAAUAUUUUUUAUUUAAUUUAAUAUUUUUGAAAAAUACUUUUAUGUAAUUUAAUAUUUUUUAAAAUACUUUUAUUUAAUUUAAUAUUUUUUAAAAAUAAAUUUAUUUAAUUUAAUAUUUAAAAAAAAUUAAUUUAAUAUUUUUUUAAAUACUUUAAUUUAAUUUAAUAUUUUUGAAAAAAAAUUAUUUAAUUUAAUAUUUUUGAAAACUACUUUUAUUUAAUUUAGUAUUUUUGAAAAAAAAAUUAUUGAAAAAAAAUUAUUUAACUUAAUUUUAUAAAAUAUUUUAUAUGUGUUCUUAAAGGGUAUAUUUGUCCAUUACUAUUUCAUAUCCUUCAACUCAAUUUAAAGAGUUAUAUGGACCUUUUGUUAAUUUGGGGACCCAUCUACCCCCAAAAGAUAAUUCUCCCAAAAAUUUAAACUUAAAAUAUGAUAAAAAAAAAAAAAAAAAUGCUCGGUCACGUGCCGGUGUACAACUUCGUGCUACAAAAAUAUCAUGAUAUUUUUUUUCCCCACUAGAUAUGACUAUCUGGGACCACAUCUUUUGUGGGUGCAUUUGGCCCGGUUCCUUUUGCUGCUGUAAUAUAAUGCUCAGAGGCGGUGGAUUGUGGUGUUGUGAAAGAUUUGAUCCAAGCAGAGAGGCUGUAGGGCUUAAGCCACUAAUGGAUCCUUCCACUUCCACUUCCAGCCAUGCUUUAGAAUUACAGAACCUUAACUCAGUUCCUAGUGGGAACCAGGAGAAUGUCACAUGCAUGGAUCCUGAAAUUUACGUGGCUGCUGCAGAAGGCGACACCGAUAUCCUCAAGAGAAUGCCUAGCGCUGACCUUCAAUUCCAAUUAACACCCAAUCACAACACUGUCCUUCACAUUGCAGCCCAAUUCGGUCAACUGAACUGCUUUGUAUGGAUCAUUCAGCACUACUCCGCGGAUUCGUUGCAAAUCAAUUAUCAAAAGAACUUCUCAUAGAUAUUGAAAAUGGCAUGUCAAUAUCCUGAUGUGAUUAACCAAAUCAAUUAUUAAAGCAACAAAGGGGUUAACCAAAUCAAACAAAAGGCCCAAAUAAUCUCACAUGCUAACGACUAUGGAGGAAAACCUUAAGGUUAACCAUCUCCAUGAUUGUAAGAAUUUUUUAUUUGUAAAGCAUUGGUACCAAGGACAGUUGUUUGGCACCAAGGAAAGUUGUUUAUCCAUUUUACUUUUGUCUGUUGUCUAUUCACUUAAUUUUCUCUUUUUUUGUGUGGGGGCGAAGUGAAGUAAUUGUCCAUUCAGCAUAACCAUUUGGACAAGCCUUUCCCAUGAUGGGAUAAGGAAAUGGGUGGAAAAUAGUUACACAACUUGGCAUAGUAAUGUUUAAAGUAAUUUUGAGAUCAAGUUUAAAUUUAGUCCCUAAAGGGAAAAUGGCACUAAAGAAACUAAUGAACAAUUGUCCCUUUCUUUCUUAUGCAACAAGACGAGGCAUUUGAGACAGCCUUUGCUCGAGUUUUUUUCCUAGAUAAUUUUAAUCAAUACAAAACUGGUGCUUACACCAAUCACCCCUUAGUAUAUUAAAAGAGGAAAAAAAAUUCAAAUGUCCACUUAGUCAGGUAUCAAUAUACCUGAGAAAAACAUUCAAUUAAGUUCAGUGUUGAUUGGUCUUCAUAGUAUAUUUACAUGUCGAAUUUUCUAUUUGAAUAACUAAAAAAUCAGUGCCCUUACUUGCACCAGAUUAUGACUGGAACAGGUUUAAGAGCCUUUGGUCCAUUUCUUAUGCCUCUUUUAUGGCAAGACGCCUACAUAUUUAGGACAUAUAAAUAGCUUUGAGAUCGGAAGGUAACAAAUUUUCAUCACCUAAAACAAAUGAAAUAAAUAAACAAAACCCCAAAUAGCACAUUACAAAAAAAACUUGAAAUUAAAAAUCUGGGUGUGAGUAUGUAUACUUUUUUCUUUAUAAAUUUUUUCUUCAAUCCAGGCUUCUUUACAAUGCAAGCAGAGCUUACACAAUGUAGGCCUACCAAUAAUUGUGUGACUUGAAAUGAUACCAUUCAUUGAUUCCUAUUUUAUUUAUGGAAAACCGAAAUUCUGAAUUCACAGCUUUGCUUGGUUUUGUUGCAUUGGGAAGAUAAAGUGAGGUUUGAUCAUCACUGAUUUUUGUAAAACAGUUUGUUUUGAUCAUCCAUAUUUAAUUAACAUCCAUAAACCUAUUCUGUAAUGGAUUUAAUUUUCCGAUAAAAUAUUGCAUUCCUUCUCUCAUUAUAGGUCUAGAUAUCAAGAUUUAGCAUGUUAGCUCAUCCAUCCUAGGAAUUCUAAUUCAAGAUUUCAUUUUCUAGAUUUAGAUUUAUUAUGCAUGUAUUACACAAGCUCUUAAACUAAUAUGAUUUUUUCAGUAUAUUAAUUUAUACUCGUUUCUACUCACUGAACAGCAGUAUAAUCAAUACUAAAAGGAGACACCUUAAAAUUCACUUCUGACACCAUAUUAAACCCAGAUCGUUGGACAACCCAACAAUCAGUGCUCAAAAUAUGGAAUCCCUAAAUGAUAAAUCAGCUAGCAAUCGACACCAAAAAAACAAAUCAAUAAUACAUUAGAGAGAACCUUUGAUUUAUACUCAAUGACUUAUUUCCUACUCACCUACCACCAUCAUAAUCAACACUCAAAGAAGCUAAAAAAAAAAAAAAAAUAAAAAUUUCACUACUGAAAUAGAGUGGAAGCAAAGCCAUUGGACAACAAAACUUUCAAUGCUCAAAAUAUGAAAACCCAUAUGCUUAAACCAGAUAACAAUCAAUACUCUAGAAUGAAAUCAACAACACACCACAUAAAACCUUUAAUUUAUAUUCAUUUUCUGCUCACUUACUACAAGUAUGAUUAAUAUCUAGAAGGGGCAAAAUACCUCAAAAUUGACUUAUGAAACGAUAUAAAAGCCAAGUCGUUGGACACCCCAACAAUCAAUGCUCAAAAUUCGAAAGACCCAAUUGCUUAACCAGCCAACGCACGACCCCGAAAAUAAAAUCCACAUCAUAGUAUACAGAAACUUUACUUUAUAAUGAUUUCCUACUCACCUCCUACCAGUAUAAUCGAUACUCAAAACAGUAAAAACACCUCAAAUUCAAUUUUGAAAUGAGAUGAAAGCCUAAUCACUGGACAACCCAGAAGUCAAUGCUCAAAAUCAGAAAGACCCAAAUGCUUAAACCAACCAACAACCGACACAUAAAUAUAUUUUUGUGAAAACAUCUAAAAUCUGAAGUUUUGGCCAAAAACAUAUUUUUAUCCAACAAAUCUUUAGAAUUAGCAAUUGAUCAGCCUGGCUUUUUAAGGUGAACUAAUUCAAAGGUCAGCCCGUGCAUGAGUUACCAUGAAUACUUGCAUAUUCAUACCUGGAAGGUUGAAUUGUAAAGGGCCACAAUAUCAAAAGAGUACUACUGUGUGACAAAUAAACAAUAAGCUCGAGGGUAUUACAAUAUUUGGACAUCAUGUACGAAACCCUGGAGAAUGAAUUAAGACCAUUCAUCAUCACCUAUGAAUUAAGACCAUGCUAAACCAUGGUCCACUGGAAAAUUCCCAAAGUGGGAACUUUUUUAUUAUUCUAUGCAUUUAGAUAUAUAAUAAUAAUGCAAGGAAAACUGCCCUUCUUAUUAUUGUCGGUGGUGACAAAAGGCGUUGAUGGGCUCACCUCCUACCAGUAUAAUCGAUACUCAAAACAGUAAAAACACCUCGGAUUCAAUUUUGAAAUGAGAUGAAAACCUAAUCACUGGACAACCCAGAAGUCAAUGCUCAAAAUCUGAAAUACCCAAAUGCUUAAACCAACCAACAAUCGACAUAGAAAACCUCACAAUACCCAUCAAAAAGUAAAAAAAAUAAAAAUAAAUAAAUAAAAGCACAACCAAAAUAAAGUACCAAAAUCGACUUUUUUCUGAUGCUCAAUCUGUUAUUAAACUAGUUUCUCUUCUGAUGCUCAUGAUAACACCUUUAGCCCUAAUAUGUUCUCAACACCCAAACGAAUGCUUAAAUGGAAAACUCACCUGUGAUUGAUUGAGGAAGCUCCACUUCAGUUUUUAGAAACCUUUAAAAAAUCAACCUUUGAUGAAGAAAUACGAAGAUCUGCCUCAACUUUGGCUUCCUUGAAGGUUUUCAGAAGAAACCUAUUGGGUUUGGGUUGUCAACUCGUGAAGAGACACGCUAGGGUUAGGGCAGAAUCAGACGAAGCCGACUUUCGAAAGAUGGGUAUCCAUUGCUUGCUCAAGACCUCAAUAAACAGAUCGACUCUAUCAAAUGAGCUAUGAAAAUGGAAAUUUUCUGAGAUCUGGUUAGGGCAAAACGAGAGAAAGUGACAGAGAUAACUUCAAGUUUUAAAUGUUUCUCGGGUCGGGUGUGUUGUGGGUUUCAGACUUCAUAACUUCAUUAUUCACAUUUUAGUGUUUCUAAAAUUGUGCAAUGGCUGUUGAUAUGGACACCGCAGUGGCUGCUGACAGGGAAAAAUAAAGGGCAAUUUUGGAAUAGCUUACCAAAACAGUAUAUAGUGCACAAAAAAAAUAAUAUUUUGGUCAUUAACGGACAAAGCCCAUAUUCCAGUUUUUUUGGGUUUGAUUUGCAUAUUACCUUCAAAUGGGCCAAUGUUGAGAAAAUUUGGAUACAAUGGAGAAAGGAAACACUCUCACACACUCACUUUGAUACAAUAAAACUCUCUUAGAUACAAAAUAAGAAGAAGAAGAAGAAGAACACAAGAAAGGCUCAAACAAGUUCUUGGAACUUUGUCCAAAGACUCUAUUUCCUCCCACCUCUAGAAAUCUUUUGGGAACUAAAUGGAAAUAGUCUUGGGAUUGAUCAAGCCUUUUCACUUUUCUGCAUGAGAUUUCAAAAAGAAGAAAAGUCAUAUAUAUAGCACUCUUAGGGUUGAAAAAAGGUUACAAGGAUGAGAAAAACUCAUUGUCUUCCUCAAUCUCUUCAUCUUUGUAAUAUUCAAAAUUAAAUCAUAUGUUUAAUUCACACAUUAAACAUGAUUUAAUCUCAAAUGUGUAACUCUCUUACACUUAAUCUCUUAAGUUUAUAAAGUUACAAAGAUGAGAAGACUCAUUGUCUUCCUCAACCUCUUCAUCUUUGUAACAUUCAAAAUUAAAUCAUAUGUUUAAUUCACACAUUAAACAUGAUUUAAUCUCAAAUGUGUAACUCUCUUACACUUAACCUCUUAAGUUUAUAAAGUUACAAAGAUGAGAAGACUCAUUGUCUUCCUCAACCUUUCAAGUUUUGUAACAUUUCAAAACUUAAUCAUGUGUUUAAAUCACACAUUAAAAGUGUAACCCUUCUUACACUUUAUUUUCCAAAAGUUAUUUUCAAAAGUGUAACUCUUCUUACACUUUAUUUUUUAACCAACAAUAUAUAUAUAUAUAUAUAUAUAUAUAUAUAUAUAUAUAUAUAUAUAUAAAUAUAACAAUCCCCCACUUGGUUAAAAAUAAACAUAAACCCUUAUAACCUUAACAGUGAAAAUGCAUAAAAUAAAAUAUCUUUCGAUUUGAAUUUUACCUUAGUGUAAUUGUCACAAAGCUCCGUUGAAAUCCCAGGUUGCUUGUAGCAUUGAACCAGUUAUUCCUUGUAACGAAACCGGUAACAACACACACACUUCCACUAACCACACGAGUGCCCAUUAUUUUCUUGCUUAGCACUUUUAUGGCCAUGUGCUCAAUCCAUUCAUGAACUUUCUUGAAAGAAACUCCAACUCUCAUGAGAGGCGGCACCACCCCUAAGUUCACAUAGGUGAAAUUCUUCCAGCAUCCUUGUUACCUUUAAGAUGCUUGUCACACAUAGACUGAAUUUCAUUAAAAGCUUUAAGCUUAACCCUCCAACGGUAACAACCAGCAUUAAUAAUCACAGAUGGAACUCACAUGUUCUAAUGCUGCCACAACCCACUUAUCAAUGACUUGUUUUUACCCAUUGAACUUAAGACUAGUCAUUUCGUAGUAUUAAGUUGGGUUACCAUCAUUGGUGAGUUUUAUUUAAGGAGUUUUAGUCCCAUCCCUCUAGAUGUUAUCCUUACUAAAUCUCUUGUAAGAGGUUUAGUAAAAGGAUCCGCCAAGUUUCCACUUGACCUCACAAAUGAGAUUGAGAUGAUUCCAUUUUGAAUCAAUUGUCUUACAUACUCAUGUCUAAUGCUUAUAUGUCUAGACUUCCCAUUGUACACUCCACUGUACGCACGAGCUAGAGUGGCUUGACUGUCACAAUGUAUCGACACUGUUGACACAUUAUUUGCAGUAAAAGGGAUGUCCAUCAUGAGAUCCCUAAGCCACUCAGCUUCUUUUCCAGUUGCAGCUAGAGCUAUAAACUCUGCCUCCAUGGUUGAGUGUGAUAUACAAGUCUGUUUCUUGGAUCCCCAAGAGACAGCCCCACCACCAAGUGUAAACACCCAACCUGUGGUAGAUAAAUUAUCUCCCACACUCGAUAUCCAGCUUGCAUCUGAAUACCCUUCAAUUAUAGCAGGAAACUUUGAAUAUUGGAGGCUUAGUUCUUUGGUAUUCUUUAGGUAACCAAGAACUCUACCAAUAGCUUUCCAAUGUUCCACGCUUGGAUUGCUAGUAAACCUACUUAGUUUACUAACUGCAAAUGAAAUGUCAGCCCUAGUACACUGAGCAGCAUACAUAAGACUUCCAAUUGCACUUGCAUACUCAAGUUGAGCCACCGAUCUACCAUCAUUCUUUUCAAGUUUUAUACUUGAAUCAAAUGGAGUAUUAGCAUCUUUAAUCUUGAGAUGACUAAAUUUGCUAACUACUUUCUCAAUAUAGUGGGUUUGGUUCAAAGCAUAACCCCCACUAUUUCUUUUCACUUUGAUACCCAAUAUAGUAUCAACUUCCCCAAGAUCUUUCAUCUUGAAGGUUGAGGAUAGAAACCUUUUCGUUUCUAUUAUUCCUCUCAUGUCAUCACUCAAGAUUAACAUGUCAUCCACAUAUAGACACACUAUGACCAUAUAGUCAUCACAAGUCUUAGAAUAUAAGCACUUGUCCACAUUGUUGUGUCUAAAUCCAUCCGAAAGAAUAGCAUGAUCAAAUUUUUCGUGUCAUUGUUUAGGAGCUUGUUUUAAACCAUAUAAUGAUUUGACAAGCUUACACACUUUGUUUUCAUUCCCCAGUAGAACAAAACCUUCCGGUUGUUCCAUGUAGACCUCUUCAUUGAGAUCCCCAUUCAAGAAUGUCGUUUUGACAUCCAUUUGAUGAACAAAUAGAUUAUGAAUUGAUGUCAAAGCAAACAAUAUCCUAAUCGAUGUUGUUCUAGCCACCGGCGCAUAGGUAUCAAAAUAAUCAAUACCUUCUCUUUGUUUAAACCCCUUAGCUACUAAUCUAGCCUUAAAGGUUUGAAUCAUGCCAUCGGUGUGAUAUUUCCUUCGAAAUACCCACUUGCACCCUAUUGGUUUAGAUCCUGGUGGAAGGUCUACCAAUUCCCAUGUUUGGUUGGACAUAAUUGAAUCCAUUUCAUCAUUGAUAGCCUCUUUCCAAAAAGCAACAUCUCUAGAAGCCAUAGCUUCUUUGUAUGUUUUGGGAUCCUCCUAUAUUUGAAGUACUAUAGGAAUUUUUCUUAUAAUAUCUUCUCUAUUUCCUUCUACUAAGUAAAAGGAAAUUCUUUGAGAGUCAAUCUCAUCCGAUCCCAACACUUUCUCUUUUCUAGCUCUUUGGCUUUUCCGAGGCACAAUGGGUUGCUCAACAACCUUUGAAGGUGUCUCCUCUUGAGACUCUCCAACACUAGUAGGUACUUGAGAAUUGCUAUCACUCAACAAAUUCUCAAAGAACUCUACCUCUCUUGAUUCAAUUAUCACAUUAGACUCCAAGUCUAAUGGCCUAUAAGCUUUGCUAUUUGAGGCAUAGCCUACAAAUGCACACUUAACGGCUCUUGGACCCAAUUUUGUUUUAUUUGGAUCCGUUUUCUUGCAAUAAGCAAGACACCCCCACACUUUGAAGUAACCUAUAUUAGGCUUCCUUCCUUUCCAUAACUCAUAUGGAGAUAUCUCAUUUUUCUUCAUAGGAAUUCUAUUCAAAAUAUAGCAAGCAGUCAACAAAGCUUCACCCCACAAAUUGAAAUUCAAUUUAGCAUGCAAUAACAUAGCAUUCACCAUUUCCAAAAAUGUUCUAUUCUUUCUCUCCGCUAUGCCAUUGUGUUGAGGUGUAUAGGGUGCGGUGCACUCAUGUAUUAUGCCAUAUUCUUCACAAAAAGAAUUGAAUUCACUAGAGAAAUAUUCACCACCUCUAUCACUUCUAAGCACCUUAAUAUUUUUUCCUAGUUGAUUUUCAACUUCGGCUUUGUAAACUUUAAAGGCAUUGAAAGUUUCACUUUUGUUUUUCAACAAAAACACAUAGGUAAAUCUAGAACAAUCAUCUAUGAAUGUAAGAAAAUACCUAUUUCCACCUCUUGUUAACAUGCCAUUAAGUUCACAAAGAUCACUAUGUAUUAAAUCAAGCAAAUUAGAUGAUCUCUCAACACUAUGAAAAGGCUUUUUAAUCAUCUUUGCUUUAACACAUAUUUCACACUUUUCAAAUUUCUUGGUAUCACAAGCAAUCAAACCACAUUUCACAAUCCUUUUAAUAGUGCUUAAACCAAUAUGUGCAAGCCUAUUAUGCCACAAAAUUAAAGAAUUUGAAUCACACAUAUAAGCGGAAGUAGACGUCAUUUUAUUGAUAUUGUCAUUGGUACUAAGUUUGAUCAUCCCAUCACAAGAAUACCCUUUUCCCAUAAAGUUCCCCGAUUUGGUUGAAAUUAGCUUACCGGAUUCAAACACCGCUUUGAUACCCGGUUUGCCAAGCAAAUCCCCACUAACCAAAUUUUUAUUCAUAUCGGGGACAUAUAAUACAUUUUUAAGGGUAACCUUUUUGCCGGAGGUAAAAACAACUUCAAUAGUGCCCUUGCCAAGCACCUUGGAUUUUCCUUCAUUGCCCAUUUGAACCUCUUGAUCUCCCUUUGCAUCUUCAAAGGUCUUGAAAAGAGAUUUGUCAUAGGUAACAUGAACUGUGGCACAAGUAUCAUACCACCAUCCUUGCACCUUUCCUUGGACAACGCACACAUCGCUUAGUGUUGCAAUGAUCUCCUCAUCAAUUGCAUUCACCACAACCCCUUUUUGGUCCUUUCGGAACCUACACUCCCUAGCAUAAUGCCCGGGUUUUCCACACACAAAACAAGGACCUUUCUUGCCCUUAAAUUGCUCUUGAUUUUUCUUGGGGCUCAUAUAAUUUCCGGAAUUCUUUUUGUUGUUGUUAUUUUUACCUCUAGGAUGAUUGGCCUUUGAAAUCGCAUUGGCUUUGUUAGUCCCACCAUUGGACUCUUCCACCAUUUUGUCUCUUGAUCUCGAUUCUUCCUCAAUGCGAAGAUGUUUUUGAAUCUCUUCCAAGGAGUAAUCUUCACUCUUGUGGAGAAUCCUCUUCCGGUAACCUUUCCAACUUGAUGGUAAUUUAGCCACAAUAGCACCAACUUGGAAGGCCUCCGGAAGUUCAAUUUUGAGAACUUUCAACUUAUUCACAAUUACUUGCAACUCAUGAAUUUGUGGUAAGAGAGGCUUUUCAUCAAAAAAUUUGAAAUCUAUGUAUUGAGAAAUAAGAAACUUUUUGGUACCUUCUUCCUCGGCUUUGUACUUGUUUUCAAGAGCCUCCCAAAUCUCCCUCGCGGAAUUGGUGUUGGUGUAGAGAUCAUAUAGCCUAUCGGAUAAGGCGUUCAAAAUAUGACCCCUACAUAUGAGCUCAUCCUCCUCCCUCUUCUUCCUUGCCGCCACCACUUGAGGUGUGUCAUUUUCCUUUGGUUUCGGUAAUGGUGCCAAGGUAGGAUCAAGGAUGUAGAAAAUCUUGAGUGCUGUGAGAAGGAAUCUCACCUUGUCUUGCCACCUAGUGAAGUUAGAACCAUCAAAACGAUCCAACCUCACAAGGUCUUGGUUCAUAAUCUUGAUAGUCUCUCCCUCCAUUGAGAAUAGAGUCUUUGAUUGUUGAUGAAAUUUGGAUACAAUGGAGAAAGGAAACACUCUCACACACUCACUUUUGUACAUAAAACUCUCUUAGANNNNNNNNNNNNNNNNNNNNNNNNNNNNNNNNNNNNNNNNNNNNNNNNNNNNNNNNNNNNNNNNNNNNNNNNNNNNNNNNNNNNNNNNNNNNNNNNNNNNCCCUCCAUUGAGAAUAGAGUCUUUGAAUGUUGAGAAAAAUUUGGAUACAAUGGAGAAAGGAAACACUCUCACACACUCACUUUGAUACAAUAAAACUCUCUUAGAUACAAAAUAAGAAGAAGAAGAAGAAGAACACAAGAAAGGCUCAAACAAGUUCUUGGAACUUUGUCCAAAGACUCUAUUUCCUCCCACCUCUAGAAAUCUUUUGGGAACUAAAUGGAAAUAGUCUUGGGAUUGAUCAAGCCUUUUCACUUUUCUGCAUGAGAUUUCAAAAAGAAGAAAAGUCAUAUAUAUAGCACUCUUAGGGUUGAAAAAAGGUUACAAGGAUGAGAAAAACUCAUUGUCUUCCUCAAUCUCUUCAUCUUUGUAAUAUUCAAAAUUAAAUCAUAUGUUUAAUUCACACAUUAAACAUGAUUUAAUCUCAAAUGUGUAACUCUCUUACACUUAACCUCUUAAGUUUAUAAAGUUACAAAGAUGAGAAGACUCAUUGUCUUCCUCAACUUCUUCAUCUUUGUAACAUUCAAAAUUAAAUCAUAUGUUUAAUUCACACAUUAAACAUGAUUUAAUCUCAAAUGUGUAACUCUCUUACACUUAGCCUCUUAAGUUUAUAAAGUUACAAAGAUGAGAAGACUCAUUAUCUUCCUCAACCUUUCAAGUUUUGUAAUAUUUCAAAACUUAAUCAUGUGUUUAAAUCACACAUUAAAAGUGUAACCCUUCUUACACUUUAUUUUCCAAAAGUUAUUUUCAAAAGUGUAACUCUUCUUACACUUUAUUUUUUAACCAACAAUAUAUAUAUAUAUAUAUAUAUAUAUAUAUAUAUAUAUAUAUAUAUAUAUUUAUAUAAAUAUAACAGCCAAUGCAAACAUAACUUUCCCUCGUAUCAACCCAUUAACCUAGCAUCAUAGCUGCACUGCAUGGAGCCUUGAACCAGCCGUCCUCUCUGUCCAUUUCGCUGACCAAACCUUACCCUGAGGUCCCAGAGCUACAAGCAAGCAUGCUUGGCCGUUCAUUCACUCCCCUAUCAUCACUGACAAUUGAUCACUCCUCUCAUCUCCCUUCUCUCAAACCCAUUUUACCGGUCACCCCACAAAGGCCACACCCAAACCGCCUGAUAAAAAAUCCUAGAUUUCAUGGUCCUCCUCUCCACUAAUGGUGUCGUGAAAUUUCUGGAAUCUUCGGAGGAUUCUCUUUGCGCUUCUCCAUGGCCGCGCCUUUCUUCUCCACACCUUUUCAGCCGUACGUUUACCGGAGUCCACAAGAAAAUGUGACACCUUUUCAAAUAUUGGGUGGUGCAGCUCAGAUGGUUCAGAUAAUGUUGAAACCACAAGAAAAGAUUAUUGCAAAGCUUGGUUCCAUUUGCUACAUGUCUGGGUCCACCCAAAUGGAGAAUGUUUACAUCCCUGAAAAUCAGGGUUCAAAAUCUCGGUCGAGACCGGUACGACUCGGCCGAGUCAUAUCCGCCUCGACCAUGGCCGGUACCGGACCGAUACCCGAGUUGGAGUAGAAAUUGUGGAGAAGAUCAGAUGAGAGGAUCAAAACCCACGAAAAUGAAAAAUACAGAGUUAGAAUCCUGCAUCUUGGAGUUGUCGGCGAGGUCGAAGAAGCACGCCUGCUUGUUCGGAUCGCCCAAGUUCCUGCCGGAGAUGGAACUGAGCAACAUCAAGAGCAGAGUCGCCGGACUGCUGUUAUCAUCGAUGUUCAGCAAUGCCGCCACCGUCGCCCACCAUUCAGGCCCAGCUUGGCCUUGCCGAACCCGUUCGCGGUGUUAGCGGCCUGGCGUCAGGCGUGACGCAGCCCCGGACCUCGUGCCCGCUCGCGCCCCAAUCGCCUGCACCACCUGCGACUCACCCAGUCGCGCUAGGAGCUCAGCCAUUGAAGCCGCCCUCUCAAUGAAAUGGGUAUCUUUGAUGACCGAGGGUUAUGGGUAUCUGUGAUGAGGAUUUAGGUUUUAAAUAAUAUGUUUUUAUUUUCUAAUUAGAUUAUGAGUAUUUGGUGGGGAUAUGGGUAUUAAAUAAUUUGAUAAAAAUUAUAAUGAUAAAAAAUAAAUAAUAAAUAAUAGACUUAUAUCAAAUAAAUAAGAAAUACAAAUUAAAAUUAAUGAAUAUAUUUUAUAAGAAAAAUUAUAUUUAUUUUUUUAAAGAUGAAUUAUGGUUUUAUUUUUUUUAAUAAUUGAAAAUAUUUUUUAAAAAAUUCAAAAUAUUUAAUUUAAAUAAUUUUUUAUUAAAAAAAUUUACUUUUUAUUAUUUUCAUCUUCAAUAAGAAAUAUUUAUCAUCAAGCGAUUAAAUUAAAAUAUUUUUAAAGAUUUUUAAUAUUAUUAUAAAUCAUCCCAAAAAUAUGUUUUUAUUAUAAUUUGAAUAAUUUGAAUAUAAUAAAAGUUUAUUUUAUUAAUUUUUUAUUCUACUUAUUUGUAUUUAAUUUUUUAAUAAUUUUCAUAAUUUUUUAAAAUUAUUUUGAGCUCUUAAAUUAGAAUUUUUUGCAUAUCACCCGAUACCGAUCCGAGAUACCGAUACCGAUGUGCCUCAGGACCUCCCGAGUCAAUGACCGAUACCGUGACUUUGAACUAUGCUGAAAAUGAAGUAGGUAUGUGGCAGUGGGCUUUUGGCAAGGCUGCGACAAGUGUAGUUCUUCUCAAUCAAGGUUCAGGUGAUGGCUUUGUUGGAAUUGUUGCACCAUCUCUUGCAAGAAUAUUCCCGAUUGAUUCGGCAAUGUUUGACGGGGAAAUUUUAUGCCAGCCAGAUGCAUUCCUUUGCUCUCUCAAUGAUGUAAAAGUCAGUAAUACAACUGAUCAAGGGGCUCGUAACUGUCGGCGUUUUCGAAUUCUAGUAGACCGAUUGAUUAAAUCCAUCUUGUGACCAUCACCCUUUCUCAUGUAUCAUGGGCAAGCACGUGCAUUAGCAUGCAUGUGUUUAAGUUGGAUAGCUUUUUUUCUUCUAGGUUAUGUUUGGCUGAUGCAUGUGCAUGCAAGGUUAACUGAACUUCAUGUAUUUGGGACGGUUUGAGGGCGCGUGAAACACGGAGUUAGAGAGCAUGUCACGUGAGAAGGAAGGGGAUGGAGAGUCUUCGAAGAGGGGGUGUAUAAUCAGGGAAGGAUUUUCUGUUUUGGGGGGUGGGUUUUUUUUUUUUUUUUUUAAUGUAUGGUGAGAUUCCGAUCUCUGUUUAGAGAAAGCUACAGAUAAAAGAGAGAGAGAGAACGAUCUUUCUUUUUGGUGGUGAGUUUCUGGAUCUUUGUUGAGGGGGAACUUGAGAGAAGAGAGGGGAAGAGAGAGUUUCGGAAGAAGGAAGUGAAGAUUGAGAGUUCCCGUAGAAACUGUCGUGCCAUUUAGAAUUAAGUGAAAGAAAACAAAUAUUGUCUAUGUUUCAAGUAUAGCAUGUGUUUUAAAAGAAUGGGAGAAUUGGGCUUUAGACCCACUUGGUUUUGAUAAUUAAUAAAGAGUCCAUCAAACACCAAUAAUUGAUCAUAAGGAUAUAAGAUGGGAAUAGACAAAAAUACCCCCUUUGACUCAUUUUUGUCUUUAUUCUACCACCUUUCACAUGUCACUAUUCUUUCUUAUUUAACCAUUUUUAGAUUUUUCAUUAUUUUUUUAAACUCUUUUAUAAAUAAUUGAAAAAUCAACAUUAUUUUUUUAUUUUUAAAUUAUAAAUAAACAAAAAUUAUAUUAAUGAUUCAAAGACUAUUUUGGAAAAUACUUUCUAAAAAAAUAUUAAUUUAAAUAAAUAAAAAUUACAUUUUACAUUUAUUUUUAUCUUUUAUAUUUUAGAAGUAAAUAAUUUAAUGAUUAAAAUACUAUUUAAAAUAAAUAUAUUCACUAUUUUAUUUUUUUAUAUUAAAAAGUAUUUUAAAUUUUUUUUUACUAUUAUAAAAUAAAAAGUUUAAUUUUUUUUAAUCUUCUUUCUUCCUUAUUUUAAUAACUUUUUGAACAUGACUUUUAGUAAUAAGUUAUAUGAAAUGUUACAAAUUCGUUUAUUAAGAAUUUAUUUUAAUGAUUUGAAUUAAUUGAAAAUUUAUUAAAAUAAGAAAAAGAAAAAGAAAGAAAGAGGAUGGAUGGAAAGUUUUUAUUUAAGUACUCAAUUCAAAUGUUUUCAUAUGACCUAAUUUUAGAAGUGGAUUAUAUCAAUACAUAAUAGAGAUUGAAUUUUUCUUAUAUAAAAUGGUUGAAAGGUAUAUUUACUUAUUUUAGAUAAAAACAAGUAGUUAAAAAUUAUAUAGAUUAUAUUUGAGUUUGGUUUUAAAAUAUUUUUCUAGUUUUUAUUUUUUAUUUUUAAAAAUAAUUUUUAUUUUCUAUAUUGUCUCUUUUUGAAAAUAUUUUUAAUUAAAAAAUGAAAAGUAUUUUUUAAAAUGAAAAUUGAAAACCUUGUUUAAUACUAUUUUUUUAUAUGAAAAUAAAAAAAUAAUAAAUUUUAUUUAUUCAUUUAUUGCAUCACUGUACAAUUGUAUUACACUAACUGUAUAAGGGAAAUGUACUAAGUGUACAAAGGUGUACAAGGCUACCAUUUGUGAAAUAUUAUAAUCGAUUAUGAGUCAUUCCUUUAUUUUUUUUAUCACUCACGAAUUGUACACAUAUGUCAUACACUUUAUUUAAUUCCCGCAUGGAAAUUCCAAUAUUUUUCCUAAUAAUAAUAUUUGGAGAAAAAAAAUUUUGACCUUAAAUCAUCUACCAUCUUCUCAACUAAAUCAUUGAAAAUAUAAUUAAACACUAUUAUGUGGAUACAUAACUUAGGAGGGAUAUAAAAUUUGUGUCAUUGUACAAGGGUAUUACACUAACAAGAAAUGUACUAAUUGUACAAAAGUGUACAAGAUUACCCUUUGUGAAUCAAUUUAAUCAAUUCUAAACCACUUUUUAAUUUCCUUGUCACCCAAGGAUUGUACACCUAUGUCAUGCAUUUUAUUUAACUCUCACAUGAAAAUUCUAAUAUUUUCCCUAAUAAUGAUAUUUGGGAAAAAAAAAAAGUUGAUCCUAAGUCAUUCAUCAUUUUCUUAACCAAACCAUUGAAAAUAUUAUUAAUACACCUACAUGAACAUAUAACUUAUAAGAAAUAUGAAAUUUGUGUCAUUGUACAAGGGUAUUACACUAACUGUACAAGGGAAAUAUGCUAAGUGUAAUUGCUAGGAGAAUUACAGUUGUGUAACCAUACGAAUGAUCAAAUACUUUUACCCGUAAUUUUAUACAAUGUUUUGAUCAGAUACUCUUGCCAACAGUUUUUUUUUUUAUGUGUCCUAAGUUGUUACUCGACAAUUGAUCUUGCAAAAAUAAUGUGAACAUUAUUGUGAACCCGUAUUUUUCACAUGCAUCCCCACUCUAUAGCAAAACUUAGAAUUUAUGAAAAAUGUUUCAUGUUUUUAAAAACUCAUUUUAUUUGAGUUUUGGAAUUGACAUUUAUUUUAUUAAUUUUUUUUAAAAAAGGUAAAACAAAAUAAGAAAAAAAAUCACAUAUAACUCUUUAUUUGAAAAAGACAAGUCCAUUAACCAAAAAUGGAUUUGAGGGUCAAGUUACGUAUCUAGAAGGUAUGAGGAUGAGCCUUUGCACACCUCUAAACCCGUAUAAUUAAUUAAUUAGUGGAUACAAAAGAAAUCAAGAAACCUAAUGUCUCACAUAUAGAGAUUGGAAAGUGGUGGAAAUUGAUCAUCAAAAAAUCAUUAAAAAAAUUCCUUUUAUUAUUGUAUAAUAAUCAUCAAUAUAUUUUUCUAUUUUUUUUUAAAAAAAUAAAACUAAAAUUAAGGAAGAUAUUAAAUAUUUUUUUAAAUUAACAAAUGUAAUUAAAAAAUUAUUUAUAAUUCUAAUUCUAAAAAUAAUAUAAACCAAUGUAUGAAUAUAUAUUUCUUCUUCUUUUUCCUUUUUGGUAUUUUCUUUUUCUUUUCUAUUUGAUUGGUCUAUUAAAUGAAUUUCACUAAUUAUUAUUUAUUUCUUAAAUAGUAAUUGGUCCACUUUUCUCUCAUAUUUAAAUUAGCUAAUUAACUUGAUUUCCAUGUAAGGACCCAAUUAGUGGCAUUUCAAAUAUAAAUCAAUAUCAAAUAUUAAUGUUGAUAAAGACUAUUAUCUGCCACAUCAGUAUCAAGUAUUAAUGUUGAUAAAGACUAGUUAUCUACCACAUCAAAGUGGCAAACAUAUCUUAAAACCUUACCACCUUUGUCAAGAUGCUCCAAGCUUUGUCAUAGGAUUUAAAACACCAAGUGAAAGUAUAUUAUAACAUAACCAUUAUUUGUGUAGAGAUGAGUAGUCCCUUUCAAUUUAGGUUCACAUUCAUAGAUAUCUUGAAUAGAUUAUGUUUAUAUUCAAAGAUAUUUUAUGUACAAUAUUGAUUGUAAUUUUGUAAGUUAUAUGUACAUACUUUUAUUUUAAUGUGGUAGUAAAAUUUAAAAAGUAAAUGUAUCAUUUUUUUUUCAUUCCUAAAUUUAUUUAAAAUAAUUACAAAACUUACAAUUCACUCAUAUCUUAUUUUUUCUAUAGAAUCAACAUUAGCAAUGUCUCUUGUGAAAACAUUGGAAAAACUGUGGAAACCUAUUAAAAAAUCAUUAAAAAGAUAUUUGAUAUUUUUAAAAUUUUAAAAUAUAUAUAACUAAAAUAUUAUUUGUAGUUUACCUUUAAAAUAUAUAUAUCUAAAUGCAACCUAGGAUAUCACCACAAUCAAAAAAAAUUCUAGUAGAAGGAAAUUUCAUUGUGAAAGCAGUAUCAUUCAAACAUCAUCCAUAUACACACCUCUCCAUGGUGUUCUACAAUUAGUGUAAGAAAAAGAAGAAAAAAACAGGAAAGGGUAAAUUUAGUAUGGUAGAAGGAUUCGUAAAUUAGGUGAGAAUAAUGCCUUUGGAUCAAAGAGUUACUCCUUAAUUUAGGGAAAUGCACCCAGGGGCUUAAUAUUUUUAUGGCUGGUGAAGAUGAAAAGUGGAGACUGGAGAAUGUAUUUAUUCAUUGUAAAAAAACAAAAGGCAUGUUUUUCCCUGAUUGCUAAUUGUAAUCGGACUUGUUAGUAAAAGCAUAAACAAUAGGUAAGACUUAAGCAUGUUUAAAAUGAUUUACAUCAAUGUCAAAGAUUCACAAAUUUUUUCCAUGCAAAAUCCCGACUGAUGGUUACCAAUAAAGGAAAAGCUGGAACAAAAAGGAAAAGCAAGAAGACUACAAUCAUGUAUUUGGUGGUAACUUCAAGCGAUGAAGAAGGAUGUAGCACAGCUUGCAGCCCGUCAACGAAUGCUGUCACCAUUACAGCCAUCGCAGCCAAGGUGAGAACAUAGCCGUACAAUAAGUAUGCGUGGACGGUCUUCUUAUUUUCUAUGGGGAAAGAGGCAAGGAAGUAAAUACCAAUUGCACACAUAGAAAGUACCAUGGCUAUGCUAUCUUCCAUGACAAAAUUUCUGAAAUUUUCCGUUGCUGCACUUGCCAUGUCUCCGUCCUUGCCCAGGGUGCCAUCUGUUGGGAGCGAUAAGACUGCCAUGCCCUGGGUAACGCCCUUGUCCGGAAUGUAACCACCAGGCAGUGUGAAACCUGCCGUGAAGGUUACAGUUGCUAUGAGUGCCGCCACUAUCAUAUGGCUUUUCAUUGUUUUCUUAAUUUCAGAUAUUUCUUUACUUUCUUCACUUCCUUUGUUUUCAGAUAUUUCUUCGCUUCCUUUGCUUUCGCUGCUAUCCAUGUCUUCCUUAACCUCUAGCGAACCCAAGGGUCUGAUCCCAACUCUGAAACUUGGACUCCGUCUCUGAAAUUGUAAAAAGUUUACAGAAACAUGGAUAGAGAUUUGAUUUAAAGGGGUGAAGGAAUCAUCCUAAUUCUUGUAAAAGAAGAAAAAUAAUUUAUUUGCUAACAUAAAAUUACCAGAAACUGCAUUUUUAUUGUUCUUCUCUCACAUAAAAACAUAUUUUUGAAUAAAAGCAUAUGAAGGAUGGUUGUCAGAUGUAAUAUCUAUAUAAUUAAAAUACAGAAACACGAAAUAUAUAUAUAUAAUUAAAAUUAAUUAAAAAAAAUUAUGUAUUUUUGGAUGUCAAAUGGGUAACAUUGGAAAUCGAAAAUUUUGACGACCUUACCCUUAAUCCCGCGAAGGUGUCCAAUAUCCACGUCAACAUCCUCUUCGGAGGUGGGAAGUAGUCGACAUCUUUAGACGAGGGAGAAUUGUGAAAUAGGUAGAGGGGCGUCUUUCCUUCAGCAUUCUUCUCGUUCAUGAGUCCUCUCAUCCUUAACGGGGGAAUAUUUGACAAACCCGAAGUUAUAAAUAUUUUUUUUGGCAUUAUAAAAUGAAGAACAUUAUUGCCCUCAUCAUCAACUUUCUCACAACAAUCUGGAAAGUGUGACACCAGCUCUUUCACUAUGUCCACAUGGCCUCGGCUUGCUGCAAUGUGAAGAGCUGUCUUGUUUCCAUGGUCUUUGACUCCUAGGUGGACAACACUGCUGUCACAUUUCUCUAGCAAUUGCCUCACUAUUGUUGGAUGACAACCCACAUAUGCAGCGAAGUGAAGGGGAGACCACCCAUUUUUAUCCAAUUCUUUAGUUAAAGCAGGUUUCCAUUUCAGUAUCUUCUUUGUCAUCGCUGAUAAAAUCAACAAAUGAGAGAAAAAAAAUGAUUUAAGAAAAUAAGAAAAUAAAUUAAGUCUCCUCUUGUAAUGUGAUUCGACCAUUAAAUAAAAAUGGUGCAUCCUCCACUACGUACCUUUGUUAUUGAGAAUUACCGCAGCAUGCAAAGCCGUUCGACCCUUGAUGCCAUUAUGAGCUGGUGAAGAGUACUUGUCUAGGAUCAUCUGCACCAAGUCUCCGAAUCCCCACUCAGCAGCGAUGUAAAGAGGAGUAUUGCCUUCAGCAUUAGCACCAUAGGCAAAGUCGGGGUCAUCCUGAAUCAAUAACUUCACCACCUCAGGGUGAUGAUUUCUCACUGCCUCGUGCAAGGCUGUGUCUUUGUCGUUAUUUAUCAUCCUCAGAAUUACCGUACAAUCUGCUACAGCCCCUCUUUCUGUGUCUCCUUCUCCAAGUUUUUUGGCAGCGUCAAUCAGAUUUUUCACCACUGUCCAGUGCCCUUCCCUGGCUGCAAGGUGAAGUGGUGUGUCACCUUUCUCAUUGGGCUGUUGCAAUAGUGAUGAAGGAGAACCCAACCCAAGGAUCCACUUAACGCAUUCCGCUUGACCGAACUGGGCUGCAACAUGGAGAACAGUGUUCUUCUUUGGGGUUAGUUUGACUUGAAUAUCAUCUUUACGAGCGUUAAGGGCAUGGGUGUCACCAUCUGCUGCAGCCACGUACAAUUUAGGAUCCAUGAUUGUGAUCUUGGUCAGGCUCCCAUCUUCAGCUGCAGCCAGGUUGGUGAUCUCGAUUUCCCUAGCAUCUUCAGCUGCAGCCUGGUUGGUGAUCUGAAUUUCCCUAGCACCUUCAGCUCCAACCUGAUUCGACUCUGUAUUCAAGUUAAGGCUGGAAGUAGUGGGAUCGGCCAUUGUUGUUGAAUGAGCAGUGGCCUUUCUAUAUUUUGCUCCAAGGAUGGGAAACAAGUUGACCAAUUGUUUAAUGGAGAGGGUGGCUCUUAGCUCAACCUCGGGGAAAUUAAGUGGAUGCUUUUUAUAGCCUAUAGGUGUGUGGGUGUAAUUUGAUAUUCAAAGAUGGAAGUAUAUUCAAAUUCUCCAAUCUUUGUCAUAAAUUAAAACAGUAGAUGGAAGUACAUAUCAAAACACCACAAUUAUUUAAGUACACAUUCUAAGAUAUUUUCGGUAGGUUAUGUUUAUAUUCAAAGAUAUUUUAUACACUAUUGAUGUAAUGGAAAGUUGUUUAUUUGAAUUUUUCUUUUUAUAUGCCGUUCCUUUCAACUUGAGUCCACAUUUCAAGAUAUUUUCUAUAAAUUAUGUUUAUAUUCAAAGAUAUUUUAUGUACAAUUCAUAAUGUGAUAGAAAGUUGUUUAUUUGAUUUUUCAAUUCCUUUUUAUAUGUAGAUAAUGGUAUGUGAGGAAAUUGAAGAAAAAUGCUCUGAGCAUGUACUCCUCCGAGGAUAUCACCAAAAACAUUUGGAGAAGAUCACCAAUGCCAAAAAAAUUAUGAAUACAUAUUUCUCCUUUCCUGGUAUUUUCUUUCUCUUAAUUUUCUAUUUGAUUGGCAUAUUUGGAGGACACCACUAACUAUUAUUUGUUUUUUAAGUCAUAAUUAGUCUAUUUUUCUCUCAUAUUCCAACUAGCUACUUAACUUGAUUUCCAUCCAUUUCUUAGUGAAGAAAAAUGCUUUGAAUAUAUCCUUGUCCAAGGAUAUCACUAAAAAAUGCUCUGAAUUAGUCCAUUACUAAUUAUUAUUUAUUUUUUAAGUAGUAAUUAGUUCAUUUUUCUCUCAUAUUCAAACUAGCUAAUUAACUUUAUUUCCAUCCAUUUCUUAGUGAAAGAAAAAUGUUUUGAACACGUCUUCCUCCAAAUAUAUCACCAAAAGUAUUUUUGGAAAAAUAUCACCAGUGUCAAAAAAAAAAAAUGAAUACAUAGUACAAUGGAUUUAAUGUUAUUUUGUACAAGUAUGAAUUUAUGAAAUUAAAGUCAAGACAACGUAAAAGAUAUUUUGUAGAAGAAAUUUCAAUCAAAAUGGUACGUGUAUGUGUGUUAAAGCCUUACCAACUUUGUUGUGGGAGUUAAAAGCCUUACCAGCUCUCAUUGUAGAAUGGACAAAAAAAUUUCAAAAAGAAAAAAUAGAAUAUGAUACUGUGGUCAAAACCAAAUUAUUUUUAGGUCAAUUAUAAACACAUGUUCUAGACCCAAUGGGUUUGGGCCAAUAAACCCAAUGAGUUCUUUUUACUUAGUUAAAUGAUUGAAUGCAUUAUCAAAUUGAUAUCCCUUUAGGGCUCGUGUUUUUAUUUUUCUAUCUUUUGUUUCUUAUUUAUUUAUUUACUUAUUUUUGUAUCUCUCUAUUUUAAUUUCAACUUUUUCACAAAUUUUAUAGUAUCCAUGUAUGUAACAUUGUAAACUAACAAUUUCACUCUCGGAUCAGAUUGGUAUAUUUGGCAUAUGUCGCCAAGUUUUAGUUUAAUUUUUCUAAAUGAUAAUUGACCAUUUUUCUCUUACAUUUGAAAGCUAAUUAGAAUAUAUUUGACAACUAUUUUUUAGAUUAAUUUUUUAUUCUGUAAAACAAAAAAAAAAAAAAAAAAACCAACAAGGAAAUAUGUUUGACAACUAAAAAACUAUUUUAUAUUUUUAUUCUUUAAAAUAGAAAACAUGAUGUUUUUAAAGAAAAUUUUAUAGUUGUUUUCGUUUGUGUUUUUAAGAACCAUUUUUAUAAAAUAAUUAUACCAAUAUAUAGAAUGAUUAAAAAUAAAGAACUGAAUAUAAAAAUUAAUUUUAAAAUAUAUUUAAAAAAAUAAAAUAAUAGUUUUUUAGAAAUGUUUUUUAAUAUAGUUACCAAAACAGGGUUUCAGCUUUACGCCCCUCCAUGUUGACUCAAUUAUUAAUUAUGUGGCAUUCGAACAUAAGUCAAUGUAUAAUUUUAAUAGGAAAAAGACGGUUAUAUAUAUAUAUAUCAUAACAAACAAAAAGGUGAUAGAUGUGUGUUUUAAAGCAGUUUGUUUCAAGUUAUGUGUAUAUUCAAAGAUAUUUUAUGUAGCUUAUGUUGACAUUUAAGGAUAUUUUAUAUAAUAUUAAUAUAAGGAAAAGUUGUUUGUUUGAUUUUGUUUCUCUUUCUACUAUAGAUCCUACCUAGAUCCUGAUCCUUGUCUUAUUGGGAUCCCAAAGUCUUCUAUACAACACUACGCACUUUUUACCCCCACAGAAACCAUAGUCGCUCCUUUAUCUAGCUAAAUGCUUUUUAUUAAAUAUUUUUAUAAAUGGAAUUAUAUUUCUGACAUUCCACAAUUUCUUCGAUCUCCAAGGAUAGAAGAUGGAAGGAUUAUAAGGAAGAGGAUGUUUAAUUGUAAUUUUUUUAGUAAUAUAUAUAUAUAUUUAAAGAAGUAAUUGGUCCACUUUUAUCUCAUAUUUGGAUUAACUAAUUAACUUGAUUUCCGCCUUAAAGAACCAAUUAGUGUCAAUUUAAGUAUAAAUCAAUAUCAAAUAUUAAUGUUGAUGAAGACUAGGUACCCAAUCAAAGUGGUAGAAGUAUCUUAAGGCCAUAUCACCUUUAUCAAAAUGUAUGUGUUGGCCUACUACCUUACCAUCUUUGUCAAGAUGUAUGUGUUAACCCUACCUACCACCUUUGUGAAGAUGUAUGUAUUAAUAUCCUCGAAACUUUAUCAUACGAACUAAAACAAUAAGUGAAAAUAUAUCAUAACCCAACAAUUGUUUUUUUGACAACAAUUGUUUUUUGGGAGAUGAGUAGUCCUUUUCAACUUAGGUUCACAUUCAAAGAUAUUUUGUAUGGCAUAAAUCUAUAUUCAAAGAUUAUAUAUAUAUUCCAAACAUAAAUCAACUUCAAAUAUUAAUGUUGAUAAAGAUUGGGUAUCACCAUAUCAAAAUGGUAGAAGUAUCUUAAGACCAUACCACCUAUAUCAAGAUGUAUGUGUUAAUAUCCUCAAAGCUUUGUCAUUUGAAUUAAAUCAGGAGGUGGAAGUAUAUCUUAAUAGAACAAUUAUUUUUCUAGAGAUAAGUAGUUCCUUUCAACUUAAGUGCACAUUCAAAGAUAUUUUAUAUAGUAUAUGCCUACAUUAUAUAUAUUUAUAUUCACUCAUAUCUUAUUCUUUUUUUAUCAAAUCCACAUCAACAAUGUCUCUUGUGAAAACAUUGAAAAAAUCGUCAAACCCAUUAAAAAAUCAUUAAAAAAAUUGUGAUAUACUAAUUUGAUAGGAAGAAAUCCCACUAGUUAAUUAUUAUUUUUUUCCUUGAUCAUUUACACUUUCAUAUGAUCCAUCAAAUUCAUCUUCCACAAUUGGUCUACUUCUUAGUUAAUUUUGUUUACCAAUUUUAAUAUGAUCAAAAUCAAUUUUAAAAUUUUAGGUUAUGUUUGGUUUAAAAAAAAAUUGAGAGAAAAUAUAAGGGAAGAAAAAUAUGGAGGAAAAGAAGAAAGAAAGAAAAAUGAAUGAAAAUAAAAUAGAUUUAAAAUUAAUAAAUUAUUUUUAUAUGUUAUUUUAAACUAAAUUCACUUAUUUUAACUCUUCUAUAUAAAAAUUAAAUAAUUUGAAAAUAUAUAAGUUUUAACUAAUUUUAAUUAUAUUUUAAUUUCUUUGAUAUUUUUAAUAGUAUUACAACCAAACAUUAAAAAUAAUCAUUUUUUUUUAACAUUUUUUCCAUAAUACUUUUUGAAGAAUCAAAUAUAACCUUAAUGUUAAAAUUGAAUAGAAUAUAAUUAUUUUGUAUCUGUAAAAACUUGCUACUUUGACAAACUAGAGAUAAUUUUUAUCUUAUCAACAAUUGUGAAGUUGAGUAAAUUUAAAGCUAAAUCAAUUUCCCAAACAUCAACAAAUAAAAACAAAAUUAAAUAGUCAAAUAUCGUAUUUUUCUAGAGUUGGAAGUACAUAUAAACACCGCAAUUGUUUUUCUAGAGGUAAGUAGUCCCUUUCAAUUAAGUCUAAUUUCAAAGAUAUUUUCUAUAACUCUACAUUUCACAUUCUAUAUAUUUUGUGAGCAAUUCCCUUCAAGCUUUUGUCCAUGAUUUAAAGAUAUUUUAUGUAGAGCAUACGUGGAAGGGCUUUUGCCCAUGAUUGAAAGAUAUUUUAUGUAGAGCAUAUGUGGAAGGGAAAGUUGUUUGCACAUAUAUAUAUUUUUCUCUUUCUUUCUUGUGAAGUUUUUCUGUCUUUUUAGACAUCUCCCAUUUUUAUUUACUUGAUGAGAUUUUUAUCCUAUCACACUCCGGCCUCAAUAAUUUGGCUACAUUAAACCCAUUAACACCAUUUUAUUAUUUAUUUUUCUAAAUUGUAAUGCUUCAUAUUUCUCUCAUAUUUGAACCAACCAUCCAGCUUCGUUUCACGCUCAUUCCUUGAUUCACCCAUUUGAUAAGUGACUGUCAAUCAUAAAUCAAUAUAGAGAUGAGUCGUUGCUUUCAAAUCAUGUCUAUAUUUUUUAGAUUUUUUUUGUAACUUAAGUCCACAUUCAAAGAUAUUUUACGUCAAACAUGGGUGUAGAGGAAAGUUACUCAAAUACCAUAUUCUCUUUCCUUCUAUGGAUAAGAUAAUGCUUGGUUCUAAUUUCAUAUGUAGUAUAAUUUUAAUUCUUAAUUUUAAGAAAAUUAUAAAAAUAAAAAUAAAUAGUAAAUAAAAGAUUCAUUCCCAAAUUUGUUUAAAGUCAUUUUAAAUCUCACAACUCAUUCUCAUUAUAUUUGUAAGGCAAUCAAGCAACUUGCUGUCUCACAUGUAAAGAUUAAAAUGUGGUCAAAACUCAUCAAAAGAAUCAUUAAAUGUUUUUCUACUUAUUGUUAUAUAAUCAUCAUUAUAUUCUUGUGUAUUUUUUUUUUAAAUAAAACUAGUUUUAAGAAAAAUAUUAAGUAUUUUUAAAAGCUAAAAUUCAAUUGAAAAUUUAUUUAUACGUUCUACUUUUGAAAAUAGUGAAAACCAAAGCAUAUUUAAAUGCAUUUUUUCCCUCUUUUAUUUCUUUUGUGCACAUCUGGACUUUUCACAAGAAAAUGGACAAAGUAGCUUUGGGAAUAAAAAAUAGAAAAUGUUUAUGGUAUCAAAACCUAGUUAUGUUUUAUUAUAGAAGGAAGAAAAAAAAUGAAUGAAUUAUAUAUAUCUAUAUAUAGUAAGGAUCAAUGUGAGGUAAAAUCCCAAGAAUAUUAUCAAAAAUAUUUUGGUAAAUUAUUAUUAUUAUUAUUUUGGUAAUAUAUAUAUAUUCUUAAGAAGUAAUUGGUCCACUUUUCUCUCAUAUUUGGAUUAACUAAUUAACUUGAUUUCCGCCUUAAAGAACCAAUUAGUGUCAUUUCAAAUAUAAAUCAAUAUCAAAUAUCAAUGUUGAUGAAGAGUGGGUACCAUAUCAAAGUGGUAGAAGUAUCUUAAGGCCCUAUCACCUUUGUCAAGAUGUAUGUGUUGGCCCUACCACCUUAUCACCUUUGUCAAGAUGUAUGUGUUGACCCUACCACCUUUGUGAAGAUGUAUGUAUUAAAAUCCUUGAAGUUUUAUCAUACAAACUAAAACAAUAAGUGGAAAUAUAUCAUAACCCAACAAUUGUUUUUUAGGAGAUGAGUAGUCCUUUUCAACUUAGCUUCACAUUCAAAGAUAUUUUGUUUAGCAUAAAUCUAUAUUCAAAGAUUAUAUAUCUAUAUAUAUAUAUAUAUAUAUAUAUAUUCCAAACAUAAAUCAAUCUCAAAUAUUAAUAUUGAUAAAGAUUGGGUAUCUACCAUAUCAAAAUGGUAGAAGUAUCUUAAGGUCAUACCACCUAUAUCAAGAUGAAUGUGUUAAUAUCCUCAAAGCUUUGUCAUUUGAAUUAAAUCAGAAGGUGAAGUAUAUCUUAACAGAACAAUUAUUUUUCUAAAGAUGAGUAGUCCCUUUCAACUUAAGUUCACAUUCAAAGAUAUUUUAUAUUGUAUAUGCCUAUAUUAUAUAUAUUUAUAUCCACUCAUAUCUUAUUCUUUUUUCUUUUUUUUAUCAAAUCCACAUCAACAAUGUCUCUUGUGCAAACAUUGAAAAAAUCGUCAAACCCAUUAAAAAAUCAUUAAAUUUUUUUACUAAUUUUGAUAUACUAAUUUAAUUUGAUAGGAAGAAAUCCUAGUAGUUAAUUAUGUUUUUAUUCCUUGAUCAUUUACACUUUCGUAUGAUCCAUCAAAUUCAUCUUCCACAAUUGGUCUACUUCUUAGUUAAUUUUGUUUACGAAUUUUAAUAUGAUCAAAAUUAAUUUUAAAAUCUUAGGUUAUGUUUGGUUUAAAAAAAUUGAGAGAAAAUAUAAGGGAAGAAAAAUAAAGAGGAAAAGAGGAAGGAAAGAAAAAUGAAUGAAAAUAAAAUAGAUUUAAAAUUAAUAAAUUAUUUUUAUAUGUUAUUUUAUUUUAUUUAUUUUUUUAAAAAGAAAACAAAAUAAAAUAAAACAUGUGUAACUCCUUAUUUGGAAAAAUAAAAUAAUAAAAUAAGUGUAUGGAUUAAGAAUGAGUUUUGAGGGUCAAGUUCCCUAUAGGGUAAGCCUUAGCAUACCUCCAAACCCAUUUGUUUACAAUCUCUAAUAAACAAUAAGAGAUACUUUAACAUUUAAUUAGUCAAUCAACGGAUAGAAAAGAAAUUAAGAAACUUGAUGCCUCACGUACAAAGAUUAGAAAGUGGUUGGAACCACUCAUGAGAAAAUCAUUAAAUUUUUUCCUUUUUAUUAAUGUAUAAUCAUCAAUAUAUUUUUCUACUUUCAAAAACAAAAAUAAAACUAGAAUUAAGGAAGAUAUUAAUUUUUUUUAAAGGAAGAUAUUCAAUAUUUGUUUAAAGUUAAAAAAAUGUAAUUAAAAUUUUAUUUAUAUGUUCUAUUUUUAAAAAUAGUAUAAACAAAUGUAUGAAUACAUAUUUCUUCUCAUUUUUCCGUUUUGGUAUUUUCUUUCUCUUUUUUAUUUGAUUGGUCUAUUCAAUGGAUUUCAUUGAUUAUUAUUGAUUUCUUAAGUAGUAAUUGAUCCAUUUUUAUCUCAUAUUUGGAUUAGCUAAUUAACAUGAUUUCCAUGGUAAGGUCCCAACUAGUGACAUUUCAAAUAUAAAUCAAUAUCAAAUAUUAAUGUUGAUAAAGACUGUGUAUCUACCAUAUCAAAGUGGUAGAAAUACCUUAAAAUCCAAAUAACCUUUGUCAAGAUAUAUAUAUAUAUAUAUAUAUAUAUAUCUAUGUGCGUGUGUGUGUGUGUUGGUCCUAGCACCUUUGUUGAGAUGUAUGUGUUAAUAUUCUUGAAACUUUAUCAUAUGAAUUAAACAACAAAUGGAAAUAUAUCAUAAUACAACAAUUGUUUUUAUGGAGAUGAGUAGUCCAUUUCAACUUAGGUUCACAAUCAUAGAUAUUUCCGUAUAAUUUAUGUCUAUAUUCAAAGAUAUUUAAUGUACAAUAUUGGUUCUAAUUUUUUUGGUAAUACAUAUAUAUAUAUUGAGAAGUAAUUGGUCCACUUUUCUCUCGUAUGUGGAUUAACUAAUUAACUUGAUUUCCACCUUAAAGAACCAAUUAGUGUCAUUUCAAAUAUAAAUCAAUAUCAAAUAUUAAUGUUGAUGAAGACUGGGUACCAAAUCAAAGCAGUAGAAGUAUCUUAAGGCCCUAUCACCUUUGUCAAAAUGUAUGUGUUGGCCCUACCACCUUACCACCUUUGUCAAGAUGUAUGUGUUAACCCUACCACCUUUGUGAAGAUGUAUGUUUUAAUAUCCUCGAAACUUUAUCAUAGGAACUAAAACAAUAAGUGGAAAUAUAUCAUAACCCAACAAUUGUUUUUUUUUUUUUUUUUUUUGACAACAAUCACUGUAGAUCUUAAGCUUAGAGACGGAUAGUGCGAGUGCGAGGUCCAAUCUAGAUAGAGUGGCUUUGUACUCGGCUUCGUUGUUUGAUGCGAGGAAUCCGAGUUAGAUGGCCUGCUCUCACCAGUUGGAGAUUGUAGUAGCAAUCCCACUCUGGAUCCUGACGACUAAGAGGCUCCAUUGACUUGUAAGGUCCAUCACUCCGUCUUGUCCGAUUCUCAGUCUCGAGAGGGUUGUUGGGGAGACUCCACCACAAAGUCAACCAUGACUUGCCCUUUCAUGGACAGCCUAGGCUAAUAUUCGAUCCCAUACUCGCUCAACUCUAUGGCCCAUUGCAGCAUUCUUUCGGACUUAUUCGGUUUGUGUAGGGUGCUUCGCAAGGGCUAGUCGGUAAGCACGACUAUUGGGUGAGCUUGAAAAUAUGGGUGGAGCUUCUGGGCGGCACUCCGCAAGGCUAAGGCAAUUUUUUCUAUCUUUGAAUAUCUUGUUUCUGCAUCGGCCAUUGCUCUGGUGAUAUAAUAAACAGGCUUCUGCUCCUUGUGUGAUGGACAACGAAACAAGACGACGCUAACCACUCAAUCCAAUACUGCUAAAUACAUGUACAACCAUUCGGCAGGCUGAAGGCUGCUCAAGAUGGGUGGUUGUGUGAGGUACUAUUUGAUUUUCUUGAACACGCCUUGGUAGUUAUCCGUCCAUCCAGUCGCGUCGGCUUUCCUUAGCACCAGGAAGAAAAGUUGUAGUUUGUCUGUGAAUCGGGCUAUGAAACGUCCUAGUGCGAUGAGUUUGCUAGUGAGGCGUUGCAACUCCUUUUUGUUUUUGGGGGCGGGUGCCUCCAUGACUGCUUUAAUUUGAUUCGGGCUGACUUCUAUUCCUCUUUAAGUGACCAUGAAUCCCAGGAAUUUUCCCGUGCUUACACCAAAGGCGCAUUUGGAUGGGUUAAGUUUCAUGUCGUAUCUCCUCAGUAAGUGGAAGACUUUUUGCAGGUGGUGGGUAUGAUCUUCUCUAGUUUUUUUUUUUUACCACUAUGUCAUCAAUGUAUACCUCCACUGUGCGACCAAUCAAGGGCUUGAAGAUCUUUGUCAUUCGUCUUUGAUAGGUGGCGCCAACGUUUUUGAGUCCGAACGACAUGACCUUGUAACAAUAAAGUCCAUGCGACGUUAUAAAGGCAGUUUUUUCUUCGUUCGCGAGGGCCAUGGGAUCUGAUGGUAUCCGGAGAAGGCGUCUAGAAAGGAGAGCAUCCCUUGCCCGGUAGUGGAGUCCAUAAUUUGGUCUAUCCGUGGCAACGGGAAGCUAUCUUUUGGGCAUGCAUUGUUGAGGUUGGUGUAAUCAAUGCACACUCGCCACUUCCCUUCCUUUUUGAGGACUACCACCACAAUUGCCAACCAUUCCGAGUGCUCAACUUCCCUGAUGAACCCAACAUUCAAUAACUUAUCCACCUCAUCUUGAAUAAUCUUCUGUCUAUCCGGAUGAAAUCGUCUAACCUUUUGUUGAACAGGUCUUGACGAGGGCAAGAUGUUAAGUCGAUGGGAGGCAACUGAUGGGUGGAUCCCAAGCAUAUCGAAGUGGGUCCAUGUGAAAACGUCUUGGUUUUGUCAAAGCAUCUCCUUGAUGUUCUGAGUCUCUUCGAGUUCCAAGAGGGAACUAAUAUAGGUGAGACGACCAUUCUUCUCCGAGAUUUGGAUGGUUUGCAAGGGAUCUACCACCGGGGGAUCUUUAUCCGUCGGGUACUGUAAUUGCUAUUGGUCGGGUGCAUUCGCUUGCUCAGGGAGCAACUCGCGAUCGUUACUAGGUCCGGCCUCUCGUGCUAUUUGAUAGCACUGACGGGCUGCUAACUAGCUACCAUAUAAAUCAAUCUGCCUGUCUUCGGUCAGGAAGCUCACCAUCUGAUGGUACGUGGAAGGGAUGACCUUCAUGUAGUGAAACCAGGUGCACCCCAAAAUGGCGUUGAAGGAGGAUAGAUCUUCCACUAUUGAGAAUUGUACGUUGAGGAUGACUAAGCCUGCUUGGAUCGAUGACACAACGUUUCCAAGAGAGGUUGUUGCAGUUCCAUUGAAUCCUGACAAAAUCCGUCCCGGGGUCUCUAGGCUAAAGGGCACGAUUCCCAUUUGUUUGAUUACUAAUACUUGCAAGAGCUCGAUGGAGAUGCCUAGGUCGACCAAGAUCCGCCUUACGUCGAAGUCUCCAAUCCCAAGAGACAGGAUAAGGGUGUCUUGGAGUGGUUGCAAUAUUCGUAUGGGGUCUACUAGAGGAAAAAUGAUUGUCCCAUCUAUUGGACGGGCGUUCCUGCUAGUUAAUCCGGGCCGGAUGGAGUUGAUACGUUCGCGUACCGAAGCGGCCUACAGCAGCCUUUGCCUCUUUCUCUUGGAGUCGUACUCUUCAUCCAAGGGUCCACCAUGAAUGUAGUUAAUUAUGGCCCUAGGGGCGAUCGGAGCUGAGGUGACUCCGGAGGCUUGACUCCGAGAAGUCUCCUCCCUUGGCUUUUGAGCGAACGUACUGCUUUAGGUGUCCUGCUCUUAUAAGCUUUUCUACCAAGUAAUGGAGACUCCUACACUGUUCCGUAGUAUGUUCAUGCUCUUUAUGAUAAGCACAUUUCCUGUUAUAAUCUCUCUUGGUUGGGUCCGCUUUGAGGGGUUCAUGUCACCUAAAGUCGGACAGCUCGCAGAUCAUUGGAAGAAGCUUCUCAUAUGAUAUGGUAAGGGGUGUAAGCAGUGGCAGCUUUGACUGACUUUGUUCACCUUGUCUACAGCCGGGUGGCCUCUGCUAGUUCGGAGGUUUGGAACUUCUUGCCACGUCAUUCCUGGUCGGCUGUCCGGUAACCAGGAUUUGUUGGAUGGCUGCGCAUACAGCAUCUUCCAGCAUUGAGUAUUUGUUCGCGCGCCGGAACAAGUCAUCCAUAGUUGUGGGAGGUUUUUUAGUGAGUGAUUCCAAGAAUGGUGUGCCCGGACAUAUGCUCCGCUUAAAAAUUUGGAGGACAACAUCCAUGCUAUAGGAUUCUAGUUGUAGUGCAACUUGACCAAAUCGUUUCACGAACUCCCUCAGGGAUUCAUUUUCCUGUAUUUUUAUGUUUUGCAGGGUGCUAAUAUUCUAUUUAUGUCAUGCGGAACACAGGUAUUGUCCCACAAAGGCUUCUGAUAGAUCCUAGAAGUUAUUAAUAGAAUUCACAAGGAGUCGAUGAAACCAUGAGAGAGGCUGGUGGGGAACACCUUGCACAACAUUGCGGCAUUCCCUAUGUCGAGUGUCAUGAGUUGUUGGUAGUGCAUGAUGUCGUCAAACGGAUCGCUAGACCCGUCAUACGUAGAAAAUUUUGGCAUGAGAAACCCUCUUAGGGGCUCGUAAUUGAUAAUACGCGAGCUAAAAGGUGUGGAGAGCAUGUCAUCCAAUUGCCUAUUGAUGGAGCCCGAGGGGGCUCAUUUGCUGAAUUUCCUCCGACUUGUCAUAGUGCUUGGUGUGGGGGAUUGCCCUGUGUGAUGGGUGCGACCGCGGGACUAGGAUACGUCUCCCGGGUCGCGGCUGUAGGUGGCCUAUCCUUACCAGGUGCUUGUGGUCCCAACCUCACACGCAUUGUGUCAGAUAACUGUGGUCUCUUGUCGCGUUGUCUCUUUGACGAGACACAAGUGGAGUCCGAGCUUUCAUCAUAUGGAGCGUGAUAUGUAGGUAAGGGUCGUUCACUAGGCCGUUCAUCGCGCAUAUCAAGAGCGAUCUCGAUGACUUCAAGAUACAUUGUCUCCUGGUUAUGCUUAGAGUUUGUCCCUUGGCCUCUCGGUCGCUGGUCGUGAGGAGGUCCCGAGGAUGAAACCUGGAUUCUUAACACAUCGUUUUCUUCCUUAAGCCUCCUUGUUUCUUGGAGUAGGGCCUGCACUUGCCGCUCACUUUCCAGCUUUCGUUUUUCCAUACUUUCGCGCCAGUCAAAAUAACCCUCAUCACCCAUGGCUGAUGAACAACUUCUAGAAGGUGUGGACAUCUUCGUAAAUGUUGUUUCCCACAGACGAUGCCAAUUGAUGCCGAGAGGACCCAGAGUCACUGUAGCUCCCUAAAGUACUUGCCUCCUCAACUGAGAGCGAUGCUUCCUUCCUUUGCCCUGCAAAAGAUGUCCAGAUAGGUGGUCCGGACACACCUUCCAAAGCUUUUGUUAGUUUGGCGGUCAAACAUAUUGAUAUUUUUGGGCCCUUUUUUUAGGAAUGCUUACCCUCUCUUGACUGGGUCGUCGGGGGCCUUUUAUAGUGUCUAGAGCCCCGUCACUUUGAAUGUGGGAAGGCUCUUUGACUUUUACAGUCAUGAUGGUGCUCAAAGGGUGGCAGAGCCGUAUUAUCCUGCAGGCGGCUAACAGAAAUUGUUUGGGGGGGGGGGGGGGGGGGGGGGGAGGGGGAAUUUUUCCCCCCCCCAUUUUUUUUCCCCCAAAGGGGGGAAAGGGGGGGGGGAAACAAGUCCCCCGAAAAAANNNNNNNNNNNNNNNNNNNNNNNNNNNNNNNNNNNNNNNNNNNNNNNNNNNNNNNGAGAUGACAACUGUCGAGUUCGGACUAGACGUCCGAAUAGAGGGUGGGACGUGCCAUGUGUCCACCGGAGGAGUGCCUUGUGAGCCCAGGGUGGCCUACCACAUGUACGUUUAAGGGUCGUCCCUACAGUAAGAACAUAGGUAGAAAACGGUACUUACAUAUAGUUUUGGAAAAUAAAAGAAAAAAUGAUAAGGAGUUUCAAAUUCAUUUAUUUAAUUUAGAGUAUAUUGAAAAAAUCAUUUUUUUAUAUUUUUGCUGGCAUAUCAAUUUAGUCCCUAAAUAUUUUUAAAACAAUAUUACCCUUAAUCAAUGCUCAAAUGUCAAAUGAUCUCUUUUAUUGAAAAUUUUCAUCAAAACUUUACAUAAAACUCCCUCAUAAAAUAUACAUUAGCAUGAAAUUUUAUAUGAUAUAUUGGGAUCUGUCCAAGUUUUUCGUGCUUAGUCAUAUGUGUUUUUCCAUCUAGAUUUUAUUUUAUUUUAUUUUUAAAAAAAAAAUUCUUGUUCAAUUAAACUAAGUCAGAGCUAAUAUUGUGAGAGGUUGGACUAAACUUCUCACCGAAAAAAAAAAAAUUAAAAGUAAGUGAGUUUCUAGAUAUUGAAUCUGAAAUUAGUUAUACGAACAGAUCAAUCGAAAAAAAAAUGCUGAAGUAAAAAAAGUAAAAAGUCUUAACUUGGCAGUUGGAUUGAUGGUGAUAGGGCCUUUUUAAGGCUGCAAUGGAGAGGUUGUUGUCCAGUGGCCUUUAUUAACUCACAUCAUGGUUGUAAGGUAUUCCUUUUGUGACGCAUACGAUAUUUAGAGAUUUUUUUUGGCCUAUUUUCCUCUUUUUUUUUUCUUUGGAUGGGUGGUGGGGUAGAUUUUUUUGUUCCUCUUUUUUUCUUUCUUUUUAUUUUUUGCUUAUCGAUGAGGGAAAGAAAAAACAAUUUUAUGAAAAACUAGUCUAAAUCAAAGGGUUAAGUUCCUUAUUAGAAAUGUACUUCAAAAUAACAUAUCUUUUAGCCCUAAAAAAAAUCUUUGUUAAACAAGUAUUGAAGAUAAUCACAACAACUGAUUAAUUAAUCAUGAAUACAAAAAAAGUAUGAUAAACUUAUAUACAACAAAAAUUGGAUUGAUGGUGACAAGGCCUUUUUGUGGUUGCAAUAGAGAGGUUGUCCUUGAGCAAUUGUUGUCCACGGACCUUUAUUAACUCGCAAGGUAUUCCUUUUGUGACCCAUAUAUGGGUGGUGGGGUAGAUUUGUAUUUUUUUCCCCCUUAUUUUUCUUUCUUUUUCUUAUUUUUUUCUUUAUCUUUUCUAUUCAUUGACGAGGGAAAGGAAAAAAAGUAUGUGAAAAAUCAAUCUAAAUCCAAGGGUUAAGUUAUUUAUUAGAAAUGUACUUCAGAAUAGCAUAUCUUUAAGUUCUAAUUUUUUUUUUUUAGUAACCAAGUGGAGAAAAUUAUAACAAUUGAUUAAUUAAUCACAGAUAUCAAGAAAAGUAUGAUAAACCUAUAUAGAACAAUACAAAAAGGAAAAUAAGAUACAAUAAUAUACAACAUUGGUAAAGGAAAUACAUAAAUUAAUUUAUUAAAAUAUUUAGAUAAAUGAUUUGAUUAUUUCUAAAUAUUACAAGAUUUCUAAGAAAUUUUAAAAGAAUUUGACUCGCAUUAAAAACAAUUUCAAGUUAAUGAUAUCAAAAUUAUUUAUUCACAAAAAUUCAAUUUGUUCACAAAAGAUUUGAUUUUUAUUUUCGUUCAAAUUUAUUUCCAAAAUGAGUUUUGCUUGUUUUUGUUAAAAGAAUUUAUUGAACACAAUUUUAUAUAUCUAUAUAUAUAAAGAAUGUUUAAAUUUUAUCUAAUUUAUAAGAAUUUUUUUUUCUUUUUCUAAAAAAAUUACAAAUUUAUUUUUGAGAAAUAUUUUGAUUCAAUUUUUAUCAAGAAAAAUGAUUUUCUAUUUUUUUUAAAUAUUUGCAAAUUUAUUUAUAGAAAGGGAUUUCAACCUAAUUUUAUUAAAAGAAUUUCUACAACUUCUAUAUUUUAGAAAUUAUUCCCAAUCCAAUUUUAUUAAAAAAAUUAUAUUUAGGAAAUGAUUUUACAUCUGUAAUUGAAAAAGUAAUUUUGCAAUUUUUAUUUUAAAAAAGGAAUUUAUAGUUUUUUAUUUGAAAAACUGAUUUUGAAAAUUUUUUAUUUAGAGAAGUGAUCUUUUAUUUGAAAAUUUUCAAAUGAAAUAUUCCAUAGUUUUUACUUGAAAAAAUAAAAUAAAAUAACAAUUUUUAUUUAAAAAGAAUCCUAACAAGUUUUAUUUGAAGAAAUAUUCUAGAGUUUUUAUUAAAAAAAUAUUUUGUAAUUUUAUUUAAAAAAAAAAGGUGUUGAUAAAAUCAACAAAAGAGAUAAAAUGUGGACAUGUUGUGCAUUAUUAAGUUUUCGGUCCAAGCCACCUAACUUUCACUUAAAUGGGCUUCGGCCCCUUGUGCGCACAAGGCUCCCCACACCUCUGCUAAGGGGGGAGGGUUAGUAUAUAAAACACCAUUAAAGUACCCAUCACUUUCCACGGUGGGAAUCUUUUAUUUAUUUUUUAUUUUUUUCACAUUAAAACAAGGGUCUCCAAAAAGCCUGCGGCCUGCGGCCCGGCCUAGCGGGCUAAAGCCCGGCUCGAGCCCAGCAGGCCCGAGCCCAUUUCUGGAUGAGCCAGGCCAUGGGCUCCAAUUUAGGCCCGGCGGGCUGGCCCGCCACUUAAAAAAAAAUAUAUAUAUAUAUAUAUAUAUAUAUAUAUAUAUAUAUAUAUAUAUAUAUAUAUAAAUAUUCAAGAAAUAGAAAAUGCUACAUUAAUAAAAAUAUUCAUUGCUAACUAUUUUAUUCAUUGAAUGUAUACGUUACAUUUGAAAAUGUGGGAAAAGUUUGCAUCACUACAAAAUAAAUACAUCCCAACUAGGUUGACACCUACUUAUUUGUCAAUCAUUUGUAUUUUUCAACCACAAAAAUAAAAAUAAAAAUAUAACAUACAUUUAGUAAAAUAUUUUAAUCAUUAUCUCUUGGCGGUGAUGGCGAACUAUCGCAAAUCCAUGAAGAUCUUGAUGAUUUUAGUUUUUCCAUAUCGACAAGCAUAUUUUCUUCUUAAAUAGAAUCAAAUAUCAUUUUAUCUGCUAUUGCCCAGUCUUUCACACAUAUAUUUGCUUCAAUAGAAUCCGGCGCUAAGCUGCAUCGUUUAUCACUAACUACUCUUCCACCUGCACUAAAAGCAGCUUCUAAUGCAACUGUACUCACAGGAACUGUUAGUACAUCACGAGCAAUGAUAGAAAGCACAGGAUAUUUGUGUUGUUGUGAUUUCCACCAUAUUAAAAUAUCAAAAUUUUCAUCAUCUUCAAAUGAAAUUAAAUCAAUAUUAAGAUAUCUAUCUAAAUCAAUUGUGUUGUUUGGAGAACUAUUUGUUGUCUUCUUUCGACUUUUUAACAUUUCUAGAGCUCCUUUAUAAAAAGAUGAAGAACUUGUAGAUGUAGGUGGUAAUUUAAUGAAACUAAUAUCAUCACCAUAUUUUUCUUUAUAAUAGUUAUAUAAAUUAUAUAAUAAUGAAUUUAUUUCAUUUUUAAUUUCUUCAAUUUUUAUUUGGUCAUUAAAAUAAAUAAUUGUUAACCAUUCAUCCAAAGCUUCAAAUUUCAAUCUAGGGUCCACAAUUAAACCAAGAUAAAAAAUUAAAGGUAUUUCUCCCCAAUAUUUUCUAAAUUUUUCUAUCAUUGCAAAUAUUGCAUCAUUAAAUAUAUCCAAAUUUAAAUAUUUUUGAAAUACAAUAAAAAUAUUAGUUAUUUGCAUGACAACUCGGUUUGAAGAUGGAUAAUAUACACCACAAAUUUUUUUUUGUUGAAGUAUCAAAUACUUCAAAAAGAUCUCUUAAAAGAUCUGCAAUAUGCCAAUCAUAAUCAUUUAAUACAUCAAUAUCUGCUUCACAAUCAUUGUUAAUUAAUUGUUUUUCAUAUAGUUCUACUACUUUUCUAUAUUUUGUAAUAGUUUGUAAAAGUUUAUAAGUGGAAUUCCAUCUAGUGGGCAUAUCCAAAUUUAUAUUUCUUUUUUUCAUAUUUAACAUUUUGCAACAAUAAAAAAAUAAUUCAUGUUUUGCUUGAGAACUAUUAAGACCCGCAACAAUGCCUCUAAUUUUUUAUAUUGUAUCAUCAAUGUGUUUUAAUCCAUCUUUUACAAUUAAAUUUAAAAUAUGUGCACAACAAUGCAUAUGAAAUAUUUUACAUUGAUCUUCUUUUAUUUGUCAAUAUCGUUUUAAUCUAGAUACUGCUGCAUCAUUAUUAGAAGUAUUAUCUAAUGUUAUUGUAAAUAUUUUAUCACGAAUGCCAAAAUCUAUAAUUUCAUCAUUUAUUAAAGAUGCUAUAUUUUUACCAUUAUGUGGAGCAUUUAUUAUUUUAAAUGAAAUAAUUCUUUUAUUUAAUUUCCAUUCAUUAUCAAUAUAAUGAGCAGUUAUACAUAAAAAACCACUAUGAGUUAAAGAUGUCCAAAUAUCAGAUGUUAAACAAAUUCUUCCUUCAAAAUUUGCAAAAAAAAAUUUUAAAAUUUCUUUUUGUGUUUCAAAAUUUUUUAUAAGAAUUCUUUUAACUGUAUUUCCAGAGCAACCUUGAAACUGAGGAUUAACAGCUUGUUGCAUUGUUCCCGUAAAAUCAUGAGUUUCCAUGAAAUUGAAAGAUUGUUAUGCUCUUAUUAUAUAACCAAUCAUUUCUUCACGACAAUAAGAUUCAUCAUAACAAAAUGUUUUUAAAUUUCCACUUUCAUCUUUACCUAAUUGCAUAUAAUUUCUAAUAUCUACAUUAUUUUUAGUUUUACAAUUUUCAUGAUGCCUUUUUAAAUGACUUGUACCUGCAUUUGAGCCACCACUAAGAAGUUUGUUACAAAUUUUACAUUUUACAUUUUGCUUUUAUUUCUUUUUUAUUAUUUUCUAAAUUUAUUUCUAUUCUAUAAAAAAAAUUCCAUAUAUUUGAAGUAAAUUUUUUGCUAUCACAUGCAUUAGAUGAAGAACAAGAACCACUUGCCAUAAUUAUAAUUAUUGAUAAAAUAUUAUGCUAAAAAUAAUAAAUGUAAAAUUAAAAUGUAACAAAUAAAUAAAAGUAAAGGUGAAGUAUGUUACUAAAUUGGAGAACCGAAGCAGAAAUUCCUUCAAAUUUGAACUCUUUGAACCACCAAUGCUUGUUUUUCACCACUAAUAAUAUUGAAUAAUUUGAGACAAAAUGCAAUAAUCGGAAAUAUUGUGGAAUGGGAAAGAGCUUAAGAGUUGAGAGAAUAGAAAAAAAUUGAGGGUAUUUAAUAUUUAUAGGGAUUUAAAUAUUAGGAUUUAAUUUUUUUUUAUUUUAUAAUCAAGACUGUUCAACGGUCAUAAUAUUGAAUUGAGUGGCAAGCAUGUUCAACGGUCAUGUGACCGUUGAACAGCCAGUUCACUUUUAUUUUUUUUCAAAAAUCAUACAACAUUUCUAAUAUAUAUAUAACUAAUGCAAAAUAGUUACACAAAAGAGGGCUAGCUCAGUUGGUGGCUAGCUCCCUUGUGGAUCCAUAAGGGAAGGGGUUCGAAUCCUCUUUCCUUCCCGGCCCGGCCCGUUGACCAGUCAACGGGCUCAAUGGCCCGCCCCGUUGACCAGUCAACGGGCUCAGUGGCCCACCCCGGGCUAGGCCAUGGGCCUUACUCCUCCGGGCCGGGCAGCCCGGCCCGGCCCGUUGGAGACCCUUACAUUAAAACACCCACACACACAAGCACUCUACCAACCAUUACUGGGCAGAUUUUUUUGGAUACCUACCUUAUAUAGGAUGGAUUUGAGAUAAACUUAAACAAGUCUAGCAAAUUUCAAUAAAAUUCUUAAAACCUGAGAUUGGUCUGAGACGGAUUCAAAUUUGACUAUAUCCUACCUUGAUAAUUGUUGUAGUAUGUGAUUCAUAUUUGAGUGAAAAGACAUAUGAAGAAAAAUAGGCAAAAUGUCCGAGCAAAACAGAGUGGAACAUAGUGAAUAUCCUAUUUCCCUGUUCCUGUGGACAUAGACAAUUAAUCGAACCACAUUAAAUCUCUGUGUUUUUCUUUCUCGUUUUUUUUUCUAUUUUUUUCAUCAUUAAUCAUUGCACGGAUUCCAAUAAUAAUAUAAUACAAAAUAAAAAAUUAUUUUAAUUGAUUUUUUUUACAAUUUAAAAUUUUUAAAGUUAAAAAAAAUAAAAAUAUGUAAAAAUAUGAUAAAAUAAAAAAGUUAAAUGGAGCUGGGUGGGGUGAGGCAAAUAUAAGAAUUUCCUACACCUGUCCCAUCCCUAGGAAUGGCAACGGGGCGGGUUCGGGACGGGUCGCCCCCAUCCCAACCCCGCCCCGUUUAUUUAAAAUAAUUCCCAUCCCCGUCCCAUUUAAAAAAUUAAACGGGGCGGGGUAGGGCGGGUAUGAUAAAUUCCCAUACCCGUCCCGCCCCGAGCAGUCGUGAAGUUGGUCAGGCCCAGGUGGUAACGCAACUCAUCCUCAGAGGCAGCGUAGGGUAUGUCUAUCUUGUUUCCCAGAAUGAGAAAUGGAACAUAUGCCAGUGACUCAUCAGAAAGGAGGGCAUCCAACUCCCUCUUUGACUCGGCAAAUCUUUCCUUGUCAUACGCAUCAACCAGGUACACCACAACAUCCACCUUGGCAUAAUAAUCCUUCCAGACUCUUCGAGCGAUCUGAUGCCCACCCAAAUCAAAGGCUUUAAACUUAAUUUUCCCAAUUCUCAAUUCCUCGGACGUUGGGUGUUGCGUUGGUUGAUGCUGAACUAAUCUCUCAUCCUUCAACAUAUGAAGCAACGUCGUUUUUCCCGCAUUAUCAAGCCCUAAAAAUAAGAUCUUUGCCUCUUUUUACCAUAGCCCCAAAGAUGCGAGAAGUCCAUAGAACCAAUCGAAAAGAAUCAUGGUGUUCCGACAAGAUUCGCGACUCAAAACGCGGCCAAUUCACCGGAACUAAGCCGAAAACCACAAACUUAUCAACGAACUUGUCGGAAAAUCCCACUGGAGGUAGAGAUUCAUAUAUUCAUAUAUUAUAAACAGGGCGGGACGGGGCGGGAUGGGGCGAUACCCGAACCCGCCCCAAACCCGUCCCGGGUUUUAAAAAAAAAUUCCAACCCCGUCCCAAACCCGUUUCUAAAAUUUGAACCCCGUCCCAAUAGGGACGGGGCGGGGCGGGUACCCGAAAAAACCCGCCCCAUUGCCAUUCCUACCCAUCCCUCCCCAUUUAAAUAAAAAAAUAAAAAGGUUAUUUUUUUUCUUUUUAUGAAGAUGAAAAUAAAUAUAAAUAAAUGCAUGAGGUUAGGAUGGAGUGGCCAUCCGAACUCAUUUUGUUGUCGUCCCAAAGCAAGAGCCUCAUUUUAUUUGUUUUUAAUUUAUUUGUCAACAAGAAUGCAGAGGUACAUCUUUCUUUUUUUUUUCAAGGGCCGUAAAGGAUGCAACUAUGGGGAGUUGUAGUCUGCUCCAGGACCUCGAAGAAGUUGCAAGACUGGAUCACUUUCUGAUACAAGCUCUCCAAUGGUAGCCAAGUUAUCAGUGAGCAUCUUCAACUUGAGUAUGUAUUCCAUCAUGGAGAGGGAACCUUUCCGAGUUAUCUGAAAUGCUAGCCGAAGCUGCAUUACUUGUGCUAUUGAAGAUACGGAGAAGAUCUUCUCUAGAGCCAUCCAUGCUGUGUGAGAAGUCUGAUAUCCAAUUAUUUGUCCCAUAAUUUCGAGAGUAAGGAAAGAGGAGAUCCAACUCAGGACCAUGCGUACCAAAACAUCACCAACCAAGGAAUUCUGAAUUAUUUUCAUCAAUGGUAUUCAUCUUAGGAAGACGGAUUUUCAGUCCUUCACUGUGUGUUCUUCAAAACUAUUAGUAAAGAUGACAUUGUCUAUUUGUAUACACCAGCGAAUGGAAUCAUCUCUGUUGAAUUUGAUGGGAAGUGAAUGAUUCAACAUGUUGUAAUAGCUCUGAUGCCAUGAAAGAACUGCAGUCAAGAAGAACAACCUAUCUAACUAUCUAACAGAUUAGUUUCUAUUCUGGUGAAGCUUCUAAAUGCUGUUCUGUUGAUGCUUCUGGAUGACUAUCAACCCUGGGUAGUAAAUCUCGUCCUUUCAUUUUCUUUUCCUUUCUUUUCGAUGCCCUCUCUUGUGAAUGCGCCUGACUCAACCGCUGGUAAAUGGCACUAUUUGAAAUGUGCACUAGGCUUUUCACAUGCGCUUCAAUCAAAUGGUUCAUAUGCAAUAACUAGAAAUAUCAUAAGGAAAGGAAGAACAAACGGAACUGAUAUUGAUGAAAAGAAAAGCUAGGAUCGUGCCCUAUUGAGUGAAAAGAUAACAUUUGGACUCAUAGGCUCAGUGGGAGACUUUCAAAUACCCUUGCUAAAAAGAAGAUUGAAAUACAGAGAGUUGGGACCUUCAACUCAAACCCUAGACUUAGUCCGUUAUAACAUCAAAUCCUACCAACAUGUCAACAAUCGGGCAUGUUCAUCCUUGAAACAUCUUUCAUUGGCAUGAGUUAGAGUCCUCUCCUACCGGAACCUGGCAGUGGACUAUUAUUUUUAAGAUAGUUCACCCUUUUUUUAUAGUCCAUUGGGGGCUAUUGUGGGCUAUGUCAAACAACAGAUCUUUCCAUUAAUGGUUCCAUUCUCCCAUCGAGAGGCUAUGAUACUAGUAAGUGUUAACCAAAACCCCACACAUACAAAUAAAAUGUAAAAAAAAUACAUGACAUUUUUAAUAUGAUUUAGCAAUCAAUGUGAUCCUUACAUCAACAAAGUGCUACUAAUUAAAAAUAAAUAAAAAAUAGAGGUUAUGAUGUUGAAGCUAUCAAAAAACACCUCUUAAUUGUGGUUACACUCUCUUUUUAAAAAAAAAAACCUAAAAACAUAAGAGGGUUAAAUAUAUAAUGGGAGGAAACUCGUGAUUCAUCAUAUUAAAAAAAAUCUCUAUAUUCAUACUUUACAAUUCAACAGUAAGAGUUCUAUUCUUCUCCUCUGGACUCAACUUGGUUUAUGAAAUAGAGGUCUCUUUUUUAAGUGUGUGGAAAGUCCAGUUUCAAACUAUCUAGAACUAUAAUGCCUCUUUACAUAUAUACUUGGAGAAAAAAGUUAAGCCUAUCCAUCUCAUUACUCUUUCGUUUCUACAAUCUUCAAAUCCUUCUUACCUUACCCUCAAUAUCAAUGUUUGUCUAAUUUGUGGUCUCUACCUAGCCAAGUGAUCUUUCCUAUUUGCCACUCUAUAAUGCAUGCUCGUGUUGUUUUACUCUUCUGGAGCCAUUUCUCUUUCAACUUCAAUAUUCCCCUAAAAUACUACCAUUUUUAAAAAAAAUCUAUACCAUUUAUAUUUUUUUAUUGAUAUUACUAUUUAUUAUAAAUAUCCAUUUAAAGUAAAUUUAAAAUGUAUGCAAAAUUUAAAACAUUACAAUUCAUUUUUAAAAAUUUUAAAAUGUUAUUAUUCAUUUUAUAUAUAUAUAUAUAUAUAUAUAUAUAUAUAUAUAUAUAUAUAUAUAAAUCUUAGUAUUUAUUUAAAAAUUUGACAAUAGGAGGAAUUUGACAAGAAGAAAAACAUAUCUGCUUUUCAAUGAUAGCAAGAAAAUAAAAGAAAAAAAAUUCAAUGAACAAGCAAGAAUUAGGGAAUUUUUUCUUGGACAUUUACUUUUAGGAGGAAUGAAACUUGGGUAAUGGGAUUAGCUGGGCUGGUUUGGGCCAGUUUGGGCCUAUUUUUGGGCUCACCCAAUUAGUGUACAUCUACAAUUCCUACUAUUUUGAACCCUAAAGUUUGUAAUCCACAAUUUCUUUCAACUCUUUAUUUUUUCUUUUAUCAUUUGGUUUGAAGACAUGCUAUCAAUCUCUCUCCAAUUCUCGAGUCUUCCUUUUUCCUAUGUCAUGAUCAAUUAAUACACUCUUAGUCACAAAAUGAUAUAUAUCAAAUUCUUUUGAAAGAAUUAUAAUGACCAUAAAUUUCAUAAUCAUAAAUGUUUAGGAUCACUCAAUGGGACAUAUUACUUCAGAUUCAUGAGAUAUUAUGGUGUCUCUAUUAAGAGUAUCUAUUAUUACUUAUGUAAACCACCAAUAACUAUAAUUAAUUAAUUUUUCACGUCUAUGACUUACUAUUCAUUGUAUGCAAGUUCUUUAUGAAUUGAUGUCCAUUAUUCAACAAGGUAAUAACUAUCAAUCUCUCUCCAAUUCUUGAGUCUUCCAUCCACCUAUAUCAUAAUCAACUAACAUACUCUUAGCUAUGAAUAACAUAUGUCUAAUUCCAUUGAAAGAAUUCUAAUGACCAUAAAUUUCAUAAUUAUAAAUGUUUAGCAUCACCCAAGGGGUCAUAUUAUCUCAAACUCAUGAGAUAAUAUAAUGUCUCUAUUUAGAGUAGAAAUUAUUACAUGUUUAAACUACCAAUAACCUAAUACAUAGGAAAUAUAUGAUAAUUUUGGGAUCUCACCCAAAGGCCAAAGCCACUAAUGACCUAAACUCUAGUGCAAUAAUCUCUUAAGAGUAGAACCAAUGCAACAUAUUAUAAUGGAGAAGUCAUAACAAUUCAAUAGUCAUUCAAUCACAACUCUCUAUGGAUUAUGUUCGAUGUUUAAGAACACACAUUAAUACAUUUACUAUGCGAAAACCAUCAACAAUGAACAAGACUAGUCACUCCAUUAAUACAUACAUAUAUAUAUAUAUAUAUAUAUAUAUAUAUAUAUAUAUAUAAUUAUGAGAUGUUGUCUCUCUACUCUAUAAGAUUAUAUAUAUGUGGGACUCAUAUGGAGUUAAUUUCUGUCCAUUUAUGUUUUGAUUUUAAUUUUUUGAUUUAAUUUAAAGAUAUGCAUGCAACCAUAAACGUUCAUCUCUUAGAUUAUGCCACAGUAAAACAUAGAUAAAAACUAAAUUUAAGAGAUUAUUAAGACUAACAGCAUGAAACUUAGGAAUGUGCUUGUGAUGUAUAUUUUUAAAGUUCGUCUUCUAUAUUUUGUUGCAAAUUAUAUUGAAAAAAUUUGAGCUUGAUGCAUAUUAUUAUUUCCUUCCCUUUCCAUUAAAUUCUUUAAUUAAUGAAAUCUUUAUUAAUGAAUUCUAAUAUAAAUUCAGUCAUUAUAUUGAAAAACAAUUUACCUUAUUGUAGUUCUAUGAUGAUGUAGUUAUGCCCGGCUUUCACGAGUAACAACGAUUUAUCGUAGUGGUUGGAAGCACUUUCAACUGUACGUUUAUCGGUCAUCUAAUGCAAUCUUCCAAACGCAAUACAAAGAGAUGGUUCAAGAAAUCAAACAUGCUAAAGACAGAGGCUCGAUUACCAAGGGAAUUUCCAUGGGAAAAGAUUAGGCAGUGUUACCAAGAAAAGUUGAUUAUCCACUCUCUCUUUUGUUGUUUGGAUGGUGGUUGAGAAAACUUGUCUCCGUAAAUCAGUGGAUGAAAUAUUUCUCCUUUUUCUCUUCUCUUAAUUUUCUGUCCAAUGCUAGUGAUGGGAACAUUUGGAUAUGUUUUUACAAUGAUGUAGCGGGUUCGAAGUGAUCAAAUAGAUAAAAAGAGUGAAGUUUUAACAUUUCAUUUGGAUGUCACAAGAAUAAUACCAAAACAAAAAAAAAAAAAAAAAAAGAAGGAAAAAGACAAAAAUGAAUAAGGAAGGACUCCUAAAUUUUUAUUUAAUUUUCAGAGACUGAAUUUUUUUUUUUUAAAUGAUUGACCUCACUGGUAGUAGCUAAAGUUGCUAGCUAGUCCAUUUCUCACUUUGAAGCUUUGCUUAAGAUGUGUGUGGAUGAGGGCAUUUUUUUUUUCUCUCUCUCUUUUUCUUUUUUUUCUUUUUUAUUUUCUAGGCGAGGAGUAUUUGCUGAUAUAGUGGGAACAUUUGGAUACAAUCCUUUUGCAAUAAUUGAUAGGUUGGAUGUAAGAAAAUAAAUAGAAAGAGCUACACUAGCUCAUCACAAAACUAAAAGAACUAUAAAAUUUCAUUUAAAUGUUAGAAAAUAACAAGAAAUAAUUCUUAAUUUGUCUUAUUUGUUUUAUUUAUCUUUGGGAGAAUGAUAUAAAUUAAAGAAAAUAAAAUUGAUGAGCUCCCCAACUAGUUGCAAGUGAAGUUUCCAGCUUGUUUAUACUUCUCUUUUCUUUUGAAAUGAAUGGGUAACUUGAACGUGUAUUCUUUGAGUGAGAUUAGCCCCCAUUUGUAUUCACCAAGGGGAGAGUGGAGUACUUGUAGGUUUGGUGGGGACAUUUGGAUAUCGAUUUGCAAUUAUUGGAGAGGUUCAAAAUAAGGACAUGGAUGAAAAGAGUUACACAAGUUCACAAUCAAGUUUAUAGAUUUGUAUGAUUCCAUCUCGAAGCACAAAAAGAAAAAGAGAAAAGAAAUAUUUUUAAAUUAUUUUAUUUAAUUUUGGAAGAAUGAAUUAAAUUAAAGGAAAAAAAAUGUUGAGCUCAUUCGUACCUAAUAAAAAUGCUUUUUCAUUCUUCUGUUUUCGUUUAACGGGGUGGUGGAGAAAACCUGGCUCUCUAUCUAUUCAUUAAAUGAGUUUUCCCUCUUUUCUACUUGUUGGUGAGGAAAAGAUGAAGUAUUUCUUGGUUUGAAUUCAACGUUUAGUUAUGGUUUUGUAAGGAUUGGGUAGGUUAAAAGUAAUGAAAUAGAUAAAAAUUAAAUAAAUAUUUCAGUUUAAAGAUUUGUAAUAUUUCAUUUGAACAUUUAAUACAAUUUGUAUGCAAAACUAUACAAAAUAUUUACAUAAAUUCUUUUGGAUGUUGUUAUAAAAUUGUGACACAUAAAAAUCCUAUGUUUUUGUUCAAAGUUGGAAAAUAAUAUGAAGAGGAAAAAAAAAAAAGAAAAAGAAAGAUUCUUAAAAUUCUGCUUAAUUGUUGAGAGAGUGAAUUAAAUUAAGAACAAAAGUAAUUGAGCUGUGAUCAUGAUAGUAUGUAAAGUUACUAGUCCAUUUUUUUUACUUUUGUGAUUUUUCUUAAAGAUGAUUGGUAGAGAAAACUUGACUCUUUGUUCGAAUGAGAUUAGUCUUUUUCUUCUCUCUCCUUUUUACAACGAAGACUAGAGUAUUUGUUGAUUGGUGAGAACAUUUGGAAGCCGUUUUUCAAUAAUUGAUAGGUUCAAAGUAAGGAGACAAAUAAAAAGAGUCACACAAGUUCAUGAUGACGUUUAAAUUAAGAAUUGUAAAAUUUUAUUUAAGUAUUGGAAAAGAACAAGAAAUGGAAAAAAGAAAAAGAAAGAUUCUUAUGGCAUGUUAGGUAAUUAUUAAAAAAAAACAAUUAUGAAAAAUGGUUAUUGAGAACAAUUUUUGAAAUUAUUUUUUGAUUUUUGUAGAACAAAAAUCUGUUUGGAAAUCUAAAAUAUUUUUAAUCUAUUUUUAAUAUUUUUAAAUGUGUUUUAAAAAUAAUUUUUAUAUCUAGUGUUUUAUUUUUAAUCUUUCUAUAUAUUUGUAUAAUUAUUUAUUAAAACAACCCUUAAAAACAAGUGAAAACAAUAAUAAUAAAAAAAAAAAACAACUACAAUAUGUUUUCUAAAAACAUCAUAUUUUCUGUUCUUAAGAAUAUAAAACAUAAAAUAGUUUUUUGUUAUCAAAAGUAUUUUUUAUAUUUUUUUUGUUACGGAGAAGAGAAUACUAUUUUAAAAAAUAGUUCUCAAACAAACCCUUAAUUUUUUCUAUUUAGUUUUGGGAGAAUGGAAUUAAAAAAAAAAAUGGUUGAGCUACCUAGUUGCAAGUAAAGUUGCUUGUUCAUUCUUCAUUUUUUCUUUUGAAUGGCUAACUUGACUCUUUGUUUGUUUACUGGAUGAGAAUAGCCUGCCUCGCCCCCUUUUCCACUCACUAUUGGGAGAAAGUAGUACUUGCAGAUUUGAUGGGGACAUUUGGAUAUGGUUUUGCAAUUAUUGGAUGGGUUCAAAAUAAGGAUGGAAUAAAAAAAGAUAAAACAAAAAAAAGAAGUUACGAGAGAGAUAUGACUUAAAUGGACAUGUGAGUAUGAACAAUAAAUAAUUGAUGGAGUAAAUAAAGAGUGAGGAAAUAUGAAACUCGUGCUUCAGGGUAGAAAUUUAAAGAGUGAGGAAAUAUGAGACGUUUCAAGACACAAUAGUUAUAUUUAUUUCUAUCAUCUAUAAUAUUCUCUACUGUAUGAUAGAAUGUUAUCAUUUAUCCAUAAAGAUAAGUAUUGUUGGUCGAUGAAUCAUAUCAAACUUUUGUGUAUCUUCCAUUAAUAUGAGACUUUUUUUUUUAUUCUUCCAUUAAUUUGUUACAAUAUUAAAGGCCCAACAAGUAAGAGUACAACUUGGGUCUAAUACCAAUGUUAGAAAAAAUUAAUAUUAAAAAUAAUAUUAAAUAUGUUUUAUGGUAUGAACAACAUAUAUGCAAAUCCUAGAAAAACAACUUAACAGAUAAUAUAAAAACUAAUUAAAUUUGGGCAUACCUCGAUCCUACUCCCCAAAUGAUGCCCUCAUGAUACAAUAAAAAAGGAUCCCACAAUGGUGAAUACUAUAAGAGCAUGCUCGCAUAUCCACAAUCCAAAAAGGCACCAUUAAGGACAAAUGGUGGAAAAAGAAACAACAUUUUGUUUAUCUUUAUUUAUGCACCUUUAAAUUAAGAGUUCCUUUUUUUUUUUUUUCUUUUUGCGUGUGUAUUCUGAGUGUAGAGCAAAGAAGAGCAACUUUUGACUAUAGAAGAAAAAAGCAUAAUUGAAUUAGAACCAAGUUCUUAGCUGUUAUCUCUUGGCAGUCAUUAUAAUCAAUUAAUCCAUCUAGAAACAAAUAGUGAUCACAUGCAACUAUUGUCAGUAAUGGAAGUAACCUUAAAAAGGAAAUAAACAAUAUUUGAAUGACUUCUAUUAACUUCCUCUAGGGAACAUUGUACAUAUAUAUGCAAAGAGGAGUGUGGCUGGUAAUAUUAGCACCAUAAGUAAACUCAAGGUCUUUCUGAAUCAAUAACUCCACUAUAUCAGGGUGAUCAUACCGUACUGCCUCGUGGAAUGCUGUGUCUUCCUCCAUGUUGGUCAUUCUCAGCAUCACUUUAUCUGUUCCUAUCUCACUCUCCAUCUCUUUAAAGACUGCUUUUGCACCAUCGAAAAGGGCUACCACAACAUCAAUAUAACCUUUCCUGGCUGCAAGAUGAAGGAGAGUGUCACCUCUCAGAUUUGGGAGCUGCAACAGAGAUGAACAUAAAGGCAACCCAAGGAUCCAUCUAACACCGUCCACUUUACCAUAUUGGGCUGCAAUAUGGAGGACAGUGUGAUAUUUUGGGGUUUAAUGGGGUUGAAGUUGGGCAUCUGAGUACUUGGAUUUAAGGGUAUCAGUAUCGCCUUCAUAUACCGCCUUUUACAGAUCAUCAUCCAUAGGAGCGAUCUCCAUUUGCCUACCAUCAUCAGCUGUAACUUGGUCUAACAUCUCAAUGUGGCUUGAGGAGUCCAAGUUAAGGUUCUGCGGUUUUGCACUUUGGUUGGAAAUCAAUUGUGUUAGGGUGAAUUCACAAUAUUCCAACAAACACCAAAACUUUUCUACCUUUUAUUUGUGCAAAAUUAAAUAGGUAAUAGCAACUACCAGCAAUAAAUAAAUAAACUCAUGCAACAGAAAAAUAAAUCAAACACUAGAAUUUUUAUGUGAAAAACCCCCCAAUGCGAAGGGAAAAACCACGGGACCUAGUCCAGUUCAAACUUCCAUUAUCAACAAUAAUGGGUUAUACUUGUCUUCUCUAGAAUAAUCUUUAAAGGCUGCUAAAUACAUCAAGAGCAUAUAUAGCCUUGGAUUAUAUAAUCUCUCUUGGCAAAAUAAACAAAGAAAAAUUGGAGAAAGUAUACCAAAAAUGUUGUUACUGUUCACGGGUAGUAACACCAGUUUUCGAGCUCAAAAUCUUAUCUCCACCGUUCAGAUUGUAGCUACUCGAGUUUCAAACAUUUCCUCCAAAUUUCAACUCUAUUGAACCACAGAUGAAGUGGGAUCGGCUUGUUGAUGAAAUCUGGGUAGAUGUGUUUUUUUUUUAUUUCUCUUCUCUUCUCUCUGUUUUUCUUUUCCUGAUCUACUUUUUUUUUUUUUAAAUGUAACUAACUUGGGCCCCAAGCAUAUGGGGCCCACUCCCUCACAUACGAGGAAACCCAACUCCUGACUAUGUGAUGGGCUCUACCAAGCUCACUUGUUUUCUACAAAAUUGUAGCUUCUCUGUAGGUAUUGGUUUUGUCAUCAUAUCUUAUCCAUUCUCAUCAGUAUGGAUUUUUUCAAGGCAAAACAAUUUCAUCUCUAGUACAUCACGAAUCCAAUGAUAUCUCACAUCAAUAUGCUUGGAUCUAGAGUGAAAAGUUGGAUUCUUACUGAGAUAAAUAACACUCUGACUAUCACAGUAGAGUAGAUACCUUUCUUGCUGUAGACCUAAUUCUUGUAGGAACUUCUUCAUCCACAGUAACUCCUUGCUAGCUUCAAUGAUAACAAUAUACUCAGCCUCUAUGGUCGACAAAGCAACACAUUUCUGCAACAUUGAUAGUCAUGACACUGUUUCCCCUAAAAAGGUGAUCAAAUAACCAAAAGUAGACUUUCUAGAAUCAACAUCCCCAGCCAUAUCUGCAUUUGUGCAUCCUAUAAGCAUAAGUUUGUUAGUCUCAAAACAUAAACAUGUCUUAGAAGUACCCCUUAGAUACAUGAGAAUCCAUUUCACUGCAGCCUAAUGUUCUUUGCCAGGAUUAGAAAAGAACCUACUGACAACUCCAACAACAUAAGCAAUAUCAAGCCUCAUGCACACCAUGACAUACAUUAAGCUACCCACAACUGAUGCAUAGGGAACCUUUCGCAUUUCUUCUUUUUCUUUCUCACUUGAAGGACUUUGUUUGGAACUUAGCUUUAGAUGACUUCCAAGUGAUGAACUCACUGGUUUUGCCUUGCCCANUAUUGAACUNNNNNNNNNNNNNNNNNNNNNNNNNNNNNNNNNNNNNNNNNNNNNNNNNNNNNNNNNNNNNNNNNNNNNNNNNNNNNNNNNNNNNNNNNNNNNNNNNNNNNNNNNNNNNNNNNNNNNNNNNNNNNNNNNNNNNNNNNNNNNNNNNNNNNNNNNNNNNNNNNNNNNNNNNNNNNNNNNNNNNNNNNNNNNNNNNNNNNNNNNNNNNNNNNNNNNNNNNNNNNNNNNNNNNNNNNNNNNNNNNNNNNNNNNNNNNNNNNNNNNNNNNNNNNNNNNNNNNNNNNNNNNNNNNNNNNNNNNNNNNNNNNNNNNNNNNNNNNNNNNNNNNNNNNNNNNNNNNNNNNNNNNNNNNNNNNNNNNNNNNNNNNNNNNNNNNNNNNNNNNNNNNNNNNNNNNNNNNNNNNNNNNNNNNNNNNNNNNNNNNNNNNNNNNNNNNNNNNNNNNNNNNNNNNNNNNNNNNNNNNNNNNNNNNNNNNNNNNNNNNNNNNNNNNNNNNNNNNNNNNNNNNNNNNNNNNNNNNNNNNNNNNNNNNNNNNNNNNNNNNNNNNNNNNNNNNNNNNNNNNNNNNNNNNNNNNNAGUGUUCCUUGCCUUUGAUUGUAAACCCUUCUGGUUGCUCCAUAUAUAUUUCCUCCUCUAAGUCACCAUGGAAGAAAGCAGUCUUCACAUCAAGCUGUUCAAUCUCUAGAUUCAUAUUGGCAGCUAAGCCUAACACAACUCGGAUCGAAAACAUCUUAACCAUGGGUGAGAAAAUCUCUUCAAAGUCAAUGUCUUUCUUCUAACUAAAACCUUUCACAACCAAUCUUACCUUAUACCUUGGUUGUGAUCUAUUUGGUUCAGGCUUCCUUUUUAGUAUCCAUUUAUUAUUCAAUGCUCUCUUACCCUUAGGCAACUUCAUCAAUUUAUAAGUGUUGUUCUUAUGCAAGGAUUUCAUCUCCAUGCAUAGCUUUCAACCUUUUUUUUUCUCAUCAUGUAGUAGAACUUCUUGAUAAUUUUCUGGCUCUACUCCAUCAGAAAGCAACAAAUACUCAUCACUAGUAUUCUUUCUAGAAGGUUGACACUCUCUAGUAGAUCUUCUUAACUAUGUUUCAGUAAGCAACUUUGAAGUAGCUUGUUCUUGCUGCUGUUCUAAGUCAUCAUUCUCAAUUGUAAGAUUUUCUUCUACAUCAUCAAAUGCAGACUCAUCAUUUUUGUCAAUUGUAUCAAUCUAUUCUUCUUACACAACUUCCAUGUGUUCAUUAUGUCCCAUAGAGUUAGGAGAGACUAGACUCAAAUCAACUUGUUCUUCACUGAAAGGCUUUGGCUUCUUAACCUGAUCCAAGUCUUCAAUGGUUUGAUCUUCGAAGAAGACAACAUCUCUGCUUCUUAUAAUCUUUUUGGUAGUUGGAUCCCAUAACCUAUACCCAAACUCUUCAUUUGAAUAACCCAAGAAGAUACACUGUUUAGUCUUGUUGUCAAGCUUGGAUUGCUCGUCUCUAGGAACAUGAACAAAUGCCCUACAGCUAAACACUCUCAAGUGCUCAAAGGAAACAAAUUUUCAUGUCCAAACCCUCUUUGGAAUAUCAACCUCUAAGGGAUAUGAUGGAGACAUAUUAAUCGGAUCAAUGGUUGUCCUCAUGGCCUCACCUCAAAAAGACUUAGGCAAUUUUGCAUGAGAGAGCAUACACCUUAUUCUAUCGCAGAUGGUCCUAUUCAUUCUUUUAGCUACACCAUUUUGCUGUGGGAUCUUAGGAAGCGUCUUCUUAAGCCUGAUGUCAUGAAUUUUGCAUUAUUGCUCAAAUGGCCCCCUAUAUUCAUCACCAUUGCUUGCUUUGACAGAUUUUAACUACUUCUCAGUUUGCCUCUCAACCUUCACAUGAAAAUCUUUGAAUACAUCAAGUAUCUGGUCUUUGGAUUUCAAAGCAUAUGCUUACACCUUUCUUGAAUGAUCAUCAAUAAAAGUCACAUAAUAAAGUGCACCACCAAGAGUAUUACUUUGCAUAGUAUAAACAUCAAUGUGAACUAAAUCAAGAAUACCUGGUUUUCUCGUGAAAGAAAUCUACGAAAUGCAACUCUACUUUGCUUUCUAAACAGACAAUCUGUACAAGGUAAUAGUGACGUACCUUUGACUGGUAGAAGCUUCUUUCUGGAAAGAACCCGAAGUCCCUUUUCACUAAUAUGACCAAGCCACUUAUGCCAUAGCUUAGUAAAGGCUUCAUUCUCAACAAUGUUCACAUCUCCCUUGAUUAAUCUUGCUUCUGUCUUGUAGAAGGUAUUGUUUUUCUUUCCCCUAGCUAAAACAAGAGAACCCUUGGUAAACUUCCAUUUACCCUCUCAAAGGUGACUAUGAUAGCCCUCAUCAUCAAGCUUCCCAACAGAGAUCAAACUAAAGCGCAUUUCAGGAACAUGUCUAACAUUUUUCAAAACCAAUUUGCACCCAAUGCUAGUUUCUAGCUCUACAUCUCCCAUGCCAACAAUUUCACAUUUUGCUUCAUGUCCCAUCCUAACCCAACCAAAACUGCCAUUGGUGUAGGAAGAGAAGAAAUCUCUACGUGCAGUGAUAUGAAACGACGUUGCUGUAUCAACCACCCAAGUGGAAUCCUGACAUGCAAGGUUUACACAUGCAUCAUCAUAAAUAAUGAUCUUAUCACAAUCAGAUGCCAAUGUCUUUGUUAUCUUUCUGUUCUUCACCUUUUCCUUUAGAUUGUUUCUUCUGAAUUUUCUACACUUUCUCUUAAUGUGCCCUAACUUGCCACAGUAAAAACACUUUAUCUCUUUUCGGGACUUUGACUUUCCUCUUAACUUGUCACGGUUACAAUCACUAAAAGGUUUUCUGCUUUCACUUGUCCACCACCUUUCUGUAACAAGUGCUUCUGUAUUAGAGAAAAUACCUAACUCUUUUCUUCUUGCCUCUUCAUUAAACAUGUUGUCCUUUACCAUUUUGACAAUUCUCACACCAUUUGGGGCUGAAUUACUCAAGGAUACCACCAAAGUUUCCCAACUGUCUGGUAAGGAACUCAACUAAAGUAAAGUCUGUAUCUCAUAAUCUAACUAAAGCUUAAUGGUAGACAACUCAUUCAACAGUCUCUGAAAAUUACUGAAAUGCUCUGCAACACUAUUACCAUCCUUGUACUUUAAAUUCACAAGUCUUCUUAUUAUAAAGGCUUUGUUCUGUGCAGUCUUUAUCUCAUAAAGACUCUCUAAUUUCUGCCAAAUGCUAUAUGCAUCAACUUCCUUGACUACAUGAUGGAAGACACUCUGAUCAACCCACUAUGUGGACCCGCAUUUUUCACGUGCGUCCCCACUCGAUCGGCGAGACUCGCUUUUUAUUUAUUUGUGAAAAAUUGAUUUUAGAAAAGUUGGAGUCGCCACCUAUUUUAUUUUUAUUUUAAAGGGAAAAUAAAACAAGAAAGAAAACCCUAAAAAAGUGACUCCAUAGUUUUGGAAGAAGCAUGUCUUUGAGAAACCCGAGUCUAAGUCCGGGGAUCAGGUUACUUAUUGGGAAGGUACCUCUAGGAGGUAGCACCCCUCUAAGCCCCAAAGAGGUCUCUACUGACAAAGUUAAGGGAAGUGUGACCAUUAAUCAGUUAAUUUUAGGUACCUAAGUAGGCUAGGUGAUUUCAAAUAUUGCAUGCCUAACAAGAAAACGAACCAUAAGAGAGAGUCGAAGUGCGUACCUGAACGGCUUCUCAAGCGCUAUCAUGAAACAUAAGAGAUUAGUUUGGAAAUAUGACACAUGGUAUGUAUUUUCAUCAAAGAUGAUCAAACAAGCAUCAAGGCAAUCAAUUAUGGCAUCAAACAUGGUCAUGUCUCAUGAGAAGAUACACAUUCAUAGAAUUUUAGGGUUGUGGGGUAGAAAUGGCGUACCUGAUUAGCUAGCAUCCACAUCUCUAUGGGAAGCAAGGAUAUCUCAACAGUAAAAUAAUGAAUUCAAGGAUUUCACCAAGAAGAAUAAAAAAUCAACAUAUCAAGCAAAUAGUAUUGAAGUGAAUGCUAUGAAUGUCGGGCCCCCACCAAAGCCCUAGUUGAUUUCGCAUGAGUUUGUUCUAUGAAUUCCAUUGUUUGGAAUCAUGAAGUGUAUUCAUGCUUAUUGAAAAUCAAGAAAAACACAAAAAUAGUUAAAAAUCAAAUAAAACAUUGAAAGUGCAUACCCGAAGGAGAGUGGCAGCAAAUAGCAUGUUAAAAUUGGGAUUUUAUACCUAGAAACUCCUAAGGAAUUUUGAAGAAAACCAAAGUUAUUUGAUGGAAAAAGAUUUUUGAAAUUCAUAUUUAAGAUGUAUAAGAUCACAAAAAAAAAAAAAAAAAAAAAGAAACGAUAGGAGGAGUACGAUGUGAGGCAUAGUGACCACGUUGGAGUGAGGUCGGGGGUUAUGACCAAGUUUGCACUGUUGGUGAUUGCAGGCACUGCUGUCAUUUUCUCUAGAUUUUUCCUUCUGCUCUCUCGUAUGCAUUUAGGUACCUUACAUCACUGCAUUCUCAGACCUUUUCUAAUUCCUUGAAAUCCCCCUACAUUCAGAUGCAGCAUCAAUAUUGUUAGAGCAAGUGUCGGCAUCUUCUAUGACCUCCUUAUUAAUUUCUUCUGAUAUUUCAGAUACGGAGCUGAGACAUCCACUUUCUUUUCACCACUCUGUUUCUGUAGCAUCUCUACUUCCAUUGCUCUUGUGAUGGGAAAUCUUUCAGAGUCUUUGCUGAAAUCUUCUACAACCUGUAGGUUUACAGUUUUAGUCUGCACUUCAGAAUCUGUCAUUCUAGAAUUUUCAGCGAGCAUUGUCUCAGAAUGCCAUUCCUAUUUAACCGAUUCAACUUCAAUGGAUGUGGCUGGAAACCCCCCUGAUGUCUCUCUCUUUCUCUAUGAUCAGUUCUUUGUUGUUUUCAUACUCUUCUGCAGGUUUCCUAGCUCCCUCAGGAACCCCUGCUGGCAGCCUCAUGAUUCUGUCACUUUCUAUUGGAGAAUCUGGAACAUAUCGGUGAGUAAUCUUGGAAACAAUUGGGCAAUCUGUAGGUUCUUCACUUGUUCUCAUUGCUAAGUUACCCCAUUCCAUCUGAUGCCUUGGACCUGCCACCGCUGCUGGUAUGUUCCGUUGAACUAAGCAAGCUUGUUGAUGAUGCCAUUAAAAUUGUCUUGACGACAGCGAGGAUCUACUAAAGAUCACUUUCUUGGCGUCUCUAGCUCUGUGAGAUAUCUCAAGGUGUAGCUCGAAAGACUCAUAGUCUGAGAUCUUAUCACCAGUGGUGUUUGCUUGGCUUGCUUCUUUUAACUAUUUACAUGAACAAAACUGAAAGCUAAUGCAGUGUUUCAAUCCACAGAUGGUUGUUUCACCUCCGACUUCUCACUUACUGGUGUCAAUAAUAAUGACAGUAUCCUGACUUCAAUCAUUUCGAGUUCCAGCAAAGACUUUAUCCUGAAGAACUCCAAUCUGAAAUUCUGAAGUACUGAUGCCCUGUAACCCCUGACUCAUGAACGCAGCUUCGACUUAUGUUGCUUGUCACUUGCUCUUUUUAAUACUCCCCACCUUAUUCUCUUCCACCUAUAGUUUGAUUGUCAAUCAUUUCUUCUCUUCUUCAAACUCUCAAAUCUGUGCCCUUAACUUCUCAAUCUGAAAUUCUGGAGCAGCUCGCUUUUCUCGUAGAGACUCGGUUUCUGCUGCAUUGGAUUUUCUCUUCAAAUCCUCAUUUACAAUUUUUGGCUGCUCAUUUUCUUUCAUCAGCUUUGCAAUUUCAUCAGCUUUUACCUGAGCUUGUCUUGCAGCCUCCCCCUUAGAGUGCAGCUUCCAGCAUCUUCAAUUUGCUCAGCUAAGUUACCUUCAAUCUCUGGGACUGACCAGUUCAUUUCUGUUUUGCUUUUGGACCCAUGCUUCUUCCCUUUCUUUCCCUCGAGCUCUGAGAAUUCUUUGUAUUGAACCCUUAUAGUUGCCCGAGUAGUCUUCUGAUGGAGUAGCUCGCACCAAUAACUGAAGUGUUUUCAAUUCCCUGGUCUGAAAUAUCCAACAACUGCUUAUAAGUUGAAAAGAUUAAAGAAUCAAGUUACUUGGAGAGGCUACUAAACAUCUCAUCCCCUGGCUAAACUUCAAUGAGAAGCCUCCAGUCCCAAAGAUUUCUUCCACUGAUUGUGUUUCAAUGCCAACUGUGAAUUUCUAUAAUUCUGAACUCAUGGCCCAGCAAAGUUCAGAUCCAUUAUGGUUAAACAUGGUCAGAAUAGGACCUGAAAUGCCAACCAUGCCCAGAACAUCUUUUACCACUUCGAUUUACUAUUUUGCCCAUUUUAAUUUUCAAGCGAAUAUGACUAGUUGACGCACGACCUUUUACCUUUGACCCCUCAGGUUUAUCAGUAAUGCAGUCUUCAGAGAUAGCAAAUUAUUCCUUUUCCACCCUUGUGCGCUUUUCCACCAAGAUAACCGAAGAAUUCUUAUAGUACCCCUGAUUCAAACCACCAGAUUUACCUAAAAGUGGCAACUCAUAUUAUUGUUUUUUUUGCUGAGCAAACAGGGUCUCAAAGUACGCUUUCUGCAACCCUAACAAAAUCUCCAUGUGAAGUGCCAAUGAAAUUCCUUACUGAAGAAGGGUCACCCUGGCUAGCAGCUGUACGUGUUGCAUAAUCUGAAGUUCCUUGCAUGUAGUGGACACCAUGCGAUUCCAUGUAUGAGUGAAGGUCAGAGCCCAUAAUUUUAUUCCAGCUUGUGCAAGCUUGUCAAUGCAGUGAUCUCUUCUUCAAUUACUGCUUCAACACCUUGAUAUUUCGAUUCAGAAUCCAUUUCAGAUGCUCUUUUGAUUUGUUCUUUAAUUAUAUCUUCCUCUUUCUUGGUAUAACAUUCUCUGUCAAGUCUUCAUCAUCACUUGAAUCAGAAGAAACGUUUCCAUAUGCCUCAUCAUGCAGCUUUUUGUAAUCCCGCCUUUCUACACGUCUCUUUGCAGACAGAGGUGCAUUAUCUUGACCAGAAUUUGACUCCAACACAGAUAAGAGCUCAUCCUUUAACUGUACAUUUUGAAUUACAAAGCCCUGGUGAAUGCGAGGUAUCAUAUUAUUAGCUGCAAACAACAUGGUGUACACUUAUAUUAACACUGAUUGGGAAAUUAAUUGCAGUAACGGUAAGCUGAUCGCGACUAGAGGAUGCUGAGACAGUCGUGAGUAAGCUCCACACAGCAAAUGAAGAAGUCAUUCAAGCACUCCUGAAACUUCCCUUCACCGAUUUCAUAUACAACAUUAGGAAUUGGAUAGAUGCAGGACUUUGUAUGAUUGACAUAGUAUUGAAGGCAUGUCUGCGUCUCUGAGAGGUCUUGUCAUAGAUAUUCAUGAAUAUUUUUCUUCCGUAACUAGGUCCCCUGUAUUUCUUUCAAUUGCAGGUCCAUAAUCUCUCAAACUUAUAUCUGAGUUCUCUAUGGCCAUUUUGUUUGACGUGUGUUCAGAAUGAGUUUUCACUCCCAUGUGCUUGAACUGAACUCCCCUACAGUUAUUAUUUGAGGCCAAGACAAAGGGUGUGGAGGAAUCAUCUUUCUGGGUAAUGUCGGUCCUCUUUUAUACCAGUCAAAAGCUUAUCCCAAACUUCUUAAGGAACUAAAACAUAAUCAUGUCCCUCCUCUAGCGUAUUAAGAAUCUCCAGAUCAUCAAGUUCUUAUUCAUUUCCAUUUAAAACAAUAUCAGAAUUAUCAAUAGGUCCAGGCUUCUCUAUUGUCUUUGAUGGAACCACAUCCAAACGCUGUGAAUCAGACAAAUGUCCAUUGAUUGUUGGAUUCCAGACGCAUCAAUUCACAUCUAACAGCCACUGGAAGCUGCAGAAAUAUCAGUAUUUCUAGGCGGGUCUUCCCUGAAGAUGCCAUGCUAAACGUAUAUCCUUUCAACCUCAGCUUCCAUGCCCUUGCUGUAACGUAAAGUGGACUGUCUCUUAGCUUCAGCCCAAAAAAAAACUGGAAUUCUGGGCCUUCGCGAUCUGGAUGGCAAUUCUGCUCACGGGAUGUAAGUCUUUAAUUUUGCUUUAGCGUAGAAUUUUAAUUCGAAGAGUCCUCAUGGUAAUGGAGUUGACAGAAGGUUACCGUCAUAGGAUUGCUUGUCCACUAAUGGAGCAUCUCGAGAGAUUCUUCAAUAAAAUCGAUUAAGCAUAGAAGUUGAUUUCAGCUUUAGAUGCAAUCAUGACGAAUUAUAGUUGAUUGCUAGCUUCUACUGAAACAGUAUUCUGACUCCCAGCUUCUGGCACUACCCGUGAUCCUUUAAUUUUAUUGUCUUCUCUAAUUGCCAUAGUUUUUCUUCUAGACAGCAGCAAUGAGGAUUUUGAAUUCCAUGACUGACUCAUCUGAUUAAUUAACAUAUAGAGAAGAUUCUUCCAACCGGAGCAUUUGAGACUCACUUAUCAACAGAAGCUGCAUCAAUUUCUUUCUUUCUGCUAUUUUUCCCGCCACUAGAUCCUAACCCAUGACAGCUACCAAUGGCUGAAGCCGUAGAAAUAGUGUAAGAACAUUGCCAGCUUCCAUUCCCCAUGACAUUUUUCCUUAAAGAUCCAGAAUCUCAACCCCAAUCGCAUCUCCUCAUUAUUUCUCAUCUCUUUCCAUAAUCCCCAAAAUUUUUGAACCAACGCUGUCAACUUUUUCCUUGCUUUCAGAAUCACACACUCCUCUGUAGAACUGAUUAGAGCUGUUCCUGAAGGUGAAUGGCCCAGGUUGUAUUUGACUUUUAGAUUUUAGGAUCACAACGACAGUACCAGAAGGCUUAGAGAAGUCCAUGAUUUCGAGCACCACAUUAUGCUUAUCCGAAUGCAGAAAAAGCAGAGUGUCCCUUUUCCCAUGAUUUUUAAUUUUUAACUCCGAAGCAGAGAACAAAUCUUGAAGGCCAGGAAUAGAGCUUGUUGAGGUAUGGACCAAAAACAGAAGAAGACAACAAAAACGUAUAGAAAGAGAGGAAGGAUGAUCAACAAAAGUCACAAUUUCGCAUUUCAAUCCAUUAGCUUAGAACAGGGGAGUGAUUUCAGAAUAAGAUUUGAAUAAAAACCGGACGUGAUUUCUACUAUCCAGUCUGAAGAUGGACAUGUAUGCAAUUUAUUUUCAGGCGGGAUCGAUGACAUUAACAGAAUGAUGAACAUAUCAAACAGACAAAGAUCUAAUUUCAACACAGCAAUUUGUGGCCCUUUCCGUCCACACCAACCAAUAAUAUAUUGAAUAUUCAGAAAUCAUCAAAUGGAGGAAUCGAGUAUGAAUAAGAACAUCAAAAGUAACCAGAAACGUACCUGGGCAGCCUUGCUUCCAAUCUCCCUCCCUUUCUGCUCUUCUCUCUGCGCUUUUCUUCAAGAUCUCUCUUUUUCUCCUUUCUUCCAGCCCCUCUAAAAUUCCAGUACGUGCCCCCCUUUCUUCCUUUUUUCCACCUAUAUAUAUCACCCUUCAGGACCUAAAUUUGUUUCCAAAAAAGAGAAUUCUCCUAUUUUCUUUCUUCUUCUCUUCUCUUUUUUUAAAUCCUUCAAUCAAAAGCAAUCUUCCCAAUUUCAAAUUCCCCUCCAAAACCUUCCAAGGAGAGUCCCGCCUUCCUUAAACUUCAAUGGUAAGUUUCCUUGCAAAAAUAUGAAAUUUUUGAAGUUAAAUAAUUGCAUGAAUAGAUAAAUAAGUAAAUAAAUUAAAAAAUGGUAAAAAUAAUAAAUAAAUAAAUAAGUUAAGGAAAAUAAUAUAAAGAGGAAGAUAACCAAUAAAAAGUGAAUGAUAAUCAUAAAAUUAAAACUAAAAACAAAAUAAAUAAAUAAAUAAAAUAAAAUAAAAUAAAAGUCUUCGUAGGCCUAGUGUGCCUAAACGGGCCUAAGGUGAGACUAAGUGGGCCUAGGGUGGUGCCUAAUGGGCCAAGUGUAUCUAAAAGCUAUCCUAAAAAAAAAGCAAGAAAAGCCUAAGUCUAAAUUAGGGCUGCCAAGGGUCACAAUAAGGGAUCAAAUAAUCCCUCAACCAAAAUCUCCGAGGUGACUCAGAAAAAGGUAAGUGGUAUGAGUAGCCAUGGGCCACCAAAUUUUGAAGCACUGAAAACGAAUUUUAAAGACAUGUGCUAAAGGGACAAAAUUGAGGGUCUACACACUACCUAAUCUGUCCAAUGGUUUUCCUAUUUAAUUUUUUCCACUCAUCCUCAAUUGUAGUAACUAGCUUAUAACCCCCGCAUUCAGUGGGCUCAAACAACUCUUUGCAAUAUAGAAUAUCCUCAAUUUUAGUCUUCCAAAUUGAAUAAUUGGAAGUUAUGAGUUUAAUCAUUCCACUGUCAGCCUCCUCCAUUUAAUUCACACAAAAGAUCCCAUUGCUAAUCAACUUGGCUUUGAUACCACUUGUUAGGGUGAAUUCACAAUAUUCCAACAAUCACCAAAAAAUUUCUACCAUUUCUUUGUGCAAAAUUAAAUAGGUAAUAGCAACUAGUAGCAAUAAAUAAAUAAACUCAUGCAAUAGAAAAUUAAAUCAAACACUAAAAUUUUUACGUGGAAAACCCCCCAAUGCGAAGGAAAAACCACGAGCCCUAGUCCAAUUCAAAAUUCCGCUAUCAACAAUAAUGGGUUACACUUGUCUUCUCUAGAAUAAUCUCUAGAGGCUGCCAAAUACAUUAAGAGCACAUAUAGCCUUGUAUUAUAUAAUCUCUCUUGGCAAAAGAAACAAAGAAAAAUUGGAGAAUGUAUACCAAAAACGUUGUUACUGUUCACGGGUAGUAACACUAGUUCCCGAUCUCAAAAUCUAAUCUCCAUCGUUUCAAUUGUAGCUACUUGAGUUUCAAACCUCUCCUUCAAUUUUCAACUCGAUCGGACCAUAGAUGAAGCGAGAUCGACUAGAUGAAAUCUAGGCAGAUGUGUUUUUUUCUCUCUCUCUUCUCUUUUCUCUGUUUUUCUUUUCCCGAUCUACUUUUUUUUUAAAAAAAAAUGUAACUAACUUGUGCCCCAAGCAUAUGGGGCCCACUCCUUCACAUACUAAGGAGCCCAACAGGUUGAUCCAUGUUUGGUCUUGGAGCAAUGCACUAUAUCUUUUCCAUUUUUCUAAAUCCUUAUCAAAAGUUCCCUUUAAUCUCAUGUCCAUGAUUACGCUCACACACACAUAUAUAAAUCUUCUCAAUAGUUUCCUCAUUUCCUUUUCCUUUUCUUUUCUUUUCUUUUCUUUUUUUUGUCCUUUUAGAGUUGAUAUUGAUGGGGUUGUGAAAAAUGUUUUUCAAUUUGAGUGUUUGUUUUGAAAAAUUAAAUUAAAAAAAAACAUGUAAAAAAAUUUAUUGAAUGUUUUUUUUUCCUACUUAUUUUAUUUUAUUUUUUAUUUUUAUUUUAUCAAGGUUAGAAAAAAGCCAAUGGCAUUUGAGGAUAACAUGGUUGUCUCUUUCAAAUAGUAGGUCAACUUUUUGUUAGUAUUCUAUCAUAUGUAACAAUUCUUUUCUAUUUUUUGAUAUAAUUAAUGGAAAAUGAUAGACGAGUAGUUGCUUUUAGAAAGUUGUCUAGAGAGCAGGAGUAGCUUUCAAAUUUUGUUAUAAAAAAGUUCAUGAAGAUGAGAGUUAUUUGACCAUAUACAAUUUUCUCUUUCUUUCUAUAGAUAAGAUAAUUUUUGGUUGUAAUUUCAUAAGUAAUAUAUUUUUAUUUUAAUACAAUAGCAAAAAUUAGAAAAAAAAAAAAAAUGAGAAACUUGGGGUCUCACAUGUAAAGAUUAGAAAGGAGUCAAAACUCAUGAAAAGAAUCAAUGAAUUUUUUUUUCUUUUUAUUGUUAUAUAAUCAUAAAUAUAUAUAUUUUUCUAUUUUUAAAAACAAAAAUAAAACUAAAAUUAAGAAAUAUAUUAGAUAUUUUUAAAUGUUAAAAAAUGUAAUUAAAAUUUUAUUGAUACCCCCUACUUCUAAAAGUCAUAAAAAUAAAAGUAUGAAUACAUGUUGUUUCUCCUUUUUGGUAAAGAUCACUAGUAUCAAAGAAAUUAUGAAGACAUAUUUCUUCCCCUUUUUCUUUUUUGGUAUCAAAGAUCACUAAUUAUUAUUAUUUUUUCAUAUGUAGCAUAUCAAAUAUAAAUCAAUACCAAAUACAAAUGUUGAUAAAGACUAGGAAUCUACCAAAUCAAAGUGGUAGAAGUAUAUUAAGGCCCUACCAUCUUUGUCAAGAUAUAUGUGUUGGCCCUACCAUUUUUGUCAAGAUGUAGGUAAUAAUAUCCUUGAAUUUUUAUCACACAAAUUAAAACAAUAAGUGGAAAUAUCAUAACACAACAAUUGUUUUUUUAGAGAUGAGUAGUCCCUUCCAACUUAGUUUCACAAUCAUAGAUAUUUUGUAUAGCUUAUGUUUAUAUUCAAAGAUGUUUUAUGUACAAUAUUGGUUGUAAUUUUUUUGGUUAUAUAGUUAUAUAUAUAUAUAUAUAUAUAUAUAUAUAUAUAUAUAUAUAUAUAUAUAUAUAUAUUAUUUCUUAAGUAUAGCAAUUGGUCCACUUUUUUCUCAUAUUUGGAUUAGCUAAUUAAUUUGAUUUCCAUCCUUAGGACCCAACAAGUGACAAUUCAAAUAUAAAUCAAUAUCAAAUAUUAAUAUUGAUAAAGACUUGGUAUCUACCAUAUCAAAGUGGUAGAAGUUUCUCAAGGCUCUAUCACAUUUCUCAAAAUGUAUCUGUUGAUCCUAUCACCUUUGUCAAUGUAAAUGUUAAUAUCCUCAAAACUUUAUCAUAUGAAUUAAAACAAGUGGAAAUUUAUCAAAACAUAACAAUUGUUUUUUUGAAGAUGAGUAGUUUAUUUCAACUUAGGUUCACAAUCAUAGAUAUUUUCUAUAGCUUAUGUUUAUAUUCAAAGAUAUUUUAUGUACAAUAUUGGUUGUAAUUUUAUAUAUAUAUUGGUCCACUUUUCUCUUAUAUUUGGAUUAGCUAAUUAACUUGAUUUCCAUUGAAAGGACCCAACUAGUGACAUUUUGAUUAAUAUAAAUCAAUAUCAAAUAUUAAUGUUGAUAAAGACCGGGUAUCUGCCUUAACUAUCAAAGUGGUAAAAGAGCAUCUUAAGGCCCUAUCACAUUUCUCAAGAUAUAUGUGUUGGCCCUAUCACCUUUGUCAAGAUGUAUGAGUUCUUUUUUUUUUUUUUUUUUUUAUUUGAGAUAAGUAGUCCCCUUCAACUUUGGUUGACAAUCAUAAAUAUUUUGUAUAGCUUAUGUCCAUAGUCAAAGAUAUUUUAUGUACAAUAUUGGUUAUAAUUUUUUGAUAAUUUCGAAAGUAAAAAUUUCAUAAGAUAUCAAUUUUUUUUUUCACUCCUAAAUUUAUUUAGUGUAAUUUUAGAACUCAAAAUUCACUCAUAUAUAUAUAUAUAUAUAUAUUAUCAAAUCAAAAUCAUUAAUGUCUCGUGUAAGGGAAACCUAUUAAAAAAUAAUUUAAAAAAUUCUACUAAUUGUGAUAUAAUUACAAAAUAUUUUUUUUCCUAUUUUUGAAAAUAGAAUUAAAAAAAAGAUAUUUAAUGUUUUUAAAUUUUUAAAAUAUAUAUACCUAAAUCAUUAUUUGUAUUUUUACUUUAAAAAAAACACAAAAAUAUACUAAAUGAAACCUAAGGAUCUCACUACAGUCGAAAAAUAUUUAAAAUUUGAAAAGCAAAAAUUUCAAAAGUAACAGUAUCAAUUUGCUUAAUUUUAAAACUCAAAAUUCACUCAUUUUUUUUCCUUUUUAUCAUUUCAAAAUCAUCAAUGUCUCUUGUGUAAAGGAAACCUUUUAAAAAAUUAUUAAAAAUUUUCUACUAAUUGUGAUAUAAUUACAAAUAUUUUCUUUCUUCCUAUUUUUGAAAAUAGAAUUAAAAAAUAUAUUUAAUAUUUUAAAUUUUUUUAAAUAUAUAUAACUAAAACAUUAUUUUUAUUUUUACUUUUAAAAAUAAAAAAUAAAUAAAACAAAAAAACAAAAAAAUACUAAAUGGAACUUAAGGAUAUCACUGAAGUCUAAAAUAUUUAAAAUUUCAAAAGUAAUUAAGGGUUUUGAAACUCAAACUUUAAUUAAUAUGAUUUUAAAACUCAAAAUUCACUCAUAUCUUUUUUUUUUUUUUUUUUUUAUCAAAUCAAAAUCAUCAAUGUCUCUUUAUGUAAAGGAAAUCUAUUAAAAAUCAUUAAAAAAAUUUAUUAUAAUUUAAAAAGAUAUUUAAUAUUUUAAAAUUUUUAAAAUAUAUAUAUAACUAAAACAUUAUUUGUAUUUUUACUUUUAAAAAUAAUAAAAAAACAAAAAUAUAUCUAAAUGCAACCCAAGGAUAUCACCACUGUAUUAACAUUGAUGAUUUUGGUUGAAAAACAUUUAAAAAUUCAAAAGUAAUAAUUUCCGAAGUAAACUGUUUUCAUUCCUAAAUUUAUUUAAUAAUUUUAAACCUCAAAAUUCACUCAUUUCUUUUUCUUUUUCUUUUUUUAUCAAAUCAAAAUCAUCAUGUCUCUUGUGUAAAGGAAACCUAUUAAAAAAACAUUAAAAAAAUUCUACUAAUUAUAAUAUAAUUACAAAAUAUUUCUUUUCCUAUUUUUGAAAAUAGAAGCGAAAGCAAAAUUAAAAUGCAACCUGAGGAUAUCACCACAGUUGAAGAAUACUCUAGUAAGAGGCCUAGUAGGAAGGAAAUUUUGUAAGUAGUCCCCCAUAAAACAUCCCAAGAUGAUAUUAUUUUAUUGGAAAUAUAUCUUAAAGUCAGUACUGACGAUCGCUAUUUACGCAUGAAUUUGUAUUUAUGAACAAAUCUUAAACACUUUGUUUUAGUUGAUAAAUCAUUGCAUGCACCAUAAGAUUCAUAAAACACCUUGAGAUGAUGUAAAUUCUAGUGUGACUGUAGAGGAAGGUUGUCCUUAAUAUUAGCUCCCCUCCAUAGGCCAACUUUGAAUCUUCAUCGAUAGAAAACCUUACAACAUUAAGGUGAUUUUCUUUUUUCUUUUUUUCAUUUUUGACACUCUAUAGUUUUCUUCAAAUUACUGACAACGCCAAAGUAGUCUUUAGACUCUAUUCAAGCAAUAUAGAAAAUAUGUGAAACUAAUCAACCUUAGUAAUUGUUAAAAAUAAUUUUAUUCUUUUAAUUUAUAUAUUCUACUAUAUAUGCAUGUGUCCCUUUCAAGCUAAACCUAUGCCAACUUCCAAUAAUUACUCUCCAUUUUGAUAUAGAGUACAAAACAUGUUAUUAUGUAUGAGGCAUUAAUCUAUGAAAUAAAAGUAAAAUUAAUGUAAAAAUCCUAAUGAUGAUCAACACACAACCAUUUCAUUGAAAGUGGUAAAUGUAUCUAUGUUCAAACCCUACUAGCUUUAUCUUAGGAGUUAAAAGGAGUAGAUGCAAGCACAAUAGAGCAACAUAAUUGUUUUAGUAGAAGCACGUGUCUCCUUCAAAGCUAUGUCCAUAUUUUCAUAGUUGUCUAUUCAAAUAGGAUUUCCUUUCUCUUUCUAACAUUGAUGAAUAGCUUGUAAAGAUUUUUAAAAUAAAAAAUUAUACUCCCAAAUCACCCGUUAUCUUAUAUUUUUUGUCAUAUUUAACAAUAUUGAUGUCUUAAAUGUGAAAAUUGAAAAAUUAUCAAAAAAAUGUUUUUUAUUUUGCUACUAUCAAAUAUCUUUUUCUAGUUUUAAAAGGAGAAUAAACAUAGGAUUACAAAAUAUAUUUUCUAAUUGGGUUAUUGCAAUAGUGAUGAAGGAGAAUGCAACUAAUUAAAGAAUCCACUUAAUGCAAUCCACUCGACCAAAUGCAUCCCACUUGCCCUUCUUUUUAUAUGCUUUAAAUACCAAUUUGUUCGGAAAUUAAAAUUUUAUUUGAAGUAAUUUUAAAACUCACAAGUCAUCCAUAUCUUAUUCUUUUUUAUGGCCAAAUCAAGAAACUUAGUAUUUUGCAUGUAAAGAUUAGAAAGUGGUCAAAACUCAUAAAAAAAAAUUAUUAAAUUAUUUUCUUUUUAUUGUUAUAUAUAUAAUCACCAAUAUAUUUAUCUAUUUUUAAAAAAUAGAAAUAAUACUAGAACUAAAUAAGGAAGAUAUUAAUAUUUUUAAAAGUUAAAAAAUGUAAUUAAAAUUUUAUUUAUACCUUGUACUUUUAAAAAUAGUAAAAAUAGAAUUAUGAAUACAUAUUUUUCUCAUUUUCGGUAAAAAUCACUAGUAUCAAGAAACUUAUGAAUACAUAUUUCUUCCUCUUUUUCCUUUUUAGUGUUUUGUUCAUCUUUUCUAUUUGAUUAGCCUAUUUGGUGAAUGUCACUAAUUAUAAUUUAUUUCUUAAGUUGUAAUUGGUCCAUUUUUCUUCUCAUAUUUCAAUUAGCUAAUUAACAUGAUUUCUAUUCAUCUCAUAGUGAACCCAACUAGCUAGUAAGUGGAAUUCCAAACAUAAAUCAAUCUCAAAUAUUAAUGUUGAUAAAGACUAGUUAUCUAUCAUGUCAAAAUAGUAGAAGUAUCUUAAGUCCCUACCACCCUUAUCAAGAUGUAUGUGUUAAUAUCCUCCAAACUUUGCCAAUUAAAAUAGGAGGUGAAAGUAUAUCAAAACAAAGCAAGUGUUUUUCUAGAAAUGAAUAGUCCCUUUCCACUUAGGUUUACAUUCCUUAGUGGACCCAACUAUCUAGUAAAUGAAAUUCCAAACAUAAAUCAAUAUCAAAUAUUAAUGUUAAUAUAGACUAGGUAUAUAUCAUAUCAAAAUGGUCAAAAAAUAGUCUUUCAAAAUAAUUUUUAAAAACAAUUAUCAAUUGGGAAAAAGUUUUCCUAAUUUAUUCUCAUAUAAUACAAUAAUUUCUAAAGUAUUUUUCAUAUUUUUAAUUAUUUAUUACAAUACUUGACAAAAAAGAAAAUUUUUAAAUAUCUAGAAACACUUUAAAUUCAUUUUGAAAAAUAACUUAUUUUAUAACAAAUUUUUAAAAAAUCAUUUUCAAAAAAAAAAUUGAUAAAUAUAUUUUCUAAGUUGGAAAUGUAUUUUGUAUUUCAAAAAAUAGAAAACUAGUUUUAAAUGGGUCAUUAAUCAGGUUUUCUUCCCAGGGUAAAAAAUAAUAGUAGAGGGGAAGUGAUUUUUGACCAUUAAUAAAAUUAUUGUUAAACAUAUUCCAACCUAAACCUUUAAUAUUUAUAAGAAAAACAGUGAAAACUAUUGCUAGGAGAAUUACAAUUGUGUAACCAUACGAAUGAUCAAAUACUUUUACCCAUAAUUUUAUACAAUGUUUUGAUCAGAUACUCUUGCCAACAGUUUUUUUUUAUGUGUCCUAAGUUGUCACUCGACAAUUGAUCUUGCAAAAAUAAUGUGAACACUAUUGUGAACCCGUAUUUUUCACAUGCAUCCCUACUCUAUAGCAAAACUUAGAAUUUAUGAAAAAUGUUUCAUGUUUUUAAAAACUCAUUUUAUUUGAGUUUUGGAAUUGGCAUUUAUUUUAUUAAUUUUUUUUUUAAAAAAAAAGGUAAAACAAAAUAAGAAAAAAAAAAUCGUGUAUAACUCCUUAUUUGAAAAAGACAAGUCCAUUAACCAAAAAUGGAUUUGAGGGUCAAGUUACAUAUCUAGAAGGUAUGAGGAUGAGCCUUUGCACACCUCUAAACCCGUAUAAUUAAUUAAUUAGUGGAUACAAAAGAAAUCAAGAAACCUAAUGUCUCACAUAUAGAGAUUGGAAAGUGGUGGAAAUUGAUCAUAAGAAAAUUAGUAAAAAAAAUUCUUUUUAUUAUUGUUUAUUAAUCAUCAAUAUAUUUUUCUAUUUUUAUAAACAAAAAUAAAACUAAAAUUAAGGAAGAUAUUAAUAUUUUUUUAAAUUAACAAACGUAAUUAAAAAAUUAUUUAUAAUUCUAAUUCUAAAAAUAAUAUAAACCAAUGUAUGAAUAUAUAUUUCUUCUUCUUUUUCCUUGUUGGUAUUUUCUUUUUCUUUUCUAUUUGAUUGGUCUAUUAAAUGAAUUUCACUAAUUAUUAUUUAUUUCUUAAAUAGUAAUUGGUCCACUUUUCUCUCAUAUUCAAAUUAGCUAAUUAACUUGAUUUCCAUGUAAGGACCCUAUUAGUGGCAUUUCAAAUAUAAAUCAAUAUCAAAUAUUAAUGUUGAUAAAGACAAUUAUCUACCACAUCAGUAUCAAGUAUUAAUGUUGAUAAAGACUAGUUAUCUACCACAUCAAAGUGGCAAACAUAUCUUAAAACCUUACCGCCUUUGUCAAGAUGCUCCAAGCUUUGUCAUAGGAUUUAAAACACCAAGUGGAAGUAUAUUAUAACAUAACAAUUAUUUGUGUAGAGAUGAGUAGUCCCUUUCAACUUAGGUUCACAUUCAUAGAUAUCUUGAAUAGAUUAUGUUUAUAUUCAAAGAUAUUUUAUGUACAAUAUUGAUUAUAAUUUUGUAAGUUAUAUGUAUAUACUUUUAUUUUAAUGUGAUAGUAAAAUUUAAAAAGUAAAGGUAUCAUUUUUUUUCAUUCCUAAAUUAAUUAACAUAAUUUCAAAACUUACAAUUCACUCAUAUCUUAUUUUUUUCUGUAGAAUCAACAUUAGCAAUGUCUCUUGUGAAAACUUUGGAAAAACUGUGGAAACCUAUUAAAAAAUCAUUAAAAAGAUAUUUGACAUUUUAAAAUUUUUUAAAUAUGUAUAACUAAAAGAUUAUUUGUAUUUUACCUUUAAAAUAUGUAUAUCUAAAUGCAACCUAGGAUAUCACCACAAUCAAAAAAUGUUCUAGUAGAAGGAAAUUUCAUUGUGAAAGCAGUAUCAUUCAAACAUCAUCCAUAUACACACCUCUCCAUGGUGUUCUACAAUUAGUGUAAGAAAAAGAAGGAAAAACAGGAAAGGGUAAAUUUAGUAUGGUAGAAGGAUUCGUAAAUUAGGUGAGAAUAAUGCCUUUGGAUCAAAGAGUUACUCCUUAAUUUAGGGAAAUGCACCCAGGGGCUUAAUAUUUUUAUGGCUGGUGAAGAUGAAAAGUGGAGACUGGAGAAUGUAUUUAUUCAUUGUAAAAAAACAAAAAGCAUGUUUUUCCCUGAUUACUAAUUGUAAUCGGAAACUUGUUAGUAAAAGCAUAAACAAUAGGUAAGACUUAAGCAUGUUUAAAAUGAUUUACAUCAAUGUCAAAGAUUCACAAAUUUUUUCCAUACAAAAUCCCGACUGAUGGUUACCGAUAAAGGAAAAGCUGGAACAAAAAGGAAAAGCAAGAAGACUACAAUCAUGUAUUUGGUGGUAACUUCAAGCGAUGAAGAAGGAUGUAGCACAGCUUGCAGCCCGUCAACGAAUGCUGUCACCAUUACAGCCAUCGCAGCCAAGGUGAGAACAUAGCCGUACAAUAAGUAUGCGUGGACGGUCUUCUUAUUUUCUAUGGGGAAAGAGGCAAGGAAGUAAAUACCAAUUGCACACAUAGAAAGUACCAUGGCUAUGCUAUCUUCCAUGACAAAAUUUCUGAAACUUUCCGUUGCUGCACUUGCCAUGUCUCCGUCCUUGCCCAGGGUGCCAUCUGUUGGGAGCGAUAAGACUGCCAUGCCCUGGGUAACGCCCUUGUCCGGAAUGUAACCACCAGGCAGUGUGAAACCUGCCGUGAAGGUUACAGUUGCUAUGAGUGCCGCCACUAUCAUAUGGCUUUUCAUUGUUUUCUUCAUUUCAGAUAUUUCUUUACUUUCUUCACUUCCUUUGUUUUCAGAUAUUUCUUUGCUUCCUUUGCUUUCGCUGCUAUUCAUGUCUUCCUUGACCUCUAGCGAACCCAAGGGUCUGAUCCCAACUCUGAAACUUGGACUCCGUCUCUGAAAUUGUAAAAUGUUUAGAGAAACAUGGAUAGAGAUUUGAUUUGAAGGGGUGAAAGAAUCAUCCUAAUUCUUGUAAAAGAAGAAAAAUAAUAUAUUUGCUAACAUAAAAUUACCAGAAACUGCAUUUUUAUUGUUCUUCUCUCACAUAAAAACAUAUUUUUGAAUAAAAGCAUAUGAAGGAUGGUUGUCAGAUGUAAUAUCUAUAUAAUUAAAAUACAGAAACACGAAAAAAAUAUAUAUAUAUAAUUAAAAUUAAUUAAAAAAAAUUAUGUAUUUUUGGAUGUCAAAUGGGUAACAUAGGAAAUCGAAAAUUUUGACGACCUUACCCUUAAUCUCGCGAAGGUGUCCAAUAUCCACGUCAACAUCCUCUUCGGAGGUGGGAAGUAGUCGACAUCUUUAGACAAGGGAGAAUUGUGAAACAGGUAGAGGGGCGUCUUUCCUUCAGCAUUCUUCUCGUUCAUGAGUCCUCUCAUCCUUAACGGGGGAAUAUUUGACAAACCCGAAGUUACAAAUAUUUUUUUUGGCAUUAUAAAAUGAAGAACAUUAUUGCCCUCAUCAUCAACUUUCUCGCAACAAUCUGGAAAGCGUGACACCAGCUCUUUCACUACAUCCACAUGGCCUCGGCUUGCUGCAAUGUGAAGAGCUGUCUUGUUUCCAUGGUCUUUGACGCCUAGGUGGACAAUACUGCUGUCACAUUUCUCUAGCAAUUGCCUCACUAUUGUUGGAUGACAACCCACAUAUGCAGCAAAGUGAAGGGGAGACCACCCAUUUUUAUCCAAUUCUUUAGUUAAAGCAGGUUUCCAUUUCAGCAUCUUCUUUGUCAUUGCUGAUAAAAUCAACAAAUGAGAGAAAAAAAAUGAUUUAAGAAAAUUAAGAAAAUAAAUUAAGUCUCCUCUUGUAAUGUGAUUCGACCAUUAAAUAAAAAUGGUGCAUCCUCCACUACGUACCUUUGUUAUUGAGAAUUACCGCAGCAUGCAAAGCCGUUCGACCCUUGAUGCCACUAUGAGCUGGUGAAGAGUACUUGUCUAGGAUCAUCUGCACCAAGUCUCCGAAUCCCCACUCAGCAGCGAUGUAAAGAGGAGUAUUGCCUUCAGCAUUAGCACCAUAGGCAAAGUCGGGGUCAUCCUGAAUCAAUAACUUCACCACCUCAGGGUGAUGAUUUCUCACUGCCUCGUGCAAGGCUGUGUCUUUGUCGUUAUUGAUCAUCCUCAGAAUUACCGUACAAUCUGCUACAGCCCCUCUUUCUGUGUCUCCUUCUCCAAGUUUUUUGGCAGCGUCAAUCAGAUUUUUCACCACUUUCCAGUGCCCUUCCCUGGCUGCAAGGUGAAGUGGUGUGUCACCUUUCUCAUUGGGCUGUUGCAAUAGCGAUGAAGGAGAACCCAACCCAAGGAUCCACUCAACGCAUUCCGCUUGACCGAACUGGGCUGCAACAUGGAGAACAGUGUUCUUCUUUGGGGUUAGUUUGACUUGAAUAUCAUCUUUACGAGCGUUAAGGGCAUGGGUGUCACCAUCUGCUGCAGCCACGUACAAUUUAGGAUCCAUGAUUGUGAUCUUGGUCAGGCUGCCAUCUUCAGCUGCAGCCAGGUUGGUGAUCUCGAUUUCCCUAGCAUCUUCAGCUGCAGCCUGGUUGGUGAUCUGAAUUUCCCUAGCACCUUCAGCUCCAACCUGAUUCGACUCUGUAUUCAAGUUAAGGCUGGAAGUAGUGGGAUCGGCCAUUGUUAUUGAAUGAGCAGUCGCCUUUCUAUAUUUUGCUCGAAGGAUGGGAAACAAGUUGACCAAUUGUUUAAUGGAGAGGGUGGCUCUUAGCUCAACCUCGGGGGAAGUGGAUGCUUUUUAUAGCCUAUAGGUAUGUGGGUGCAAUUUGAUAUUCAAAGAUGGAAGUAUAUUCAAAUUCUCCAAUCUUUGUCAUAAAUUAAAACAGUAGAUGGAAGUACAUAUCAAAACACCACAAUUAUUUAAGUACACAUUCUAAGAUAUUUUCGGUAGGUUAUGUUUAUAUUCAAAGAUAUUUUAUACACUAUUGAUGUAAUGGAAAGUUGUUUAUUUGAAUUUUUCUUUUUAUAUGCCGUUCCUUUCAACUUGAGUCCACAUUUUAAAAUAUUUUCUAUAGAUUAUGUUUAUAUUCAAAGAUAUUUUAUGUACAAUUCAUGAUGUAAUAGAAAGUUGUUUAUUUGAUUUUUCAAUUCCUUUUUAUAUGUAGAUAACGGUGUGUGAGGAAAUUGAAGAAAAAUGCUCUGAGCAUGUACUCCUCCAAUGCCGAAAAAAUUAUGAAUACAUAUUUCUCUUUUCUUGGUUUCGGUAUUUUCUUCCUCUUAAUUUUCUAUUUGAUUGGCAUAUUUGGAGGACACCACUAACUAUUAUUUGUUUUUUAAGCCAUAAUUAGUCUAUUUUUCUCUCAUAUUCCAACUAGUUAAUUAACUUGAUUUCCAUUCAUUUCUUAGUGAAGAAAAAUGCUUUGAAUAUAUCCUUCGUCGAAGGAUAUCACUAAAAAUGCUCUGAAUUAGUCCAUUACUAAUUAUUAUUUAUUUUUUAAGUAGUAAUUAGUUCAUUUUUCUCUCAUAUUCAAACUAGCUAAUUAACUUUAUUUCCAUCCAUUCCUUAGUGAAAGAAAAAUAUUUUGAAUACGUCUUCCUCCAAAGAUAUCACCAAAAGUAUUUUUGGUAAAGAUCACCUGUUUAUUUUGUACAAUGAAUUUAAUGUUAUUUUAUACAAGUAUUAAUUUAUGAAAUUAAAGUCAAGACAACGUAAAAGAUAUUUUGUAGAAGAAAUUUCAAUCAAAAUGAUAGGUGUACGUGUGUUAAAGCCCUACCAACUUUGUUGUGGGAGUUAAAAGCCUUACCAGCUCUCAUUGUAGAAUGGACAAAAAAAUUUCAGAAAGAAAAAAUAGAAUACGAUACUGUGGUAUCAAAACCAAAUUAUUUUUAGGUCAAUUAUAAACACAUGUUAAAGACCCAAUGGGUUUGGGUCAAUAAACCCAAUGAGUUCUUUUUAGUUAGUUAAAUGAUUGAAUGCAUUAUCAAAUUGAUAUCCCUUUAGAGCUCAUGUUUUUAUUUUUCUAUUUUUUGUUUCUUAUUUAUUUAUUUACUUAUUUUUGUAUCUUUCUAUUUUAAUUUCAACUUUUUCACAAAUUUUAUAGUAUCCAUGUAUGUAACAUUGUAAACUAACAAUUUCACUCUCGGAUCAUAUUGGUAUAUUUGGCAUAUGUCACCAAGUUUUAGUUUAAUUUUUCUAAAUGAUAAUUGGCCAUUUUUCUCUUACAUUUGAAAGCUAAUUAGAGUAUAUUUGAGAACUAUUUUUUAGAUCAAUUUUUUAUUCUCUAGAACAAAAAAAAAAAAAAAAACACCCAACAAGGAAAGAUGUUUAACAACUAAAAAACUAUUUUAUGUUUUUAUUCUUUAAAAUAGAAAACACGAUGUUUUUAAAGAAAAUUUUAUAAUUGUUUUUGUUUGUGUUUUUAAGAACCGUUUUUAUAAAAUAAUUAUAUCAAUAUGUAGAAUAAUUAAAAAUAAAGAACUAGAUAUAAAAAUUAAUUUUAAAAUAUAUUUAAAAAAUAAAAUAAUAGUUUUUUAGAAAUGUUUUUUAAUAUAGUUACCAAAUCAGGGUUUGAGCUUUGCUCCCCUCCAUGUUGACUCAAUUAUUAAUUAUGUGGCAUUCGAACAUAAGUCAAUGUAUAAUUUUAAUAGGAAAAAGACGGGACUUUUCUCAAUAGUACGGUAAUUUAAAAAAGUUAUGCUUAAAUUAUUGUAGUAGAAGAAAUUAUUACAAAUAUAUGGUAGUUUUUGCCACCUAGGAGAGAGGAGAUAGGAGAGAGGAGAGAGGGUGAACGGAUAAUUUUUUUUAAAACCAAAAUCACCUUUUCAAAAAAAAUUUCAAAAGGAACUCGUCUCUUCAAGAGACGAGUUCCCUAAAAAAAUAUAUAUAUUUUUUAUAAAAAAAAUUCCCAAAUUAAAAAAACAAAAAAAAACAAUUCUUCAAGAACUCGUCUCUUGAAGAGACGAGUUCCAUGAAUAUAUAUAUAUAUAUAUAUAUAUAUAUAUAUAUAUAUAUAUAUAUAUUAAAAAAAAAUUCCCAAAUUAAAAAAAAAAAAAAUUCCUCAAGGGAACUCGUCUAUUCAAGAGACGAGUUCCAUAAAAAAUUCCUCAGGAACUCGUCUCUUUUCCAUGAAAAAAACAAUUCCUUAAGAGAACUCGUCACUUCUUUUUUAAAAUUCCCAAAUUUUUUUUUUUUUUUAGAAAAAAAAAAACAAUUCCUCAAUGGAACUCGUCUCUUGAGUUCCCAUGAAAAUAAAAUUUUUUUUUUUAAAUUCCCAAAUUAUUAAAAAAAAACAACUCCUCAAGGGAACUCGUCCCUUCAAGAAACGAGUUCCCAUGGGAAAAAAAAAUGUAUAUUUUUUUUUAAAAAAUUCCCAAAAAAAAAAAAAAAAAUUCCUCAAGGAAACUCGUCUCUUGAAGAGAUGAGUUCCCAUGGAAAAAAAAAAAUUUUAAAUUUUUUUUUUUUUUAAAUAUUCCCAAAUUUAAAAAAAAAAAUUUUAAAAAUUUCCUUAAGGAACUCGUCUCUUCAAGAGACGAGUUCCAUGAAAUUUUUUAUUUUUUUAUUUUUAAAUUCCCAAAUUAUUAAAAAAAAAAAAAAAGCAAUUCCUCAAGGGAACUCGUCUCUUGAAAAGACGAGUUCCCAUGGAAAAAAAAAUGUAUAUAAUGGAAAAAAAAAAAAUUUAAAUUUUUUUUUUAAAAAUAUUUCCAAAUUUUAAAAAAAUAAAUAAAAAAUAAAAAAAAUUCCUUAAGGAACUCGUCUCUUCAAGAGACGAGUUCCAUGAAAUUUUUUAAUUUUUUUUCUUAAAUUCCCAAAUUAUUAAAAAAAAAAAAAAAAAAUUCAAUUCCUCAAGGGAACUCGUCUCUUGAAGAGACAAAUUCCCAUGGAAAAAAAAAUAUAUAUAUUUUUUUUAAAAAUUCCCAAAUAAAAAAAAAAAAUUCCUCAAGGGAACUCGUCUCUUGAAGAGACAAGUUCCCAUGGAAAAAAAAAAUUUUAAAUUUUUUUUUAAAAUAUUCCCAAAUUAAAAAAAAUAAAUAAAAAAUAAAAAAAUUUCCUUAAGGAACUCGUCUCUUCAAGAGACGAGUUCCAUGAAAUUUUUUAAUUUUUUUUCUUAAAUUCCCAAAUUAUUAAAAAAAAAAAAAAAAAAAAAAAGGCAAUUCCUCAAGGGAACUCGUCUCUUGAAGAGACAAAUUCCCAUGGAAAAAAAUAUAUAUAUUUUUUUAAAAAAAAUUCCCAAAUAAAAAAAAAAAUUCCUCAAGGGAACUCGUCUCUUGAAGAGACAAAUUCUCAUGGAAAAAAAAAUAUAUAUAUUUUUUUAAAAAAUUCCCAAAUAAAAAAAAAAUUCCUCAAGGGAACUCGUCUCUUGAAGAGACAAGUUCCCAUGGAAAAAAAAAAUUUUAAAUUUUUUUUUUUAAAUAUUCCCAAAUUAAAAAUAAAUAAAUAAAAAAUAAAAAAAUUUCCUUAAGGAACUCGUCUCUUCAAGAGACGAAAAGGAGAGACGAGUUCCCAUGGAAAAAAAAUGUAUAUUUUUUUUUAAAAAAAUUCCCUAAUAAAAAAAGAAAAAAAAUUCCUCAAGGGAACUCAUCUCUUGAAGAGACGAGUUCCAAUGGAAAAAAAAAAAAUUUAAUUUUUUUUUUAAAUAUUCCCAAAUUUAAAAUAAAUAAAUAAAAAAUAAAAAUUCCUUAAGGAACUCGUCUCUUCAAGAGACGAGUUCCAUGAAAUUUUUUAAUUUUUUUUUUAAAAUUCCCAAAUUAUUAAAAAAAAAAAAAAAAAAAAAAAAAGGCAAUUCCUCAAGGGAACUCGUCUCUUCAAGAGACGAGUUCCCAUGGAAAAAAAAAUUCCCAAAUUUAAAAAAAAAAAUCCUCAAGGAACUCGUCUCUUCAAGAGACGAGUUCCAUGAAAUUUUUUCCUCAAGAGAACUCGUCUCUUCAUGGAAAAAAAAAUUUAAAAACAAAAAGAUUUAAAAAAGAGACGAGGAAUUGUUUUUUUUUUUUUUUAGGAAUUUUUUUUUCCAUGGGAACUCGUCUCUUGAAGAGAAGAGUUCCCUUGAGGAAUUUUCUUUUCUUUUUCUUUUUUUAAUUUGGGAAUUUUUUUAAAAAAAAUAUUUUUUUUCCAUGGGAAGUUCCCUCGAGGAAUUGUUUUUUUUUUUUUUUUUUUUUUAUAUGAUUUGGGAAUUUUUUAAAUAUAUAUAUAUAUAUAUAUAUAUUUUCAUAGAACUCGUCUCUUGAAGAGACGAGUUCUUGAGGAAUUGUUAUUUUUUUUUUUUUAAUUUGGGAAUUUUUUUUUUAAAAAUAUAUAUAUUUUUUUUAGGGAACUCGUCUCUUGAAGAGAUGAGUUCCCUUAAGGAAUUUUUUUUUCAUGGAACUCGUCUCUUCAAGAGACGAGUUCCUAUUGAAAUUUUUGUGAAAUUUGAAAAGAUGAUUUUGGUUUAAAAAAAAAUUAUCCGUUCACCCUCUCUCCUCUCUCCUAUCUCCUCUCUCCUAGAUGGCAAAAACUACCAUAUAUUUGUAAUAACUUCUUCUACUAUAAUAAUUUAAGCAUAACUUUUUUAAAUUACCGUACUAUUGAGAAAAGUCCGAAAAAGACGGGUAUAAAUAUAUCAUAACAAACAAAAAGGUGGUAGAUGUGUGUUUUAAAGCAGUUGAUUUCAAGUUAUGUCUAUAUUCAAAGAUAUUUUAUGUAGCUUAUGUUGACAUUUAAGGAUAUUUUAUAUAAUAUUAAUAUAAGGAAAAGUUGUUUGUUUGAUUUUGUUUCUUUUUCUACCAUAGAUCCGACCUAGAUCCUGAUCCUUGUCUUAUUGGGAUCCCAACAUAUGAUUUGAUCUCGAAUUAUAAUUACAGAACAAUAACACCAUGGUAGCUACUGUGUUCCCUUGCUACAUAGAAUAGAAGCUUCUAUACAACACUACCCACUUUUUACCCCCACAGAAACCAUAGUCGCUGCUUUAUCUAGCUAAAUGCAUUUUAUUAAAUACUUUUAUAAAUGGAAUUAUAUUCGUUCUUGGAUCUCCAAGGAUAGAAGAUGGAAGGAUUAUAAGGAAGAGUAUGUUUAAUUGUAAUUUUUUUAGUAAUAUAUUUUUAUUUUUCAUUUUUGAGAAUGAUAGUAAAAAUGAAGUGAAAUAAAGGUACCAAUUUUUUUUUUUUCCAUUUCUAAAUUUAUUUAACAUAAUUUUAAUACUCACAAUUCAAUCGUAUCUUAUAUUAAUAAUAUUGAUUUCUCACAUCAAAACAUUGAAAAAUUGUCUAAACUUAUCAAAAAAACACUAAAAGGAAUUUCUACUUAAUGUUUUAUAAUUGUCAAUUUAAAAAAAAAAAAAAAGGGAGCCAAUGAAACGCGGAUAAAAUGGGAGAAAGCAUGUGGCUGGCCUUUAAAUUUUAUAUUUUAUUUUACUUCUUUGAUUUAAUUAUUAAUUGUAUGUGGAUAUAGAAUAGAAUGAAUUAGAUUCUAUUUUGUAUGGUCAAAACUGCACCACUUCAAUCAAAGUGGUAGAUGCAUGAAGGUCAAAACCCUAGCAGCUUUGUCGUAGGAGUUAAAAAGGAGUAGAUGGAGCUGAUAGAUUAGAACAGUUCCACAAAAUUACAGACAUGCAUUGCCAUUCUACCCAUGGGGCAACGUUGGCUUUGUGAAGUUCUAGCGUUGUCUAUGAUUAUUUGCAUCAAGUCACCAAAUCCUUCUUCGCACCUUCGAGGAGUUUUGCCCAUAAUACAAAUUAAUGGCCAAAAAAUUCCUUGAUUUUAGGACACGAAAUAUACACAAGGAAUCUCACAACCACAUAUGUGUGUAUGACAUAAUAGGUAAUUGGUCAAGUUUUCUCUCAUAUUUGGAUUAGUUAAUUAACUUGAUUUCCAUCAUAAGGACCUAACUAGGGGCAUUUCAAAUAUAAAUCAAUAUCAAAUAUUAAUGUUCAUAAAGACCGGUUAUCUACCAUAUCAAAGUGGUAGACAUAUCUUAAAACCUUACCACCCUUGUCAAGAUACUUGGCUUAAUAUCCUCCAAGCUUUGUCAUAGGAAUUAAAACAAUAAGUGGAAGUAUAUCAUAACAUAACAAUUAUUUGCACAGAGAUGAGUAGUCUCUUUCAACUUAGGUUCACAUUCAAAAACUUGAUAUCUCACGUAUAGAGAUUCGAAAGUGGUGGAAACUUAACAUAAAAAAAUCAUUAAAUUUUUUUCUUUUUAUUAUUGUAUAAUCAUCAAUGUAUUUUUCUACUUUUAGAAACAAAAAUAGAACUAGAAUUACCGAAGAUAUUAAAUAUUUUUUUAAAGUUACAAAAUGUAAUUAAAAAUUUGUUUAUACAUUCUACUUCUAAAAAUAGUAUAAAUUGAUGUAUGAAUAUAUAUAUUUCUUCUCAUUUUUCCUUGUUGGUAUUUUCUUCCUUUUUUCUAUUUGAUUGGUCUGUUGGAUGGAUAUCACUAAUUAUUAUUUAUUUCUUAAGUGGUAAUUGGUCUAGUUUUCUCUCAUAUUUGGAUUACCUAAUUAACUUGAUUUCCAUCAUAAGGACCCAACUAGUGGCAUUUCAAAUAUAAAUCAAUAUCAAAUAUUAAUGUUGAUAAAAAUGGGUUAUCUUGAACAUUAAUAUCAAAUAGUAAUGUUGAUAAAGACUAUUUUAUCUACCACAUCAAAGUGGUAGACAUAUUUUAAAACCUUACCACAUUUGUCAAGAUACUUGGCUUAAUAUCCUCCAAGCUUUGUCAUAGGAAUUAAAACAAUAAGUGGAAGUAUAUCAUAACAUAACAAUUAUUUGCACAGAGAUGAGUAGUCUCUUUCAACUUAGGUUCACAUUCAAAAACUUGAUAUCUCACUUAUAGAGAUUCGAAAGUGGUGGAAACUUAUCAUAAAAAAAUCAUUAAAUUUUUUUCUUUUUAUUAUUGUAGAAUCAUAAAUGUAUUUUUCUAUUUUUAAAAACAAAAAUAGAACUAGAAUUAAGGAAGAUAUUAAAUAUUUUUUAAAGUUACAAAAUGUAAUUAAAAAUUUGUUUGUACAUUCUACUUCUAAAAAUAGUACAAAUAGAUGUAUGAAUACAUAUUUCUUCUCAUUUUUCCUUGUUGGUAAUUUUUUCCUAUUUUCUAUUUGAUUGGUUUAUUAGAUGGAUUUCACUAAUUAUUAUUUAUUUCUUAAGUGGUAAUUGGACCAGUUUUCUCUCAUAUUUGGAUUAGCUAAUUAAUUUGAUUUCCAUCAUAAGGACCCAACUAUUGGCAUUUCAAAUAUAAAUCAAUAUCAAAUAUUAAUAUUGAUAAAAAUUGGUUAUCUACCACAUCAAUACCAAAUAUUAAUAUUGAUAAAGACUAUUUAUCUACCACAUCAAUGGUAGACAUAUCUUAAAAUCUUACCACCUUUGUCGAGAUACUUGGGUUAAUAUCCUCCAAGCUUUGUCAUAGCAAUUAAAACUGCAAGUGGAAGUAUAUUAUAACACAACAAUUAUUUGUGUAAAGAUGAGUAAUCCCUUUCAACUUUGAUUCACAAUUAUUUGUCAUGCCUUAGAGUGUGUUUUGGGGUGUGAUAGAGGGCAACAAGAUGGAUGAAUGCUUUUUUAAAGAAUUAUUUGAUUAAAAAGAAUUAAAUGAUUUCAAAUUUGUAAAUCUAACCUCUUUUUUUUUUUUUAACUUGAUAAUUAAUUAAUUUUCUUUUGAUAUAAAUCCUCUUGAACCUUUUCAUUAUUUACAUGUAAUAAAAAAAAUUUAUAAAAUAAAGAUAAGGAUAUUUUUAUCAAAAUGGAUAGUUAAAAAAAAAUGGAGAUUUAAAUUUAUAAAUGGGGGAUUAUUUCAUCUUUUAAUCAAAUGACCUUUUUUCAAUUAUUUUAUUUCUAUUGUAAAAGGCUCCAUAAUUUGUAAUUUUUAUAAUAAAAAAUAAUUUCCUUAUAUUCUAAAAAAGUGUGAAAUGAUUGACUUUUAGGUCAUUUAAAAUUUAUGUGGCUAUUCAUAAAAGUAUUUAAUGUAAUAUUAUCUAAUUUAUUUUUAUUUAAGUUUUAUCAUUUCUUUUCAAUAUUCAAACAUAUACAACACUCUUAAAUUGCGACAAGGAUUUAUGAUAAUAUUAUUUUAUGUUAAAUUAUAUAUACUUAUCUUUUAUAUCGAUUAAUAUAAAAAAUAAUUUUUUCUCAAUAAGGAUAAAUAUUUCAUUAACUUGUUGUGAAUCUACAUCUUUCUCGUGCGUUCCCACUUGACAGGGUUCCCAUUCGAUGGAAAAACACAUUGUAUUAUAGAAAAUUGUCUUUUUGAAAAAAUUGGAGUCACCACUUAUUUUUGUUCAUUUUUAAAGAAAAAACAAAAUAAGAGAAAAAACACCAUAUGACUCUUUUUUAAUUUUAUAUUAAAACUGUGCAAAUUAUCUCAAUUCAAUAAAAAAAAAUUCAAAUUUAUUGUUAAAAAAGGUUUCAAAUUUAUUUUUUAAAAAUAUUAGAAAAUAUUUUAUUCUUAUUUUGUUAAUAAGAGUUUUUCAAUUUUUUUUUUAAAAAGGACCACUUAGUUUCAAUUUUAUUAUUUUUAAAAAAGAUUAUAUAUUUUUAUGAAAAAGAUGAUUUUGUAGCUUUAAAAGAAGUUUUAAAAUUUAUUUUAAAAAGUUUCACUGUUUUAUUUAAAAUAAAAAAUUGUCAUUCUACUUAAAAAAUAAAAAAAAUAAAAAAUGUAGUUUUAUUUUAAAAACUAUUUUACAAUUUUUAUUUUAAAAAAGGAUUUUUCAGUUUUUAUUUAAAGAAAAAGAAGGAUUUUGCCCUUUCUAUUUUAGAAAAAUGAUUUGCAGUUUUUUUAUUGGAAAUAAAUACCUUAUAUAUUUUUUUUUCAAAAAAAAACUUUGAAAAAAAAAAAAAGAAAAAAGAUUUUUACAGUUUUUAUUUAAUAAAGGUUAUAUUCUAUUAAAAAAAGAUUUUAGAUGUUAUUUUAUAUGCAAACUUGGUGAUAAAAAAUGUAAAAGAAUAAAAUGAAUUUGAAACUAUGCAAAAAGUGUAUAAAAGGGAUAUAAACAACAAAUAACCCAAAAUAAAAUAUAUAAAUAAAUAAAUAUAAAAUGGAAUAAAUAAGAAUAUUUAUAGAACUGAAAAUGAAACAGAAAUAAAAUAUACAGAAAGAGCCUCCUCAAAAUGUCGUCCACUGCCUCCUCUAAAAUCCUAGGGUCUGUGCCCUUUUGUAGGCCUUCAAGCUUGGUCUUCAUAUGCCCUUCCAUGUGGUGGACAUCUAAGCUCUAAGCGAAAAGUAAGCAGAGGGAGGUAGUAAAGUUGGCCCAUCUCCAAAAUCAAAACAAGGCCGAAAUGAGAAUGAUUAAAAAAAGAGAAAAGGGGGAUCAAACCAAUAUAUACAAGCCCAAAACGAACAAAGCCCAAACCCAACAGAUAAAUUAAACUAGGCUCAAAGGCCACAAACACAUCUCAGAGCAAUGAUUGAAGCCUGAAAUAAAAUCCAAGAACCCCAAUACCCACAAACAUGAAUCAAUAAAUAAACCCAAAUCAAAGCCCACAAAUAGCCCAAGUUCUCAAAACUAACACUUUGAAGAUUGAAAGCAAGGGUUUUGCUUUAUGCUCCUGAAGAAUCCUUAAGGUAAAAAGCGAAGUGCAGCAUGGAAGUAUGAUAGCAUGGGCAAUCCGUGUGGAUGGCGGCGCGGGGUUUGGGUUGUGGCCAUAAAUAGUGCAAUGGUCGACAGUUGUGCCAACGAGGGAGGCGCGUGGCCUCGUCGAAGAUGGGGGUAGUGGAGGCCAUGGAAGUGUGGGUCUCGGUGGCUGGAACGGAUCAAGUCGAUAGCGGCGGGCUAUAAUGGUGGAGAGGGGGCGAUAUGGUGGCUGUGAGGUACACGACUGGUGUGAAGGUGGCAAGAAGGGUGUGGAGAGAAGGGGGAUCGAGAGAGAGAGAGAGAGAGGGAGGGAUGUUAGAGAGAGAAUAAAAAAAGAUAGAGAGAGGGAGAGGUGUCAGUCCGGUGUCUGCUGGAGUGGUGCGAUGGCGGCGACUUGUCAAAGUGGGGUCACCAGACGAAGAUGGCUACGGUGCCGAUAGGGUAUGAUGGUAUGAGUGUGAAAAUGGGUACAAGAGGGAGUGGGAGAGAGAUGGAGGUAUUGGCCGACAGUAGUGCCACAAUUGUGUCGGUGAUGAGACUGGCAACGGUGAGGCCAUGGUGGCGAGGGGUGUGGUGCAGGGUUCAAAGUAUCGGCCGAGUCGUAUCCGCCUCGACACCUGUCGCGACGAGACCGAUACCAAAUACAGUAUAAUGCACGAACUCGGCUAGGAAUCGGUAAAACUCGGCUGACUCGUCUGAGUUUUCGAGUUAACUCGGUUAGGUUACAGAGAAUUUUCAAAUUUUAUUUCCAAUCACAAUAAAACAUCAGAACAUUUUCAUAUAAAAAAAAAAUCAAAGAUUGCCCUUUCAAAAGCAAGCACAUAUUCUGAAAUUUUAAACCAUCAAUGAGAAGAUCAAAGAAGACGAAGAAGAAAUAAUCCAACCCGUGACCCGUUUGGAAAUAAGUGGAGAAACCACCGAAGGAUGAGGGCAUGAUUUAGGAUUUACUUACCUGAUUUUCCUCAAAAUCGAGAAUUACCAGAGGGUGGAGCUUUGGUGUUGACGGUGGUGACUCGUCAAGUGGACUGGAUCUUUCACCGGCGACGUCGACGAGACAACCCCUUCACAGUCAAAUUGCUUCCCCUCCCGUGUUGGGUCUUGCACGGUUGCAAAUUUGCAAUUGCAGGUGGUGUUGUGGGUCUUGACGGCAAUUUCUGGGGACGGGAUGAUUGAAUGCGUUUGUCCAAGCAAAUAUUAGGGCUACGCUCAUUUGGCUAAUUAUGGGCUGAGCAUGGGCCAGCCCAUUUUUUAACUAUUAGCUGUAACUGGGCCGUUCUCUGAUUUAUGUCAUAAAUCUCUUCAUCUUCAUCAAAUUUUAUAACUUGGAGGUUUUUAUUUCACACUCCAUUUAAUAAAGUUUAAGUAAGUUUCAAGUUUCACAAAUUUAAUUUUUAAAAAUUAUAUAUUCUAUAUAUAUAUAUAUAUAUAUAUAUAUAUAUCUUCUUCCCUUUUCUUUUUUUAAGUACAAAUUAUUUAUCCUUUUUAUUUUCAUUUUUAUUUUUCAUCAUCUUUCUUUUUACAAAUUAAGUAAAAUGUGUUUCAAUUAUAUAUUAAAAAUGUUAUUUUUUUAAAUUUAUUCUAAAUAAAAUAUUAUUAACAAUUAUUUUUGUAAAGUGUUAUUAUUUAUUUUUAACAAAAGAAUUAAUUACACUUUCAUAAAGAUAUCAUUAUCCAUACAAUGUAUAAUAAGCAAAUUAAUCGUAUGUCAUUUAAUAAAGUUUAAGUCGGUUUCAAGUUUCACUAAUUUAAUUUUAAAAAAUUAAAUUAGAAGUUAUUGAAAAUGACAAAUAAUUUUGAGCUAAAUGUGAAAAAAAAAAAUUGUUUUAUUAAUUUUUUUCAACUUAUUCAAUUAUAUCUAUUUUUUUUAAUUUAUAUAACAUUUUUUAUAAUUUUUUGAAAUUUCUAAUUAUCUUAUUUUGCGUAUCGCCCGAUACCGAACCGAGAUGUCGAGACCGAUAUGCCUCGUGGCCCUCCGAGUCAAUGACCGAUACCGCGACUUUGAACCAUGGUGUGGUGGGGAUAAGGGUAGGUAUGGGAGAAAGUACAUAAAAAAGGAAAAGGAAAAAGAAGAAGAGAAAGACAAGAAAGGGAAAAUUUUGGGGGCCAGGGGGAGGUUGUGAAGAAAGGAAACGAGAAAAAGGAUGUGAUUUUGGAAGUCAAGGGUCAGGAUUUAAUCUUCCUAUUAGGUAUUCGAAUGAGCCUGAAAAGAAAAGAUCCAACAAAUGUGAAAAAGAAAUAUGCUUGAAAUAAAUGUUAGAGAAGGGCCUGGAGCAAAUUUUGGGUCUGGCCGAGGAUAAUGAUUUUUUUUCCUUCUCUUGCUGCCUUGUUUAGUUAAGGGUCCAUAUGUCUAUCAUCUUCAGUUGCAAUCUGGCUAGAAUUGGAAAUCAUCAGUGCUUCAGCAAUCAGCAGUACCCUCUUCUACAGUCCACACCCAUGUUAAAACUCAAGCCCUUAGAAAAAUCAUUAGUCCAUUUCUGUAUAUAUAUGUACAAUGUCCCUCAGAGCAAGUCAAACGAAGUCAUCCAGAUAUUGUAUACGUCUCUUUUAAGGUUACUUCCUUUACUGACAAUAGUUGUAGAUUGUUUAAUGGACAGUGCAUAUGACUAUUUGUUUGUAGAUGGAUCAAUUGCUUAUAAUGAUUGCCUAGAGAUAACGGCUAAGUGUUUGGUUCUAAUUCGAUUAUGCUCUUUUCUUCUAUGUUCAAAAGUUGUACUCUUAUGUGUUGGGAUUUCAAUAUUGUAAUAUAUUAAUUGAAGAAUACAAAAACAAAAAUAAAAUAUCUAUACACAAAGAUAUAUGAUAUUUUAAUAUGAUUCAUCAACCAACAAUACUUAUUUUCAUGGAUGAUGAAUAAUAUUCUAUUAUACAAUAGAGAAUAUUAUAGAAUAUAAAAAUAAAUACAAUUAUUGUGCCUUAAAACAUUCCAUGUUUUCUCAUUCUUUAUGGCUAUGUUUGGUUUCCGAAAAAUGCGAGAGAAAGAAAAUUGGGAGGAAAAAUGGAAGGAAAUAAAAAACUAAGGAAAGAAAUAUAAAUUUUUUCACUUGUUUGGUUAUCUAUGGAAAAUUCAAGGGAAAAAAAAAAAGAAUUCAUUUUCUUUUAUUUGGUUAACCACGAAAAAAAAGUCAAGGAAAAAUGAAAGGAAAAUAAAACCAACAAUUUGUCUUAGAUGAUUAUCAAUAUAAACUAGGGUUUCUUAUAAAUUUAUCAUUAUUACAAGUGUUGAUCCAUUUUUCACUUCAUAUAAUACCUCAUUGACUUCAAGAUACAUGAGAUUUUAAUAUGAUUCAUCGACUAACAAUGCUUAUUUUCAUGGAUGAUAAAUAAUAUUUUAUUAUACAACAGAGAAUAUUAUAGAAGAUAGAAACAAAUAUAAUUAUUGUGUUUCAAAACAUCUCAUGUUUCCCUAUAAUUUAUGUCUCUAUCCUAAACCACGAGCCUUUUUGUUCCAUUGGGUAUCUUCUACUUUUUUGCACAUUUAUGCCCUGAACUACAAGCCCUCUUACUUAUCAUUUAUUUUUCGUUCUUCUUUACAUCUUAAUCUAAGUCAUGAUAAGAAAAAUGGUUCGCUUGAAAAUCAAUCUCAACCUCUAUCAAAUCCUUCGUGAUAGGGUCUCUAUAUUUCAAUAAUAUGUACAUUUAAUCUCCUUUAUUUGUUUUGGUAACCAACCAUGUAUAGUUCCCUUUUUUGAGGGGUUAAUUUGGUAAGCCUAGGUUGUAUAUUGUAUAUGUAUUUCUUACCUUAAACAAUAGAACGACUAUCUUUGACUCUUAAAGCCUAUGUGGACUUUAUCAUAUCUCUCUUAUAACUUUUUUCUCUAAUGUUAAUUCUGUCUUUAUUUUGAAUCUAUUCAAUCAUUUCAAAACCAUAUCCAAAUAUCCCCAUCAAAUCUAAAAUUACUUUGGUCUCGCAAUAGUGAGUAGAAAAAGGAUAAAUAAAGACUAUUCUCAUUCAAUAAAUAGAACAAAUUAAAAACCCUUUCUUUUCUUUUUCUUUUUACCAUUUCUUAUUAUUUUUAGACAUUAAAAUGAAAUUUUACAGUUCUUAAUUUAAAUUUCAUUGUGAGCUCGUGUGACUCUUUUUAUUUAUCAGUGGAAUGCCCUUUUGUGACACAAACCAUAUCCAACCACGUAGUGUGUGCUGGUCUGUUUUCAUCUUCAAACAUCUAAUUCCUUCCUCGGCCCCGUCACCACAUAUUUACCUCAAUAGCCUCCAAAAUAUCCACGACUAUCCACUUGGAAAUGUGAUUUCGUUUUUCCUUUUUUUUUUUGCUCAUCAUGGUGGUCCAAUUAUGUCCAUGGUCAUGGUGCUUGUGAUCCUAUAUAGACAUAUUCUUGGGCGCAGCGAAGUCGAUUACCAUGAGCCCAAGGUAAUCGUUGAUAUUAGGAAUGUUUCGUCCCUCCCGAUAUUGACUCCUCCCGUCAUUGCAGUUUUGAGAAUCGAUUCUCACUGUAAAAAGCAUUUGAAAGUAGCUCCUUCGAAAAGGCUCGUUAUCAGGCCCAAAAUAACCAUCCCAACUCAAAGUAAUCACAAGAUUUUGAUGGAACGAUUUCUUGUCCUGCUUCCAUCAAAGGCAAGUUAGCAACUUCCUUCCAGUACAUAAACCAAAGGGGUUCAAUUAUUCAAACAGGUUCCAUUCAUUCAAGUUACACAAUCCUCUGACUUUCAACUGUUUAAUUAAAGAAACUAAUGAAGCUUACUAUUAAUUGAAUAUAUGAAGCGAUUAGAUUAAGAUAAUUUUGGUAUGCUUAAAAUUAUAAAUAAAUUGCAUUAAAACAUGGAUUUUACUCUCUUACUAUUACUAAUACAAUCAAUUUUAAGGUGACAAUGCCUUUUUUUUUUUUUGGUUAAUUUCAUUGAUCUUUCUUGAAGUUUGAGUUCUCAUUUAUAUUUUCAUUUAUUGCUCCUUUAAUUCAAAAUAAGGAAAGUAUGUCAAACUAAUGAAAAUGGAGUUUAAUAAAAUAUGGAGAUAUUUGAUUAAAAUAGUCAAAAUAAGAAUAAUUAUCUUUUGGAACAAAAACAUCCUCCAUCAAAUUAUAUUAAAAUAUUUUUUAUUAAAUAACGUAAGAAAUAUUUUCAUCCAGUUUAGAUUAUAUUGACAAUAUUAAACACAAAGUUUUUUUUUUUUUUGCUUUUUCAAAGUAAGAAAUAUUUUGAACUUUUAGACUUAGAUAUUUUUAAAAUAUAGAACGAGGUACUAGAAACAUGAGAAAAGCUCGGAGGGAUGACAAGGCCACAAAAAUGUCACACCAAAAAAAUAAGCAAGAUUAAUCUAUUUAUUUAUUUAUUUUGUAUAUGUAUUUCUUACCUUAAACAAUAGAAGGACUAUCUUUGACUCUUAAAGCCUAUGUGGACUUUAUCAUAUCUCUCUUAUAACUUUUUUCUCUAAUGUUAAUUCUAUUUUUAUUUUAAAUCUAUUCAAUCAUUUUAAAACCAUAUCCAAAUAUCCCCAUCAAAUCUAAAAUUACUUUGGUCUCGCAAUAGUGAGUAGAAAAAGGAUAAAUAAAGACUAUUCUCAUUCAAUAAAUAGAACAAAUUAAAAACCCUUUCUUUUCUUUUUCUUUUUACCAUUUCUUAUUAUUUUUAGACAUUAAAAUGAAAUUUUACAGUUCUUAAUUUAAAUUUCAUUGUGAGCUCGUGUGACUCUUUUUAUUCAUCAGUGGAAUGCCCUUUUGUGACACAAAUCAUAUCCAACCACGUAGUGUGUGCUGGUCUGUUUUCAUCUUCAAACAUCUAAUUCCUUCCUCGGCCCCAUCACCACAUAUUUACCUCAAUAGCCUCCAAAACAUCCACGACUAUCCACGACUGGUGUGAAGAAAUGGAGAGAAGGGGGGUCGAGAGAGAGAGAGAGAGAGAGAGAGAGAGAGAGAGAGAGGGAGAGGGAGGGAGGGAGGGAUGUUAGAGAGAGAAUAAAAAAGAUAAGAGAGAGGGAGAGGUGUCAGUCCGGUGUCUGCCGGAGUGGUGCGAUGGCGGCGGCUGGUCGAAAUGUGAAAAAGAAAUAUGCUUGAAAUAAAUGUUAGAGAAGGGCCUGCAGCAAAUUUUGGGUCUACACUCGUCUUACGUGGAGUUUGCUUUUUGUUUCAAAUCGGAAUAAACUUGAACUUGAACUUAAACUUAAAUAAAGAUUAAUAUCAUCAAGUAUUUAAACUGUUUAUUUUUCUACUGAUGUAAUAUGGAAAACAGUGUUCUCCAUAGGGGUUUGUUGGACGUCAAGAUCACAGGGUUUUUAGGUCUGGCAGAGGAUACUGAUUUUUUCCCUCUCUUGGUGCCUUGUAUAGUCAAGGGUCCAUAUGUCUAUCAUCUUCAGUUGCAAUCUAGCUAGAAUUGGAAAUCAUCAGUGCUUCAGCAAUCAGCAAUACCCUUUUCUACAGUCCACACCCAUGUUAAAACUCAAGCCCUUAGAAAAAUCAUUAGUCCGUUUCUGCAUAUAUAUGUACAAUGUCCCUCAGAGCAAGUCAAACGAAGUCAUCCAAAUAUUGUACAUGUCUCUUUUAAGGUUACUUCCUUUACUGACAAUAGUUGUAGAUUGUUUAGUGGACAGUGCAUAUGACUUUUGUUUCUAGAUGGAUCAAUUACUUAUAAUGAUUGCCUAGAGAUAACGGUCAAGUGUUUGGUUCUAAUUCGAUUAUGCUCUUUUCUUCAAUGUUCAAAAUACUUAAUUCAAAGGUGCAUAGAUAAAGAUACACAGAAUGUUGUUUCUUUUUCCACCCUCGUGUCCUAAAUGGGACUUUCUUUGGAUUGUGGAUAUGGGAGUAUGCUCUUAGAGCAUUCACCACUGUGGGAUCCUUUUUUAUUGUACAUAUCAUGAGUGCAUCAUUUAGGGAGUAGGAUUGAGGCAUGCCUUGAUUUAAUUAGCUCUUAUGUUAUCUGUUGAGUUGUUUUUCUAGUAUUGCUAUCAUCAACGAAAGAGUGCUCUUGAACUACAUUUUUGUUUUUCUAGGAUUUGCAUAUAUACUGUUCAUACCAUAAAACAUAUUUUUUUAAUAUUAAUUUUUUCUAACAUUGGUAUUAGACCCAAGUUGUACUCUUAUGUGUUGGGAUUUCAAUACUGUAAUAUAUUAAUUGAAGAAUAUAAAAAAUAAAAAUAAAAUAUUUAUAUACAAAGAUAUAUGAGAUUUUAAUAUGAUUCAUUAACCAACAAUGCUUAUUUUCAUGGAUGAUAGAUAAUAUUCUAUUAUACAAUAGAAAAUAUUAUAAAAGAUAGAAACAAAUACAAUUAUUACGUCUCAAAACAUCUCAUAUUUUCCCACUAUUUAUGUUUUUAUCCUAAACCAUGAGCCUUUUUGUUCCACUAUGUAUCUCCUACUUUUCUUCACAUUUAUGCCUUGAACUACAAGCCCUCUUACUUAUCAUUUAUUUUUCGUUGUUCUUUACAUCUUUAUCUGAGUCAUGAUAAGAAAAAUUGUUCGCUUGAAAAUCAAUCUCAAUCUUUAUCGAAUCCUUUGUUAUCAAGUCUCUAUAUUUCAAUAAUACAUACAUUUAAUCUCUUUUAUUUGUUUUGGUAACCAACCAUGUAUAGUUUCCUUUUUUGAGGGGUUAAUUUGAUAAGUCUGUAACGAUAACUAGGUUAUAUACUGUGUAUAUAUAUUUCUUACCUUGAACAAUAAAACGAUUAUCAAAGCCUAUGUCAACUUUAUCAUAUAUCUCUUAUAACUUUUUUCUCUUCUAUUAAUUCUGUCUUUAUUUUGAAUCUAUUCAAUCAUUUCAAAACCAUAUCCAAAUAUCCCCAUCAAAUCUAGAAUUACUUUGGUCUGGCAAUAGUGAGUAGAAAAAGGAUAAAUAAAGGCUAUUCUUAUUCAAUAAAUAGAACAAAUUAAAAACCCUUUCUUUUCUUUUUCUUUUUACCAUUUCUUAUUAUUUUUAGACAUUAAAAUGAAAUUUUACCGUUCUUAAUUUAAAUUUCAUUGUGAGCUUGUGUGACUCUUUUUAUUCAUCAGUGGAAUGCCCUUUUGUGACACAAACCAUAUCCAACCACGUAGCGUGUGUUGGUCUGUUUUCAUCUUCAAACAUCUAAUUCCUUCCUUGGCCCCCUGUCACCACAUAUUUACCUCAAUAGCCUCCAAAAUAUCCACAACUGUCCACUUGGAAAUGUGAUUGGUUUUUCCUUUUUUUUUUUUUUUGCUCAUCAUGGUGGUCCAAUUAUGUCCAUGGUCAUGGUGCUUGUGGUCCUAUAUAGAGAUAUUCUUAGGCGCAACGACGUCGAUUACCAUGAGCCCAAGGUAAUCGCUGAUAUUAGGAAUGUUUCGUCCCUCCCGAUACUGACUCCUCCCAUCAUUGCAGUUUUGAGAAUCGAUUCUCACUGUAAAAGGCAUUUGAAAGCAGCUCCUUGGAAAAGGCUCGUUAUGAGGCCCAAAAUAACCAUCCCAACUCAAAGUGAUCACAAGAUUUUGAUGGAACGAUUUCUUGUCCUGCUUCCAUCAAAGGCAAGUUGGCAACUUCCUUCUAGUACAUAAACCAAAGGGGUUCAAUUAUUCAAACAGGUUCCAUUCAUUCAAGUUUCACAAUCCUCUGACUUUCAGCUGUUUAAUUAAAGAAACUAAUGAAGCUUACUAUUAAUUGAAUAUAUGAAGCGAUUAGAUUAAGAUAAUUUUGGUAUGCUUAAAAUUAUAAAUAAAUUGCAUUAAAACAUGGAUUUUACUCUCUUACUACUACUAAUACAAUCAAUUUUAAGGUGAUAAUGGCUUUUUUUUUUUUGUUAAUUUCAUUGACAUUUCUUGAAGUUUGAGUUAUCAUUUAUAUUUUCAUUUAUUUCUCCUCUAAUUCAAAAUAAGGGAGGUAUGUCAAACUAAUGAAAAUGGAGUUUAAUAAAAUAUGGAGAUAUUUGAUUAAAAUAGUCAAAAUAAGAAUAAUUAUCUUUUUGGACAAAAAUAUCCUCCAUCAAAUUAUAUUAAAAUAUUUUUUAUUAAAUAAGAAAUAUUUUCAUCCAGUUUAGAUUAUAUUGACAAUAUUAAACACGAAGUUGUUUUUUUUUUUUUGGCUUUUUCAAAGUAUUUGAACUUUUUGACUUAGAUAUUUUUAAAAUAUAGAACGAUAGAAACAUGAGAAAAGGUCGGAGGGAUGAAAUGCCCCCAAAAAUGUCACACCAAAAAAAUAAGCAAGAUUAAUUAAUUAAUUUAUUUAUUUUUCUUUAAGGGUCUUCUGGUUGAUUUGCUAAUUAUGGGGGGUGGAAAUAGCGGCAGAAAGGGUGAUGAUGGUGCCAUUGCAAUUGCGAUUACUGGUUUAUGCCUCUUCUGAAAGAGCAGUGAAGAUAAUCAUUGGUGAGAGUGAUGGGGACUGACGGCGGCGGAGCUCUCAAACAGCGGUGGCGGCCGUGGCAUUAUGCUGCUUGAAGAUUGGUGUUGAUUCUUGAUGUUUCAAACUCGUAGCCUUUAAUAAUGCUAUUACACCAUCAAUCAUUUAAUCCAAAAUGUUUAAUACUUAAGGUUGUGAUAAAUAUUACAUCUCAGGCCCAAGCCCACUAAAGAUGGUUUUUGCAUCAAUGAGCCCUGAUUUCUAAGCUUUCCACAAAAUGUUUUAGAUUAGUUUUGCCUGAAGCACCAUACUCCAUAGAUUCCACUGCCAAUCCUUUCCAUUUUUUAGCAUUUCUUCUCAUCGCAUCCCCUUUCUCUCCACCUUCCAUCACCAUCUCCAAACAUUUUUUGAUCUCUCAUUAGGUGAUCUUAAACAUUUAUGAUUAUGAAAUUUAUGGUCAUUAUAAUUUUUUCAAUUGAAUUUGAUAUAUGUCAUUUGCAGUUAAGGGUAUGUUGGUUGAUCAUGAUAUAGGCAUAUGGAAGACUCAAGAAUUGGAGAGAGAUUGAUAGCAUGUCUUCAAAUCAAAUGAUAAAAGAACAAAUAAAGAGUUGAAAGAAAUUGUGGAUUACAAAUUUUAGGGUUCAAAACAACGGGAAUUGUAGAUGUACAAUAAUUGGGUGAGCUAAAAAAUAGACCUAAACCAACACAACCAAUCCAAUUACCGAAGUUUCAUUCCUCCUAAAAGUAAAUGUCCAAGAAAAAAUUCCCUAAUUCUUGCUUGUUCAUUGAUUUUUUUUCUUUUAUUUUCUAGCUAUCAUUGAAAACAGGAUAUGUUUGUAUUCUUUUUCUUUCACCUUUCGUAAAAAAAAUCCUCCUAUUGUCAACUUUUAAAAAAAAAAAAAUUAAGAUUAUAUAUAUAUUUUAAUAAAAAAUGAUAAUACAAAGAAACAGAACAAGAUAAAGAUGGAGGAUGUUUAAAGGACCAAAGGAAAAGUUUCUCAUUUAUCUUCUCUCGAGGGUCUCUAAAGGUACCAAAUAAAAAUUAUCUCAUUUAUCUUCUCUCUGUUUUUAAAAAUUUUAAAUUAUAUAAAUAUCCUUGAAGUUAAGGUAGGAAUGUUACAUGCAUAGAGUUUGUACUCCAUUUAUUUAUUUUCCCCCAGAAGUUUAGUAAAACCUCUCACAAUAUUUUAAACAAAUGAACUAGGCUUUGACUUGGUUUAAUUGAACAUUGUUUAUGCGGGAGUUUUCUAUAAAAUUUUGAUGAAAAUUUUUAAUAAAAGAGAUUAUUUGAUAUUUGAGCAUUGAUUAGGGUAAUAUUGUUUUAAAAAUAUUUAGGGACUAAAUUGACAUGCCAGUAAAAAUAUAAAAAAUGAUUUUUACAAUAUGCUCUAAAUUAAAUAAAUGAAUUUGAAACUCCUCCCUAUCCUUUUUCCUUUAACUUCCAAAACCAUAUGUAACUGCUUUCAUUUAUCUCCUUAUCCUUUUUAAUAAAUGAAUGAUUAGAAUAAAAAACCAGACCAAUAUAUAUAAGCCCAAAAGAAACAAAGCCCAAACCCAACAAAUAAAACAAACUAGGCCCAAAAUCAAAUAUACAAAGCCCAAACCCAAAACAAAUAUGAUAGCCCAAGGCUACAAAUACAUCUAAGAGCAAUUCAAAAUAAUAUCCAAGAACCCCAAUACCCAUAAACAUGAAUCAAUUAGGGAGAAUUGUGUUUUAGGCCCAGUGGGGCCCAAAAAUUAACAUUUGGUCCAUCAAUCAUGCAUAUUUAAGCCAAAGACCCAAAUAAAGAAUGAAAAUUAAGAUGAAGGAUAUUGUCUUUCAUUAAUUCCUAAAAUACCCUUAUCCCUUAUGUGAGUGUGAAUUUCAAUUUUUUUUAUGUUUUUUUUUUUUUGCUUUUCCAUUCCCUAUUAAGUAUUACUCAUUUCUAACUUUUUUUUUUCUUUUUAUUCCAAUAUAUAUUUCUAUUUUAUGUCAAAUAAAAAAUAAUAAUGUUUUUUUAUUUUUCAUUUUUAAAGAUAUUGAAUCUUUUUGCUCUUAUUAAAAACAAUGAUAAAAAUUUUGGGAUUUUUCAUCCAAAUAUUUUUUAUUUUUUUGUAUUUAUCUUUUAGUUUAUUUUUUAUUUUUUAUUUUAAAUUUAUAUUACCCUUUCAUUUAUAUUUUUCUCUUAUUUUUAAUUAUUUUUUAUAUUUUCUACAUUAACCAUAUUUUAAAAAAAAUUUAAAAUUGACUAUCACUUCACUUUAUUAUAUAUAUAUAUAUAUAUAUAUAUAUAUAUAUAUAUAUAUAUAUAUAUAUACUUUUUAGCUUUUUAAUUUUUAAUGUUUUUAUUUUAAAAUUUUUAAAAAGAUAAAUUUAUUGAAAAAAAUAACUAAGAUAUGAAGUUCUAAUAUUAUAUUAAUAAUUCUUCUUAUCUAGAUAGACUAAUGCAAAGUAUUUUGACUCACAACAAGAAAAUUGUCAAUACAAUUUUUAAGUUAAGCUUUAAAAAUUAAAUUUUAAAUAAAAUAUAUUAUAUAAAAUUUUAUCUAAAAAUUAUUGAAAGUGGUAUUUAAUUUUUUUUUUUUUUGACUUUCAAACUUAUCUAAUUUUUUUACUUGAAAGGUAAUAGAACAUGUUUACAAAAAAAAAAAAAAAAAAAUUAUUUUUUCAUUUUUUAAAUAAAUGAGUAUAAAUAUAUUAAAAGAAUUAAAGAUAAUCUUAGUAAAAAAAUUGAUAAAUAUGAUUAUAAUUUUAAAUAUAGAUUAAUUUGGAUAAAAUUUCACAAAAAAAAAAUAGUGAAAAGAAAGAACAUUGCUAAAACUACAAAAACAAAAUAUGCAAUUACAAAAUUUUGAUGAUGAAAUUUCAAAAUUAAAUUUGAAACAAUUCUUGAGUAAGAGAAUUUGAGUGGGGAAAAAAUCUUUAAGUGGAAAAAAAUAGGAAAGUUUCUCACUUGAAAUCCUUAACAAAAAGUAGUCUUGUAUACCCUUAUACAAUUAGUAAAUUUGCCUUGUACAAUUAGUGUAAUACCCUUGUACAAUAACUCAAAUUUCAUAGAUCAUUUCAUGAAUAUCUGACAAUAGGUCGGUUAACCAUGUUUGCAUUGGUUUGGUUUUAAAAAAGAAGAAAAAUUGUUGUAGAAUUUUGUUUUACAAUCAUCAUAAGUGAGGUACCUAUUCAAAUAAUCAUAUACAAGUUAGAUAAAGCGCAUGAGAUGAAUGUAUGCUUAACCAAUGUGUGUAAGGAAUGUCAUUUAUCAUCGGUUAGGGGAAAUAAACAAACAAGUUUUUCAAAACCACUUAAAAUCUUUUACAAAUAAUAGUCUUGUACACCCUUGUACAGUUAGUAUAUUUUCCAUGUACACUUAGUGUAAAUACCUUGUACAGUGACUCAAAUUCCAUAUACCUGCUACUCAAUGUAUAACCAUAGGUAGAUUAACCAUGUUUUCAUUGGUUUGUUUCAAAAAAUAGUGGAAGAUGGAAAAACAAAAUUUUCUUUCAAACAUCAUUAGUGGGAUAAGUAUUUGAAUAAUCAUGCGCGAGUUAAAUAAAAUACAUAAGAUGAAUGUGUAAUAGAGGAAUGUGUACCUUAAGAGUGUGCAAUCCUUAGAUGACAAGACAAAAAAAAAAAGUUGUCCAAAAUUGAUUAAAAUCUUUCAAUUCUUUGAACUAUGCCCUCAAAAUAUUCAAAAAUUUUCCAUUCCAAAAUAUUUUAAAAAGUGUAAAUAGGGUAAUUUGCCCAAUUAAAUUCUUCAAAAUAUUCAAAAUUUCUCCGUUCCAAAAUUACCUAAUUGCUCUCCACACCAAUCCUAAAUAUUUUUUAAUAAAGAUUUAAAUAUUUAAAAUAAUUAAAAUAAAUACUUUCUUAUUAAAGCAAUUUUUUCAAAGUAAUAAGAUAAAAAUCAUGAAAUCUUCAAAACUAUAAUUACAACAAAUAUUUUUAAUUUUAAAACUAAUUUCAUAAUUUAAAUUAAUGAUUUAAAAAAAUAAAAAUGUUAUAAAUAAUUUUUUUUAUUUUUAAUUCCAUUUAAAUGUGAUUUUUUUUAAUCUCUAUUUAUAACAAAGAAAUUAUGUUUAUAAAAGAAAAAUAGUAAAAAUGUAUAUUUCAUUUAGUUUACUUAUAAUGAACAAUUCAAACAUUAUUGAUUUUAAUUUUAUUUCAUAUGUGUUAAUUUUUGUAGGGAAUGUCUUAAUAAAAUAGUUUGGUAAAAAAAAGAAAAAAAAACUAUCAAUAAUCGUCUUAAUAUCAAAUUCAAGUUGUUUAAAAAUCAUACAAAACCUAUCAGAAGCCUUGUACACUUAGCACAUUUCUCUUGUACAAUUAGUGUAAUACCCUUAUACAAUGUCACAAAUUUCAUAUUUGUCAUAACUUAUAUGUUCAUGUAGGUGUAUUAAUCAUAUUUUCAAUUGUUUGGUUAAGAAAAUGGUAGAUGACUUAGGAUCAAAUUUUUUCCCAAAUAUCAUUAUUGGAGAAAAUAUUAGAAUUUUCAUAUGAGAGUUAAAUAAAAUAUAUGACAUAGGCAUACAAUUCUUGGGUGACAAAGAAAAAUAAAAAAGUGGUUUAGAAUAAAUUUUUCUUUUUCUUAUUUUAAUAAAUUUUCAAUUAAUUCAAAUCAUUAAAAAAAAUCCUUCAUAAACUAAUUUGUAGCAUUUCAUAUAACUUAUUACUAUAAAAGUCAUGUUCAAAAAGUUAUUAAAAUAAGGAAGGAAGAAGAUUAAAAAAAAAAAAUUGAACUUUUUAUUUUAUAAUAGUAAAAAAAAAACUUUAAAAUACUUUUUAAUAUAAAAAAAUUAAAAUAGUGAAUAUAUUUAUUUUAAAUGGUAUUUUAAUCAUUAAAUUAUUUAUUUUUAAAAUGUAAAUAAUAAAAAUAAAUGUAAAAGAUAAUUUUUAUGUAUUUAAAUUAAUAUUUUUUUAGAAAGUAUUUUCCAAAAUAGUCUUUGAAUCAUUAAUAUAAUUUUUUUAUAUUUAUAAUUUUAAAAUAAAAAAUAAUGUUAAAUUUUCAAUUAUUUACAAGAGUUCUUUUUAUAAAAAAAAUGGUUAAAUAAAAAUAGUGGCAAGUAGUAGAAUAAAGACAAAAAUGAGUCAAGUGGGUAUUUUUGUCAAUUACUAUCCCAUAUCCUUAUUAUCAAUUAUGGGUGGUUGGAGGACCAAAUGUUAAUUUUUGGGCCCAGUUGGGCCCAAAACACAAUUCUCCCUAAAUAAAUCUAAAUCAAAGCCUACUAUGGACUAGCCUUUUUCACUCGAUGAAUCCUUACUCAAAAAUGGCGAGACUUACUAUUUAGUGAGAAACUGAUUUUUAUCAUAUAUAUAUAUAUAUAAUUGUAGUUGUCACUUAUUUUUGUUUAUUUAUCGAAAGAAAAACAAAAUAAAAAAUAAAACUCUAAAAAUAACUUCUUAUUUGGAAAAACAUAUUUUUGAAAACCAAGUCCAAGUUUGAGGGUCAGGUUACCUAUUGGGAAGUCACCAUAAGGUAGCAUCCUUCUAAUCCCUAAAAUAGGUCUCUACUAAUCAAAUUGAGAUUACUAUGACAAUUGGUCAAUUAAUCAUGAAUACUAAGAAGCUAAGCCUAUAUCAAAGCAAAGUAUAGCAAAAGGCUACUCAAACAAGGCAUGCAUAUCAAAGAAUCGAAUAAAUGAGAAGGAAAUGAAAAAUGAACCAAGUGUUUUCAUAAAACAAUUGGGUUAGCUCACAAAUAAUAAUAAAUAAGGAACCAUAAGCUAGGCCUCAUAAUGAAUGUAACAUAUGCAUAUCUCAACUCAUGAAGUAAAGAAAUGAUAAGGUAUGAACAAGAGGAAAUAAGAUACAAUAAAAUAUGCUGAAAAAUUCAAACGUGACUAACAAGUUUACACUCACAAAGAUUAGUCUAAAUAAAAUACCAAAUGAGAAAUUUUGAUCCCAAGAAAGGUUUAACUAAUCCAUAUAAUAUGUCUAUAAUGUAAAUCAAGAAUAAUAAUAAAAAAAAAACACUUAUAAAUAUUUGCAAGAGGAUUGAAUUAUCAAAAUCAUGCAAAAUGUCAUUAGUAGAGCAUAACCGGGAUAUUUUCAAAAUAAAUCUUAAAUAAAUAUCUAGAGGUGUUAUUUCAUCAAAAUAAAAAAUGGACAAUAUCUUAAAUGUCUAUAUCACAAUAUAAAAAUCCAAAUUAUUUAAUUAUGUGUCAAGUAAUACCAUAUUAAAUCACACUAAAGAUACUUCAGAGAACAUUCAACAUAUGAUCAUAAUAGAGAUAUUUACAUAAUAAAUCCUAAAAAAUAUAUAUAAAAAUGGAAUUUCAUCAUAAAAAAAUUUGAAUAAUAUUUCCUGUGUCUAGAUUACAACCCAAAAGGCCAAAUUAAUUAAUUAUGCAUCAUUCAAUACUAACUUUCAUUUUACUUUUACUUUUACUACCAAAUGCAUAAGCUAAAUACCAUCCCAAAUAAAAGUAAAGAAAUAAAACACACUCAAAUUGCAAUGGAUCGAAGUCAUAGAAGGUAUGAUUAUAAAAGAAGAUGGAAAACAACUCUUAAGAGGAAUGGUGAUAAGCUUUUUAAAAGCAUGUAUCAUGGGGGAAAAAUGAAAUAUUGAAUUAAUAAAAUUUGAUUCAAAGUGAAGAUAACUAGAAAAUAUGUCAAAUUCCUAAUUGAUACAUAUUAUAUUUUUAAAGAAUAUUAUAUAAAAUAUUUCCUUAAGUUGAUAUGUUAUUAUAAUAUUAGAUUUUUUUUAUAAAAUAAAGAAAAUUAUUAUAAAUAUUUUAAUAAAUAUUAUAGGUCAUCAAAUGAGAAAGUUACAAGAUGAAGACCAAUAUAAUAUAUUUUAUGACCAAUAAUUAUAUCUAAUUUCUAUCUUUUAUAGUAUUUUUUUAAAGUAUAGAUAAAAUAUUCUAUUUCAUUUGUAGAUUGACACGAUUGGUCUAAUUAGGUAAAAACCCUAUGUAACUUUGCACAUAGAUUGUUUGUUUAAUUUCGUAUUUCGAUAUUAAUAUGUUUGUAUUAAAACUUUACUGAUAUAGUACCGGUCAUCAGUGCAACCACCAUUUCUCUCAUGACAAAAAUAGUGAGGAAAAAGACUUGGGAUAUGUGUUUGUAAAUGAACUCCUUUGCAUGGUGGAGUGCAUAGAAAGGUUGAGGCAUACAAUAAAUGUAGAUGUGGAGAGCAUCAUGGCGAGGAGUAAUGGGCACAACAAAUACUUUAAAUGUUGUCAUGUGGAUUUCUUUGACAUAAACUAUUUUAAUGACACAACAAUUAUAAGUGAAUGUUUAUAAAUUUUACUUUUUGAUUGAUUUAAUUAUAUGUGGGUAUAAUUUUAAAUACCUAUUAUUAAUUAAAAGGGUAGUUCCAACUACCUACUACUCUCUAUUUUGGCAUAGUACAAUGGAUUUAAUGCUAUUUUGUACAAGUAUUAAUCUAUAAAACUAAAGCCAAGACAACAUAAAAAAUAUUUUGUAAAAAAAGUUUCAAUCAAAGUGGUAGAUGUUUGUGUCUUAAAGCCCAACCAACUUUGUUGUCAGAGUUAAAAGUCCUGUCAAUUUUGUUGUUGGAGUUAAAAGCCCUACCAACUUUGUUGUUGGAGUUAAAAGCCCAAUCAACUUUGUUGUCUGAGUUAAAAUGAGUAGUUGGAAGUAGAUCAUAACUAACAUAAUUACUUAUGUCGAGUAAGGAUGAAAAUAUUGGUAAUCACAUAUAUAAUAAUAUUUUAAUUUUACAGAUGUAUUGAAAAUAUAUCGGUGACACAAAAUAUUGGUGGACCUAAAAUUGAUUAGAAUUUAUAGAAAUAUAUAUAUAAAAAAAAAAUCUUAGAAAUGAAACUAGAAAUAUGAUAGACAUUUUAAAGUUGUUUUGUUGAAAAAAUUGAUAUUUGUAUAAUAUAAUUUAUCAUAUUUGAUAAUUACAUUGUAUACGUCAAUAAAAAAAUAUAAAUUUUAUAAGUAUAUAUUUAUUAUUAAAUUAUAUCAAAUAUUAUUGGAUAAUAAUAUUGUGAUAUUUGAUUAUAAUAUGUCUAAUUUUAAAAUAUAUUUAAUAUUAAAAUUAUAAUCCAUUUAAUUCAAUUGUAUUAAAUGAUAUAAAAUAAAUGAUGAUAUAUGUAUAAUUUUUUUGAAUGAAUAUAAAAACAAAUAAAAUUUAGUUUUUAAGGUAUAAAUUAGCCAAAAAUUUCAUUAUAUGCAUAUAUUUAUUAUUCAAUUAUAAAGAUGACAUUCCAAAUUAUUUUAUUUUAUUUAUAAUUAAUGAAUCAGUUUUUUGAAUUUCAAAUUAUUCUUAAAAAUUACAAGAUGUAUUAAAGAAAUAUAUAUAUAUAUAUAUAUAUAUAUAUAUAUUCAAGUUUUAAAUUAUUUUUUAACAUUAUUAAACUUAUUAAUAAGGUCUUACUUCGUUUGAAAUUCAUUUUCUCUAAUACAAAAAUCAGAAGAAUAAUUUUCUAUUUUACUUUGUUUUAAAAAAUUGUUUUUAAAGAAUAACAACCAAAUAGUGAUAUAAAUUUUUUUAAAACAAUUUUUUUAAAAAAUCACACGCCCAUAUAGGUUUUUAUUAUUUGGAAAAAAUCAAGGAUAUUUUUAAAAUGAAUAUAAAAAAUUAUUUCAAACUAUGUACAAUGUGACAUUUUUUUUAAAUAAAUAUAAAAAUAAAAAAUUAUUUUAAACCAUAAGUAUGGAUAUCAUUGAAAAUUUAUUUAUUUUUUCAUUUUUAUUCCCAUUUUUACUUAAAAUUCAAAUGGAAACAAAUUAUCUUUUUUAUCUUACAUUUCUAUAUGCAUUCAAAUAAAAUAAUUAAAAUUAUCAAAUUUAUUCCUAUUUAAAAAAAUAAAAAUAAAAAUGAAAUAUUUAUUCUCAUAUUCGUAUCAAACUUGCUCUAAUAUAUAAAAUAACUGGCAAGGGGAUAGAAGAAGCUGCCGAGGAUACAACUAAAGGUGAGAAUUGGGAGUCCAAAGGAAUGUGGCAGUACAGCAUACAGGCCCGUCAUGAAUGCUACCACCAUUGCUUCCAUCCCAAACAUGGUGAGAUAAGAGGCACAUAAAAACAAGAGUAGCCAUAUCGUCCUACUAAGUUCAACUACCAGUGCCAUAAGAAAAUAAAAGAAUACAGCAGAUACCGAGAGCAUCAGGGCUAUGGUAUCCGACACAACAAAUGUUUGAAAGAUGCUUUCUUUGUUAAGAUUGCCAUCCCAUCUGUGUCGCUGUAACCACCGGGCCAGGUGAAGCCUGCCGCAAAGGCUACUGUGCCCCAUGAAAAUUUAUUCCGAGAAGAAAUAAAAUUGUCAGAAAAGUUCAACUUUCUUUUGUUCCUUUCCAUCUUAUCCACCGUUUUGUCCAAUAUGAAUUCUACAUCAUUAACUCCGAAAGAAGCAAGCAGGUGGAGGGGUGUGUCUCCUUGAGCAUCUUUCUCAUUUACAAGUCCUCUCACUCUUAAUCCAUCCUUUAUUAAUAACUCACUACCAAAACGAGAAGCGUGCUUCUUCAUCAUGGCGAAGUGAAAAACAUUAUUGCCAUUUUCAUCAACCUGCUCACAACAAUCUGGAGCGUGUGACAGCAGCUACUUUACUAUGUCCAUACAGCCAUAGUAACUUGCAAUGUGAAGGGCUGUUCUGUUGCUAUUUUUUAUUCCAAGGUAGAUUACAGACUUGUCUUGUGAUGAUCCGUCUAGUAAUUGCUUGGUAAUUGCGGCAUCACGUAUGUAUGCAGCACAAUGAAGCGGAGACCAGCCAUUUUCAUCCACUUCUUUGAUUAGCAUUGGCUUCCAUUCUAGUAUCUUCUUUGUCAUUGCUGAUCAAAUAAAUAAAUGUAGAAAGAGAGGUCAAGGAAUGUUAAAGAAAAUUAAUUAUAAAAUGAAUAACCUAAUGCAUUACUAUAGACCCUUAUAUGCGCUACCUUGGUGACGGCAGAGUACAGCGGCAUGCAAAACUGUUCUACCCUCGAUGCCUUUGUGAUCUGAUGAAGGGCUGGUGUUUAUGAUUAUUUUCACCAAGUCCCCAUAUCCUUUCUCGGCAGCCAUGUAAAGAGGAGUGUAGCCUAUACUGUUAGCACCAUAGAUGAAGUGAGGGUCUGCCUCAAUCAAAAACUUGACCACUUUUGAGUGAUGAUACCGCACCGCCUCAUGCAAGGCUGUGUCUUUCCCCUUAUUGGUCAUCCUCAGCAUCGCUUUGUCUGUUCCGACCCCACUUUCGAUCUCUAAGUGAAGUGCUUUUGCAUCAAGGAGAGCUUCCACAACCGCCCUAUGGCCUUCUCUCGCAGCAAGGUGAAGUGGAGUGGAGUGUCGCCUUUCAGAUUGAGCUGCUGCAGUAGAGGUGAACAUGAAUGAAAUUCAAGGAUCCACUCUACGCAUGCCAGCUGACCGAACUGGGCUGCAAUGUGGAGGACAGUGUUCCUUUUUGGGGUUAGUUGGGGUUGAAGAUGAGCAAAUUCCGAGUACUUCCCUUUGAGGAAACUGAUUCACCUCUAUACAAAGUCUUGUACAAAUCAGCAUCCAUGUGGGGGAUCUCAGUUUGGCUAACAGCUGCAAUCUGGUUCGGCAUCUCAGUUUGCCUUGAAAAGGUUACCGAGUUAAGGUUCUUCGAUUCUGUAAUUUGAUUGGAGCUGGACUGAUCCAUUAUUGGUGUUGGAGGAACAAAGUAAUAAUCAACUCUUCACAGUCUAUCUAUCCAUCUAUCUAUAUAUAUAUAUAUAUUUAUAUUUAUAUUUUGUGAGCAAUUCCCUUCAAGCUUUGACCUUAAUUGAAAGAUAUUUUAUGCCCUAUCCCUUCAAGCUUUUGCCCUUAAUUGAGAGAUAUUUUAUGUAGAGCAUAUGUGGUAAGGGCUUUUGUAAGUUGUUUGCCCGCAUAUAUUUUUCUCUUUCUUUCUUAUGAGGUUUUUCUGUCUUUUCUGACAGCUCCCGUUUUUAUUUACUUGGUGAGAUUUUUAUGAAAGGGUUGUGAAGCCACUGCAAAACGGGUAGACUACUUUAGGCAACAGCAAUAGAAGAUGCUCGUGGAAAAUGAUGAAGAAAAGCUUAUCCCUAGGAACUUAAUUUUGAAAAAUAAUGUAUAUUUUUGGUGGUUUAAGCAGGUAAUAAUAAAUCCUCUCAAGAAAGACAUUAUAAUAUUUAAUGAAUUUGAAAUAAUAUAUCAUUUUGGAUUAUUAUAAAUAUUUAUGGUUAUGGAAUUUAUAAUCAUUAUAAUUCUUUCAAUGGAAUUUGACAUAUGUCAUUUAUGGCUAAGAGUGUGUUAGUUGAUCAUAAUAUAGGUGGAUGAAAGACUCAAGAAUUGGAGAUUGAUAGCUACUACCUUGUUGAAUCGUGGACAUCAAUUUAUAAAGGCCUUGCAUGAAAUGAAUAAUAGGUUAUAAACACGAGAAAUUAAUUAAUUAAGGUUAUUGGUGGUUUAAGCAAGUAAUAAUAGAUACUCUUAAUAGAUACCAUAAUAUAUCAUGAGUUUAAGAUAAUAUCUCUCAUUAAGUGAUCUUAAACAUUUAUGAUUAUGAAAUUUAUGGUCAUUAUAAUUUUUUCAAUUGAAUUUGAUAUAUGUCAUUUGCGGUUAAGGGUAUGUUGGUUGGUCAUGAUAUAGGCAUAUGGAAGACUCAAGAAUUGGAGAGAGAUUGAUAGCAUGUCUUCAAAUCAAAUGAUAAAAGAAAAAACUAAAGAUUUGAAAGAAAUUGUGGAUUACAAAGUUAUCGAUUUUUUAAUUUGUAAAAAGUUAUAAUUUACAAAAAAAGAAAAGAAAAAAUUCUAUUAUGAAAGGGUCCAUAUAUAUAAAAUAUUUAUAAAAUAUAAUUUCGAUAUAUUCUAAAAAAUUUUAAAAUGAUUGACCUUUGGGUCAUUUAAAAUUUGUGUGCCUAUUCAUAGAAGUAUUUAAUGAAAUAUUGCUUAAUUUAUUGAAAUCUAAAUUGUAUCAUUAAUGUGGACACAUGUACAAUAGCCAUUAAUUAUAAUAAAAUGACAUAACUAAAUAAAAUAUAAGAUGAUGAUUUUAAAGACUUAGGCAUGGUAUCUGAUAAGAGUUAAUACUUGAUACAUAAUUAUUAUACGUGACUUUAAGUAAACUUAUGUUUAAACCAUCAAUUUAAAACUUAUUAUAAAGUUAUAUUAUCAAAUUAACACAUUUACCUUCAUCAAUACUAAAAAUGGGAUUAAGAAACACAAAAAUAAAGAGACAUAUUAAUGUUAUUUUAGGUUGAAUUAUAUAUACUUAUUUAUUAUUUAGUUAUUUAAAAAUAAAUUUAUUACUUCACAUUAAUAAUAAUAAAUACUUCAUUAAGUCAUCUUUAUUUUUUUAAUUAUUAUUUUUAAAUGGUAAAUUAAUUUACUUUUAUAUUUUAAAAUCUAUAAAAUUAAUUAUUAUAUUUCUUUUUAUUUUAUUCAUUUAAGAUAAAAAAAAAUAGUUAAAAUUAAUAAUUUGAAAAAGGAAUAGCAAUGUAAUAAAUUUCCAAACAUCAAAAUUAAUUAACAUAAUAAAAAAUUUCCAUUUUGAGUAAUAGCUCAUGAGAAAAUUUUAUAUUACAAUUUCUUAAGAAUUAAGAGAAACUAUAAUUAAAAACAAAGUCCAUUCAAACUAAAUAAAUCAAAAUUUUAAAUUUAUUUUUAAGACAACAAUUAUCAAAGUUUUGAAAAUAAAAAUAAAUUGAAUUAAAUAAUAUAGAAAGAAAAAAUAAAUAAAUAACUAAACAAAUAGAUGUAAUGUAUGAUAUUAAUGGGUAAUUAAUUAUUCAUGGGUGGCACCCAUUUUAGGGCUUACAUCAUAUGCAUCUUCUUAAGGAUUAUAUUUCAAGUCAUGCUUUCAGAUAGAGUGAUAUUUAAAAUGGAUUAUUAAGAGUCCAUUUGGCUGUGAUUUUAAAAUUUUUAUCAUUCAAAUGGUAAAAAAGUUAAAAACAUUUUCUAUAAUCACUAUCAUACAUAUUAGCUCAAGGGUUCUCCUAUUUAGGUUUUGAUGAUAACAAAAUAUAGUUAAAUUACUAAUUGGUUUGAAUUGUAAAGAAUCUCAUGUAUUAAUUUAGAAAUUCAUCAAAUGACCUAAUGGAUACAAAAUCAAGACAUUUGGAAAACCUUUAAUCAUAGGAAAUAAAUGUAAGAUGAAUACAUGAGUGCGUUUUACACAUGAUUUCAUGCAUAUUUGGAAAACUCAAUUUAUUCUUUAAAGUUACAAUUUCAUUAAAACCCGAGUUUUCUCAAAUGUACCUUAGGCAAAACAUUUCAAAAUUGGCAUAUUAAUUUACCUAAAGACCUUGCCUAAGUGUUAGAAGAGAAAAUAACAGAAAAAUAUAGGUUUUCGAAGCCAAAAUGUUGAAUCGGUCAAGGCACUGGGCCAAAUGGCUCAAUUGACUAGGGUAUCAAUUGACUGGUUCCCCUUGCCCAGUUGAGAUCCAGUCGAGGAGUGUUACAAACACUCUCUCUCUCCUAGUAGCCUUUCCUUCCUGGUCGAGGUAUCAUUUUUCCCGAUCGACCUCUGAUCGAGGUCUAGUCGAAAUUCGAUCGAAGAAACGGUAACCUGCCACAUCAUUAAAUGCUCCAAUGGCUAGUGAUCCGGUUGACCCCCGCUCGAUCGGUUGAGGCUGCUUUUUAUUUUUCUUGGCUCCUGAGGUUAAAAACCUAUAAAUAGAGAGCUCCACUUUAUUUAUGAGUAAGAGAACAUCUGCAUUUAUUUGUCUACCCACUUGUUCUUGCCUUCAAAGCUCUUAUUUCUUUCUUGGUGCAUUAAAUCUUCACUUGCAUAUCCUUUAGUGCACCUUUGUGAUUCAUCCUAGCUCUGAUUUGUAUUUGAGCUAUCAUUGAACUAGGUUGAGGGAUUCUUUCUUGUAAAAUUGACUGUUAAAACCUUCAAGUGAGUUGAAUCUUGAAGAGAUUGUGUAAGAGCCCAUUAAAGCUGGAAUCUAAGUGUAAAGGAGAUUAGAAGUUUGGUUGAAGUUGUAAGUUAGUNNNNNNNNNNNNNNNNNNNNNNNNNNNNNNNNNNNNNNNNNNNNNNNNNNNNNNNNNNNNNNNNNNNNNNNNNNNNNNNNNNNNNNNNNNNNNNNNNNNGAAUGACGUAGCAGAAAGUGUCNACCACUAUAAAUCUGAGUUUAAUUUCUCUAACUCUAUCUCUUUAUAUUUGCUUCUAUUGUGCUUGAAUUUGUUGUGCUAAAAAAGAAUUUAAAAAACCCAAUUCACCUCCCCUCUUGGGUGUUUUUCUUAUUUAAGUUUAGCUUUUAUUUUCUUAAUUGGUAUUAGAUCUAGGCCUCUUGUUUAAGACUUAAUCGUCUAAAAGGAAAUGGUUAUUCCGUCAAACUCAUCUCACAUUGAAAGUUUUGCAAAAAAUAAAGCUCCAUUUUUUACGGGAACUGACUAUCCCUAUUGGAAAACUAAAAUGACUUAAUAUUUACAAUCAACCGAUUUAGAUGUAUGGGACGUCAUUGAAGAUGGCCCAACUUUUCUUUCAAAACUAGUUGAUGGAGUUAUGGUUCAAAAACCCAAGCAAGAAUGGAAUAAGCUUGAUAGAAGAAACUUUCGAUUAAAUGCUAAGGUCGUUUUCACUUUACAAUGCUAAAGAAUCGAAUGGAUAAAAAUGAAUAUAAUAGAAUAUGUCAAUGCAAAUCGGCUAAAGAAAUUUGGAGAUUGCUGGAAAUAACUCAUGAAGGAACAAAUCAAGUGAAAAAGUCAAAAAUCAAUUUACUUGUUCAUAGUUAUGAAUUUUUUUUAUGAAAGAAAAUGAAACUAUUGUUGAGAUGAUCACUAGGUUCACUAACAUUGUCAAUGGUCUUGAAAUAUUGGGAAAGACCUACAAGGAAUCCGAAAAGGUGAUGAAGAUCUUAAGGUCACUCCCAUCAAAGUGGCAUACAAAGGUCACCGCAAUUCAAGAAGCCAAAGACUUGACCAAGCUACCUAUGGAGGAGCUCAUAGGGUCAUUAAUGACAUAUGAGAUCAAUUUGGCAAAGAAGCUACAAGAAGGUGAAGACAAAAAGAAAAAAAGCAUAGCUCUCAAAGCUACAACUGAGGAAGAAGAAGAAGUUGAAGAAGAAAAACAAAGUGAAGAACAUGAUGAUUUAGCCCUCAUAACAAGAAAUCUCAACAAAUACAUGAAGGGUGAAAGGUUUAGAGGAAGAAAGUUCACCUCUAAAAGAGACCUUUCUAAAAAGGAAUCUUCAUCUCAUGGUGACAAGGAGAAAUGAGAAGAGAAAAGAGAUUUGGUGUGUUUCAAAUGUAAGAAACCGGAACACAUUAAAUAAGAUUGUUCUCUCUACAAAAGUGAAGCCAAAAGGAGAAUGAAGAAGGCAAUGAUGGCCACUUGGAGUGAAAGUGAAGAAUCCUCCAAAGAAUAAAAGGAGAAAAAAGUGGCAAACAUGUGCUUCAUGGCAAUAGAUGAACUUGAUGAGGUAAACUCUAACUUUAGUGAUGAAGAUAUGCAUGAUGUUUUUGAAUAAUUGUAUGAGGAUUUUGAAAAACUUAGUUUGAAAAAUAUUUCUCUUAAAACAAAAAUUCAACAACUUGAAAAAGAACUUGGAGAAAUAAAAGAAAAAUUUUCAAAUGUUGAAAUUUAUAAAACUCAUCUUGAAAAAAAAAAUGAGAUUUUGAGAAAGAAAAAUAAAUGGUUGACCUCCUCUCUUUCAAUAUUUUCUUGUAGACAAAAAUAUUUUGAAAUGAUUCUAGCUAGCCAAAAAUGUGUUUUUGACAAACAAUGGGUAGGAUUCAAAUCUUCAAAAAAUCAAAAGUAUUUUAAAAACUAUUUUGUAAAAGAAUCCACAAGUGCAAGUCCUUCCACUACUUGCGACUUUUGUGGAAGAGGAGGGCACAUUAGUAGUACAUGUCCUUUAAGAAAUGGUUCUCAAAAUUAUUCAAAUGCAAAAGCUAAAAAGGUUUGGAAUGAAAAAUCCAAGGCCACUAAUCCUCAAGGACCCAAAAAGACAUGGGUACCUAAAUCAACUUGAGUUUUAUAUUGUAGGGUUCAAAGAAUGAUAAGUGGUUCUUAGAUAAUGAAUGCUCAAGACACAUGACCGGAGAUGAAUCCAAGUUUGAUUUCCUUACAAAGAAAAAUGGAGGAUAUGUUAACUUUGGAGACAAUGCAAAGGGAAGAAUCAUUGGUUAAGGCAACAUUGGUAAUAACACAUCCUCUCUUAUUGAAAGUGUUUUAUUAGUAGAUGGUUUAAAACAUAACCUUUUAAGCAUUAGUCAACUUUGUGACAAAGGUUUUAAAGUGAUUUUUGAAACAUCUUAUUGCAUCAUCAAGGAUAUUCAAAAUGAUAAAACCAUCUUCAUGGGCCAUAGAUGUGAUAAUGUUUACGCUAUAAAUAUUUCAAAAUAUGAUGGCCAUGAUAGAUGCUUUUAAAACAUGCAUGAUCAAAGUUGGUUGUGGCAUAGGAGGUUUGGACAUGCUAACAUGGACCUCGUUUCCCAACUCAACAAAGAUGAACUUGUUAGAGGCCUUUCCAAAAUAAAUUUUCAAAAAGACACAGUUUGUGAAGCUUGUCAAAUGGGAAAGCAAAUAAAAAACUCUUUCAAAAACAAAAACUUCAUUUCCACAUCUAGGCCACUUGAGUUGUUGCAUAUGAAUUUAUUUGGUCCCUCUAGGACACCAAGUCUUGGAGGAAAGUCUUAUGCAUAUGUUAUUGUGGAUGACUUCUCGAGAUACACAUGGGUCUUAUUUUUAGGUAAAAAGAAUGAAGCCUUUUAUGAAUUUUCAAAGUUUUGCAAUAAGGUUCAAAAUGAAAAAGGUUUUACAAUUACUUGUAUAAGAAGUGAUCAUGGGAGAGAAUUUGAAAAUAUUGAUUUUGAAUAGUAUUGUAAUGAGCAUGGAAUUAACCACAAUUUUUCGACUCUUAGAACUCCUCAACAAAAUGGGGUAGUUAAAAGAAAAAAUAGAACUCUUCAAGAAAUGGCUAGAACCAUGCUAAAUGAAAACAAUUUGCCAAAUGUUUUUGGGUCGAAGUGGUUAACACUUUUUGUUAUGUUUUAAAUCGGAUGUUGGAAUUAACCACAAUUUUUCGGCUCCUAGAACUCCUCAACAAAAUGGGGUAGUUGAAAGAAAAAAUAGAACUCUUCAAGAAAUGGAUAGAACCAUGCUAAAUGAAAACAAUUUACCAAAAUAUUUUUGGAUCGAAACGAUUAACACUUUUUGUUAUGUAUUAAAUAGAAUAUUAUUGAGGCCCAUUCUUAAGAAAACUCCCUAUGAGCUUUGGAAAAACAAGAAACCCAACAUUAGCUAUUUCAAAGUCUUUGGGUACAAAUGUUUUAUAUUAAACACCAAAGACAAUCUUGGAAAAUUUGAUGCAAAAUCGGAUGUUGGAAUUUUCCUUGGUUACUCAACUUAAAGUAAAGCUUUUAGAGUUUUUAACAAAAGAACCAUGGUUGUAGAGGAGUUCAUCCAUGUUAUUUUUUAUGAAUCUAACAAUUCUCUCCAAGAAAGAGAGAGUUUUGAUGAUAUUUAGGUUUGGAGACCUCCAUGGGAAGAUUGCAAAUUGAAAAUAGAAGGCAAGAAGAAGUAAUUGGAGAGGAUCCCAAGAAAGAAGAAUCACCAUUGGCACUACCCCCUCCGUAACAAGUGAAAGGUGAAUCAAUCCAAGACCUUCCUAAAGAUUGGAAGUUUGUCAUCAAUCACCCAUAAGAUCAAAUUAUAGGUAAUCCAUCUAGUGGGGUAAGAACUAGAUCAUCUCUUAGAAACAUUUGCAAUAAUCUUGCUUUUAUCUCUCAAAUUGAGCCUAAAAAUAUAAAUGAUACUUUAGAUGAUGAAAAUUGGAUGAUUGUUAUGCAAGAAGGGUUAAAUCAAUUUGAAAGAAGUGAAGUAUGAGAAUUAGUACCAAGACCUUCAAAUCAAACUGUUAUUGGAACUAAAUGGGUCUUUAGAAAUAAAAUGAAUGAAAAUGACAUAAUUGUUAGAAAUAAAGCAAGAUUGGUAGCCCAAGGUUUUAAUCAAGAAGAAGGGAUAGAUUAUGAAGAAACCUUUGCCCCCGUAGCUAGGUUGGAAGCCAUUAGAAUGUUACUUGCCUUUGCAUGUUUUAAAGAAUUUGUUUUAUAUCAAAUGGAUGUGAAAAGUGCUUUUUAAAAUGGCUUUAUAAAUGAAGAAGUAUAUGUUGAACAAUCACCCGAUUUUCAAAGUUUUAACUUUCCUAACCAUGUUUUUAAACUUAAGAAGACACUUUAUGGUUUGAAACAGACACCUAGAGCAUGGUAUGAAAGAUUGAGUAAAUUUCUUUUGAAAAAAUGUUUUUAAAUGGGAAAAAUUAACACAACUCUUUUCAUAAAAACCAAAGAAAAUGAAAUGCUCUUAGUUCAAAUAUAUGUUAAUGAUAUUAUUUUUGGUACUACUAAUGUCUCUCUUUGUGAAGAAUUUUCUAAGUGCAUGCAUAGUGAGUUUGAAAUGAGCAUGAUGGGAGAACUCAACUUCUUCCUUGGACUUCAAAUCAAGUAACUAAAGAAAGGAACCUUCAUCAAUCAAGCAAAGUAUAUAAGAGAUCUUCUCAAAAGGUUCAACAUGGAAGAAGCCAAAAUAAUGAAGACUCCAAUGAGUUCAUCCAUCAAGCUUGAUAAGAAUGAAAAAGGUAAAUCCAUUGACUCUACCAUGUAUAAAGGCAUGAUAGGUUCUUUGCUAUAUUUGACCGCUAGUAGACCCGACAUUAUGUAUAGUGUUUGCUUAUGUCCUAUAUUUCAAUCUUGUCCUAAAGAAUCUCACUUAAGUGCCCUAAAAAGAAUUCUCAGAUAUUUGAAAGGAACAAUGGACAUAGGCUUAUGGUAUCCUAAGAGUGAUAACUUUGAAUUAAUUGGUUUUUCGGAUGCCCAUUUUUUCGAUUAUUACUUUUUGAUUGAUCUAAUUAUGUGUGGAUAUAAUUUUAAAUGCCUAUUAUUAAUUAAAAGGUAGUUCCAACUACCUACUAUUCUCUAUUUUGACAUAGUACAAUGGAUUCAAUGCCAUUUUGUAUGAGUAUUAAUCUAUGAAAUUAAAGUGAAGGCGUAAAAGAUAAUUUUAAGAUUUUUUUCUUAGCAUAAAGGAAAGUUCUCUGUCCAAAUACGAUUUGGAUUUUCUCUUUCUUUCUGACAUAGAUAAGAGCAGUCUAUAAAAGUGUCAAAAUUAGACUAAUCUGUUCUUAGUUUAGGGAUAAUAUCUGAACCCACACUACAUAUUUUCUACAACAAUAGUGGCUCGCAUCAAGGCCUGGCAGAGGAUGAAAUUUGUAGAUGGGUUAGGCAGGGGGCCCAAUGUGAUUGGGUCGUAUUUAGGGCGGGCCAGGCCUGAUCUAAGUGUGAAUGCUAUUAUAUGGAUUUUGAAAGGCCAAGGCUGAGCCCAGCCCCCAAAUGUGCAGGCUUGGUAGAUCAACCUGGUUAAGCAAAAGCAAGAUGAGUUUGGAAUCCGACGGGGAAAAGGGCAGCAAUGGUAGGGCCCACUUUCCUUUGAAACCUUGUUCAGUCGUCCGUCCCCACUCCUUUGAUUGCGUACGACAAACCACCCAUGGGCUUGCGUUUUUAUUUUUAUUUAUUAGUUCAUUUUUUUUAUAUCUUUAAUUUGUUUCUUAAUUAAUUCAAAUGUUUUAAUAAAGUUUACAAGAUCCACUAAUGGAACAUCAUGACACACUUUCAUGUAAAUUAAUAAUUUCACUCCCAUAAAGAAAAUGAGAUCUUGCCCAUUGCAAAUAAAUCAAUUAGCAUAAAUAUAUCAUUAUUAAUUAAUUUUUUAUAUUAUUAAUUACAUUUAAAAUAGAAAAAAUACAUCAUCUAUUUCUAAGUAUAAUGCAUUACUAUUUGAUAUCAUAAAUUUUAUCUUCAUAAAAUCCAAUAAUUAAUAUUUACCAAUUUAUGACAUUUUGAUCAUAUAAUUUAUCAAUUAUUGAAAUCAAACAUAUUUAAAAAUAUUUACAAAGUAAUCCUUUGUUUGAAAAAAUUUAAAAUGAUGUAUAAAAUUUUCAAAAUGAAACAUUUUUAUUUUUUAUAAAGUGUGAAUGUAAAAAUUAUUUAUAUAUUUAUAAUAUCAAUUAGUUAAAUAAAAUACUCAACUUUAAAAAACAAAACCAAUUAUUAUUAUCUUCUAUUGAAUUUUUUUAUUUUUAUCAUUUUUUCAUUAAUCGAGAGGAGUUACAAAAAAAAUUCAAUUAAAAAAACCCAACUUUUAAACAUGUUUUUAUUUUAUUUUUUUUCUUAACUUAACCAAAUAUAUUUUUUAGGUUUUUAAGAACAAAAUUGUUUCUUAAAAUUCAGUUUUUAAACGUAAUUUUAUUUUUAAAAAUAUAAAAAACUAUUCUUAAAAACUAUUUUCCAAAACAAUUUUUUCUAAUUAGGUUUUUGCAAUAGUGAUGAAGGACAACGCAGUUGAAGGAUCCCUUUGACUUGGGCCGCAACAUGGAUUACUGUGUUCUUUUUUGGGGUUAGUUGGACUUGAAUAUCAUAUUGCUCUAAGUACAUGGGUGUCACCUGUUAAGAUAUGGACUCACAUAUCUAACAAUAGUUCGUGAUUAUGCUAUUCACCCUUAUAUGUGUAUUUGUUUUUUGUUCGUUCUAAGUAUGGGCCAUCUCAUGUGUAGAGCCCAAUACUAUAUGUGUCUCAAAUGAUGGACCUAAGACACAUAUGGCCCAAUCUUAGUUUACCCGAAAUGGUCUCUAAGGCAGGAGGGUAUAUAAAGGGUAAGUGUCAAGUCUUAAAGAACACAUCUUUUGAAAUAAAAAAAAUGACAGUACCCAUUCUCUCAAGCUCCCAUCGUUAGAGAGAAAACUAGAAAGAGGUGGUGCCCACCAUAGCCUUAGAAGAUCCAUACCGUCUUCAAAUGCACAAUGGACUCAGGUUAGUUUGGAUUGUAGCAUUCCGCAAAACAUUUCAGGCAUAAUUUCUUUGUAUGAUUUAACAUGAGAUUCCUGGUAGAGUACAAUUGAAUCAUUAAGAAAUGACAUAUUAGGGCAAUAACAAUUGUACUGGUUUUGUUUUUCUAUUCAAAUGGACUCAGACGUCAUACCAGGCGUCAUUUGUAGCGCCAUUGGAAGUGUGUUUCAUGCACUUCAGGCGCAUUUUGAGGCACCCGCCCAGACGCCGUCCCAGGCGGCGUUCAGACACCGUUCAGGGUGCCACUUUGGCGCAGUUCAGGGUGCCACUUUGGCGCAGUUCAGGGCGUUGCUCUAGGCGACGUUUUUAGGACACCAUUUCAGGCGCUCUAGACCAUAUCUCCAAGUCACGACAUUGCGCCGAUUUUUUUGGGGUUGCCGGGUACGCCGUUGUUGCUGGCGUUCCAGGUGCCGUUUCAGCGCCGUGGGUGACGUUGUUUCUUAACGACGCUGUUACAGCGUCUUUCCUGUGUAGGCGUUGGCUGCAACUGCAAAGAGAGGCGCAUUGGAGCGCCAUUGGAGGCACGUUGGAGUGCCAUUGGAGGUGCGUUGGCCUUGCGCCGCUGCUGCAGGCGUCACUAGAGGACUGUUGUCGGUGCUGUGGCUGCAAACGAACCAAGGUCGUUUGGGGCUGCAGCAAACCCUAAAAAAAAAAAAAAAGGAAGGAAAAACCACCAAUAGGGCUCGAACCCACGACCACAAGAUUGAAAACCUUGUGCUCGACCAACUAGGCUAUGGGACUCUUAUGUUCAUUUAUGAAUUUUGUACUAUAAUAAAAUUAAGGUUUUGAUGAAUUGUUGUACUCUUUUACUAGAAUUUAUUAUUUCUUGUUACGUUUAUGUUUAACAUUUCAAAAUGAAUAGGUUAUCUAUAUAUUUGUUACCAAAGUGACUUAUAUUAUAUAAUUUUAUUCAUUUUGAAGUACAAGACAUGUUAUUAUUGUAUAAAAUAAUCGACCCAAAGGAAGAUUAUUUUUUAUAUGAUAAUAAAUAAAGAAGUCAUAAAUAUGUGACAUAUAAUGUUUAUCCUGCAUUCGAUAUGUUAGUCCAAAGACAGACAUAUUGUUUUCAAUUUUAUUGUCAAUAUUUAUGAAUUAAUUUUGAAUAAUAAUACCAAUUACAAGUUAAUAUUUAUUGUCCAAAAACAGAAUAUUAAUGUUUGUGCUAGGUAUCUUGUAUAAUGUUAUUUUUCAUGUAUGUAUGAUGCUUAUGUGAUUGAUUGUGAGCUUUAUUAUUAUGAAUUCAACAUAUUCUAUAUUUGCAAAUGUCAAUAACAUUCCUGUGCUUAAUGGCACAAACUUCAAGAAAUGGAAGGAGCAUGUUAUAAUUGUGAUCGGGUGCAUGGAUUUAGACUUUGCAUUAAGAGAGGAUCGCCCUUCAGAUCUUACUAGUGCUAGCACUGCUGAGCAAAGGUCUACUAUGGAAAAAUGGGAACAAUCCAAUCGCAUGAGUCUAAUGAUAAUGAAGCACUCAAUUCCAUAAGCUAUAAGGGGUGCAAUACCUGAGGAAACCCAAGCCAAGGCAUUCUUAGACCAAAUAGUAAACUGAUUCGCUGCAAACGAAAAGGUUGAGACAAGCACUAUUCUUAGUAAGCUUGUCUCUAUGCAGUACAAAGGGAAAGAGAAUAUAAGGGAGUACAUUAUGGAAAUGUCUAAUCUUGUGACGACACUCAAGGCCCUAAAGUUAGAGUUGUCAGAAGACAUACUCGUGCACUUGGUCUUGAUCUCUCUACCUACACAAUUCAGUCCAUUCAAAAUCAGUUACAACACACAAAAGGAAAAAAUGGAUUUUGAAUGAGCUUAUUGCUCAAUGUGUACAAGAGGAGGAGAGAUUGAAACAAGAAAAGAUAGAAAGUGCUCACUUGGCUUCCACAUCUCAGGGAUUUGGUACUAGUAAGAAAAGAAAUAAGAACAAUAAAGGAAAACAAACUACAGUUUCUGGGACAUCAAAGCAAAAUGAGCAAAAAAAACAAGAUAAGGAGAUCACUUGUUUCUUUUACAAGAAGGCUGGUCAUAUGAAGACAUGUACAAAAUACGCUACUUGGCAUGAAAAGAAAGGUACACUUCUCAACUUUGUUUGUUCAAAAAUAAAUUUAAGCAUAGUGCCUACUGACACUUGGGGGAUAGAUACGGGUGCAACUACUCACAUAAGUGUCACUAUGCAGGGUUGCCUAAGGAGCCGAAUGCCAACUGACUAUGAAAGAUACAUCUAUGUGGGAAAUGGCAACAAGGCUGCAGUCAAGGCUAUUGGUAUUUUCAAAUUACAGUUAGACUCUGGAUGUAUUUUGGAUUUGGAAGAGACUUUUGUAGUACCGUCAUUUAGACAGAAUUUAAUUUCUGUUUCAUGUUUGGACAAAUUUGGAUAUUGUUAUUCAUUUAGAAAUGGAAUGUUUAGUCUUUAUCUAAAUUCAAAUAUUAUUGGUACAGGUAGUCUAACAGACAAACUAUAUAAAUUGAACAUAAAGGCCACUAAUGGAAAUGAAACCUUGCAUUCAAGUAAUUAUGGCAUUAAGCGAAAAUUAACGAAUGAGAAUUCAUCAAUGUUAUGGCACAGGCGUUUGGGUCAUAUUUCAAAUCAACGAAUUCAAAAGCUUGUGUUAGAAGGAAUUCUUAAUCCACUUGAUUUCUCAGACUUUCAAGUCUGUAUAGAGUGCAUUAAGGGAAAACAAACAAAUAUGAGGAAAAAGAAUGCCAAUAGGUGUAGUGACAUCUUGGAAUUGAUACAUACAAACAUUUGUGGUCCAUUUCCUACCCCUUCUUGGAAUGGACAACAAUAUUUUAUCACUUUCAUUGACGAUUACUCGCGCUAUGGCUAUCUUUAUUUGAUUCAUGAGAAGUCUCAGUCAUUGGAUGUGUUCAAGAAUUUCAAAGCUAAAGUUGAGAACCAACUAAGCAAGAAAAUAAAAGUCGUUAGAUCUGACCAUGGAGAACAUUAUGGUAGAUAUGACGGAUCCGGAGAACAACGUCCAGGGCCAUUCACCAAAUAUUUGAUAGAGUGUGGUAUCGUUCCUCAGUACACCAUGUUAGGGACUCCAAGCCAAAAUGGUGUAGCAGAGAGGCCAAACCGUACUCUUAAGGAUAUGGUAAGAAGUAUGAUCAGUCAUUCCACCUUUCCAGAAUCACUUUGAGGAGAAGCCAUCAAAAUUGCAAUUUACAUUUUGAAUAGAGUACCAAGCAAAGCAGUAGCCAAAACCCCAUAUGAGUUAUGGACUAGCAAGAAACCUAGUAUUAGGAACUUGCAUGUCUGGGGUUGUCCAACUGAAGCUAGGUCUUACAAGCCAAAUGAAAAGAAAUUGGACUCCAAAACAGUGAGCUGCUACUUUGUAGGGUAUUCUGAAAGGUCGAGAGGUUACAAAUUUUAUGACCCCUCAACUAGAUCCUUCUUUGAAACGGGCAAUGCUAAGUUCAUUGAGGAUGUUGAGUUAAGUGGGAGAGAGCCAUUAAGAAAGGUGAUCUUUGAAGAUGAAUAUGUUAAUAUUCCUAUUAUUACGACUAGACAAGGUCAUAUUAUGUUUGAUGACACUAUUGAAAAUGUACAGUCGAUAACAGGGAUUCAAGACACCUGAGAUUCCUCCUACUCAAGUUAUGGAACUGAUUCAAGUUCAUCAAGAGGUAACUCAACAACCUCAAGAACCUCAAGUACAAGUUCCACUGAGGAGAUCCACUAGAGAAAGGAAAAGUACAAUUUUAGAUGAUUAUGCUGUAUAUCUCCAAGAACAUGAGUUUGACAUGGGUCUAGAAGACGAUCCAAUUUCAGUUAGUCAAGUCAAACAAAGUUCUGACUCUGAAAAGUGGAUAGAAGCCAUGAAGGAUGAGAUGAAAUCAAUGAAAGACAAUGGUGUUUGGGACCUAGUAGAGUUGCCUGAGGGUGUAAAAUCGAUUGGUUGUAAAUGGAUUUUUAAGACCAAGUGGGAUUCAAAAGGCAACAUUGUUAGGUAUAAGGCACGCCUAGUUGCAAAAGUUUUCACUCAAAAGGAAGACAUUGAUUAUAAGGAGACCUUUUCACCAGUUUCAUCAAAGGACUCCUUUAGAAUCAUCAUGACACUUGUAGCUCAUUAUGAUUUAGAGCUUCAUCAAAUGGACGUUAAAACUGUGUUUCUUAAUGGUAACAUUAAUGAGACAAUAUACAUGGUGCAACCGAAGAACUUUGAGUCUAAUAAUUCAAAGCAACUUGUAUGCAAAUUAAAAAAGUCCAUAUAUGGUUUAAAGCAAGCAUCCCGACAAUGGUACCGAAAUUUUGAUCAGGUGAUUACUUCAUUUGGUUUUAAAGAGAACACCAUUGAUCAAUGCAUAUACCUCAAGUUCAGUGGGAGCAAAUUCAUUAUCUUGGUUUUAUAUGUUGAUGAUAUUCUACUUGCAAGCAGUGAUGUGGGACUUUUGCAUGAAACCAAGCGAUUUUUGUCUAGUAAAUUUGACAUGAAGGAUCUUGGUAAUGCAUCUUUGGUGCUAGGUAUACAGAUCCAUAGGGAUCGUUCAAGAGGUAUACUUGGGUUAUCACAAAAGGCUUACAUCGAUAAGGUGUUGAGUAGAUUUGGCAUGAGCAAUUGUGCACCAGAAGACACGUCUGUAGCAAAAGGUGAUAAAUUCAGUUUACACCAAUGUCCAAAAAAUGAACUUGAGAAGAAGGAUAAGGUGUUGAGUAGAUUUGGCAUGAGCAAUUGUGCACCAGAAGACACGUCUGUAGCAAAAGGCGAUAAAUUCAGUUUGCACCAAUGUCCAAAAAAUGAACUUGAGAAGAAGGAUAUGGAAAGAUUUCCCUAUGCCUUGGCAGUAGGAAGUCUCAUGUAUGCACAAGUUUGUACGCGUCCGGAUAUUGCGUACAUUGUUGGAAUGUUAGGUAGAUAUUUAAGUAACCCAGGUAUGGAUCAUUGGAAAAAAGCAAAACGGGUUAUGCGGUAUUUACAAAGAACUAAAGAUUACAUGCUCACAUACCGUAGAUCAAGUCACUUAGAGAUCGUGGGAUAUUCAUACUCCAAUUUCGCAGGAUGUCUUGAUAGUAGGAAAUCCACUUCAGGCUACAUCUUCAUGUUAACUGGAGGAGCAGUUUCAUGGAAAAGUGUUAAACAAACACUUAUUGCUUCUUCCACCAUGGAGACAGAAUUCAUAGCCUGCUACGAAGCAUCAAACCAUGGGAUAUGGCUGCAGAAUUUUAUCACUCAGUUAUGAAUCGUUGAGGGGAUUGAGAAACCAUUGAGAAUCAACUGUGAUAAUAAGGCCGCAGAAUUAUAUUCUAAGAACAACCAAAGUUUGUCAAAGUCCAAACACAUUGACAUCAAGUUCUUGGUUGUGAAAGAAAGAGUUCAGAGUCUUCAAGUAUCGAUUGAACACAUAAGCACAAACUCCAUGAUUGCGGAUCCGCUCACUAAGGGUUUGCCACCCAAAGUAUAUCAUGAGCACGUUGCACAUAUGGGUGUUGUACACAUUGAUGAUGUGCCAGAAUAGUGGGAGUUUGUGUUUAUUUUCUUGAUGUGAUAUUAUGUUGUGUUAUCUGUACAGAUCUUGAUUUUAAAGACUAUUGUAUUUGAAUUCUCUGAAUUGAAAUGAUGACUUUCAGAAGCAGUUUAGUAUCAAGUAUUGAAAGUGGUAUUUGACUAUUUUUAGUCAUAAAGUAGGACCAAUAGGAAAUAGAUAUAUUAAAGAUCAUAUUCUAUGUAAUUUCCAUGCUACACAUCCAUACUUGAUCCAUGUUGCUAAUUUUGUAUAUGUUGUGAUUGAUGAUGGGUCUAGUUAUAAUUAUAAUUAACGAAGGCCGUUUUAAUCCUAUGUUAGCAUAAUUAAUAGACCGGAUUGCUAAGGAUAUUAAGAUAGAAUAGCAAGAUGAGCUCAAUAAAGUACUAUCAUGAACAUUGUUUUGUAAUAUAUGUGGUCCAAGUGGGAGAUUGUUAAGAUAUGGACUCACAUAUCUAACAAUAGUUCGUGAUUAUGCUAUUCACCCUUAUAUGUGUAUUUGUUUUCUGUUCAUUCUAAGUAUGGGUCAUCUCAUGUGUAGAGCCCGAUACCAUAUGUGUCUCAAAUGAUGGGCUUGAGACACAUAUGACCCAAUCUUAGUUUACCUGGAAUGGUCCCUAAGGCAGGAGGGUAUAUAAAGGGUAAGUGUCAAUUCUUAAAGAACACAUCUUUUGAAAUAAAAAAAAUGACAGUACCCGUUCUCUCAAGCUCCCAUCGUCAGAGAGAAAACUAGAAAGAGGUGGUGCCCUCCAUAGCCUUAGAAGAUCCAUACUGUCUUCAAACGCACAAUGGACUCAGGUUAGUUUGGAUUGUAGCAUUCCACAAAACCUUUCAAGCAUAAUUUCUUUGUAUGAUUUAACAUGAGAUUCCUGGUAGAGUUUCUUUUGUGUUAAUAAUGGUUAGGAAUUACAUCAUCGUCUGCUGUAGCCACGUACACUGUAGGAUUCAUGAAUGUGAUGUGGGUCAGGCUACCAUCUUCAACUGCAGCCUAGUUGGUGAUUUUCCUAGCAUCUUCAGCUCCAACCCGAUUGGACUCUCUGCUCAAGUUAAGGAUGGAAGUAGUGGGAUCAACCAUUGUUGUUUGAUUAGCAGUAUCUAUUCUAUAUUUUGCACCAAGGAUGGGAAACAAGUUGAUCAAUUGUUUAAUGGAAUGGGUGGCUCUUAGCUCAACCUUGGGAGAAGUUGAUACUUCUUAUAGCCUGCAGGCCAAAAUGUUGGACUGAUGACAAUUUCCCAUCUCAUUGGAUGGAUCCAUAUGCAUAAACAGUGCAAAGAAAUAUUUGGUCACAUUUUCAAUUUUUAACAAUCCCUUGUAUGAUCAAAGAAGUUCAUUGAAUUUUACCCAAGAAAAUAUAAGCAUUAUUCUAAUUAUGUAUUUUAUUUUCAUAAAUAUUAAAUAUAUUUGGUAGCUUCAUUGUUCUUAAAAAUUAUAAAUAGAAAAUUAUUUUUUCUAAUUGUGUUAAAAAUAAUAAAUACAAUAUUAAUUUUUAUAAUUAUUAUAUGUUAUAUUUUUUAUGAUUUCUUCAGUGGAUUUCAGUGACUUUUAAUGUCGAUAAGCAAGACAUACAUGAUGUUGGUUUAGUUGUAAAAAAACAAGAUGUGGUGAGUUUUGCGUGUUAAUUUUGUAAACUGAAAUGUGGAAACAGUUGGUUUCUUUCCAUUUAUGUUUUAAUUUUUCUUAAUUCAUGUUUGUGUUCUUAUUCUUUUUUUUUUUUUCAAUUUUUAAUUUAAAUAUAGGUAUGGAAUCAUAAAUGCCCAUCUCUUAAAAGUAAUCUACAAUAAAAUGUACAUCAAAUAAAUUUAAGUGAUGAUUAAGAAUAAGGGCAUGAAACUUAGGAAAGGGCUAAAAUAUAAGUUGUAAUUGCUUUUGAAAAUAAUUUUUUAAAACAGUUUUGAAAAUUGUUAUCCAAUGCCUAAUAGAAUAAAAAUUUGUUUGAAAACUUGAAAUAUUUUUAAUCUAUUUUUAAUGUUUUUAAAAAUAAUUUUUUAUUUGUAAUCAUUCUACUUAUUUAUAUAAUUAUUUUUAAAACAUUCAUAAGAAAAUAAGUGAAAACAAUUAAAAUAUGUUAUUUAAAAAUACCAUAUUUUAAAUUUUUAAAAACAUAAAACAUAGAACAAUUUUCUAGUAGUCAAAUAUAUUUUCUUUUUUUUUUCUUUUUUUUUUCCUUUUUUUUUUUUUAAAAAAAAACCUAUUCUCAAAAACAAUUAUCAAAUAAGACCAUAUAUUUUUUUUUACCUUCAUUAUCUAAUAACAUUGCAAUUGUUUUAUAAAUUAUGUUUUAUCCUAAGUUUAGCAAAUAAAAAAAUCUAUAUGUGUUUCUAAAAUGAUUUACAAUAUUAAGUAAAAAUAAUAUAAUAUUUUUUGAAAUUAUAAAAUUAGUUAAAAUUUUAUUUCAUUUUUAAUAUAUUCAUAUUUAAAUAUUAUACAUAUUUCAUUUAAUAAAGUUUAAAAUAUUAAUAUAUUUAUAUUUAUAAUUGAUAAUAUCAAAGAUAAAAAAUAAAUAUUAUUAAUUUUUAAUUUAUCUAUACAUAUAUUUUUUAAAAUUAUUGUUUUUAAUUUUAAUAUAUUUAUAAUGUUACUGGUUCCAUCGCGAUUUGAACAUCAAUUCAAUCAUUAAAUUGUCAAUUAUAAUUUUUUUGGUUCAAUAACAGGUUUGAUGCUAAAAACAUUGUGAGAAACCUUUAGGGAGUUGUCAUUUCGCAUAACCAGCUAACUAGAACCAUCCCUGUUGACCUGGGCUUGUUGAUGCCAAACUUAGUUAAGCUUGAUUUUUUGAUCAACUGGCUCAUUGGAUCACUUCUGAAUUCCCUCAUUUAUAUUCUGCAUGAAAAGCUUGACCCAUCUAGACAUAGUGAUGACAGGAACCCCCCACAAUUAGCAUGAAUUCACAUUUAAAUAUUACACAUAUUUCAUUUAAUAAAGUUUAAAAUAUUAAUAUAUUUAUAUUUAUAAUUGAUAAUAUCAAAGAUAAAAAAUAAAUAUUAUUAAUUUUUAAUUUAUCUAUAUAUAUAUAUAUUUUUUAAAAUUAUUAUUUUUAAUUUUAAUAUAUUUAUAAUGUUACUGGUUCCAUCGCGAUUUGAACAUCAAUUCAAUCAUUAAACUGUCAAUUAUAACUUUUUUGGUUCAAUAACAAGGUUUGAUGCUAAAAACAUUGUGAGAAACCUUUAGGGACUUGUCCUUUCGCAUAACCAGCUAACUAAAACCAUCCAUGUCGAUCUGGGCUUGUUGAUGCCAAACUUAGUUAAGCUUGAUUUUUUGAUCAACUGGCUCAUUGGAUCACUUCUGAAUUCCCUCAUAUAUUCUGCAUGAAAAGCUUGACCCAUCUAGACAUAGUGAUGACAGCUAUUGAACCCCCCACAAUUAGCAUGAAUUCUUUCUUGGGUCUCAUUUUUCUUGAUUUUAGCCUCUUUGUUGCUUCUAAAUGCCAACAACUGACCUCUGUUUAUGACUUUUUAUGAAAUAUAACUUCCCCUUCUAUUUUAUAUCUUUAGAACAACAGUCACAGGCAGCUUCUUCACUCUCAAAACUUGUUGCCUUGGCAUACCUCAAUUUCUCUAAUAACAAUUUUGAAAUAUGCCAUGCUAUAUUUGUGACAUAGUAGGCCUUGCCUUUAUCAAUUUCUCUGGCAACAGAUUCACUGGCUAUGCACCAGAGAUUUGCAUGAAAGACCGACAGUGCUCACACUCCUACCUUUAUAUCUUCUUGGCAGGGCUACAUAGUUGUGAGGGCUCUGACGCAAGCAGCCAAGCCUCUGUUUGAGCUAUUGUACCACUUUCAUAUUCCUAGUUCUGCUCAUUUUCCUUCUCACACGGAGGAUGCAGAGGCAAAAAACUGUAGUUGUUGACAAGGGAAAGGGCAAGCUGGUGAAAGUAGUUGAGUCAGAAUCCGUUGAUGAGCUGCUGGGCAAGAAGAUAAAAGGGACAACUAGCACUAACUUUGCAACAUUUGAGUGCUCUUUGCUGCGGAUGAAACCUUUAGAUAUCUUAUCAGUGACUGACAACAUCAGCAAGACUUAUAUUAUUGGUGACGGUGGGCUUGGUACAAUGUAAUUAUAAAGCCUUACUACCAGAGGGAUGAACAAUUGCUGUCAGAAGGCUCAACAGAAGACGUUUGCCUAGUGACUGGGAAUUCUUACCUGAAAUGGGGACAGUUGGAAAGGUUAAGCGUGAAAACCUAGUUCAACUUCUUGGUUGCUGCAUCCUUCAGGAUGAGAGAUUUUUAGCAUACGAGUGUAUGGAGAAUGGAAGUCUUGACGUGUGGUUGAGGAAUAGAGCAGUUGCAGUUGAGGCCCUGGACUGGCCCACCAGUUUCAAGAUCUGUUUGGGAUCUUCCAGGGGGGCUCGCCUUUCUGCGUCAUGAUUUUUUUCUUCACAUUAUUCACAGAGACAUCAACCCUAGUAAUAUUUUUUUAACAAUAAAUUUGAGCCAUGGGUGGCAAUCUGGUUGGCUGGGUGGAAUGGAUGGUUGCAAAUGGGAGGGAAGAUGAUGUGCUGAAUCCGUACUUUUCAACUAUUAAAAAGUGGAAGAAUCAAAUGUUAGGUGAGCUUUCAAUUGCAUGAUUGUGCACAUUUGAUGACUCAUGGAAGCGGCGUGCCAUGCUUGAGGUGGUGAAGCUGUUAAUGGAGAUUAAGCUGGUAGCUCACUGAAACUGUAUGUGACUGCAAGUCCAAAAAUUCUACAAUAGCAUAUGUUUUCGACUUAUGAUUGAGAAACACAUGUAAAUAAGUGACUAGAGUAGAAGGAUAGAAAUGUGCUAUGAUAUUCAAUAUUAUCUUUUGAACUCUGCAGACCAGUUGGGAUACGCAUUUUCCUCAAAUGGGACUGCAACUUUUCUCUUAUGUUAACAAGAUGCUAAGUUUGAGAAUUGGCUGUGCGUUUUUAGUUUUCGUGUUUGGAAACCACAAGCAUCCAUUGCAACCAGAGACCAGUUCCAAUUAAAGCAUUAAUAUCUACAGCAACAAAGUUAGAUUUAAUCCAAGGGAGACAAAUGAAGAUUAUGUUGUAAUACUCAAGAAACUUCUCUUCAUUUUUAUUUGCCUGGGAAGGAGUUGACCUUAGCUCCAAGCCUUUAGGAUGUUGGAGACAUUAGGUGAAGGGGAGAUGAAAUUAAGUGGAAGGGUGUCCACAUGUCCAGAGGAGUAUUGUUGUUAUAUUAUUACAUGCCUUUAAUGCCCUAGCACUAUAGAGGUUGGAUAUCGCCGUCCUUGGAAUGAGGUUGAAGGCCUCAACAUGCCUUUUGAUGGGAUAAAUACAAACAAUGUACAACAAGAUUUUAUCCUCUCUUGUGAGAACCUAAUAAGAAUCAAUCAAAUAAAGCAACAAGAAUUCACCCAAUCAAUAAAUACAUGAACACCAACAAUGUUUAGCAUGGAAAACCUUCUUCAAUGUGAGAAGUAAAAACCACGGGACCCUUAGGCCACUUAAAAACUCCACUAAUAUAAUCAAUGGGUUACAUAAUUCUCUCUAGAUAAAACUAGAGGCAUACAUCAACCAUAUCUUAAGACAAAUUAAUCUUGGCAAUUUCAACAACUUUGCAUAAAGACAAUGGAGAAAUCUCACCAAACACAGCCACUGUUCUUGGAUUGAAAUAUAAUUGUUCCAAACUCCAAAUCCAAUCUCCACCGUUCAGAAUGAAUAUUAAUGAGUUCUGAACGUGCUCACCAAAAAUCAGUUUAAUCGAACCAUGGAUUAAACAAAGGCUCUGUUCUCAUACUGAAAGACGACCGUUUGGAACUCUAAAUCUGAUCUCCACCGUUUAGAUUGAAGAUUAAUGAGUCACGAACCUCUCUUCCAAAUUUCAGGUUGAUCGACCCACAGAAGAAGCGGGAUUAGACCUUUGAUGAAAUCUGUACAGUGAAGAAAAACUGAGUUUUUCUCUCUAACUUCAAAAAUAGUGGUUCUCCAUUUCUCUCUCUUUUCUCCUUCUACCUUCGAUGGCUACAAAAAAAUUAGAAGAAGAAUAAGAAGAAGAAGGGGGAUUCUUCUUCUAAUCAUUUUAUAUAAAGGCCUAAGAGGCCUUAAAUUUUGGGCUCUUAAUUUGGGCCUUCCACAUGAAGAAAAACCCAACAAAUCUCCCAAUUUUCGAUUAUGUGGAGAGAUUCACCAUCCCGACGAUUGAACAACAAACUUCAAGCUUCUCUCUUAGUAAAGACUUCGUUAACAUAUCUGAGCCAUUAUGAUCGGUAUGUAUCUUCUCAAGUUCAAACAAGUUGUCAUUGAGAACAUCUCUCAUCCAAUGAUACCUCACAUCAAUGUGCUUCGAUCUUGCAUGAAAGGUAGAAUUCUUACUAAGGUGAAUGACGCUUUGAUUAUCACAGUAUACCACAUAGUGUUGCUGCUUAAACCCGAGCUCAUGUAUGAAACGCUUCAUCCACAACAAUUCUUUAUAUGUUUCUACUACUACAAUGUACUUUGCCUUUGUUAUGGAAAGUAAAACACAUUUUUGUAGUCUUGAUUGUCAAGACACAGCACCUCCUGAGAAUGUUAUCAAAUAGCCUGAAGUAGACCUUCUAUUAUAUACAUCCCCUGCCAUGUUUGAAUCAGUGUAGCCAACAAGUACUGAUUUACCACUUCCAAAAGUGAGUUUCAACUUGGAAGUGCCUCACAAAUAUCUCAUAAUCCACUUGACUGCCUCCCAAUGUAGUCUUCUUGGAUUAGAUAGAAAGCGUCUAACAACACCAACUACAUAAGCUAUGUCUAGUCUAGUACAUACCAUGACAUACAUCAAACUUCCUACUACUGAGGCAUACAGAACUUUUAUCAUGUCUUCCUUCUCCUUAUCUGUAGAAGGGUUAUGCCUAUUGUUUAGCUUAAAGUGACUAGCUAGAGGAGAACUAACAACUUUAGCUUUGCUCAUGUUAAAUCUUUCAAGGACCUUUUCAAUAUAUUGCUCCUGUGACAUAUACAACUUCUUGGAUGCUCUAUCUCGCUCAAUUCUAAUACCAAGAAUUUUCUUUGCUGGCCCAAAAUCCUUCAUGGAAAAGGAUUUGCUUAACUACUUCUUCAACUUAUCAAUUUCUGAAACAUUUCUGCCAACAAUCAAGAUAUCAUCAACAUAGAGCAACAAUAUAACAAAAUCAUCAUCAGAGAACUUCUGCACAAAUACAUAAUGGUCAGAAGUAGUUUUUCGGUAGCCUUGCUCUCCCAUAAUUGAUUCAAACUUCUUACACCACACUGCCUCGGUGCCUAGUUCAAGCCAUAAAGACUUUUCUUCAACUUACACACAUAACCCUCUUUUCCUUUUAUUGUGAAACCCUCUGGUUGUUCCAUAUAAAUUUCUUUGUCUAAAUCACCAUGGAGAAAUGUAGUCUUAACAUCCAUCUACUCAAUCUCCAAAUCAAGACUAGCUACCAAACCCAAAACUAUACGAAUAAACGACAUCUUAACAACAGGAGAAAAAAUCUCAUCAAAAUCACUACCUUUCUUUUGAUUGAACCCUUUGACAACCAAUCUAUCUUUGUAACGUGGUUGUGAAGUGUAGUCUUCUUNNNNNNNNNNNNNNNNNNNNNNNNNNNNNNNNNNNNNNNNNNNNNNNNNNNNNNNNNNNNNNNNNNNNNNNNNNNNNNNNNNNNNNNNNNNNNNNNNNNNGACCAUUUCAACCAGUGUCCUAUUCAUUCUCUUAGGUAAUCCAUUCAACUGAGGAGUCUUAAGAGGUGUCUUUUGAUGUUGAAUACCAUGUUGUCUACAAUACUCAUCAAAAGGACCAUAAUACUCACCCCCAUUAUCAGUUUGGAUGCAUUUCAAUUUUUCACCAGAUUGUCUCUCAACAAGAGCAUGAAACUGCUUAAACACCUUUAACACUUGGUCUUUUGUUUUCAAGGUAUACACCCAAAUCUUUCUUGAAUGAUCAUCUAUAAAAGUCACAAAAUAUAAAGAUCCAUCAAGUGUUUUUGUUUUCAUAGGACCACACACAUCAAAAUACACUAAAUCAAGCAUACCUAGCUUCCUUAUAUGGCAAUGUGUUUUGAAUGCAACUCUGGUCUGCUUUCCUGCUAAGCAAUGAGCACACCUUUAAUUUUCAAAGAUCCCUUCUUCAUAUCAGAAAGAAGAUUUUUCUUAACCAAAAUCAUCAAGCCCUUCUCACUCAUGUGAUCGAGUUUGUUGUGCCAAAGCUCAAUUGUGCCAUCAUCAUUCACUGCAUUGAUACUGGAAUCAAUUACCCUUGCCUGCAUCAAAUACAAUGAGGAAUACUUCUUUCUUUUUGCUACCACCAUAGAACCUCUAGUCAGCUUCCAUUGACUAUCAAGAAAGGUGUUGUAUAACCCUUCAUCAUCAAGUUUACCUAUGGAGAUUAAAUUCAUGCGAAUAUCCGGAAUGUGUUUGACAUUCUUCAAAAUCAACAUAGUACCAUUACUAGUCUCCAAACGCACAUCUCUCAUACCGAUGGCUUUAGCUAAGUCAUCAUUACCCAUCCUAACACUUCCAAAAUCAUCGGAUGUGUAGGAUGUAAAGAAAUCUUUCCGAGGUAUAGCAUGAUUGAGGCACCGUUAUUAAUCACCCAACUGGUCUCUUAGCAAGCAAAAUUAACAACAUCACUUUCAUAAACAAUAAGGAAAUUUGAAGUGGUAGUGGCAACUCGAUCAUCUUCACCACCAUUGUCAUUCUUCUUGUCAUUCACUUUCCCUUGUUUCAUAUCUCUCUUCAAUUGGCGACAAUACUUAUAUGCCCUUUCAAAUGGCAAUAGUGACACUUAACAUUAGCAAACUUAUUAGUCUUGCUUUUGCUUUUAUCUCUGUUCUUCGGACCUCAACUCUUACUCCUCCCUCUCUUUUCAGUAACUAGGACAUCUGACCGUGAAGAAGAACCCUGUGACUUUUUUCUCACCUCUUCAUUCAAAACACAACUCUUAACCAAAUCCAUAUUCAUAGUACCAUUUGGGGCUGAGUUAGACAAAGAAGUUCUAAAUGUCUCCUACGAGUCCGACAAUGUACCAAGAAGCCACAACCCUUGCACCUCUUCCUCAAACUUGAUAUUCAUUCCAACCAACUGAUUAAUAAUACCUUGGAAUGUAUUUAAGUGAUCUGUCAUAGGAGUUCCAUCUUGAUACUUCAAGCUAAUCAUCUUCUUGAUCAGAAACAAUUUAUUGUUACUAGUUUUUUUAGCAUAUAACUGUUUGAGCUUGUUCCAUAGACUCUGUGCAUGUUUCUCCUCACUAACAUAAUUGAGAACAUUAUCAUCUAUCCAUUGUCUGAUAUAACCACAAACUUGCAAAUGAAGUAAAUUCCAUUCUGCAUCAGUUUUAUUUUCUGGCUUUUCAGAAGCAAACACAGACAAAUAAUAAUCCUUCACAUACAAUAAGUCUUCCAUAUUUCCUUUCCAAACAUGAUAAUUAGAGUCAUUCAGAGUAAUCAUUCUACUUGUAUUGCUUUCCAUUGUUCUACACAAAGCACAAAUUAUCUUGAACCAAUGCUUUGAUACCACUUUGAUGAGAUAAACACAAACAAUGCACAACCAGAUUUUAUCCCCUCUUGUGAGAACCUAAUAGGAAUCAAUCAAAUAGAGCAACAAGAAUUCACCCAAUCAACAAGUAUAUGAAUACCAACAAUUUUUAGCGUGACAACCUUCUCNAUGUGAGAAGUAAAAANNNNNNNNNNNNNNNNNNNNNNNNNNNNNNNNNNNNNNNNNNNNNNNNNNNNNNNNNNNNNNNNNNNNNNNNNNNNNNNNNNNNNNNNNNNNNNNNNNNNNNNNNNNNNNNNNNNNNNNNNNNNNNNNNNNNNNNNNNNNNNNNNNNNNNNNNNNNNNNNNNNNNNNNNNNNNNNNNNNNNNNNNNNNNNNNNNNNNNNNNNNNNNNNGUUCUCAGACUGAAAUAUAACUAUUCCAAACUCCAAAUCCAAUCUCAACCGUUCAGAAUGAAGAUCAAUGAGUUUUGAGCGUGGUCAUAAAAAAUCAGCUCAAUCGAACCAUGGAUUAACCUUAAUCAGAGCUCAUGAUCAAAACUAUCCGGAUAUAAAACUCACCAAAAUAGAGGCUUUGUUCUCGGACUGAAAGACGACCGUCCGGAACUCCAAAUCCGAUCUCCACCAUUCAGAUUGAAGAUCAAUAAGUUAUGAACCUCUCCUCCAAAUUUCAGGUCGAUCGACCCACAGAAUAAGUGAGAUCGGACUUUUGAUGAAAUCUGGACAGUGAAGAAAAACUGAGUUUUUCUCUCUAACUUCAAAAAUAGUGGUUCUCCCUUUCUCUUUCUUUUCUCAUUCUACUCUCUCUUUCUUCUACCUCCGGUGGCUGCAAAAAAAUUAAAAGAAGAAAUAUAUGAACACCAAGUAUAUGAACACCAACAAUUUUUAGCGUGACAAACCUUCUCCAAUGUGAGAAAUAAAAACCACGGGACCUUUAGGCCACUUAAAAACUCCAUUAACAUAAUCAAUGAGUUACACAAUUCUCUCUAGAUAAAAUUAGAGGCAUACAUCAACCAUAUCUCAAGACAAAUUAAUCUUGGCAAUUUUAACAACUUUGCAUAAAGACAAUGGAGAAAUCUCACCAAACACAGCCAUUGUUCUCAGACUGAAAUAUAACUAUUCCAAACUCCAAAUCCAAUCUCAACCGUUUAGAAUGAAGAUCAAUGAGUUUUGAGCGUGGUCAUAAAAAAUCAGCUCAAUCGAACCAUGGAUUAACCUUAAUCAGAGCUCAUGAUCAAAACUAUCCGGAUAUAAAACUCACCAAAAUAGAGGCUUUGUUCUCGGACUGAAAGACGACCGUCCGAAACUCCAAAUCCGAUCUCCACCAUUCAGAUUGAAGAUCAAUAAGUUACGAACCUCUCCUCCAAAUUUCAAGUCGAUCGACCCACAGAAGAAGUGAGAUCGGACUUUUGAUGAAAUCUGGACAAUGAAGAAAAACUGAGUUUUUCUCUCUAACUUCAAAAAUAGUGGUUCUCCCUUUCUCUUUCUUUUCUCAUUCUACUCUCUCUUUCUUCUACCUCCGGUGGUUGCAAAAAAAUUAAAAGAAGAAAUAUAUGAACACCAAGUAUAUGAACACCAACAAUUUUUAGCGCGGCAAACCUUCUCCAAUGUGAGAAAUAAAAACCACGGGACCUUUAGGCCACUUAAAAACUCCAUUAACAUAAUCAAUGAGUUACACAAUUCUCUCUAGAUAAAAUUGGAGGCAUACAUCAACUAUAUCUCAAGACAAAUCAAUCUUGGCAAUUUCAACAACUUUGCAUAAAGACAAUGGAGAAAUCUCACCAAACAUGGUCAUUGUUCUCAAACUGAAAUAUAACUAUUCCAAACUCCAAAUCCAAUUUCCACCGUUCAGAAUGAAGAUCAAUGAGUUCUGAACGUGGUCAUAAAAAAUCAGCUCAAUCGAACCAUAGAUUAACCUUAAUCAGAGCUCAUGAUCAAAACUGUCCGGAUAUAAAACUCACCAAAAUAGAGGCUUUGUUCUCGGACUGAAAGACGACCGUCCGGAACUCCAAAUCCGAUCUCCACCAUUCAGAUUGAAGAUCAAUAAGUUACGAACCUCUCCUCCCAAUUUCAGGUCGAUCGACCCACAGAAGAAGUGAGAUCAGACUUUUGAUGAAAUUUGGACAGUGAAGAAAAACUGAGUUUUUCUCUCUAACUUCAAAAAUAGUGGUUCUCCCUUUCUCUUUCUUUUCUCAUUCUACUCUCUCUUUCUUCUACCUCCGGUGGCUGCAAAAAAAUUAAAAGAAGAAAUAUAUGAACACCAAGUAUAUGAACACCAACAAUUUUUAGCGUGGUAAACCUUCUCCAAUGUGAGAAAUAAAAACCACGGGACCUUUAGGCCACUUAAAAACUCCAUUAACAUAAUCAAUGAGUUACACAAUUCUCUCUAGAUAAAAUUGGAGGCAUACAUCAACCAUAUCUCAAGACAAAUUAAUCUUGGCAAUUUCAACAACUUUGCAUAAAAACAAUGGAGAAAUCUCACCAAACAUGGUCAUUGUUCUCGAACUGAAAUAUAACUAUUCCAAACUUCAAAUCCAAUUUCCACCGUUCAGAAUGAAGAUCAAUGAGUUAUGAACGUGGUCAUAAAAAAUCAGCUCAAUCGAACCAUAGAUUAACCUUAAUCAGAGCUCAUGAUCAAAACUGUCCGGAUAUAAAACUCACCAAAAUAGAGGCUUUGUUCUCAGACUGAAAGACGACCGUCCGGAACUCCAAAUCCGAUCUCCACCAUUAGAUUGAAGAUCAAUAAGUUACGAACCUCUCCUCCAAAUUUCAGGUCGAUUGACCCACAGAAGAAGUGAGUUCGGACUUUUGAUGAAAUCUGGACAGUGAAGAAAAACUGAGUUUUUCUCUCUAACUUCAAAAAUAGUGGUUUUCCCUUUCUCUUUCUUUUCUCAUUCUACUCUCUUUUUCUUCUACCUCCGGUGGCUACAAAAAAAUUAAAAGAAGAAAAAAAAGAAGAGGGAUUCUUCUUUUAACCCUUUUAUAUAAAGGCCUAAGAGACCUUAAAUUUUUUGCUCUUAAUUUGGGCUUUCUACAUCAGGAAAAACCCAACACCUUUGCACUGUUAGAUGCCAUUUUUUUUAAUAGGCAAAUAAGAAUUUAUUAGAAGUGCCAAGAAAGAAAGGAGGUGGGGGGUGGGGGGAGGGGAUGUGGUGGGCUUCACUUGUAAAAGGUUGAUGCUCCUUUUGGCAAUUUCAAUGUUAUUUUCUUUUCUUUCAGACGAGUAAGGGAAAAACUGCAAAAAACUUUUACAUUCAAGUUUGCAGGGCUUAGUCCUAUUUUUCUUAUGUGGUUGUAAUUUGUUCAUCUGAUUUUUCUACUACCUUAUUUUUUUUUUUUUUUGAUGGUUUUUGCUAUUUGAGUCGCUUGGUUAACUUCUUGAGCCUUUUUAAAAAAGGAUGAGGAGGGAAUGUUGUUCAUAUAUAGUUUUACCUUCACAUCUAUUAUGUUCUUUUGAUAUCAUAGGAAUGGCCAAAUCCUACACUUUAGAAAAACCUCACGGGAGCCGACACAACUUACACUCGUUGCUUCCCAAACCAAAGCAGUUCUACCACCAGUCAAAUUGACAAAAAGAGCUGGCAACCAACACCUUGUAAUAUAAGUCUAUUUAUGUGUGUAUAUAUAUAUAUAUAUAUACCACCGAUGAAUAUUAUUAGUGGGUAUUUCCAAAUCUUUAGGGAUUGCACAGAAUUAAGCAAACCUUUCAAGCACAACACAUAAUGUUCUAUUCCUAAUCACUCCCCUUUAGGGUGUGUUUGGUACUCUGAAAAUGAGGAGUGCGAAUCAACAUCUUAUUUCUUUUCUCUUUCAUUUCCAUAUUUGGAUAAUCUAUAAAUGAUGAUGAGAAUGAAAUCAAAAGUGAUUUCAAUGGAAAUAAAAUAUCACUUAUAAAUGGGAUUUCAAUUCAUUUAAACUAUGAGGUAUUUUGAUUCUUUAGUGCAAGUUCUUCUUAAAAAUACUUUUCAAAAAUUAAAAAACUAAGACUUUUUUAGAUAAGUUAUUUUUAAAAAUAAUUUUUUAUUUUAAUUUUGUAAAAAGCACAAAUUAUAAAUUCAAUUUAUAUAAUGCAAACUAAAUUUAAUUCGUGAUUUAUUAAAAAUAAAAAAGAAAUUUUAAUUAAAAAUAAAUAGUUUUUAAUAAAAUAUGAAUAUUAACAGUGUAAUAAAAUUAUAAAUUAUAUUUUUAAUAAAUAUUAUAAAAAAUGUAGAUAUUAACAUUCAUUGAUUUAUUUUUUUGAAAAUAAAUAAUAAUAAUUCAAAAUUAGUAACUUCUAAUGCCAUUUAAAAAACUUCAUGGGUAGAGUAAUGUUGUUCUAUGGCAUCAAGCUUUCUGCUCUCGAAAGCUACAAAGUGCACCAGUACCCCACCUAAAGUUCUGUUAGAAGCAUUCGUCUACACCUCAAAAGGAAGCUUCAGGUGCAGGAGUCUCAACACUAGCCCCAUUGUAAUCAUGUUUUUCAAGCAUUGGACAGCUUUCUUGCAAUCCGACUCCCAAUAAAGAAAAUUAGGUAAACCAAGGAAGGAAUAUGGAUAUUGAGAUCUUAUAAAAACAAAAUUAAUUUAUUUUGUUAAAAAUAAAGAAAAAUUAUUCAAAAUUAAUAAUUUCUAAUAAUAUUCUAUUUUGAAUGAAUAUAAAAACAAAUAAAAUUUAGUUUUUUAAAAUAUAAAUAAACCAAAAUUUUUAUUAUAUGCAUACAUUUAUUACUCAAUUACAAAGAUAACAUUCUGAAUUAUUUUAUUUAAUUUAUAAUUAAUUAAUUUGUUUUCUGAAUUUCAAAUUAUUAUUAAAAAUUACAAGAUUUGUUAAAGAAUCUAAAACAUUAAUUGCGUUUGUUAUUUUUUAUAGUCAUUAUAUAUAUAUAUAUAUAUAUAUAUAUAUAUAUAUAUAUAUAUAUAUAUAUAUAUAUAUUAAGUUUUAAAUUAUUUUUUAAAAUCAUUAAACUUAUUAAUAAAUUAAUACUGUAACGACCCGCACCCAACCGUGUAGAUAUUGUCCGCUUUGGGCCCAAGGGGACCCUCACGGCUUUAAAACGCGUCUACUUGGUUAAGAGGAGUCUCUACAUAUAUAGCGUCAGGAACAUUCUCCCCUAUCCGAUGUGGGACAUCACAAACACCCCCCCAUGCAGACACAACGUCCUCGUUGUGUCUCAUGGGAUUGCGGGGUCAAACAGACAAACACUCCUUACGGAGCCAAACAAACCCCCACAUCAGGGUCGGGGAUCGGCUCUGAUACCAUUUGUAACGACCCGCACCCAACCGUGUAGAUAUUGUCCGCUUUGGGCCCAAGGGGGCCCUCACGGCUUUAAAACGCGUCUACUUGGUUAAGAGGAGUCUCUACAUAUAUAGCGCCAGGAACAUUCUCCCCUAUCCGAUGUGGGUGAUUAAAGAAGACAUAAGAGUUAUGCUGAUCAGUGUAGGAGAGAUUUGGAGUUUGAGGUGGGUGAUCAUGUGUUCUUGAAAGUUUCACCUAUGAAGUCUGUGAUGAGAUUUGGGAGAAAAGGAAAACUUAGUCCUCGUUUUGUGGGUCCGUUUGAAAUAUUAGAAAGAGUAGUCACUUUGGCAUAUAAAGUAGCCUUGCCCCCAAGCCUAUCUAAGGUUCAUAAUGUUUUCCAUGUUUCAACCUUGAGGAAGUAUAUUUAUGAUCCCUCUCAUGUUGUGGAGUUGGAGCCUAUUCAAAUUUCUGAGGACUUGAACUAUGAAGAGGUACCCGUUCAAAUUGUGGAUGUGAUGGAUAAGGUACUGCGACAUGCUGUUGUCAAAUUGGUAAAGGUUCAAUGGAGCAACCAUAGUGUUCGUGAAGCCACUCGGGAGUUAGAAGAAGAGAUGAGAGAAAAGCAUCCUCAAUUAUUUCAAGACUCAGGUAUGUCAAGUUUAGAGGACUAAACUUUUGUUAAGGAGGGGAGGAUGUAAUGCCCAAGCAUUUUCUUUUAAGGGUAAUUUAGGAAAUUGUUAUUAAUAAUUAAAUUAGUUAAUUAAUUAAUUUAAAUAAAAAAAAAAAGAAGAGGGGUAAAAGAGUAAUUUUACGAAUAAAUACCCUAUGUAUAAAUUAGAAAUUUUAUUUUUUCCCUUCUUUUCUAAAUAGAGUUCCUGUUCGCAGAAUUUCAGAGAACGUAAGGUUGGAGUCAGAUUUCAGGGUUGAAGAAUAGAUCUCUAUAGGUAAAAUUCUAACCCCUAGUUUAAUAUUUUAGAUUCAUUGAUUAAUUUCAAACACAUUAGAUAUAUUUUUUGGAAAACCCUAAAUCUAGAUUAGGGUUAGAUUAUUUUUUUAAUUCGUUUUAAUAUCAAAUAGUGAAAAUUUAAUAUUUUGAUUUUAGUAUUGGAAGUUGGGAGAUCUUACGUUUUAUUAGAAAAAAAAAAAAAUUCCUUGGAAUAUUUCGAUUUUAGGUUAGGGUUAAUUAAAAAAAAAAAAAAAAAGGAGAACGCGUGUGCACAGCAUUGGAAGGAAGGAAAAUAAAAAAAAAUAAAAAAAAAUUUGGGCGUGUGCCCGGAUGGAAGCAUACUUAUAUUAUAUAUAUAUAUAAUGAUUCAUUAUUAUGAUGAUGGCAAUGGAAAAAAAAAAAAUUGCUUUGUUUUACUUGUUUGGUGUGUACCCCCAGACAAGUAAGAGAUUUAGCAAAAUAUAUAAUAAUAUAUUUUUGUAAUAAUGAUUUAGCCUCAAAUUAGAUAAUUAUUAAAAUAAUGAUAUUUAAUUUUAGAUUAAUAAAUAAGAUAAUAGUAAUAAUGGUAUUUUUGUAAUGAAUAGAAAAAGAGAUUUAGCAAUAUGUAUAUAUAUAUAUAUAUAUAUAGAAUUUUAUAAUGAAAUAAAGUUAUAAUUUAAUUAAAUUAGUAAUAUGUUAUUAGAAACAAAUUGGGAAUUUAUUAGUUUUAUUUAAAUAAGGAAUAGAUUAGUUAAAUUAUAAAUAAAUAGUAAUAAUUGUUUCUCUUAUGUUAUAUCAGGUGAAGAGUAGAUUAUUAUUUUUCAGAAUUAUUCUUCUCCCAAGCUUUCAAGGACUUCCUUUGAGGUAAGGGAAGUUAAUGUAAUAUUUAUAAAAUUAAAUUAUUUUAUAUGUUAUUUUGAAUUGUGGAAAAUAAAAUGAUAUUUUGUUACCAUGCAUAGAUCAAAUUGUUUUGCACUAAAUGUUAUGUUGAAAUAUUUUGUUUUAUUUAUGACACAAAAUAUGGAGAUGUUAUGUUGUGUAAAUUUGAAUACUUGAACAAAAAACAUCACUCUGGUUUAUUUGGCCCUUGUCAACGGGAUAUAAUAGUUGACUAUUCGGCCCUGUCAACGGGAUAUAAUAGUUGACCUUUAUAUUUCAUGGUGGGAAUGUAAUUGAUUUGGACCCCAGCCUCUAGGGUUUGGUUAGAGGUUACUAGUACUAAUAGUGUUUGGUUCCGUCCACCAGGAACAAUUUGAGGCUAGCCACCCAUUUGAAAAGUCCCACCUAACUGGGCAUUUGAUAUUUGAUAAUCAGAGUAAUGAAAAAAAUUGAAUGGAUUUGAUUGAGUCUGAUGUGAAAGUGUUUGAAUUUGAUAUGAAAUUGGUUGGUUGAAUUUUGAAUAUAUUGGCAUUUUUGAAACUCUAAUAUUUGAUGAAAAAAAAAUAAAAUUGAUAUCUCCUAUUUGAAAUGAAAAUAUUUGAUCCAUGAACUGCAUUAAUAUUUCUUAUUGGGCUGUGAGCUCAUUCCCAAUUGUUGAAAAUUUUUCAGGUACUCUUAGUUCGGGUGAGGAGUGAUGGCUAGGCUGAGGAAUGGUCAUCAUUAGGAUUUGACUUAGGAUUUUAUGUUGGAUUUUGUUUAACUAUUAGUUAUGUUAUUUUGGAUCAUUUGGUAUUUGGAAGUUAUUUGGAAAUUGAAUUUUGAGGAUUUUAGAUUUUGUUUCCGCUACUCUGAGCAGGUAUUUGGUAAUUGGUAACAUCCAGUUACAAUAUGACUGUUUGGGUCAGAUUAUACUUUAAGCCUUCGGGUUUGAGGUGUGAAAUGACCAUCACGCCCUUGGAGUGGGUCUUGGGGCGUGACAGAGUGGUAUCAAAGCCGAUCCCCGACCCCGGUGUGGGGGUUUGUUUGGCUUUGUCUGUUUGGCCCCGCAAUCCCAUGGGACACAACGAGGACGUUGUGUCUGCAUGGGGGGGGGGGGGUAUUUGUGAUGUUCCACAUCGGAUAGAGGAGCAAGUUCCUGGCGCUAUAUAUGUAGAGGCUCCUCUUAACCAAGUAGACGCGUUUUAAAGCCGUGAGGGCCCCCUUGGGCCCAAAACGGACAAUAUCUACAUGAUUGGGUGCGGGUCGUUACAAAUGGUAUCAGAGCCGAUCCCCGACCCCGGUGUGGGGGUUUGUUUGGCUCCGUAAGGAGUGUUUGUCUGUUUGACCCCGCAAUCCCAUAGGACACAACGAGGACGUUGUGUCUGCAUGGGGGGUGUUUGUAAUGUCCCACAUCGGAUAGGGGAGAAAGUUCCUGACGCUAUAUAUGUAGAGACUCUUCUUAACCAAGUAGACGCGUUUUAAAGCCGUGAGGGCCCCCUUGGGCCCAAAGCGGACAAUAUCUACACGGUUGGGUGCGGGUCGUUACAAAUGGUAUCAGAGCCGAUCCCCGACCCCGGUGUGGGGGUUUGUUUGGCUUUGUCUGUUUGGCCCACAAUCCCAUGGGACACAACGAGGACGUUGUGUCUGCAUGGGGGGGUAUUUGUGAUGUUCCACAUCGGAUAGAGGAGCAAGUUCCUGGCGCUAUAUAUGUAGAGGCUCCUCUUAACCAAGUAGACGCGUUUUAAAGCUGUGAGGGCCCCCUUGGGCCCAAAGCGGACAAUAUCUACAUGGUUGGGUGUGGGUCGUUACAAAUACAAAGUCUAACUUCAUUUUAAAUUCAUUUUCUGUAAUAAAAACAAAUUAAAAGAACAUUUCUCUAUUUUGAUUUAUUUUUAAAAAUUAUUUUUCAAGAAUAACAACUAAAUAAUGGUAUAAAUUUUUAAAAACAAUUUUGUUUUCAAAUCACAUGCCUAAAUAGGUUUUUAUUAUUUAGCAAAAAAAAAAAAAAAAACUCUCAAGGAUUUUCUUUAAAAUGAAAAUAAAAAAUUAUUUCAAAUUUUGUUCAAUGUGAGAUUUUUUUUAAAAUAAAUAUAAAAAUAAAAAAUUAUUUUAAACCAUGAGAAAGAAUAUCAUUGAAAAUUUUGUUUAAUUUUUCAUUUGUAUUCCCAUUUUUACUUAGAAUUGAAAUGGAACUAAAUUAUCAUUUUUAUCUUAUAUUUCUAUAUGGAUCCAAAUAAAAGAAUUAAGAUUAUCAAAUUUAUUUUUAUUUAAGAGAAAAUAAGAAUGAAGACACAAUAUUUAUUCUCAUAUUUUUAGUUUCCACCGCCCAAGACGCAUGCUCUCACGUCCAACAUGUGAAGCAUAGAGAUAGAAGAGGCUGCUGAAGAUGCAAUGAAAAGUGAGAAUUGGCAAUCCAAAGGAAUGUGGCAGCACAGCAUACAGCCCCGUCGUGAAUGCUACCACCAUUGCUCCCAUCCCAAGCAGGGUGAGAUAAGAGGCAUACGAAAACAAGUGUAGCCACGUUCUCAUAUUGAGGUCAUAAAACAGUGCAUGUUGGAAUGCCAUACUAAAAAAUAUGAAUACGGCACUUACCGAGAACGUCAGGGCUAUGGUAUCCGACACAACAAAUGCUUUGAAAGAUGCUUUCUUUGUUAAGAUUGCCAUCCCAUCUGUGUCUCUGUAACCACCAGGCAAGGUGAAGCCUGCCGCAAAGGUUACUGUUGCCGUAAGUGUUGCCACUAUCAAAUGGGUUUCACUUGCCUUUUUCGCGGAAGAGAUGAUUUUAUCCUCCUCCUUAUCAUCAUCAUCUAUUUUGCCACCAUAUUUGCUGUCAUCCUUUCUGAUGACGUGCUGCAAACUGGAAGGUCUAAAAGGCAGUCUUAAAUAUUUCUUAAAUCCUUCAAAUCGGUCAUCUACUUGUGCCUGCUGCAAACUGGAAGGUCUAAAAGGCCGUCUAAGAUAUUCCUUAAUUCUCUCACGUAGGUGAUAUAACUGCGGAGAUUCUAAUGCAAGGAGCUGAAAUUUGAUCAAAGUAAAAUUCCUAUUAGAGCAAAACAGAAAAUUACAUGUAUAUAAUGCAUGAGAAGAUCAAAUAAAUGGAUGAUUGACAAAUGGGAUAAAGUAAUAGAAAAUUUAGUUAAAAAGCCUUACCGUGCCCCAUGAAAAUUUAUUCCGAGAAGAAAAACGGUUGUCAGAAAAGUUUAACUUUUCUUUGUUCCGUUCCAUCUUAUCCACCGUUUUGUCCAAUAUGAAAUCUACAUCAUUAACUCCGAAAGAAGCAAGCAGGUGGAGGGGUGUGUCUCCUUGAGCAUCUUUCUCAUUUACAAGUCCUCUCACUCUUAAUCCAUCCUUUAUUAAUAACUCACUACCAAAAUGAGAAGGGUGCUUCUUCAUCAUGGCAAAGUGAAAAACAUUAUUGCCAUUCUCAUCAACCUGCUCACAACAAUCUGGAGCGUGUGACAGCAGCAACUCUACUAUGUCCAUACAGCCAUUGUAACUUGCAAUGUGAAGGGCUGUUCUGUUGCUAUCUUUUAUUCCAAGGUAGAUUACAGACUUGUCUUGUGAUGAUCCGUCUAGUAAUUGCUUGGUAAUUGCGGCAUCAAGCAUGUAUGCAGCACAAUGAAGCGGAGACCAGCCAUUUUCAUCCACUUCUUUGAUUAGCUUUGGCUUCCAUCCUAGUAUCUUCUUUGUCAUUGCUGAUCAAAUAAAUAAAAGAAGAAAUAGAGAGCUCAAGGAAUAUUAAAGAAAAUUAAUUAUAAAAUGAAUAACCUAAUGCAUUAAUAUAGGCCCUUAUAUGCACUACCUUGGUGACGGCAGAGUACAGCAGCAUGCAAAGCUGUUCUACCCUCGAUGCCUCUGUGAUUUGGUGAAGGGCGGGUGAGGUCUAUGAUUAUUUCCACCAAGUCCCCAUAUCCUCUCUCGGCAGCCAUGUAAAGAGGAGUGUAGCCUGUACUGUUAGCACCAUAGAUGAAGUGAGGGUCUGCCUCAAUCAAUAACUUCACCACUUUUGAGUGAUGAUACCGCACCGCCUCAUGCAAGGCUGUGUCUUUCUCCUUAUUGGUCAUCCUCAACAUCGCCUCGUCUGUUCCAACCCCACUUUCGAUCUCUUGGUGAAGUGUUUUUGCGGCGUCAAGGAGAGCUUUCACAACCCCCCUAUGGCCUUCUCUCGCAGCAAGGUGAAGUGGAGUGUCGCCUUUCAGAUUGGGCUGCUGCAGUAGAGGUGAACAUGAAUGAAAGUGAAGGAUCCACUCUACGCAUGCCAGCUGACCGAACUGGGCUGCAAUGUGGAGGACAGUGUUCCUUUUUGGGGUUAGUUGGGGUUGAAGAUGAGCAAAUUCCGAGUACUUCCCCUUGAGGAAACUGAUAUCACCUCUAUACAAAGCCUUGUACAAAUCAGCAUCCAUGUGGGGGAUCUCAGUUUGGCUAACAGCUGCAAUCUGGUUCGGCAUCUCAGUUUGGCUUGAAAAGGUUUCCGAGUUAAGGUUCUGCGAUUCUGUGAUUUGAUUGGAGCUGGACUGAUCCAUUUUUGGUGUUGGAGGAACAAAGUAAUAAUCAACUCUUCACAUUCUAUCUAUCCAUCUAUCUAUAUAUAUAUAUAUAUUUAUAUUUUGUGAGCAAUUCCCUUCAAGCUUUUGUCCUUAAUUGAAAGAUAUUUUAUGUAGAGCAUAUGUAAGUUGUUUGCCCGUAUAUAUUUUUUUUGUUUUUGUAUAAAAUAUUUCUUUUUUAUUAUUUUUAAUAAUUAUACAAUUUUUUAAAAUAAUUAUAAAAAAGUAAUAAAAAAAAAGUGAUAACAACAUAAAAUAAUUAAAAGUUAUCGGUUGAAACACUUUAUUAUGUUUUUAAGGAUAAAAAAUUGUUUUUCACUUUUUUGUUAUUACACAUGUUUUUCUUUUCUUUUUUUUAAUUUUUUAUGAAAAAAAAAUAAGUUAUGAAACAAGACUUUAACUUCCACAUCAUGUUCUCCUCAACCGUCAUUAUUAAUUAACUUAUAAAUUAAUUUUGCUUAUUAAUUCCAUAAGAUCAAAAUUUAUUUUAAAAUUUUAAUAUUAAAAUUGAAUGGAAUAUGAUCAUUUAGUAUCUCAAAAAUUUGUCACUGACAAACUACAAGUAAUUUUUAUCUUAUCAACUUAUGAACUCAUACCAAUAGAGAGUUAGAGCUAUUUUGCAUAUACCAACAGAUAAAAAAAAGCUAAAUAGUCAAAUUUGUACAUCUAGUCAUUAAUUAAAAUUAUUUUUGUUUUUGUAUAAAAUAUUUCUUUUUUAUUAUUUUUAAUAAUUAUAUGAUUUUUUAAAAUAAUUAUAAAAAAGUAAUAAAAAAAAAGUGAUAACAACAUAAAAUAAUUAAAAGUUAUCGGUUGAAACACUUUAUUAUGUUUUUAAGGAUAAAAAAUUGUUUUUCACUUUUUUGUUAUUACACAUUUUUUUCUAUUUUUUUUAAUUUUUUAUGAAAAAAAAAAAUAGUUAUGAAACAAGACUUUAACUUCCACAUCAUGUUCUCCUCAACCGGCAUUAUUAAUCAACUUAUAAAUUAAUUUUGCUUAUUAAUUCCAUAAGAUCAAAAUUUAUUUUAAAAUUUUAAUAUUAUAAUUGAAUGGAAUAUGAUUAUUUAGUAUCUCAAAAAUUUGUCACUGACAAACUACAGGUAAUUUUUAUCUUAUCAACUUAUGAACUCAGACCAAUAGAAAGUUAGAGCUAUUUUCCAUAUACCAACAAAUAAAAAAAGCUAAAUAGUCAAAUUUGAAUAACACAAUUUUUCUCACUUAUCGAUGGGUAUGCUGGAAUACUAAAAUAUUUCAUACAAUUCAUAUUAACCAUUUUUCAUCGCUUGUAGCCACAACUUACCACAUAAAAGAAUGUAUAAAAAUUAUGGUAACUAUAAUGAAAAGAAGAACACUACUAUUUAUUAUUUAUUAAUAUUAAAUAACAUUAAUUAUUAUAAAUAUUUUAUUUAGUACUCAUACUUUUAGGUUUAAUUUGAAGAUGAUAAUUAUCAGGUUAGUUUUUCAAUUCUAGGUUUUAUUGAAAUUUUCUAUUAUCCAUAAUAUGUUAUAUGAAAUAUAAGUAUUAAUGAAUGGUAUGUGACCAUGUGACAACGUCAGAGUAUAUAAUGUUUCUUCUUUGUUUUAGUCUGCCACUCAAUGGAUUCGUCUAUAGUGUGUUCUUUGUUUGGUCUGCCACUCCAUGAUUCCCGUAAAUUGCGGAAGAAAAGCGAAUCAUUGCAUGUGCAAGUAUUUUACCGAAUGGUUUGUGAUAAUAUACAUCACGUGAAUUGUGAAAGAAAAGUGUCUUUUCUCCCUUCGAUUGCAUUCACUGAACAGCAUAUGACCACUCAGAGCAAAAGCAAGAUGAGUUUGGAAUCCGACGGGGAAAAGGGCAGCAAUGGUAGGGCCCACUUCCCUUUGAAACCUUGUUCAGUCGUCCGUCCCCACCCCUUUGAUUGCGUAGGACAAACCCCCACCAUAACACCAUGUGGGUUGCCCCCUCUUUCGACAUCAUUCCAUGAAAACAAUGCCGUUCUAUGAACGGAGCGGAGGAUUGCUUGCACAUGGCACUUAUUUGAUUUUUUGAUUUGAACAGCCAAAGGUAUUGCUAACAUUAUUAAAAAUAGUACUUAUUUGCUAAAAGGUAUGUAAAAUCUGAAUUAUUUUUAGAUAAAUGUAUUCAAUUUGAAAAUUUUAAAUUUGGCACGCCAUGCACCUCCAAAUACACAAGCUGACAAAAGAUAUGAAAGGUUGUCGGUUGUUUAAUAUAUAACUUGUCUCUUGUUUUUAACUUGGAUGUCAGUAGGAAUAGUCCAUUAUUAUCUUUAUUCGGUGAAAACAUGGCACGCCAUGCACCUCCAAAUACACAAGCUGACAAGAGAUAUGAAAGAUUGUCGGUUUUUUAAUAUAUAAAAAGUUAUAAUUUACAAAAUUUAUGAAAGGGUCCACAUAUAUAGAAUAUUUAUAAAAUAUGAUUUCGAUAUAUUCUAAAAAAUUGUAAAAUGAUUGACCUUUGGGUCAUUUAAAAUUUGUGUGCCUAUUCAUAGAAGUAUUUAAUGAAAUAUUUAAUUAUUAUAAAAUGACAUAAUUAAAUAAAAUAUAAGAUGAUGAUCUUAAAGACUUAAGCUUGGUAUCUAAUAAGAGUUAAUACUUGAUACAUAAUUAUUAUACGUGACUUUAAGUUAACUUAUGUUUAAACCAUCAAUUUAAAACUUAUUAUAAAGUUAUAUUGUUAAAUUAACACAUUUACCUUCAUCAAUACUUAAAAAAUGGGGGAGAGAAACACAAAAAGUAAAGAGACAUAUUAAUGUUAUUUUAGGUUGAAUUAUAUAUACUUAUUUAUUAUUUAGUUAUUAAGAAAUAAAUUUAUUACUUCACAUUAAUAAUAAUAAAUUCUUCAUUAAGUCAUCUUUAUUAAUGUUUGAGUGUUGUUAAGUAUGAACUUAUAUUUUUUUAAUUAUUAUUUUUAAAUGGUAAAUUAAUUUACUUUUAUAUUUUAAAAUCUAUAAAAUUAAUUAUUAUAUUUCUUUUUAUUUUAUGCAUUUAAGAUAAAAAUAGUUAAAAUUAAUGAUUUGAAAAAGGAAUAGCAAUGUAAUAUAUUUCCAAACAUCAAAAUUUAUUAACAUAAUAAAAAAUUUCUAUUUCAAGUAAUAGCUCAUGAGAAAAUUUUAUAUUAAAAUUCUUAAGAAAUAAGAGAAAAUAUAACUUAAAAAAAAAUCCAUUUGAACUAAAAUAAAUCAUUUUUUUAUUUAUUUUUAAGACAACAGUUAUCAAAACUUUAAAAAUAAUAAAAAUAAAUUUAAAAAUAAAUUGAAGUAAAUAAUAUAGAAAUAAAAUAAAUAAAUAAAUGAAUAGAUGUGAUGUAUGAUAUUAAUGGGUAAUUAAUUAUUCAUGGCACCCAUUUCAGGGCUUACAACAUAGGUAUCUUCUUAAGGAUUAUUUUUCAAGUCAUCCUUUCAAAUAGAGCGAUAUUUAAAAUGAAUGUCCGUUUAGUUAUGAUUUUAAAAAAUGUUUCUAAUUUUUCUAAUAAUUCAAAAAAAUUUAUCAUUUAAGUAAUAAAAAGAUUAGAAACUUUUUCUAUGGUUACUAUCAAGAUUAAUAUCAAACACAUUCUAAAAGAAAUGGUAUUAAAAUGAGUUAAUAUUUAUUAUUUACUUAUAAUAAUAUAAUAAUGGAUUUUAAAUUCAAGAACAGCAAUAAAGAGGGGACCUGUGAGUAUCCUGUUUAAUGUUGAAUAUUUUAUUAAUUAAUUAAUCUCUUUAGUCGUAUCAACAAUAAAAAGCAUGUUAAAAUAAUGGAAUAAGUUUUUCUAUCCUGUCAAUUUAUAUAUAACUUUGAAGAACUCAUCUUAGAACUAGAAAAUGAUUAUUUUAACAAAAUGGUACAGACAAAAUUGUGGGCCUACCCUCAAGAUUCCUUUCAUAUUUCAAACUUGUAAAACUUGUUUAUGGAGGAGUUGGUGGUGGUGGGAAUACUUUAAAAUUUUUAUUCAUUUUUUUUUUUGGCACUAGGGUGGACAAAUUUAAGCAAGUGUUUAAAUCUUGGUGAUGACAAGAUGGAUGAAUGCAUUUUUGAAAAAUUAUUUGAUUAAAAAAGAAUGAAAUGAUUUCAAAUUUGUAUUAUUGGUGUAAUACCAACCAAACUUGUGUUCGUCUACCAUUUUUGGAGUCAGAUGGACAUCUUCCCUACACAAAAGGAUGUCUGGAUAAGGUGAUUCGGACAUGCCCAUCCGAAACUUAAGUCAAAAAAUAAUAAGGACGAGUCUAGUUAUUUCGAAUGACUUUGUACAUGCGUUCCUUUUUCAUGCUUCUUGAGGGGUUUUUAUAAAGCAAAUGACACCAUUGUUAUAGCGCUGAUGGAUGUCAGAUGGAAUGGACAGACCACGCCGAUUGAGAUUUUUGAACAAAUUAACCAACACAGUCGGAGAUUUUAGGUAUUGAGCAUAUGGAUAAUCACACCCAGUGUUUGAGUAAGACAACAUUUACGUCUAAAAGUCAAUGAAUACUAAUUGCUACACGCAAUUAGCGACAUUGAAAAAUGUAAAUGCAGAGUCAACUACAUGGUCCGAGACUCUUACUCGACAGCCAGCAAAUGACAUCAGUCAACGAAUUUUGUUUGGUAUGAUUGCCCAAUUCGUAUAGAAAUGAUGGCGUUAACUCUCUUGCUAAGGCUCGAUUUCUGCCUUGAUAACAAUCAUCAUCAUAAAAAAGACAUGAAUGCACCAUCAAUGCUAUAGCAAUGGUGCCAUCUGCUUUAUAAAAACCCCUUAAGAAGCAUAAAAAAUGUACACGUGUAUAGAGUCAUUCAAAAUAAUUAAACAUAUUCUUAUUAUUUUUUGACUUAAGCUUCGAGGGAUGUGCCUGAACCACCUAUUCAGACAUCCUUUUGUGCAGGGAAGAAGCCCGUUUGACUCUAGAGAAGUUAGACGAACACAAGUCUAGUUGGUACUACAUCAAUAUGUAUAUCUAAUUUCUUGUCUUUAUAACCUAAUAAUCCUCUUUAACCUUUUCAUUAUUUAUAUAUAUAUAUAUAAUAUUUUUUUCUAAACGGAUAGUUAAAAAAAUAUAGAAAGUUAAAUUUAUAAAUUGAGAAUUAUUUCAUCCUUUAAUCAAAUGACUUUUUUUCAAUUACUUAUUUCUAUUGUAAAGGGUUGGAAUCAUUUGUAAUGUUUAUAUUAAAAUUUGUGUGCCUAUUUCAUAGAAGUAUUUAAUGAAAUAUUUAAUUAUUGUAAAAUGAUCGACAUAAUUAAAUAAAAUAUAAGAUGAUGAUUUUAAAGACUUAAGCUUGGUAUCUAAUAAGGGUUAAUACUUGAUACAUAAUUAUUAUAUGUGACUUUAAGUUAAAUUAUGCUUAAACCAUCAAUUUAAAACUUAUUAUAAAGUUAUAUUAUUGAAUUAACAUAUUUACCUUCAUCAAUACUAAAAAAUGGGGGAGAGAAACACAAAAAUAAAGAGACAUAUUAAUGUUAUUUUAGAUUGAAUUAUAUAUACUUAUUUAUUAUUUAGUUAUUUAAAAAUAAAUUUAUUACUUCACAUUAAUAAUAAUAAAUACUUCAUUAAGUCAUCUUUAUUAAUGUUUGAGUGUUGUUAAGUACGAACUUAUAUUUUUUUAAUUAUUAUUUUUAAAUGGUAAAUUAAUUUACUUUUAUAUUUUAAAAUCUAAAAAAUUAAUUAUUAUAUUUCUUUUUUAAAAAUAGAUAAAAUUAAUAAUUUGAAAAAGGAAUAGCAAUGUAAUAUAUUUCCAAACAUCAAAAUUUAUUAACAUAAUAAAAAAAUUUCUAUUUUGAGUAAUAGCUCAUGAGAAAAUUUUAUAUUAAAAUUUCUUAAGAAAUAAGAGAAAAUAUAACUAAAAACAAAAUCCAUUUCUAACUAAAAUAAAUCAAUUUUUUUAUAUUUAUUUUUAAGACAAUAAUUAUCAAAGUUAUAAAUGUGAUGAAUGAUAUUAAUGGAUGAUUAAUUAUUCAUAGGUCGCACCCAUUUCAGGGCUUACAUCAUAUGCAUCUUCUUAAGGAUUAUAUUUCGAGUCAUUUCAAACAUAGUGAUAUUUAAAAUGGAUGAUUAAGAGCUCGUUUAACUAUUUUUUAAAAAAUUUUAUCAUUCAAGUGGCAAAAAAUUAAAAAUGUUUUAUAUAACCGCUGUCAAACGCAUUUUAAAACAAAUGGUAUUAAAAUAAUAUUUAUUAUUUACUUAUAAUAGUAUAAUAAUGGAUUUCAAAUUCAAGAACAGUGUUCAAGAGGGAACACGUGAGUAUCCUAUUUAAUGUUGAAUAUUUUAUUAAUUAAUUAAUCUCUUUAGUUGUAUCAACAAUAAGAAGCAUAUUAAAAUAAUGGAAUAAGCUUUUUAUCCUAUCAAAUUAUAUAUAACUUUGAAGAACUCAUCUUAAAACUACAAAAUGAUUGUUUUAACAAAAUGGUACAGACAAAAUUGUGGGCCUACCCUCAAGAUUCCUUUCAUAUUUUCAACUUGUAAAACUUGUUUAUUGAGGAGUUGGUGGUGGUGGUGGGACAAAUUUGGAAUCAUUUGUAAUGUUUGUAUUCUAAAAAAAAAGGGAAAUGAUUGGCUAUUAAGUCAUUUAAAAUUUAUGUGGCUAUUCAUCAAAGUAUUUAAUUUGAUAUUACUUACUCUUUUUUUAUUUAAGUUUUAUCAUUACUUUUGAAUGUUCAAUUGAGUCAAGUAUUUAUAAUAAUCUUAUUUUAUGUUAAAUUAUAUGUACUUAUCUUUUUUAUUGAUUAAUAUAAAAAAAUAUUUCUUUUCUCAAUAAAGAUAAAUAUUUCAUUAACUUAUCUGGACCAACAUCUCUCUCGUGCGUUUCCAAUAGGACUGGUGCGUUGCCAACCGGCAAAAUAUUUCUUUUUUAUUUUUCAUCUACAAAACUUUAUACAAAAGAUAUCAUAUCAUGUACGAGGAAAAAAAUAAAAAGAGAAAAGAGAAAAUUAUGAUAUAAUUAUAUACACAUCUCUUAAUAUGAUAUAUUUGUUUGACUUAAUGACAUAGUGCUUUAAUAAUUUAAACCAUGUCAAGUCCACAUUUAUUUUAGAUUUAAAAGGGUAUUUGAAUAUUUUUCAAAUUAUUAAGUUAUAAUACAUUAUUCAAUUAAAAAUUAAUUAUCAGUAUUAGUUAAAAGAUGAUCAUGUUAUAAAAUAAUAUAUUUAGACAAUAUUUAUGUAUUGUCCAUAAAAUAGAUAAAAUAUUCAAAUAAUUGUCUAUAACCUUUAAGAUAUAUAUAUAUAUAUAUAUAUAUAUAUAUAUAUAUAUAUAUAUAUAUAUAUAUAUAUAUAUAUAUAUAUAUAUAUAUAUGUUGGAUAAAAAAUAAUAAUAAUAUUUUUUAAGGUGUUUAAAAAAUAGUUAUUAUACAUUUUGUAAGUUUUUUAAAAAAAAGUUUAUGAGGUGUUUAAAGAAUAUUUACUUUAAAAAUAUAGUAAUAAUAAUUUUUAACCAUUGAUUUCUAAUAUUCAAUUUAUUAGGCAUUGUUUUUUGGAAGAAAAAUAAUUGAUAGAAAUAUAAAGGAAUUAAUUUACAUGUCCCACUAAUUAAUAUGUGAGAGAAAGGUAAGGUGAAUGAUGAGAGAGAGGGAAAAAGAGAAUGAGAGAGAGUAGGAAGUUAGUUAUUUUCUUUUUCUAUUUUAUAGUUAAGGGUAUUUUAAAAAUUUUUGAAAAGUAAUGUCCUUUAACUCAAUUUUCACUCAUCCAUUUUGAGAUUAAAUACAAGGGAUAUGAGGACUUUGGGCCAAUUUUCAAGUCAAGCGGGUAUAAAACUCAAUUCUCCCAUUAAAGAAAGCGACACUAGUAUAAAACGAUAAAAAAGAGGAAAGUGACUUAGGACCACAGCUUUGUGGGGGCAUUCGCACCCUCUGUUCCCUUUGCUGUAGUAAUAUAAGACGCAGAGGCGGUGGAUUAUGGUGUUGUGAAAGAUUUGAGAGAGGUGGAGACGGCUGUAGAGCUUAAGCACACCCAUGGAUCCAUCCACUUCCACUUCCACCCAUGCUUUAGAAUUACAGAGCCUUAACUCAGUUUCUAGUGCGAACCAGGAGGAUGUCACAUACAUGCCUCCUAAAAUUUACAGGGCUGCAGCACAAGGCUCCACCGAUAUUAUCCGCAGGACAAUGCCCAGAGUUGUCCAAUAUUUAACACCCAAUAAGAACACUAUCCUCCACAUUGCAGCCCAAUUCGGUCAACCGAAGUGCGUUGAAUUCAUCAUUCGACAUUACAGUGGGGAUUCAUCCCCACUGCAGUGGCCCAUCUGAAAGGGGACUCCCCCCUCCACCUUGCAGCGAGAGAAGGGCAUCUAGAGGUCGUGAAGGCUAUUAUUCAUGCUGCGAAAACAGUUUCCGAAAGAGAUAUUGAGAGUGGGAUUGGAGUGGACAAGGCCAUGCUGAGGAUGACCAACAAUGAGCAUGACACAGCCUUGCAUGAGGCAGUCCGGUAUCAUCAUCUGGAGGUCGUGAAGUGGUUGAACGAGGAAGAUCCCGAGUUUACAUAUGGUGCUAACUUUUCUGGUGGGACUCCUCUAUACAUGGCUGCUGAGAGAGGGUUUACAGACUUGGUGAAAAUAAUCAUAGAGAACACUAAUCGCAAUCGACUGGCUCACACUGGCCCCAUGGGUAGAACAGCUUUGCACGCAGCUGUGAUUUGCCGUGACCCAAGUAGGCAUAUUCUUUUCCUGAAUCUACCAUAUUUCCUAUGUGGUUUGUUUAUUAAUAUUACUGGUAUAACAUAUAUAGUGUUGAAUAGCAAGUUUUAACCUGGCUAAACUAUGGGGUUACAAUAUCUUCAUAACUUCUAAUCUUUCUCAAAAAAUAUUUUGAUAUAUUUGUUUUGAGUAUAUAUAUAUAUGCUUGGUGGUUGAUUGUUUCAGCUGUUUAAAUGUUAUAUUCCAAAUAGUUCAGUUACUUUUUAACCUGACAUGCAUGAUUAAAUAUGGGAAAAUGGGGAAGACUAAAGGAAACUUGUUUCUUAAUUUCUUAUACUCUUCUAAUUUGUUUCUUUCUUUUCAUUUUAUGUAUGUGUUGAUCAGUAAUGGUAAAAGAAAUUCUGAAAUGGAAGCCAGAUCUAACAAAAGAAGUGGAUGAAAACGGGUGGUCUCCACUCCACUGCGCUGCAUACUUGGGUUAUGUUCCAAUAGCGAGACAAUUGCUUCAUAAAUCUGAUAGGUCUGUAGUCUACCUAAGGGUAAAAAAUGAUGACAACAAGACAGCUCUUCAUAUUGCGGCCACCCGUGGAAACAGGAUCACAGCAAAACUGCUGGUGUCAUACUAUCCAGAUUGUUGUGAGCAAGUGGAUAUUAAUGGCAAUAAUGCUCUUCACUUAUUCAUGAUGCAAAAAAGAUUUUUCAUCAGAAGCUUGUUGAAUAUUCGCUGGAUGAAUGUGGGAGCACUUAUAAAUGAGAAGAAUGUUGAAGGACAAACACCUCUCCAUCUGCUUGCCCAUUCCCAGGCGAGAUCUGAUUGCACUUUCAUAAGAGACAAGAAAGUAGAUAAGAUGGCACUUAAUAGCCAAAACUUGACUGCUGUGGACGUAAUUUUACUGGCUGAGGAUUUAUUUGGACAAAAGGUAAGCCUGUCUGUCUAACUUUAUUAAUUUCCCAAAUAGCAAGGAAUUGGUGGACUAGUAAUAUACUAUAAUGAUAUUUAGAAUGGUAAAUUGAUUAGAUAAUUAAUUAAUCCAAGCAAAAAAUGGUGGCAUACAUCAUAUGAUUUACUCUAUUAAUUGAAGCCAAGCUACUGUAUACUCUGUUUUCUUUGAUUAAAUUUCAGGAUCUUAUCAUACGAAGACUGAAACGUGCCAAAGCUAGAAUCGGGCCUUUGUUGUGGCAGAAGGCUAUGAACAAAGACGAGGAUAAGAGCCAAAGCAAACGUAAUAAAGGUUUAGACACCUCUUUCUUAAAGAAAGCAAGUGAUAGCCAUUUGCUGGUGGCCGCACUUGUCGCCACUGUAUCCUUCGCAGCAGGUUUCACGCUACCCGGCGGUUAUAAGGAUAGUGACGGCAUGGCCAAGUUAAGCAACAAGCCUGGUUUUAAAGCAUUUGUUGUGUCAGAUUCCCUGGCCUUGGUGCUCUCUGUGACUGCUGUAUUGUGUCAUUUCUAUAAUGCAUUGGAGAAGAAAAAGGUCCACGUCACAUAUUUUCUAAGGUGGGCCUAUUGGUUCACCAAAUUGGGUGUAGGAGCAAUGGUGGUAGCAUUCUUUACCGGCUUGUACAGCGUACUGCCCCGUCACUCAGGGAUUGCCAUUUUUGUUUUGAUCAUCUGCAUCUGCUGUUCAGUUUUGAGCAUAACCUCUGGUAGGCCGAGAGUAAGAAAAUAUUUUUAGUUAAUUUUGAUUUUUUUUUAAAAUUAGAAUUUAUUAGGUUGAGUGAGAUUUUGUUUAUAUAUAUAUUAUUUGGAGUAAAAGAUCAUGUAGUAGUUAAAUAAGAUUAAUAAAAGUUAAUAAUUUUCUCUUGAUUUUCCUCUAGUUGGUUGUCUCUUUUUAUGUAAUUCAAUCCUUUCACUCCUAUGAAUUCGUAUCAGAAAAUUUAAGGGCUGAAACAAAAGGGUACACCAAUACCCUCUGGCGAAAUGCCUACAAACAACCUUAAUAUAUAACACCAAUACCCUCUGGCGAAAUGCCUACAAACAACCUUAAUAUAUAACACCUUGCAGCGAGAGAAGGGCUCGUAGAGAUCAUGAAGGCUCUUAGCGGUGCUGGAAAAGAACUUCUCAUAGAUAUUGAAAGUGGCACAUCAAUAUAUCCCGAUGUGGUUAACCAAUCAAUUAUCAAAGCAACAAGGGGUUUAACCAAAAAAAACAAAAGGCACAAACAAUCUCACAUGCUAAUGACUAUGGAGGAAAAAUAAUCUCGCAUAUUCUUUUCCUCAAUCUACAAUAUUCCUAUAUGAUUGACUUAUUAACAUUAGAAGUAUAACAUAUAGAGUGUUGAAUAACAAUUUUUAACCUAGCUAAACAAUGGGGUUAACCAAGUCAAAAGAAUAAUAAUAAAUGACAUCUUUGCUAUUCUCUUUUGAAGCCCUUCUCUCCGGAUCGAAUCUACCGUUCCUUUGAAUUAAACUUUUGAUCUUUCACAAAAACUAUUUUGAUAUAUUUGUUUGAGUAUAUAUGCUUGAUGGUUGAUUGUUUCAGUUGUUUGGAUGAAUUGUUUGAAUAGUUUAAAUGUUGUAUUCCAAGUAGUUAAUCUAGUUCCUUUUAAGCUGGCAUGCAUGAUCAAAUAUGACCGUUGAAAAUAGGGAGAAAAAUAAAAACAAGAAAAUUAAAAACAACUUAGAGAGUGUUUGAUUUUUUGGCUUUUUGCUGAAAACGAUUUGUUUUAAGAAUUUAAGUUGUUUGUUUUUCUACUUUUUUGACUUAUUAUAAACUUUUUAUUGAAUAAAAAAGCCUAAAUAAAAAAAAAAUAACAUAUUGGUUUUCUUUUUUUCUUUUUAAUAUUUAAUAAAAAUAAAAUACUAUAAAAACAAACAAUUCAAUAUUUAACACUAUUAAGUAUUAAGGUUCUAUUUAGAAUUAAGUAAAAAAACAAACACCACCUUAGUUUCUUAAUUUCUAAAACUCUUCUAUUUUUUUUUUCUUUUCAUUUUGUGGAUGUGUUGAUCAGAAAUGGUAAAAGAAAUCCUAAAAUGGAAGCCAAAUCUAACCAAAGAAGUGGAUGAAAAUGGGUGGUCUCGACUUUACUGUGCUGCAUAUUUAGGUUAUGUUUCAAAAGUGAGGCAAUUACUGGAUGAAUCUGAUAGGUUUGUAGUCUACUAAGGGUAAAAAAUGAUGACAACAAUGAAUGUGGGAGCACUUACAAAUGAGAAGAAUGUUGAAGGACGUCAAACACCUCUCCAUCUGCUUACCCAUUCCCAGCUGAGAUUUCCUUCUUUCAUAAGGAACAAGAAAGUAGAUAAGAUGACACUUAACAACCAAAACUUGACUGCUUUAGACGUAAUUUCAUCGACCGAGGAUUUAUUUGGACGAAAGGAAUGCCUGUUUAACUCUCGGUUAAUUUCCCAUUUGACUGAAAUUGAACUAGCCUUUUUAUCACGUUCUGCUACACAUUUGCUUUACAACUAAAUGCUCUUUAUAUAGAGCUAAUAAGCAACGGGUAAACAGAAUAUGCAAAAAAUUCCACUAUCUUCUAAAGACUAGAACAAUCUGAAAACCAGGCACUCUAAAUAAAAAUAUUAAGUAAAUGCUUCCAACAAUAUAUAUUAUAAGGUGCGUUGAAGCUGAGCUACUUCAAAUGACUUGGAGUAUGUAAGAGUAAAAUUAUUAAUAUUGUAUCGUCUAUAUAUUUUCUCUAAAAUGAUUUGACUGAUUAAACUUCAUUUUUGUAUUGUAUGACACCUGAAACGGGCCAAAGCCAUGAGUUUUGGGGGAAAAUAGCUUUUUUAUAGAAAAAAAAAAUAUAGGGUGUGGUCUAUUUGUAAAACUUAUAUUCAAAUUAACCCAUUUAUUGUCACAUAAGAGUCAUGUCAUAAUUUUUUUUUUUUUCCAAAAUUUAAGUUAAAACCUCAAUUGCUAAUCGAGGUUUCAAUUAAAUUUUUUUUUUCUUACUUCAAAAUUUAAUUAAAAAAUAUUAAAUUAUAAAUUAUUGUUGAAAUUAAAAAUAUAUACUUUAAUAAUAAAAAUUUUAUAUAUUUAAAUUUAAAGAUCUAGUAUUAUUUCAAUAAAGAUAAAUUGAUAAAUAUAAUAAUAAAUGAAUAUUUUAAUUAUCAAUAAAUUAAUAAUAUUAAAAUAACAAAGUUAUAUAACAUAUAAAUAAGAUAUAAAAUUUUAUAAUUUAUUAAUUUAAUUUAAUUUAUUUUUAAGAUAUAAAAUUAUAUGAUUUAUUAAUUUAAGUGAUAUCACAUGUAGUAUCUGCUACAAUUAGGAAGAGACUUUUUUUUCUCACUAUAUAAAUGUUUAGUAUGUAUUUUUUGUGACUUUGAUAGAACUACUAAAAAUUACAUUUUAUAGAAAACUUUUUUUAAUUAAUUUCAUUAACUAAUUUUGAAAUAUAUUUUCAAUGCAUAUAUGUUAUGUGUACAAAUAAUAGUCUUUAUAUAUAUAUAUAUAUAUAUAUAUAUAUAUAUAUAUAUAUAUAUAUAUAUAUAUAAUUAUAAACAUAUGCUUUAAAAUAAUAAAAAAUCAAUAUAUGGAAACUUAAGAGUAUAUUAUUAUUUCAAUAAAGAUAAAUUUGUCAAAAUACAAAUAAAUUAAUAUCUUAAAAAUACAACAAAUUAAAUAUCUUAAAUUAAUAAAUCAUAUAAUAUUAUAUUUUAUUUAUAUGUCAUAUAACUUUAUUAUUUUAAAAUUAUUAAUUUAUUGAUAAAUAAAAUAUUUGAUUUAUUAUUAUAUUUAUCAAUUUAUCUUUAUUGAAGUAAUAUUAGAUCUUUAUGUUUAAAUAUAUAAAUUUUUAUUAUUAAAGUAUAUAUUUUUAAUUUCAAUAAUAAUUUAUAAUUUAAUAUUUUAAAGUAGAAAAAAAAAUUAAUUGAACCCUCAAUUGAUAAUUGAAGGUUCAGUUUAAAAAUGAAGUAUUAGUUGUCAAUUGCGACUUUAGUUCAAAAAUAAAGGCUCAAUUGAUAAUUGAGGUUUCAACUUAAAUUUGAAAAAAAAAUUAUAUAUAUAUUGUGACAUAUCUUCUAUGUGAUAAUGAGGUUAUACCUUGUAAUUUUUAUUUUUAUUUUUUAUAAGGGGGUUAUUUUGCCCCAAAACUCGAAAGCUAGAGUCAGGCCUUUGUUGUGGCAGAAGACUAUGAGCAAAGACAAGGACCAGAAGACAACGUAUCUUUCUUAAAGAAAGCAAGUGAUAGCCAUGUGCUAGUGGCUGCACUCGUAGCCACCUAUCCUUCGCUGCAGGUUUUACACUGCUCGGCGGGUAUAUCAUGAUAGUGACGACACGACCAUUUUAAGCAAAAAGCCAGCUUUUCAAUCGUUUGUUGUGUCAGAUUCCAUGGCCUGGUGCGAGUUUAAGUUCAAAAUAAUCCAUUGGUAGAAAAAAAUGGCAAGAAUAGUACCCAUCUCAAAAUAUUUAUCAAAUUAAUCUUUUUGCAUCCACAUAAGCAUCUACAUGGAUUUUUUUUUUAAGUGUGUAAAACCACUGUUGAGGCCUCGCGUCCCUGGUGAUCCACGUAGUUGCCAAAUGGAUGGACGCACGAUCUCAACCAAUGUAGAUUCUUGAUUCAAUCGUACCUGCAAAAGGCGUCCGAACAAGGUGUCCGGACGCACCCUCCGAUGGUUUUGUUAGCCAUGGUAAGAGAGAUAAAUCAGUUGGCCUUUUUCUAGGUAUCGCCAGCUUACCUUCCUCUUUGUGUGAAGGUUCAUAUAUAUAGUAUCAGAAGUUUUGUUUCCCUCUUUAAUGGUAGGGAGAUAUUUUGGCUUGUCAUGAUGACACUAGGUGGUGGUAGGGCCAUCAUCACCCUACGGGCAGCUGACAGAGAUCGUGGGAGGCACUGCGACUGUCAAAGAUCGUGGGAAGUGAUCGUGGGAAGUGACUUGCCGUCACUUCAUUCUUAUCCUUUCACUCUGUAGGUGGCGAAACGUGGGCCAUGGCAGGCUGUUGUGAUGACGUGCAAGACUUGCUUACUUCAGUCAAUGAUUCGGACAAACAUGUCCGGAUAGUAUAUGUCGGUCGUCCGGAUGCGAUGUGGCGGUCGUCCGGAUGUUAUGCUUGUGAGUGUCAUGUGCCUCUCCUUGAGGGAGUCCGGAUAGGAGAAGCGUGCCACGUGUCAUUAGGGGGAGGGGUCCCUACAAUGCCCCCCUUUUUUAACUUGCCGAUUUUGCCCGAGUAAAAUGGGCGGGUUAAAAAAUAAUUGUUUUUUGAAACUGAGGUUACUUUUUCGCGUUCAUUGGGUCACGUGGCGAGCGGGGGCGAAGAGAGAGAAUAGCAUUUAUGAUAAGCCGCCGUCUCUGGGUAUUCCCAAGCAGCGUGUUAUUUCAAAUGAUGGCGUAGCUGAGCAUUUGGGAUACCGAGGGGCUGUCUCCCUAUAAAUAGUAGUCUGAGCCCUCACUUUGCAUUUUUCUGUCUGUGUUUUUCUCUUGUUUAGCUUUUUUUCUUCUACCUUCUGUGUAACUCCGUUUUUGAGUGAAGCUCUAGGGUUUUCUGUCGGCAAUAUUCGCGUCGUGACGGUGACUACAUUGCGGUUUUCAACCCUAUUUUUCCCGUUUUCACUCGGUACGUUCGCUUUUCUUGUCUUUUCCUUGCUGUGUUUUGUUUUGUUGGUUGUUUGCAAGUUGCUUGCGACUGGGUGUUGAUAUUGGUUUCUAGGGCUUUUUCGGGGGGUUUUUGACUGUUUUUCUGGGUGUGUUUAGGAUUUUUGUUGCCCCUCUGUAUUUUUUGUGGGUUGGCGGUUUUUCUUUGGGGUAGAGUCAAGGGUUUGGGAUGGGUAUGCUGGUGAUGUGAGGUUUUUCUGAGAGUUUCUGUCGUUUAGGGUUGUGGGGUCGGUUUGCUGUGUUUUGACUGUUGGUACUUCUUCCAUGCAGAUUUUUCUUCAGGCUUAGGCUAAAAAAUGUCUGCAAACAAGGAAGCUACCUCAUCUGGCCCGUCCGGAGAUGCUCAUGCUGAGAAAUCUGUUGAUAAGUUGAAUGUGGGGGAGUUUCGCGAACUCUUCUGUAUCCCAAAUGGUGUGCUCGUGGAACUUAUGGACGGAGAGGUCGUGUCAACUGAGAAGUCGGAGGACCAUGCCAUCGUGUUCACCAAGGAGCAGUUCAAUGUUGGGCUCCGGUUCCCUCUCCCGUCGCUGUUCAAGAAAUUCCUUCACUUUACUCAGAUUCCUCUAGCUUGCAUCCACCCCAAUAUGGUCCGGGUGCUGAUGGGAUGCAACACUCUAAGCAUGUUGUUCAACAUAGACCUCUCGCUGCUAGAGGUGCUUUUCGUCUACUCCCUUAAGAAGGGUAAAAAUGACAUUUUUAGCAUGGUUGCCCACCUGCCCUCUCUUCAACUAGUGACUGAGCUGCCGUAUUUGACGAAGGGAGGAGCGAAGGGACAUGUGUUGGUUCGGGGUGCCUGGGCGGGGCUACUGGAGCAUUCGGAGAGGUCAUUUUCCCCGAACCAUUCGUUGGUGCUUCCGGGUAAGUCAGCUUGCGGGGUUUGUCCGGCAUUUGUCUUGUUGUUUUUCUUGCUGGGGUUUAUCAGAUGGCUUAAUAUCUUUGGUUGCUGAUAAUGCAAGUCCGGACAGGAGGGGCCGCGUAGUCGAGUGGGUAGAAAAAGCGUCGUUCGCUCGACUGAACAAGUUAUUUGAGAUUAUUGUCGCUGAGAGGCAUUAUGAGACGCUGCUCACUGCGCGGAACUUGUUGGCUGUUGUCCGGGAGUCCCAAGCGUACGUCAUCAAUAUUCUCCCAAGGAAGCUGCCAAAUAAGGUAGUGCCUGAGGAGCAUUACGUUCUGAAAUACCUCAAUUUCUGUAAGGAGGUGCAAAAGGUCGACGCUCAGAAACUCCAAGCACUCCUUGACGAUCGGGAGGGGAGGAGGAAAGAGGGAACUUUACGGAAGGCUCCUGGUAAAAAACGCUCCGCACCCUCUCUUCCUGCUGGCGCCCCAACGAAAAAGAAGAACAAGAAGAAGCUGGUUCUUAAUAAGGGAAAAGAAAUAAAACUUUCAACUCCUCCGAAGGAGUUUGUAAUUCCCCCUUCAACUUAUGUGAAGGAAGUAACAAUAAGAGAGCCGGAACACCCCGUCCCGCCCUCUAUUUCAAGCGGCUCCGGACGUCUUACGGGUCUAAACCACUCAAGGCCUUCAUUGUUAGCGGCUGGGCGUCUGGCCCUUCUGGCUGAGGAGACAACUUCAAUAAAUCAGCCCGGCUCUCCCCAUCCGGAUGCAGAUGCAGCUGGGGCUUCUUGUGCUGCCGCAUCGCCUCUUUCGGCACCCCCAAUAGAAAAAAUGGGGGCAGAAAGUCAAGGUUUACCUCCUUGCGGGCCAAGCCCCCUUGCCCUUGUACCGGUGAAGGGGCCAGCUACAAAGAGGUCGCAUUCGGCGCGUGACUUAAAGUGUGACCUCAUCGGGCGGCUUCAGGAUCGUUUUCUGGAAACCAUCGAAGUCAGCUGCUCGUCCGCCUAGGAGGAUCAUCCGGAGGGUAGUGAGACGGAGAUGGCAGAAGAGAACCCAACUGCCCCGAUGCUGGUCCCGGAUGAGGGUUCACCAGGAGAGACCUAGCCGACCGAAAAUGAGGGGGCCCCAGACCAGGAGGAGGAGUCACUUUCUAAUGCUUUAUCAGGGGAGAGUCCCAUUGAUGAUGCGGCUUGCAUCUCUGCUAGCUCUUUCAGCUACGCGGAGUUGGAAGAGAAGCUGAAACGGAUUCCACCUGGCUCAGAUGUUGCUAUGCCUUCAGCAAAAAUGUUCGAAGCAGUGGAAAUGGUAUAGUUUGCUUUCUUGAUUUUUUUUCUCGCGAUACUGAAGUGUUUGUGGCAUGGUUUGUAACUUUGUUCUUUUUGUUUGUGUGUUUUUCUGCAGCUGGUGAGCGGUCUUCGCGACAUGGCCCAACAACAUGACCUGUUUUCUAACCUACUGCGGACCGCUGAUUAUAUGAAGGCCUUCGCCUCUCAACGCAAAAACAGUGAAGAGGAGCUGCGCUUGAGACUGGAGCAGGCCGAAGCCAGUUUAUCCGCUGCUCGAGAGGACAGCGAGGCUCUCCGGGUAGAGCUUGCUGAGGCAAAGAGCCGAGAGGAAUCUGUGGACGCCCACCUGCAUGAGGCGGAAGACGAGAUGGCCCUUCUGAGGGGGGAGGUGAGGCAACUCCGGACGGAAGUAUCGAUCGAGAAAAAGCAGAGAGAGGAUUUGCAGCUGCGUUUAUCAGCUCAAAAAGAAGAGCUGGAGGUUGAGUUUGCUGCAGAAAGGGAGGAACUUGAAGCGGAGUACCAGAAGCAAGUAGAUGAAAUGUACUUCUUCGGCUAUCGCUGCUGUAUGAAGAAACAUGGUAUCAAGCGGGACGUCCCUUCAAUUCCCCCGGGUGAGGAGGAGAAGCUGCGCGGCAAGCCUGCUCAAUGAGAGCUUUUCUUUUUGUAAUUUUUUUUACUGCUAUCUUCUCUCUGUAUUUUGUAGUCCGGAGAACUCUUUGUAUAUAAUUUUUGCAAGUAUUCAAUAAAACAUACUUUUUCCCAGAUUGCACUUCUAUUUCUUUCAUUGGUAGUACUGCUUUAAAUUGGACACAUUCCAUGGUCUGAGUAAUGGGGUUCCGUCUAGCUUUUGUAGAUGAUAAGCUCCACUCCCACUUGCCUUAGAUACUAUAUAGGGGCCUUCUCAGUUGGCUUGAAAUUUUCCUACUCCUAUCUCAGUAGUAUUUUCAAAAACUUUUCUAAGGACCAGCGUACCAUUUUUAAAGCUUCUAGGCCUUACUUUGUGAUUGUAAUGAGCUGAUGCCCUUUGUUGAUAGUCUACCAUCCAGAUGGAUGCGGUUUCCCUUACUUCGUCUGCCCAGUCCAAGUUUUGUCCUAAUUCCGCAUUUGCAUCAUCCUGUUUUCCUGCCUCAGUCCGAAUAGUGGGUAGCCCUAUUUCAGUAGGAAUGAUUGCGUCCAUACCGUAUGCGAGGGCGAAGGGAGUGUUUCCUGUCAGACGUCCGGGUGUGGUUCGAUAAGCCCAUAGAACGCUGGGUAACUCCUCCACCCAUUUUCCUUUGGCUUGCUCGAGCCUUUUCUUUAGGGCAGUGAUUAGAAUCUUGUUUGUGGCCUCUGCUUGCCCGUUACUUUGAGGAUAACGCGGUGUGGAGUAUGAAUUCCGGAUGUUUAGUUCUGAACAGAAAUUCCGGAAUGCGAUGCUAUCAAACUGUGGACCGUUGUCGGCUACAAUGGUUUGGGGAUUCCGAAGCGGCAAAUGAUGUUUUUCCAUACGAAUUUGGUGACAUCUUUGUCUUUGAUGCUAGCAUACGCUUCAGCUUCCACCCAUUUACUGAAGUAAUCCGUGGCAACAAGUAGGAAUUUCUUCUGGGUGGGUGCGGUUGGGAGGGGUCCCACUAUGUCCAUGCCCCACUGUGCGAAGGGUCAGGGGCCUAAAAUUGGUUUCAGUGUUUCCAACGGCACAUGUGGUAUGGGGGCAUGCCUUUGACAUUUGUCGCAUUUUUUGACAUAGUCUGCCGCGUCCUUUUUCAUUGUGGGCCAAUAAUAUCCUUGCGAAUGGGCCCUGUGCACUAGAGAUUGUCCUCUAGAAUGAUUUCCACAUACUCCCUCGUGCAAUUCAGCUAAUACAUAUAGGGUCUCUGAAUGAUUUAGGCACCGGAGAUAGGGGUCUGUGAAGGACCGCUUGUAUAAGUGCCCCCCAAUCAAGGUGAAACGGGCGGCUUGCACUCGGAUCUUAUGUGCCUGUUUGGGAUCCUCGGGCAGAGUGCCUGUCCGGAGGUACCCUAUAAUGUCGUUCGUCCACUCUUGGCCGUCUACUUGUUUUGCCGCAAUGGUGUUGCAAGUGGACGCUUCCACGACGGAAGGGUUGGUUUGCACAUGUAUAGGCAACAAUAUGGCUUCUUUGAUGGGGAGGGAGGCAGCUAUGCCUGCCAAGGCGUCGGCGCGCCCAUUUUCAGUUCGUCUGAUUUUUUCGAUCGUCCACUCGGUGAAUCGUUGUAAGGUGUCCCUUACUUUAGUUAGAUAUUGCGUCAUGCGCGCAUCUUUAGCUUCGUAUUCCCUCUAAACAUGCCUUACUAUGAGUUGCGAAUCACUAUAGACCCGGAGCUUGGAGACGGAUAGAGCCAGAGCAAGGUCCAAUCCGGAUAAGAUGGCCUCAUACUCCGCUUCAUUGUUGGAGGCGGGGAAUCUGAGCCGGAUGGCUUGCUUCAGAUGUUCCCUUGUCGGGGACUAUAGCAGAAGCCCGACUCCGGACCCUGAUGAUCGUGAGGCUCCAUCGACUCACAAAGUCCACCAUUCUUCUUCGCUUGGUUCCUUGCGUUGGAUAGGCUUUCGGGCGUAUUUCAGCACGAAGUCAGCCAUCACUUGGCCUUUCAUGGAUUAUCUAGGUUGGAAUUCGAUUCCAAAUUCGCUUAAUUCUAUGGCCCAUUGAAGCAUUCUUCCGGUUAAGUCUGGCUUGUGUAGAAUGUUGCGAAGGGGUUGGUCAGUUAGCACGACCACCGGGUGGGCUUGGAAAUAGGGGCGGAGCUUCUGGGCAACACUUCGAAGGGCUAAGGCCGUUAGCUCCAUUUUUGAAUACCUGAUUUCUACGUCCGCCAACGCUCUACUGACGUAGUAGAUAGGUUUCUGCUCCUUGGGUGAGGGGCAGUGGAAUAGAACAGCGCUGAUUGUCCACUCCGAUACAGCCAGAUACAUGUACAAUUUUUCUUUAGGGAUGAGGCUGCUCAGGAUGGGCAGCUGCAUAAGGCAGUGUUUAAUUUUUUCAAAAGCGUUUUGACAGCUGUCCGUCCAUCCGUUUGCUCCAGCUUUUCGUAUUGCUAAGAAGAAGGGUCGCAGUUCAUCAGUGAAGCGUGCUAUAAAACGCCCUAGUGCGACAAGCUUGCCUGUGAGGCGUUGUAACUCCUUCUUGCUCCUGAGGGGAGGUGUUUCUAUGACUGCCUUGACUUGAUCCGGGCAAACCUCUAUCCCUCUUUGGCUGACCAUAAAUCCCAGGAAUUUGCUAGCACUUACGCCAAAGGCGCAUUUAGAAGGAUUCAACUUCAUGUCAUACUUCCUCAAGAGGUAAAAAAACUUCUUGCAAGUGGAGGACAUGUUCCUCUCGGGUUUUGUUUUUAACCAUGAUAUCAUCAAUAUAUACUUCUACUGUGUGGCCUAUCAGAGGUUUGAAGAUCUUUGUCAUCAGUCUCUGAUAAGUGGCGCCAGCGUUUUUGAGUCCGAACGGCAUGACUCUAUAGCAAUAGAGGUCGUGUGGCGUUAUGAAUGCUGUUUUUUCUUCGUCAGUCGGGGACAUGGGGAUUUGGUGAUAUCCGGAGAAGGCGUCCAAGAAAGAGAGCAUCCCUUGCCCAGUAGUGGAAUCCACAAUUUGAUCUAUCCGCGGCAAAGGGAAACUGUCUUUUGGGCAUGCAUUAUUGAGGUUGGUGUAGUCGACGCACACCCGCCAUUUGCCUUCUUUUUUGGGUACCACCACUACAUUUGCCAACCAGUCCGGGUAAUCUACUUCUCUGAUGAAUCCGGCUUCUAGCAAUUUGUCAAUCUCAUUCCGGAUAAUUUUUUGUCUGUCCGGGUGAAAACGCCUAACCUUCUGUCGGAUGGGUCUGGCUGUUGGCAAGACGUUAAGCCUGUGAGAGGUAAUAGAGGGAUGAAUUCCCUUCAUAUCAGAAUGUGCCCAUGCGAAGACGUCAUGGUUUCGUCUGAGGGCGUUCUACAUGUUCUGGGUCUCUUCUGGUGUCAUGAGGGAACUGAUGUUAGUAAGGUGAAUACCUUCUCUCGAAAUUUGGAUUGUUUGCAAGGGAUCCGCUGCCGGGGGAUCUUUGUCCGCCAGACCCAAUAAUUGCUAUUGGUCACGUGCAUGGCUGGACUCAGGGAGGGAUGCAUCCUCCUGGCUGGUCCCUGCUUCUCGUGCUAUCUGGUAGCAUUGGCGAGCGGCUAACUGGCUGCCAUAUUUGUCAAUUUGCCCGUCGUUGGUAAGGAAACUCACCAUUUGAUGAUAUGUAGAGGGGAUGGCUUUCAUGUAGUGUAGCCAUGUGCGCCCCAAGAUGACAUUGAAGGGCGAUAAAUCUUGUACCACCGAAAAUUGUACGUUGAGAGUGACUGGGCCAGCUUGGACCGGCAGUACAAUGUCUCCCAAGGAAGUAGUUGACGACCCGUUGAAUCCGGACAGGAUUCGCCUAGGGUUUUCAAGGCCCGUGAGAUUGUGCCCCAUGUGGCUAACGACCGAUGCUUGCACAAGAUCGGUCGAGCUGCCCGGGUCAACUAGAAUGCAUCUCACGUCAAAAUCUCCUAUCUCUAGGGAUAGGAUGAGGGCGUCGCGGUGUGGCUGUAGUGUCCAAGUGGGGUCUAUUGGUGGGAAAAUGAUUGUCCCAUCUAUGGGGCGAGGGCCCCCUCCAAUUAGUCCAGGCCGGAUGGAGUUGAUACGCUCGCGUACUGAUGCAGCCCGCAACAACUUUUGUCUCUUUCGUUUGGAGUCAUACUCCUCGUCAGAUGGGCCUCCGUUAAUAUAAUUUAUAAUGGCCUUGGGGGCGGCUGGGGCCCUGGGGGCUCCAGAGUUGUGAUUUUGGGAAGUGUCUCUUCCUUCGGCAUCUAAGCGGAGGUAUUGCUUUAAAUGUCUCACCUUGAUGAGCCUUUCGACCAAAUAAUGGAGGCACCUGCAUGUCUCUGUUGUGUGACCAUAUUCCUUAUGGAAGGCACAUCUUUUGCUAUGAUCUCUUUUGGAUGGGUCCGUUCCGAGGGGUCUAGGCCACCUGAAGUUGGACAAGCCUUGGAUCAUAGGGAGAAGUUUCUCAUAUGAUAUGGAAAGAGGCGUGAGGGGCGGCCUUUCCGGGCGACUUGGCCCUUCCUACCUUCGGUCGGACGGCCUUGGCCAGUCCGGAAGUUUGGCACCUCUUUCCGUGCCACUUCUAGAUGCCUGUCCAGCAACCAAGACUUGUUGGGUGGCUGCUCGUACGUCAUCUUCGAGCAUUGAGUAUUUGUUUGCACGUCUGAACAAGUCGUCCAUCGUUGUAGGAGGCCUGGACAGAUACUUCGCUUGAAGAUCUGUAGGACAGCAUCCAUGCUGUAAGCCUCUACCUGAAGUACGGCUUGACCAAACCGCUUCACGAACUCCCUUAAGGAUUCAUUAUCUUGCAUUUUUAUGUUUUGCAGAGUGCUGAUGUUCUGCGUAUGUCGAGCGGAGCAUAAGUAUUGUCCCACGAAAGCUUCGGACAGGUCCCUGAAAUUGUCAACAGAGUUGAGAGGUAGGCGAUGAAACCAUGAGAGGGCCUGCCCUUAUAGGCUGGUAGGGAAUACUUUGCACAGCAAUGCGUCGUUGCCAAUAUCGAGCGUCAUGAGCUGUCGAUAAUGCAUGAUAUGGUCGAAGGGGUCGUUGGACCCAUCGUAUGUGGAAAAUUUUGGUACGAGGAAUCCCCUUGGGGGCUCGUAAUGAAUGAUAUGAGAGCAGAAAGGCGUGGAGAGCAUGUCGUCCAGCCUUUUGCUGAUGGAGCCAAUGGGUGGCUCGUUUGGGAGGUUUCUCCCAACUUGUCGUACCGCUAGGUGCGGGUGAACGUUCCGCACCAUGGGGGUGACCAUAGGGUCACGGUGCAAGAGCACGUUCUGCACCAUGAGGGUGACCAUAGGGUCAGGGUGCGCUGCCCAGGUUGUGGCUACUAGUGGCCUUGGUCUCCCAAGCUCUUGUGGACCUAGUCUUGCUCGCAUUGAAUUUGACAACUGGGAUUUUCUAUCACGUUGUCUUUUUGCGGAAAAAUGAGUAGAGUCCGAGCUUUCCUCACGGGGAGCUCGAGGCAUGGGCGUGUGUGGCUCAUGUGGCCUCACGUUGUAUGUUUCUGGGAUAGCUCCCGCUGUCCCAGGAUAUAUUGACUCUGGUUCUGGCCUUGAGUUUACUACCUAGCCUCUUGAAUGUUGACGACAGGGAGGCCCCCAUGUUGAAGCCUGGAUGCGUAGUACCGCGUUUUCUUCUCUUAAUCUUUCUGUCUCCUGGAGGAGAGCUUUCAGUUGUCGUUUGCUUGCCAACUGUCUUCUUUCGAUGGCUCAGCGCCAUUCAGAAUUAUCUUCCUCUCCCCUACUAGAUGAACGGCUUCGGGAAGAUGUGGUCAUCUUUGCUAGUGACUGAAUCAGUGAUAUUUUCCCACAGACGGCGCCAAUGUUGAGGCCUCGCAUCCCUGGUGAUCCACGUAGUUGCCAAAUUGAUGGACGCACGAUCUCAACCAAUGUAGAUUCUUGAUUCAAUCGUACCUACAAAAGGAGUCCGAACAGGGUGUCCGGACGCACCCUCCGAUGGUUUUGUUAGCCAUGGUAAGAGAGAUAAAUCAGUUGGCCUUUUUCUAGGUAUCGCAAGUUUACCUUCCUCUUUGUGUGAAGGUUCAUAUAUAUAGUAUCAGAAGCUUUGUUUCCCUCUUUAAUGGUAGGGAGAUAUUUUGGCUUGUCAUGAUGACACUAGGUGGUAGCAGGGCCAUCAUCACCCUACGGGCAGCUGACAGAGAUCGUGGGAGGCGUUGCGACUGUCAGAGAUCGUGGGAAGUGACUUGUCGUCACUUCAUUCUUGUCCUUUCACUCUACAGGUGGCAGAACGUGGGCCAUGGCAGACUGUUGUGACGUGCAAGACUUGCUUACUUUAGUCAAUGAUCCGGACAAACAUGUCCAGAUAGUAUAUGUCGGUCGUCCGAAUGCGAUGUGGCGGUCAUCCAGAUGUUAUGCUCGUGAGUGUCGUGUGUCUCUCCUUGAGGGAGUCCGGAUAGGAGAAGCGCGCCACGUAUACUCUUGGGGAAAUCCGGAUGAGGGUAAUCCGAAUGAGAAUGCGUGUCACGUGUCAUUAGGGGGAGGGGUCCCUACAACCACCGUUGGUGACUGUGGUUUUAAAAGUUUUAUAAAUAUCCUUAAAACCAUAGUCUGUAACUGUGGUUUUACAAUUUUCCUUAGAACCACAGUUAGUAACUGUGGUUUCAAAAUUAUUUUUAGUUCAUUCAUGUUUUAAUAGUAUUAUGAUUUUAAUAUUAUUUUUAAAAUAUUUUUUUUAUCAUAAUAACCAUAAACCACCGUUAUUAAGGAGUAACCUAAAAUCAUAAUUACUAAUAUUAAUUUUUAUAUGAAAAUAUAAAAUUUUAAAAUAAUAUAAAUAAUUUAUUUAAUUAUUUUAAAAUUUAAAAAUAAUAUAAAAAAAUAAUUUUCUUUAAUUCAUAUGUGAUAAAAUUCAUAAAACAAAUAAAUAUUUUAUUUACCAUAAAUAUAUAAAUUUUUAUGGGAAUGCAGACAAAAUUAUUUUCUCAAAAUUUCAAGGAAAAUAUGAAAAAAUAAAGAUAAUAUAUAUAUAAUUUUAAAACAGUCGUAAAGAAAAAAUUUAUUAAGGAUAAUUUGUAAAAAAAAAAAAGUAACUUUAAACGAAAAUUGUAAGAAAUUUUGAAAAUAUCCUUAAAAAUCACUGUCAUAGACUGUGGUUUUACAAAAAAUUUUAAAACCACAAUUACUAACUGUGGGGUUUCACAAAUAUCUUUAAGGGGAACUCAUGUAACCAUACAUCAACUAAAAAAAUAUGAGAUUUUAAAACUUUGCUUUUUUAUUUUUAAUUUUAGUGUAAAUUAUGGAUGUACCAAAAUUCCUUAACGAUGUACCAGAUUUUCUUAAAGUUCUUUUGGAGUGAGAAAAAUUUCUUACAAUUUUCCAUUGUUAGUUUUAAAUUAUUUUUAUUUACAAAUUAUCCUUAAUAAAUUUUUUCUUUACGACUGUUUUAAAAUUAUAUAUAUAUUAUCUUUAUCUUUUCAUAUUUUCCUUAAAAUUUUGAGAAAAUAAUUUCGCCUGCAUUUCUAUAAAAAUUUAUAUAUUUAUGGUAAAUAAAAUAUUUAUUUUGUUUUAUGAAUUUUAUCACUUAUGAAUUAAAGAAAAUUAUUUUUUCAUAUUAUUUUUAAAUUUUAAAAUAACUAAAUAAAUUAUUUAUAUUAUUUUAAAAUUUUAUAUUUUCAUAUAAAAAUUAAUGCCAAUAAUUAUGAUUUUAGGUUAUUCCUUAAUAAAAGUGGUUUUAUGGUUAUUAUAGUAAAAAAUAUUUUAAAAAUAAUAUUAAAAUCAUAAUAUCAUUAAAACAUAAAUGGAUUAAAAAUAAUUUCUGAAACUUGUAAAACCAUAGUCACCAACGAUGGUUCUAAGGAAAAUUGUAAAACCACAGUCACAAACUGUGGUUUUAAGGAUAUUUUUUAAACUUUUAAAACCAUAGUCACCAACGAUGGUUUUACACACUUAAAAAAAAAUUCAUAUAGAUGCUUACGUGGAUGCAGAAAGAUUAGUUUGACAAAUAUUUUGAGAUGGGUACUAUUCUUGCCAUUUUUUUCUACCAAUGGACUAUAUUGGACUUAAACUCGCCUGGUGCUCUCACAAACAGUUGCAAGUCAUAGCAUUGCUAAUUAAGGUGGACGUACUGGCUCACAAAGUUGGCUGUGGGAGCAAUGGUGGUAGCAUUCUUGACCGGCUCGUACACUGUACUGCCCCAUCACGGGCAUUGCAACUUUUAUGUUGAUCAUCUGCACCUGUUGUAUAUCUUUCAUCUUAUGCACUAAUGAAAGCCAAAAUGAAAAGAAUAUUGCCCAAGCAGAAUCUUUUUGGAAAGUAAAUUUGAUUUUUGGAAAGUUCCUCAAAAUUAGGAUUUAUUUUUUUAUUUUUUAAAAUAAAUAGAAUAUUUUUAAAAAGUAUUGUUGAGCUCACUCAUUGCAAGUAAACUUGCUUGUCCAUUUUCCUCUUUUCCUUUGGAUUGGUCGGGAAAAAAAGCUGUAUGUUGUCUAUUUACUGAGUAAGAAUAUUUGAAGUAUUCACUAAAUGAGAAUUUAUUAAAUGAAUAAUUAUAAUGAUUAUUAGUCAAGAAUGUGAGACAGCCAAAAAGUGGAGUUAUUUUGCGUGGUAUAAAUAAGGGAGAUGGCUUUGAAGAUGAGGAUCUAACAACCCAACAAGAAAAAAAAAACACACAUAUAUUAAUUUGAUAGAAAGACCAUUCAUUUAGGUUCCUUCUCAUCAUGUUCUCCUUGAUUGUCGCUAGUGCUCAACUUCUUAAUUAAUUUUAUUUACUAAUUCUGUAAUAUUAAAACUAAUUUUUAAAUUUUAAUAUUAAGAUUGAAUAGAAUAUAAAUAUUUAGUAUCUCAAAAAACCUACCACAUUGACAACUUGUGAUCAAGUCGGACCAAUUGAAAGAUAAAAGGAACAAACACAAAAGUAAAUGGUCAAAUUUGUACACCUAACUAACAAUUAAAUUAAAAUAAUAAUCAAUGUCUAACUAAAUUAAUAAGAUAAUAAAAAAAGGUGUCAAUGAGUCAUUAGUAAAAUAAUAAUCAAUUUCUUCAUCUAGCAGCAAUAUAAUAAAUGAAUCUAAUAAAAGGAAAACAAAUAAUUAGUCGUGUUUCCACAAAGAAUGACAAAGUUUGAUAUAAUUAACUAAUAUGAUUCAAACUCAACACAUUUUUUAUUGAUUUGGAUUAAGUAUAAUUAUAUUUGGAUUAAAUUCAUAUCAACCUCUAUAAAUUUUGAAAUAGCAAUUCAUCCACAUAUACUGUUCCACUCAUUUGAAAAACUUUGAAUUAAGUUCAUCACAAUAAAUAUCAUUUAAGCCCAACUCUUCAAGAAGUGGAAGGCAUAGAAAGCUUUAGCCAAAAUUUGUCAUAUUAUCCAUGACACCUCCCAAACUCUUCGCAUUUCAAUGGUGGGACUCACAAGGUUGCUUUCGUCAUUCCAACUUGUGACUUGUUUAUUGAGAGGUUGGUGGUGGUGGGAAUGAUUUUAAUUUAUAAAAUAUGAUUUCCAUAUAUUCUAAAAAUUUGUAAAAUGAUUGACCUUUGUGUCAUUUAAAAUUUGUGCACCUAUUCAUCAAAUUAAGUAUUUAAUGAAAUAUUACUUAAUUUAUUUAAAUAUAUAUUUUAUAAUUAAUUUUGAAUGCAAUUAGACAAUGAUUUAAGACUUAAGUAGUAUUUAAUAAAAAUUAAUACUUAAUACAUAAUUAUUUAACAUUUAACCGUCAACUUAAAACUUAUUAUCAAUUAUUAUUUUAAGAAUUAGAAGUAUUUAUAAAAAAUUUAUAUAUAUAUAUAUAUAUAUACUAUUAAAUUAAUAUAUUUAUUUUCAUUGGUACUAAAUAAUGAGAUUAUAAGAGAAAAAAAGAAAGAAAUAUCUCAAGGUUCCUUUCAUUUUUCAACUUGUAAAACUUGUUUAUCGAGGAGUUGGUGGUGGUGGGAAUGAUUUAAAAUUUUUACUUAAUUUUUUAUUUGCCUCUAGGAUGGACAAAUUUAAACAUCAUAAUUAUUUAGACCAAAGCAAUUGUUUAAAUGUACAGAAAAGACAGUUGUGAUAUGAUUGACCUCUGGAUCAUUUUAAAAUUAAUUUAUGCACCUAUUCGUUAAAGUACGUAAAAGUAUCAUAAACAUUAAAAUAAGUUGUUUUUAGGACGUUAGGUCAUUUAAAAUUAAUUUACGCGCCUAUUCGUCAAAGUACUUUAAAGUAUCAUAAACCUUAAAAUAAGUUGCUUUUAGGAUGGUCGGUCAUUUAAAAUUAAUUUACGCAUAAAUAAGUUGCUUUUAGGAUUGUAGGUCAUUUAAAAUUAAUUUACGCGCAAAUAAGUUGCUUUUAGGAUUGUAGGUCAUUUAAAAUUAAUUAACGCACCUAUUCGUCAAAGUACCUAAAGGUGUCAUAAAUCUUAAAAUAAUUUGCUUUUAGGACGGCGGGUGAACCUUAAAAUAAGUUGCUUUUAGGAUUGUGGGGUCAUUUAAAAUUAAUUUAUGCGCCUAUUAGUCAAAGUACCUAUUGGUAUCAUAAACCUUAAAAUAAGUUGCUUUUGGGAUUAAGAUAAGGCAAACAACUGACCACAUUUGCUCAUGCACGAGAACAUUAUAUAUAUUUGGAUGUUAGGUGCAUGAUGUUAUGAUAGAAAAGAAAAGAUAAGUUAAAUCAACAUGAAGACCAUUCAUUAUAGAAUUCAUUGCAUCAAAGACAUACUUGAUUGUAAUUUAUAUUACUUACCCCUCUAGUAAUUUUUAUCUUAUUAGAUAUAGAGAUAAAUGUGUAAAGGCUUAUAUGAUCAAAAGAGCUACUAUGUCUUAUUUAUUUGGACCUUAUAGAAGUAAUCAGUUGUCACAUUUUCAAUUGGUAAAAUGGAGUUUAACAACACCAUAUGUCUGUUAUGUAAUUUGAUUAAAAAAAUUGAUCGAAAAAACUUAAUUUGUCAUAAGAAGUAAUAGAAAUUUUUCUUAAUAACAAAUCAACAAUCACAUUUUUUAAAGAAUCUAAUAUUUUAUGAAUGAAGUAAUUACGUUAACAAAAAAAUAUCAUUUGUAUUGUGAAAAAAGAAAUACAAUUAAAAUUUAUAAAGUAUUAUAAUCAAUUAGAAAGACACUUAAAUUUGAAAAUUUUAGAAGACAAAAAAUGUUACUAAUUUGAGUUAUAAAUUAAUCAAGUUUAAGGGGGUAAAUUAAAAUGUAAAGUUGAAUUUGAUAAAUUUUCAAAAAUAGAUUUUUAUUUUAUUUAAUAUGAAUAUGUAUAAAUUAAUAGAAGGAUGUUUAAGAGUUCAACAAGAGUGAGAGAAUAAUUUUGGCUAAAUUUUCUCCUAUUAGUUAUCUCCCUUGGUAGAAUUAUCUUGAAGUACUAGUACUGUAUAGUGUCAUGCACGACAUGGAGACUCUUGGUCCAAUAGGCAUACAAAUGAAUCAUUGCAUUUGAAAAAACGAAACAAAUAUAAAACGAUAAAAAAGAGGAAAGUGACUUGGGACCACAGCCUUGUGGAGGCAUUCGCACCUGUUCCCUUUGCUGUUGAUAUAAGACGCAGAGGCGGUGGAUUGUGGUAUCGUGAAAGAUUUGAGAGAGGUGGAGACGGCUGUAGAGCUUUAGCACACCAAUGGAUCCAUCCACAUCCACUUCCACUUCCACUUCUACUUCCAGCCAUGCUUUAGAAUUACAGAACCUUAACUCAGUUUCUAGUGGGAACCAGGAGGAUUUCACAUGCAUGGCUCCUGAAAUUUACAGGGCUGCUGCAGAAGGCGACACCAAUAUCCUCGAGGGAAUGCCUAGCGCUGACCUUCGAGUCCAAUUAACACCCAAUAAGAACACCGUCCUCCACAUUGCAGCGCAGUUGGGUCAACUGAAGUGCGUUGCAUGGAUCAUUCAGCACUACUCAGUGGAUUCGUCCCUACUGCAGUGCCCCAAUCUGAAAGGGGACUCCCCCCUCCACCUUGCAGCGAGAGAAGGGCAUCUAGAGGUCGUGAAGGCUCUUAUCCGUGCUGCAGAAACAGUUUCCGAAAGGGAUUCUGAGAGUGGGAUUGGAGCAGAUAAGGCCAUCCUGAGGAUGACCAACAAUGAGAAUGACACAGCGUUGCAUGAGGCAGUCCGGUAUCAUCAUCCUGAGGUGGUGAAGUUGUUGAUCGAGGAAGAUCCCGAGUUUACAUAUGGUGCAAACCUUUCUGGUGGGACUCCUCUAUACAUGGCUGCUGAGAGAGGGUUUAGAGACUUGGUGAAAAUAAUCAUAGAGAAUACUACUCUCAUUCCACCGGCUCACACUGGCCCCAUGAGGAGAACAGCUUUGCAUGCAGCUGUGGUUUGCCAUGACCCAAGUACGCAUAUUCUUUUCAUCAAUCUACAAUAUUCCUAUGUGAUUGACUUAUUAACAUUACAAGGAUAACAUAUAGAGUGUUGAAUAACAAUUUUUAACAAUGGGGUUAACCAAGUCAAAAGAAUAAUAAUAAAUGACAUCCUUACCGUUUUCUUUCGAAGCCCUUCUCUCCAGAUUGAAUCUACCGUUUCUUCAAAUUAAACUUUUGAUCUUUCACAAAAAAUAUUUUGAUAUAUUUGUUUAUAUAUGCUUGAUGGUUGAUUGUUUCAGUUGUUUGGAUGAAUUGUUUGAAUAAAAUUUUAAAUGUUGAUCUAGUUCCUUUUAAGCCGACAUGUACGCAUGAUUAAAUGUUGAUCUAGUUCCUUUUAUUUUAUAUGUGUUGAACAGAAAUGGUAGAAGAAAUUCUGAAAUGGAAGCCGGAUCUAACAACAGAAGCAGAUGAAAACGGGUGGUCUCCACUUCACUGCGCUGCAUACUUGGAUUAUGUUUCAAUAAUGAGGCAAUUACUUGAUAAAUCUGACAAGUCUGUAGUCUACUUAAGGGUAAAAAACGAUGACAACAAGACAGCUCUUCAUAUUGCGGCCACUCGUGGAAACAAGCGCACAGCAAAACUGUUGGUGUCACGCUAUCCAGAUUGUUGUGAGCAAGUGGAUAUCAAUGGAAAUAAUGCUCUUCACUUAUUCAUGAUGCAAAGAAGAUUUUUCAUAAGCUUGUUAAAGAUUCCUUGGAUGAAUGUGGGAGCACUUAUAAAUGAGAAGAAUGCUGAAGGACAAACACCUCUCCAUCUGCUUGCCCAUUCCCAACUGAGAUAUCGUCCAGCUUACAUAAAGAACAAGAAAGUAGAUAAGAUGAUACUUAACAGCCAAAACUUGACUGCUAUGGACGUAAUUUCAUCGGCUGAGGAUUUAUAUGGACACAAGGUAAGCCUAUCUAACUCUCAAUUAAUUUUCCAAAUAGCUAGUAAUUGGUGCACAUACAAGUAUGCUAAGUAUAUAUGUCGAAUUAUAAUAUAAUUAGUACUAUUACUAAAUUGAUACUUAGAAUGGUAAAACCAUCAAUUAUAUUACUAAGUCAAAUGAAAUGGUAGUACAUGUUUAGUAUUCAAUAAAAAAGGCAAAGCAAGAGACAACAAGAUUUGACUAAAAUUGAACUAGCCUUUUUAUCACGUUCUACUACACAUUUGCUUUACAACUAGAUGCUCUUUAUGUAGAGCAAAUAAGCAACAGAUAAGUAGGAAUAUGCAACAAACUUCAUUAUCUUCUAAAGACUAGGACAAUCUGAAAACCAGGCACUAUAAAUAAAAAUAUUAAGUAAAUACUUCCAACAGUACAUUAUCAGGCGCAUUGAAGCCAAGCUACUUCAAAUGAUUUGGAGUAUGUAAAAGUAAAAUCAUUAAUAUUGUAUCCUCUAUAUAUAUAUUUUCUAUAAAAUGAUUUGACUGAUUAAAUUUCAGGCUGUUAUUGUACGGCACCUGAAAUGGGCCAAAGCCAGAGUCGGGCCUUUGUUGCGGCAGAAGACUAUGAGCAAAGACAAGGACAACAAAGACGAGGAUAACAACGAAAGAAAACGUAAUAAAGGUUUAGACGUAUCUUUCUUAAAGAAAGCAAGCAAUAGUCAUUUGCUAGUUGCCACACUCGUAGCCACUGUAUCCUUCGGAGCAGGUUUUACAUUGCCCGGUGGGUAUAAUAAUAGUGACGGCACAGCCAUUUUAAGAAAAAAGAUAGCUUUUCAAGCAUUUGUUGCGUUUGAUUUCUUAGCCCUGUUGUCGUCUGUGACUGCUAUAUUGUCUCAUUUUUAUGGUGCACUGAAUCACAAAAAGGCGCAGCUCGCAUCAUCACUAAGCUUGGCCUAUUGGUUCACCCAGUUGGGUAUAGGAGCAAUGAUAGUAGCAUUCAUGAGCGGCGUGUACACCAUGGAUCCACAUCACUCAGGGAUGACCUUUUCUAUUUAUAUCAUCUUCAUCUGCGUUUCGAUUUUCAUCUUAUUCACUGUGGUACGCCAAAUUCAACGUUAAGAAUGCCCGAGCAAGAUUAUGUUGGAAAGUACGUCUGAUUUUGGUAACUUCUUUAAAAUUAGGAUUUAAUUUUUUAUUUCAAAAAAAGUUAAUAAAAUAUUUUCAGUUUGAGUGAGAUUUUGUUUUUAUAUUUAAGUAAUUCAUUUUUCUAUAUUUUAUCAUUCAGAGUUUCUAUUUUGUUAUAUGUAAGGUUGUGUGAUAUUCAACUCAUUUGUCACAAUAAUAUUUUUCUUUUAUUUAGAAGAGAAAAUAUAAGAUCUUGGAAGUAUCCUGGUCCCAUUGAUGACAAGUGGGACCAAUAAUUCGAUCGGGGUAGUUGCUAAACCAUACCACAUAGUUAUAGGUUUGCCUGCCAUCCACACCAAAAUAAAUGGAGUUUUCCAAAAAAAACUUGUUAGGGAAGGAAGACCUCCUAGGGAUAAGAGACAUAAGGCUAAAGAGAAAGCCAAAAAAAGAUGGUGGGCCGCAUUAAAGGCUUUUGUGUUAGCAAAAUCUCUUUCUAUAAAAUGAACUAAUUUCUUACAGGAUGUUGUUCUAAAAUUGUGAUACAUAAAAAUCUUGGGGAGGAUUGAUUGAGGAUGAGGAAAUAAUUGAAAGAAAAUUUUGAAGAAUAUUGUGAUGGGAUGAAGUGGCAAAACAAGAUAGAAAUUUGAUAGUUAUCACAAAAUGCUAUGGUUCUUACAUAUGAUUUCUUAAUUUAUUUAGAAGUAAUUCACGGGAGGAAGAGAAAGGUUGGGAUUCCAACAGGCGUCUAUUAUUGAAUUCACUCGACCCGAUAGUACCCAUUUUGGGAACGUUCGGACAGUAUAAAUUUACCAAUACUUUUCGCUCAGGAUCUGUUGGUAAUUUUCUCUUGAUUUUUCUCUGUUGGUUAUCACUUCUCAUGUAAUCCAAUCCUUUCACUCCAGUGAAUCGAUGUGAUAUCACAUAUAUGGCUGGUAGAAUUUAAGGGUUGUCGCAAAUCAAUUAUCAAAAGAACUUCACAUAGAUAUUGAAAGUGGUAUGUCAAUAUCUUGAUGUGAUUAACCAAAUCAAUUAUCAAAGCAACAAAGGGGUUAACCAAAUCAAACAAAAGGCCCAAACAAUCACACAUGCUAAUGACUAUGGAGGAAAACCUUAAGGUUAACCAUCUCCAUGACUGUAAGAAUCUUUUAUUUGUAGAGCAUUGGUACCAAGGACAACUGUUUGGCACCAAGGAAAGUUGUUUGUCCAUUUUCCUUUGUCUGUUGUCUAUUCACUUAAUUUUCUUUUUUUCUUUCUCUUUUUUGUGUGGGGGUGAAGUGAAGUACUUGUCCAUUUAGCGUGAAUAUCUAGACAAGCCUUUUCCAUGAUGAGAUAAGGAAAUGGGUGGAAAAUAGUUACACAACUUGGCAUAGCAAUGUUUAAAGUAAUUUUAAGAUCAAGUUUAAAUUUAGUACCUAAAUGCUCUUUUUUUUAUAUAUAAAAAAGAAAAUGGAAGUGGAUAUCAUCCCUAGCCAAUUGUUAUAUGUCGAAUUGGUUUUUCUAUUAAAAUUUUCUAUGAAAUUGAUGAAAAAAACUCAUGUGAAAAGUGUACACACUUUAGCAUGAAAUUGUAUAUAAUACAUUACAAUUUGUCCAAAUUUUUUGUGUGUUGAUCAUAUGUUUUCCAUCCAUUUCUAAUAAAAGAAAAAAAAUUAUAAAAGAAAAAAAGAAAAAAGAAAAAACUCACAUUUAACAAUAGUUUAGGGUUAAUAUUGUAACAAGAAAAUUAAGAGCUAGAUUGAGACAUAAGUGUGAAUUCUCAUCACACAAAAAUGUAGACCAAAACUUGUACUUAAUUGUUGGAGGAUGGAGUGUAUAGUUGACCUAGGAUUUAUGUAUAUUGAUAUUCCUCUUUAUUCUCUUAGGAUGAAGGUUGAUAUGUUUCUUGACUAGAGAUGUUAAUGGCAUGAUAUGCAAGAUUUUUAUUCUUGGCAUGCCCCCUUAACCUGGCAUGAGCAUGGACACUUAAUUUGCUUUUAAAUGAUUGAAAGGUGUCCUUAGCUAAUGGUUUUGUAAAAAUGUCAAUAGGUUGAUUUAAGGAUGCAAUAUAUCGUGCAACAAGAUUACCUAAUGUAACUCUUUACCUUACGAAAUGAUAGUCGAGUUCAAUGUGCUUUGACCACACAUGAAACAUCAAGUUAACUGACAUAUAAAGUGCACUAAUAUUGUCAUAAAACAGUUAUGGCAGUUGUGAUAAUGCAACUCCAAUGCCAUAGAGGAGGAAGGUUAAACAUGUUAUUUUAGCUAUUCUAGAGGCCAUGGACUAAUAUUUGGCUUCACAACUAGAUUGGGAUACGGUGGGAUGUUGUUUUUUUUUUUUUUUUUUUGGACACCAAUAAAUGCAAUUCACACCAAGGAAUGCACAAAGCUCAAUGGUACUUCUGUUGGUAUCUUAAAUCUAAAUAACGGAAGUAAUACCAAUUUUAAAAAAUUGAUAUUUAGGGUUAAAGUACUAACCUUUAGGUUUGGAUGUUUCUCAACCUUAAAUUCCAAUUGUUGAAGAAUCAAAUUGAUAUCUUCGGAAGUCUUGUAGACCCAUAAUCUUCCACCCGAUGGCUCUUCCUUGAUUUUGGCACACUUUCGGUGAAAAAGAAGAGAAAGUAGAAGAUAUGACUCUCUCUCUCUCUCUCUCUCUCUCUCUGAAGGUAGAAGACAACUCUAUAGAAACAUUCUAAUCCCUAAAUGGAUAUUUAUAGGGUUCUUCAUUGGGCUAAAGUGACUUAAGUCCACUAAAGGCUUAGGUCACUUAAUCUAGCCCAAAAUGGGUCCUAAUUAAUUAUUUAACCUAACAAGACCUACUAAUUAAUCAAUUAACCCAAUCAAGAUGUCUUGCUCAUUUACCAUUAUGCAACCUUACAUAAUUACCAAAAUACCCUUAUGCACAAAAGUGAACCUAGAGUGAAUCUAACCCUCAUAAAUCGUGUCAACAAGGUAUAUAAGAUUGAGCGAUGACUACUAGGACCCAUAAGACAGUAUCGACUCCCUCAUAAUACAAUUCUAAAACUGAUUCAAUAUCCCACUAUAACAAAAUCAACUACACUCUAGUACUUUAAGCAAAUAACACUAAUACACUAAGAGUUCGAGUAUGUGGCUUAUUGUGCAUUACAUUCAUCUCCCCAUGAACAUAUGUUCGUAGUCUAACAAGCUAAAUGCUAUCAGCCUUUCAAGACUACCUAUACUAUCCUUGAGUUACAAAUCCUCCUAUUGUGUAUUCAAUUGACAUAUCUUGACCCUCAAAAAGCCUAUGUCAAGUUUCAUUUAAGAAACUACUAUGAUCAUAGUUUACAUGAACACACCUUCUUAGGAUCACCCAAAUAGACACUUUAUCUCAAAUUCAUGAAAGUGAGAAUACCUAUUGCUAACAGUUUCCAUCAAUAGCAACUCAAUCCAUAGGGAAUAUAUGAUUAGCUUACGAUCUCAUCCAUAAGGCAAAGUCACUACUAACUUUAGCUCAAACUCAGUAUUCUCUCAAGGUUGAGAGACAACACAAUGAAGCAACAUGAUGAAGUCAUGACCACUUGAUAUGCUUAAGUCAUGACUCACCAUAGGUCCUGUUCAAUGUGUAGUAACCAUACACACCAAUGUACUCACCAUGGGAAACCCAUCUUGAUAGCCAAAAAUACUCAUCCUUCCAAGUAUGAGGUAGUACACUACAACCUCAAAUGGAUUGCCUAAGUCCACAAACCGGUUGUGAACAAAUCAUCUACUUACCACCUAUGACUUGGAUCUUCCGUGCAACUGAUAAUGCAUCUAAGUCAUAUACAAUGCAAAAAAUGCUAAGCGAGAAUUCUUCUAAGGUGUAAUGCAUGGAAUAAGGAUAAAUAAAAGUUAACUUUUAAUGACUCUAUCCUAACAUUCUUCCACUAGCCCAUAAACCAUAAUGCUAUUAAAGCAUAUUGGAUACUGAUUAUCUAAAACCUAUGUUAUCCCUAUGAUCAACAAAGACUCUCCUUGUCAAUGUCUUGAUGAAAGGAUCCACAAGGUUCUCCACAAAAGGUAUCUUGUCAACCAUCAUGUCACCCUUCUAUACUAACUCAACAGUUUGGAAUACAAGUACAUAAUCCCUUGUUCUAUAAAGAUACUUGAUUAUAUGCUUAACAAAGCGUAAUUUUCAUUUUCUUGUAAUCUCCAAGGGCUUUAAACCCAAGAAUAUAUUGUGUUCCUCCUAUAUUUCCAUUUAGAACUAAGUAAAUAAACUAAUCUUAAUUUAUUUAUGAUAAUAUCUCUACAUCAUUUCCAAUGAGUAGAUUGUUAUUUACCCACAAGAUCUUAAAAUACCAUCAUGUUUCCCUGCACUUUCUUAUACAUAUUUGUUAUGAAAUUAUCGGGUUACAUCAUACAAAUGCUAAUAUCAAGAUAAUCAUUUUCGUUCACCAUAUAAGAAUUAUAAAAUUAAUUUUCUUAAAUUUGGCCAAAUAUUAAGGGGUAUACAACAUAUUUGAUUUUUUCUAAUGUGAAGAAUAGUUCUCAAAGAAAAAAAAAAUCAUAUAAAGGGUCACCAAUUCCAAUUAUGUGCUAGGAUAAUACUAUUGGUUGCAAACAGAUGAGUUGUAGAAAAAAAAAAGUAACAAGCUAAGUAAAACAAAUAUUUUUUUCCUUUUGGAGUACAAAAGUUUUUUUUUUUUCCUUCAACUUGCCUAAUCCUCUAGCAAAAUCACAUAUAUCUUGUUUUUUUCCAUUAUAGUGUAAGACAUUAAGGGUCUGUUUGGGAACGUUUUCAAAAAUUAUUUUUAAAAAAUAGUUUUAUCAUGUUUUCUAGAACAAAAGUUUAUUUGAGAAUUUGAAAUGUUUUUAACUUAUUGUCAAUGUUUCCAAAUAUUUUUUUUAAAAAAUUUAUUAAUGAUGCUUCAUUUUCAAUUGUUAUUCAUAUUUGUCCCUUUUUUAAAAAACAACUAAAAAUAACUAAAAUACGUUUUGAGAAAACACCUUAAUUUCUAUUUUUAAAAAUAAUUUUUUUCUAAUUAUCAAACAUAUUUUCUUUUUUUUUUUUCCUUAAAAAAUAGAAAAACAGUUUUGAGAAUAAACAACAAACCAGCUCACCAUAAUACUUUUCUUAGAAAGUAACUUGUUGCAAUCAAACACCUUUUGCCAAAAUAAACCCGUUCUCCAAAAUAAUAAAUUACAUUCUAACAAAUACACCAUGUCAACAUAUUGAUAAUGGUAAAAUCAUUCAUUCAUAUUUUAUAAUCUCAUUAGAAUUAAUUGACUGUAAAAAUAAAAAUAAAAAUGGUAUAAUGAAAUGGUAAGUGGCUGCUAAUUAAUAUCUGUUGUAGUAAUACUAAAGCCUAAAUUACCUAGUAAUUCUGGUUGAAAAAAAAAAAACCAAAUAUAAGAUCAUUAAGGCUUCUAAUAUCUAGGUUGUCAUCUUUUGGGAUCAGCAUUAAUGUGUUUAGUUAUUUAAAUUAAAAAGAUUAAUUGUUUAAUGAAACUAACAAAAACCUUAAUCUAAAAUAUAUAAAGAUAAAAAUAUAAAUGAAGUUUUCUAAAAUAUGAAAACUUCUAAUUCAUUUUAAAAUAGAUAAAAAUUUAUAUGAAUUUUUAAAAUACUAUAACUCAUUAUUAAAGUUCUUCUAAUGUUUUUAUUCAUUUUUAAUGGAAAUAUAUAUUUAUAAUGUUGGUAUAAAUGAGUUUGUAAAGUAGAAGAGAUUAAAAAAUUAAAAAGGAAAAAAAAAACGGUGCACAUGAUCUAAAGAUGAGUGAAUUUGUAACAUUAAAAAAUUAAAAAGAAAAGAAAAGAAAAAGAUACAUUUGGGAACAUGGAUAAAAAAAAUUAAAAAUAAUACUUGAGAGGUAGAUGUAGCAAUAGAUAUAAGUUUAUAAAGUAUAUCCACAGCAUACUUAGGGAGCUACUAUUUUUGGGCACUUGGGGAUGAUUAUUUUGGGUUUUGGGCCUAUGAGUCAUAUACUUCAAAGUUCAAAGUAAUGUCACCAAAUGUUAUUAUUAUUAUUAUUAUUUUCAAAAUUGGGCCUUUUAAUUGUAAUACUUAACAAUAAUCACCAAAUUCACUACAUAUAGACAUGCAAGAAGAGUUUCAUGAAAGUUAGGAAUAACAUCAAAGUAAGAGUGAGUUUGAGACAGGUGUUGUAACACCCGGACAUUUUCUUUUAAGGGUAAUUUAGGAAAUUAUUAUUACUAAUUAAAUUAAUUAAUUAAUUAAUUUAAUAAAGUGGAAGAGGGGUAAAAGUAUAAUUUUACGAAUAAAUACCCUAGGUAUAAAUUAGAAAUUUUAUUCUUUCCCUUCUUUUCUGAAUAGAGUUCCUGUUCGCAGAAUUCCAGAGAACGUAAGGUUGGAGUCAGAUUUCAGGGUUGAAGAACAAAUCUCUAUAGGUAAGAUUCUAACCCCUAGUUUAAUAUUUUAGAUUCAUUAGUUAAUUUCAAACACAUUAGAUAUAUUUUUUUUGGAAAACCCCAAAUCUAGAUUAGGGUUAGAUUAUUUUUUUUAAUUCGUUUUAAUAUCAAAUAGUGAAAAUUUAAUAUUUUGAUUUUAGUAUUGGAAUUUGGGAGAUCUUAAGUUUUAUUAGAAAAAAAAAAAUUGCUUGGAAUAUUUUGAUUUUAGGUUAGGGUUAAUUAAAAAAAAAUAAAAAAAUAAUAAUAAUAAAAAAAUAAAAAUGAGGAAGAACGCGUGUGCACUGGAAGGAAGGAAGGAAGGAAAAAAAAAAAAAUGGGGGCAUGCGUACUGUGCUACUGGAAGCAUUAAAAAAAAAGAAAAAAAAAAAAAAGAAAAAGUGUGUGCGUGUGCCAGCCUGCAUGUAUAUGUGUAUAUAUAUAUAUAUAUAUAUAUAUAUAUAUAUAUAUAUAUAUAUAUAUAUAUAUAUAUAUAUAUAUAAUGAAUCAUCAUUAGACAAAAAAAAAAAAAAAAAAACUUUGCUUUUUGGUGUGUACCCGAGGAAUGGUUGGGUGGAAAAACCUUACUUUUUGGUGUGUACCCGAGGGAUGGUUAGGUGGCUUUUGAAUUGAUUAAUUAAAAUAAUAAUAUUUAGUUUUAGAUUUAUAAUUAAGAUAAUAGUAAUAAUAGAUUUAGCAAUAUAUAUAUAUAUAUAUAUAUAUAUAGAGUUUUAUAAUGAAAUAAAAUUGUAAUUUAAUUAAAUUAGUAGUGUGUUAUUAGAAACAAAUUGGGAAUUUAUUAGUUUUAUUUAAAUAAGGAAUAGAUUAGUUAAAUUAUAAAUAAAUAGUAUUAAUUGUUUCUCUUAUAUUAUAUUAGGUGAAGAGUAGAUUAUAUCUUUUUCAGAAUUAUUCUUCUCCCAAGCUUUCAAGGACUUCUUUUGAGGUAAGGGAAGUUAAUGCAAUAUUUAUAAAAUUAAAUUAUUUUAUAUGUUAUUUUGAAUUGUGGAAAAUAAAAUUAUAUUUUGUUACCAUGCAUGGAUCAAAUUGUUUUGCACUAAAUAUUAUGUUGGAAUAUUUUGUUUUAUUUAUGAUACAAAAUAUGGAGAUAUUAUGUUGUGUAAAUUUGAAUACUUGAACAAAAACAUCACUCUGGUUUAUUUGGCCCUUGUCAACCGGAUAUAAUAGUUGACUAUUCGGCCCUGUCAACGGGAUAUAAUAGUUGACCUUUACAUUUCAUGGUGGGAAUGUAAUUGAUUUGAACCCCAGCCUCUAGGGGUUUGGUUAGAGGUUACUAGUACUAGUAGUGUUUGGUUCCGUCCACCAGAAACAAUUUGAGGCUAGCCACCCAUUUGAAAAGUCCCACCUAACUGGGCAUUUGAUAUUUGAUAACCAGAGUAAUGAAAAAUUGAAUGGAUUUGAUUGAGUCUGAUGUGAAAGUGUUUGAAUUUGAUGUGAAAUUGGUUGGUUGAAUUUUGAAUAUAUUGGUAUUUUUGAAACUCUAAUAUUUGAAAAAAAAAAAUUGAUAUCUCCUAUUUGAAAUGAAAAUAUUUGAUCCAUGAAUUGCAUUAAUAUUCCUUAUUGGGCCGUGAGCUCAUUCCCAGUUGUUGAAAAUUUUUCAGGUACUCUUAGUUCGGGUGAGGAGUGAUGGCUAGGCUGAGGAAUGGUCAUCAUUAGGAUUUGACUUAGGAUUUUAUGUUGGAUUUUGUUUAACUAUUAGUUAUGUUAUUUUGGAUCAUUUGGUAUUUGGAAGUUAUUUGGAAAUUGAAUUUUGAGGAUUUUAGAUUUUGUUUCCGCUACUCUGAGCAGAUAUUUGGUAAUUGGUAACAUCCAGUUACAAUAUGACCAUUUGGGUCAGAUUAUACUUUAAGCCUUCGGGUUUGAGGUGUGAAAUGACCGUCACGCCCUUGGAGUGGGUCUUGGGGCGUGACAGNNNNNNNNNNNNNNNNNNNNNNNNNNNNNNNNNNNNNNNNNNNNNNNNNNNNNNNNNNNNNNNNNNNNNNNNNNNNNNNNNNNNNNNNNNNNNNNNNNNNUUUUUCAGGUACUCUUAGUUCGGGUGAGGAGUGAUGGCUAGGCUGAGGAAUGGUCAUCAUUAGGAUUUGACUUAGGAUUUUAUGUUGGAUUUUGUUUAACUAUUAGUUAUGUUAUUUUGGAUCAUUUGGUAUUUGGAAGUUAUUUGGAAAUUGAAUUUUGAGGAUUUUAGAUUUUGUUUCCGCUACUCUGAGCAGAUAUUUGGUAAUUGGUAACAUCCAGUUACAAUAUGACCAUUUGGGUCAGAUUAUACUUUAAGCCUUCGGGUUUGAGGUGUGAAAUGACCGUCACGCCCUUGGAGUGGGUCUUGGGGCGUGACAGAGUGGUAUCAGAGCACUAGGUUGUGAUCUUGAUGGGAACUUGUUUAGUGUACCUUUGGGAAUAGAUGAGUGACGUAUUAGUUUAAGUUUCAACUUCAUCUAGUCUGAUUCCUUUUAUUCCUUACAAUUCUGACUUGCUUAUUUGACUUCUUAGUGACUAAUUUAGUUACACCUAUUGCUUUAUAGGACACCAUGCCACCAAGGAGACCUGCAUCUUCCCAAAACAGUCAGGCUAAUGAUGAUGUACCUCCAAUUGAGGGUUUGCCUCCCGUGAGUGCAGAAGGGAUCUAUAGGUAUCUUGGGACACUAGCUGGUUUAGUUGAACGCCAAGCUCGAGCUGUUGGGACUAAUGUUCAGGGACAGUCUUCAUCUUUUAGGGGUAGCUCUUUUGAUGACUUCAAGAAAUUGGGUCCUCCUUACUUUUCUGGUGCUACAGAUCCCACAGAGGCAGAGGCUUGGAUCCUUAAGAUGGAGAAAUUCUUUGGUGUCAUAGAUUGCUCUGAGGAGCAAAAAGCCUCUUAUGCAGCUUUUAUGUUAGAUAAAGAGGCAGAUCAUUGGUGGCGUAUGACUAGGAGACUUUUGGAGGAUCAGGGGCCCAUAACAUGGAGACAAUUUAGGGAGGCUUUCUACAAGAAGUAUUUCCCUGACAGUGUUAGACGGCAGAAGGUGGGAGAGUUUAUUCGUUUGGAACAGGGGGAUAUGACUGUGGCUCAGUAUGAGGCCAAAUUUACAGAGUUAUCACGUUUUUCCCCACAGUUGAUUGCUAUAGAGGAGGAAAAGGCAUUAAAGUUUCAGGAUGGAUUGAAGCCUUAUUUGAAGAACAAGAUAUCUAUUCUGAAGCUUGGUGUCUAUUCAGAGGUUGUUGAUAGAGCCCUUAUAGCAGAGAAAGAUAAUGAAGAGCUUCAUCAGUAUAGGGAACAGCAAAGGAAGCGAAAUAGGAGUGAUGGUGCUCAUGGUAAUCAAGCACAGCGAAGGUCUACAUCAGGAAGAAAUCAGAAUAAAGGGAAGGCAGCGUAGAAUUUAGAUGGGGCUUGUCCUACUUGUGGUAAGAAGCAUGGGGGUAGGCCAUGCUAUAGAGAGACUGGAGCUUGCUUUGGUUGUGGGAAGUAAGGACAUUUGAUCAGAGAUUGUCCAGAGAAUAGGAAGUUUAUCAUUGGGAAGCCUAAAGAGGAAAAUAAGGAGGAUAAACAGAAACCCAAAGCCCAAGGACGGGUGUUUGCUAUGACUCAUCGAGAUGCUCAGGCCACUUCUGAUGUGGUGACAGGUACUCUCCGAAUCCACACCUUAUUUGCUAGAGUCUUGAUUGAUCCUGGAUCAACACAUUCUUUUGUUUCAGUAUCUUUUGCUGGUUUGUUGGGUUUGCCUGUUGCUAGCAUGGACUUUAAUUUGAUUGUUGCUACUCCUGUGGGAGAUUCUGUUGUGGCUAGUAGAAUGCUUAGAAAUUGUAUUGUGAUGAUUGGUUAUAGGGAAAUGCCAGUUGAUUUAGUACUCCUUGACCUUCAGGAUUUUGAUGUGAUUUUGGGGAUGGAUUGGUUAGCUUCCUACCAUGCCUCUGUUGAUUGUUUUGAGAAAAGGGUGACGUUUAGUAUUCCUGGUCAGCCUAAUUUUAGCUUUGAAGGGAAGCAGGUGGACAGACCACUGCGUAUGAUCUCAGCCUUGCGAGCUAGUAGCUUGCUUAAGAAGGGUUGCCAAGGAUUUUUGGCUAGUGUGGUGAGUAAUGAAAGUGAUUUGAAGUUGGAAGACAUACCCAUAGUAAGGGAGUAUCCUGAUGUCUUUCCAGAGGAUUUGCCUGGCUUGCCACCAGAGAGAGAGGUGGAGUUCACUAUCGAUUUGGUACCAGGAACAGGUCCUAUGUCUAAGGCCCCAUACAGGAUNNNNNNNNNNNNNNNNNNNNNNNNNNNNNNNNNNNNNNNNNNNNNNNNNNNNNNNNNNNNNNNNNNNNNNNNNNNNNNNNNNNNNNNNNNNNNNNNNNNNGCGUGAUAUUGCACAAUUUGUGGCUCAGUGUUUAGUGUGUCAACAGGUGAAGGCUGAACAUCAGCGACCAGCAGGGUCUUUACAGCCACUUGCUAUUCCUGAGUGGAAGUGGGAGCAUAUUACCAUGGAUUUUGUGAUAGGAUUGCCAAGAACCUUAGGGGGGUAAUAAUGCUAUUUGGGUGAUUGUUGAUCGGUUGACAAAGUCUGCUCACUUUUUGCCUAUGAAAGUCAACUUUUCUUUAGAUCGUUUAGCUUCUCUUUAUGUGAAGGAGAUUGUGAGAAUGCAUGGAGUACCAGUUUCUAUAGUGUCUGACAGAGAUCCUCGUUUCACUUCUAGAUUCUGGCAUAGUCUACAAAAAGCUUUGGGCACUAAGUUGAGUUUUAGUACUGCUUUCCAUCCUCAAACUGAUGGCCAAUCAGAAAGGGUAAUUCAGGUUUUGGAAGACUUGUUGAGAGCUUGUAUUUUGGACCUGCAAGGUAAUUGGGAUGAUCAUUUACCUUUAGUAGAGUUUGCCUAUAACAAUAGUUUUCAAGCUAGCAUUGGGAUGACACCUUUUGAGGCAUUGUAUGGUAGGAAAUGUCGAUCUCCUAUCUGUUGGAAUGAUGUUGGAGAAAGGAAACUUUUGGGCCCUGAACUUGUGCAGUUGACUGUUGAAAAAGUUGCUUUGAUUAAAGAGAGAUUAAAAGCAGCUCAAAGUAGACAUAAGAGUUAUGCUGAUCAUCGUAGGCGAGAUUUGGAGUUUGAGGUGGGUGAUCAUGUGUUCUUGAAAGUUUCACCUAUGAAGUCUGUGAUGAGAUUUGGGAGAAAAGGAAAACUUAGUCCUCGUUUUGUGGGUCCGUUUGAAAUAUUAGAAAGAGUAGGCACUUUGGCAUAUAAAGUAGCCUUGCCCCCAAGCCUGUCUAAGGUUCAUAAUGUGUUUCAUGUUUCGACUCUAAUUAAGGAAGUAUAUUUAUGAUCCUUCUCAUGUUGUGGAGUUGGAGCCUAUUCAAAUUUUUGAGGACUUGACCUAUGAAGAGGUACCCGUUCAAAUUGUGGAUGUGAUGGAUAAGGUACUACGACAUGCUGUUGUCAAGUUGGUAAAGGUCCAGUGGAGCAAUCAUAGUAUCCGAGAGGCCACUUGGGAGUUAGAAGAAGAGAUGAGAGAAAAGCAUCCUCAAUUAUUUCAAGACUUAGGUAUGUCAAGUUUAGAGGACUAAACUUUUGUUAAGGAGGGGAGGAUGUAACACCCGGGCAUUUUCUUUUAAGGGUAAUUUAGGAAAUUGUUAUUACUAAUUAAAUUAAUUAAUUAAUUAAUUUAAUAAAGUGGAAGAGGGGUAAAAGUGUAAUUUUACGAAUAAAUACCCUAGGUAUAAAUUAGAAAUUUUAUUCUUUCCCUUCUUUUCUGAAUAGAGUUCCUGUUCGCAGAAUUCCAGAGAACGUAAGGUUGGAGUCAGAUUUCAGGGUUGAAGAACAAAUCUCUAUAGGUAAGAUUCUAACCCCUAGUUUAAUAUUUUAGAUUCAUUAGUUAAUUUCAAAUACAUUAGAUAUUUUUUUUUUUGGAAAACCCCAAAUCUAUAUUAGGGUUAGAUUAUUUUUUUUAAUUCGUUUUAAUAUCAAAUAGUGAAAAUUUAAUAUUUUUAUUUUAGUAUUGGAAUCUGGGAGAUCUUAAGUUUUAUUAGAAAAAAAAAAAAAUUGCUUGGAAUAUUUUGAUUUUAGGUUAGGGUUAAUUAAAAAUAAUAAUAAUAAUAAUAAUAAUAAUAAUAAUAAUAAUAAAAAGGAGGAAGAACGCGUGUGCACUGGAAGGAAGGAAGGAAGGAAAAAAAAAAAAAUGGGGGCAUGCGUACUGUGCUACUGGAAGCAUUAAAAAAAAAAGAAAAAAAAAAAAAAGAAAAAGUGUGUGCGUGUGCCAGCCUGCAUGUAUAUGUGUGUAUAUAUAUAUAUAUAUAUAUAAUGAAUCAUCAUUAGACAAAAAAAAAAAAAAAACUUUGCUUUUUGGUGUGUACCCGAGGAAUGGUUGGGUGGAAAAACCUUACUUUUUGGUGUGUACCCGAGGGAUGGUUAGGUGGCUUUUGAAUUGAUUAAUUAAAAUAAUAAUAUUUAGUUUUAGAUUUAUAAUUAAGAUAAUAGUAAUAAUAGAUUUAGCAAUAUAUAUAUAUAUAUAUAUAUAUAUAUAUAUAUAUAUAUAUAUAUAUAGAGUUUUAUAAUGAAAUAAAAUUGUAAUUUAAUUAAAUUAGUAGUGUGUUAUUAGAAACAAAUUGGGAAUUUAUUAGUUUUAUUUAAAUAAGGAAUAGAUUAGUUAAAUUAUAAAUAAAUAGUAUUAAUUGUUUCUCUUAUAUUAUAUUAGGUGAAGAGUAGAUUAUAUCUUUUUCAGAAUUAUUCUUCUCCCAAGCUUUCAAGGACUUCUUUUGAGGUAAGGGAAGUUAAUGCAAUAUUUAUAAAAUUAAAUUAUUUUAUAUGUUAUUUUGAAUUGUGGAAAAUAAAAUUAUAUUUUGUUACCAUGCAUGGAUCAAAUUGUUUUGCACUAAAUAUUAUGUUGGAAUAUUUUGUUUUAUUUAUGAUACAAAAUAUGGAGAUAUUAUGUUGUGUAAAUUUGAAUACUUGAACAAAAACAUCACUCUGGUUUAUUUGGCCCUUGUUAACGGGAUAUAAUAGUUGACUAUUCGGCCCUGUCAACGGGAUAUAAUAGUUGACCUUUACAUUUCAUGGUGGGAAUGUAAUUGAUUUGAACCCCAGCCUCUAGGGGUUUGGUUAGAGGUUACUAGUACUAGUAGUGUUUGGUUCCGUCCACCAGGAACAAUUUGAGGCUAGCCACCCAUUUGAAAAGUCCCACCUAACUGGGCAUUUGAUAUUUGAUAACCAGAGUAAUGAAAAAUUGAAUGGAUUUGAUUGAGUAUGAUGUGAAAGUGUUUGAAUUUGAUGUGAAAUUGGUUGGUUGAAUUUUGAAUAUAUUGGUAUUUUUGAAACUCUAAUAUUUGAAAAAAAAAAAAAUUGAUAUCUCCUAUUUGAAAUGAAAAUAUUUGAUCCAUGAAUUGCAUUAAUAUUCCUUAUUGGGCCGUGAGCUCAUUCCCAGUUGUUGAAAAUUUUUCAGGUACUCUUAGUUCGGGUGAGGAGUGAUGGCUAGGCUGAGGAAUGGUCAUCAUUAGGAUUUGACUUAGGAUUUUAUGUUGGAUUUUGUUUAACUAUUAGUUAUGUUAUUUUGGAUCAUUUGGUAUUUGGAAGUUAUUUGGAAAUUGAAUUUUGAGGAUUUUAGAUUUUGUUUCCGCUACUCUGAGCAGAUAUUUGGUAAUUAGUAACAUCCAGUUACAAUGUGACCAUUUGGGUCAGAUUAUACUUUAAGCUUUCGGGUUUGAGGUGUGAAAUGACCGUCACGCCCUUGGAGUGGGUCUUGGGGCGUGACAGGUGUACCCCAUUUCGACUUCAUCCCCUUUAUGUAAACCUAUUCUCAUCCUCAUUUUAAUAAAAGAUUAAAAUGGGGUAAGACAAAAUGGGUAUGAAAUUUUUCUAUAUCCAACCCCUUUAUUUUUAAUUUUUUAUUUUAAAAAUCCUAAUUAUAUUAAAAAUAAUAUAUUUGAUGAAUGAAUAAAUAAUAUAAAUUUUUAUAACUCAUUUUUAUUUGAGAAGUAGAUUAUUAUUAUUUUUUUUUGAAAAUGAGAAAAUAAAAAUUUUAUAAAAUUAUACACGAGGUAAGACAAGGCAAUUGUUGUAAUCAUAGGGUUUAAAAAAAAAAAAAUCUCAAAGUUAAACCUCAUCCGCUUAAUUUCAUCCCAAACUCAUUUUAUUUUUGACAAGGUGAGGCUAAUACCCUAAAAUUCUCAGCUCCAUUGACAUUCCAAAUGGAUGUGGAGACAUAAAAGAUAAUAGGGUUCUAUGCUACUACAACAAAAGUAAUUUCGAACGAAACUAUUGUUAAAAAUACUCCAAAUUAACCAGUGCUAUAUAACUUUAGACAUUAAUUUUUAUGGUACUUUUACCCAUAAUUUUACACAAUGAUUUCAAAUACUAUUUGCAAUAGGCUUAUUGAUCUAAAGCCAUCUUCCAAAAGCAAUAUAAACUCUGAGCUGAUUAAUGAAAAUAGAAAUUCAAGGAAAAUUCUCCAAAUAUGUCCAAAUAUCACCAUGAUCCGAAGAUAUUUUGUAUAGAAUACUAGUUUAGAUGAUUAAAGAUAGUUUGUAUAAAACAUUGGUCUCCAUUUUGAAAGAUAUAUAUUUUGUACAAAGAGAAUUGGUGCUUGUUGGCUUCUUCUUUUUGUUUUUGUUUCUUCUUUUCUUGACUCCUUGAGGGGUCCAUGAUGGAAAAGCUUCCAAAUUCAUUUUUGUCCAUGAUCUCCUGGUCCAAAAUAUUAAUCAAAUAUAAUAUGUCCAACAAGAUUAGCGGAUAUGUUUAACCACAUCCACAUCCACAUCCACAUCCAAGGUAAGUUAGUAGAUUCUUCAUUGCACUGUAAAGAACUCAAUUGAAAGAGAAAACACAUCCAAAUCUUGAGCACUAAAAUAUUUCCUAUUUUCCGAUUUGCCUUAAAUUAUGAGCUUUGUUCCAUCCCAUAUCUCCCACCUUUUCUCAUUAUCUCAUAAAGCAAGACCUAAAAUAUUUAUGAAAUAUUUCUAUCACAUUUACUCAUCUAUAAGGAAACAUAUUUCUAUAAUAAAACAUAUUUUUAUAAAUAAAUAUGAAUAUAUAAAAUAUUUUAUACAAUAUUAAUCUUUAUUAAAGCAAUAUAUAUAUACUAAAAAAGAAUUUAAGACAAUUUUUAGUAAUUUCCAUGCCUUGAUUCAAAUUUCAUCAAAUCAGUUUUUCAUCUUAAGGUGAUAUAUAGUACAUCAAGUUAACUAAAGUGGCUUCAUCCUUUUCCAACACAAAAAAAAAAAAAAAAAAAAAAAAAAAUCCAAAAGAGAUAAAAAUUGAAUAGGAGUGUUUGGCUUGAAAAAAGGAAAUAGAAUGGAAGCAAAAAGUAACAAAAAAACUAUAUAUAAAAAGGAAUCUUAUUUUAUUGUAUAUAAAAGUUGAAGAAAAGAAAAUCAAAUCAUGAGAACCAAAUUUUCCAAACCUUUAAUUAAAAAGAAAAGAAGAAGAAGAAGAAGAAAACCUUUUAAGAUUUUUCUUUUUUCUUUUUUUUCUUUUCUUUUCCCUAUUAUAAAAACAUAAGAAAUCAGUUUAAAAAAAAAAAGUCAUUUUCAAGGUACUUUCAGAACCAAACAUAGUGUAGAAGUUAACAAAGAUAAAUUUAAAGUUUAAUAGCUUUAAAUUAUUUCACAUUCUCAUAAGCGACCAUAGGACAAAAAACUUCCCGUCACUAUUGACCUAUGAAAUACUUAGAAUCUUCAAGAUAGAUUAUAAUAGUUCAGUUGCAAUCUGAUGAUUUUUCCAGUAAUUGAUUGGAUUAAUUAAUAGUUCACUAGCUAUAAUAAUUCAGUUCAUUGGAUUAAUUAAUAGUUCCAUAGUUAUAAUUGUGAUUAUAUGAAUACUACUUACAAGGAGCUGAAUAGUUGUAUUAGGCUUAAUGAAUGGGUUAUUUUCCAUACUUUUUGUUGUUGGGUACCGGCAUUUCCUCUAAAGCCAAACAAAGUAUUUUAUUGUCUACGAAUUCAUGUGGUAAUAUUGUGGUUAAGGGUUUAAGAUUUAUUUAUUUUGUUUGAUUAUUGAGAUAUAUUUAAUUCACUUCAUAAAAUAGACCCUAAAAGUGGGGAGAUUCUUUUUCGUUUUCUUUUUCCUUUCCUUCUCUAAUAUGCUACUCUGAUCAUCACUUUUUGAUUAUAGAGACUGAGAUCAUCGAAUGGCUCAACAAGAAGACUCAGUUGUCUGCUGCAUUUGUUAAAAGAUGGAACAUUAGAACUCUGGAAUCUGGUAGUGGAAAUAGAAGUCAUUACCUGUUUGUUUGUCCGGACAGAUUUGUAGGUUUAGAUCUUGAGAACUUAUGUCAAUGUGGUUUAAAUAUCAAGGGUUAGAUCAAAUCUGUAUCUGAACUUGUAAUUUUUGCUGCUUGGAUGUGGAUAUGAACUUGUUGGUCCAAACAACUGGUCAGACAACUUUAGGACUAGUUACAUCCAUAUCUCACAGGAAUAGAGGAAAAAACUUUUAACAUUAUAUUAAUAUAAACUCUUCUUAAUUUUAUGAACACGUUUUAAAAUCAUAAGAGUCCCUUUAGGCUUAGUGUGGAUGAUAUCCAUACGGUUGGGAGUGAGCCAAUAAAUGGUAUUAAAACCAAUUAAUAUUCGAUCCAAAUAUGGGGGUUUAUUUGAUCUUUUGUAGAAAGGUGUACAUCUAUUUGGCAUGAUAAGUAUAGAAGGUGAUUGUGAUAUCCCACUUUUGAUGAGGGAAAAAAUUUCUUAUGCACUAUACUCCUCUUAAUUUUAUAAACAUGCUUUAAAGUUAAAAAUGUGAGAUAGCAAGGAACUAAAGUUAUUUUGCAUAGUAUAAAUAAGUAUUAAUAUGAGAAUAAAUUAGAAACAAUUAUCAAGUGUUGUCAAUAACAAAAUCCUUUUUAAAAAUCCAAGUAGGAAAAAAUGUUUUCUUAAUUUAUUCUCAUAUAAUGCAAUAAUUUCUAAAGUAUUCUUCAUAUUUUAAAUUAUUUGUUAUAAUACUCGACAAAAAUAAUUUAACAAAAUAUCUUAAAACACUUUAAAUUCGUUUUGAAAUAUAACUUAUUUUACAAAAAAAAAAAUGUUAAACAAACUCUUUUCAAUAAAAAAAAAUUGUUAAACAUAUUUUGUGAUGUCUUACGUCGAAUAGAGGAGAAAGCUCCUAGUAUUAUAUAAGUAUGAACUCCUUUUAAUCCUAUAAACAUAUUUUAAAGUUGUGAGGGCCCCUUUGGACUUAAAGCGAACGAUAUCUACAUAGUUGAGUGCAGAUCGUUACAAAUUAGUCCAUUUUUGUCUCAUAUUUAAAUUAGCUAAUUAACUUGAUUUCCAUUAUAAGGACCCAACUAGUGGCAUUUCAAAUAUAAAUCAAUAUCAAAUAUUAAUAUUGAUAAAGGCAAGGUAUCUACUAUAUCAAAGUGGUAGAAGUAUCUUAAUGUCUUAUCACCUUUGUCAAGAUGCAUGUAUUGGCUUUACCACCUUAUUAAGAUGUAUGUGUUAAUAUCCUUAAGGCUUUAUCAUACAAAUGAAAACAACAAGUGGAAAUAUGUUAUAACACAACAAUUGUUUUUCUAACAACAAUUGUUUUUUUGGAAAUGAGUGGUCCCUUUCAACUUAGGUUCAUAAUCAUAGAUAUUUUGUAUAGCUUAUGUCUAUUUUCAGAGAUAUUUUAUGUACAAUAUUGGUUGUAAUAUAUAUAUAUAUAUAUAUAUAUGGAGUCAGAAAAUACACAAGAUAUUUAACACAAGAAAUUUAAAGAGAAGGAACCAAAAACUUGUUAGUUCAUAAGCUUAAAACCAUCCAUGAUAGGAGGUACAAGAAGAUAAAAUGAAAAACAAAACUUAAUUAAAAACCAUCCAUAUUAGAGGUAAUCAAAACAUACUUAUAUUAUACAUAAGGAGAUGAAUAUCUUACAAUGGAAGAGGGGAGGAAAGCUUUGAGAAAAGCUUGAAGGCUUGAAGGCUUACAUGAUGAGAGAGAAAGAAGAGAAAAGAAAGAGCAUAAGGAAGGGAAAAUUACAGCCAAAUUUUUUCAUGCUUACAAAUGAGGAUCAAGCCUCCUUAAAUAGCUAAAAGGAAUCUUAAAAUAGUAAAAAGUAGCUGAUAGGGUACUAUUUGCUUUUGGCCAUAGUGGUGAAUAGUAAACCCGUGCUUGAAUAGUAAAAGUGAACAGUAAAAAAGGAACUGUAGCACUUUAGACUUCUUGACCUGGAAUCUUGCUUUCGGCUGACAGCUGGUAGGCUAGAUUAUAGACUGUGUAUUCACAUGCUGGGAAUAAAGCUGAAAACGACUUGGAAAGAGUAAACUUGUCUUGUUGCUGAAGAAUCACGAGAAAAAUGCUUAGGGUAGAGUAUAAUCCUUCCGAUGUUCAUCCAGAAGCUUAACAUCACCCGUAACAGUCUUUAUAGAUGGAGGAUCAAUUUCUUACUGUAGAAGAUUUGUUGAAGAGGAUCUGCAGCAACAAGAAAUCUCAUACCUUUUGGAUAUGCUUUAAAAUCUCUACUAAUGACUCUUGCUCUCCAAUGCUUGAUAUGCUUAAUAAGGGGUUCUGCACAAAUGUUAGAGAACUAUAAAGGGCAAGAAAUCUUGGUAGGCCUUCUGUUUUGGUAAUGGAAAGAAGCAAUGUGUUGUGCUGGUAGAAGAUUCCCAUUAGAGGACCACUCAGGAGCCUUGCUGAUGAUAAUGGCAUCAGCAAACUUUUUAUUCAUCUUAAAACCUUGAGUUAAACCAAAAACCAUCUUUCUUCCAAACUUUGAAGCUUGACAUGGAUCCGAGCAAAUGAUUUGGUGGACUAAUCCAUAAUCCAGAAGUAAUUCUGGAGUUAAGAUCAAAUCCUGGUCUUUAAAAGGAAGGAUGAUUGGCAGGUAAUAUUGCAAAUCAUGACAUACCCGACUGAUUGUGAAAUUUCUAUUGCAAUUGCAAGACAUCUCCUUAAGGCCUUGUUGAUAUUGAAUAGGAUCUUUGAUAGUUCUGCAAAGUUUAGAGUCAUCAAAUUCCCUAUCCAUGACCAAACUUAAACUUGGGAUCCGAAUACCAAUAGUAGCGAAUAGGUAGAUGUGAAGAUCCUGGAGGUAUGCUGAGAUGAAGACUUGCUUUUCUUCAGCAGUUGCUUUGGCUUUUUCAAAGAUUAAGAGACGUAGAUCCUGUUUAAGGGGAUACAACAUUUCUUUCCUAUGAAAAAACAUCCUUAUCUUAAGGUAGUUCCACUCAUCCUCACUCAACUUUUUUACUUCAUCCACCAGUGGGGUGGACUGCUUAUUCUCAUCAAUUUCCAGUGGGGAAACUAAGGCUAGGGCAUUUAACAUGAGCUGAUGAAAGUCAACUAAUUCUAGUUUUCUUUCCAAAGUCUGACAUUUUUCCUGUAGAUUAGUGAUACAAUUAAUAUAAUAAGAUAAAGGGUUAAGAUGGAUUUGUGGACAAGGAAUCUUCCACAGAAGGUGGAGAAUCCAAACUUGAAUCUUUUUCCCUACAAGGGGAAGCUGAAGGAAAAGGAUGUUUGGAGUAGCUGCAAGAACCUGCAACAUCAAAAUGAUCAUAAUAGAGUGACAUGAAUUUCUCAGGAAGAACUGGAUGGGCUUUCUUAAUAUUUGAAGAUUUUUUAUUUAGUUUAAGAGGUUGUUUCUCUUUUUUGGGGGCCAUGUUCUUGUGAAUCCUGCUAAAAAUUCAUGAAUUAGGAAAUCAGGGAUUGAGUUAUUUUCUCCUUUAAUAUACUCAAUUUGAAAAUCAAAAUUGCUUAAAAUAGCUUGCCAUCUAGCAAAAAUAUGCUUAAAAGCUAUAUUCUUAACUCUUUUUGUAAAACUGAUUUUGCAGAUAAGCAAUCAACUCUUAAUAAAAAUUCUUGAUUUAAAAGAUCAUCUUGAAAUUUUGAAAUGCAUAAGACAAUGCUUAAAAUUUCUUUUUUAAUGGUGCUAUAGUUGAGUUGGGUACUAUUCCAAGUUCCAGAAGUAUACCUAACCAACUUUUCUUGGGUAUCAAUUUUCUGCUUAAGAAUACCACCAUAUCCCAUAUCUGAGGCAUCAGUCUCAACAAUCUUAAAGGCUAUUGGGUCAGCUAGGGCAAGACACGAUAGGGUCUUAACUCUAGAUUUGACAAUCUUGACAAUCUUGGUAUUGUAGACCCUCAAUUUUGUCCAUUUAGCACAUGUCUUUAAACUCGCUUUCGGUGCUCCACAAUAGUUCCUUGGUGGCCCAUUACUACUCGUACAACUUACCUUUUUCUGAGUCACCCCGGAGAUUUUGGUUGAGGGAUUAUCUGGCUCCUUAUUGUGACCUUUGGCAACCCUAAUUUAGACUUAGACUUUUCAUUCACUUAGGAUAGUUUUAGAUACACUUGGCCCAUUAGACACCACCCUAGGCCCACUUAGGCCCAUUUAGGCACACUUGGCACAUUAAGACUUUUUAGCGUGACGUGUAUAACUUGCAUGUUUGCAUGGCUUGUGGGGCUCAGUUUUUUGUUUAUUUUUAUUUUUAUUUUUAGUUUUAGUUUUAAGAUUAUCAACCACUCGUUUAUUAUUUAUUUAUUUAUUUUUAUUUGUUAUCUCCCUCUUUAUAUUAUUUUUCCUUAACUUAUUUAUUUAUUAUUGUUUUACUGUUUCUAAUUUGUUUAUUUAUUUAGUUAUUCAUUCAAUUAUUCACUUUCAAAAAUUUCAUGCUUUUGCAAGGAAACUUACCAUUGGAGUUUAAGGAAAGUGGGGCUCUCCAUGGAAGGAUUUUUGGAGGGGAAUUUGAAAUUGGGAAGAUUGCUUUUGAAGGAGGAGAUUGAAAAAAAGGAAAAGAAGAAAAGAAGGGAAAGAGGAGAAUUUUCCUUUUCAGGAACAAAUUUAGGAUUUGAGAGGUGAUAUAUAUAUAUAUAUGUGAGAGAGGAUGUUGAAAAAGAAGGAGGGAAUUCUGAGGAUUUUGGGAGAAAGCACAGAGGAGCAAAAAAAAAAAUCUAGGUAUGUUUCUCGUUACUUUUGGAAUUCUCACCCAUAUCCGAUUUUUUUUUUUUUUUUUUUUUUAUGUUUAAUAUACUGUUCUUUGGUGUGGACGGAAAGAGCCACAAUUUGUUUUGUUGAUAUUGGUUAUUUGCUUGUUUGCUUCGAAUCUGUUCCUGAUCAUCCUCCCACUGAUUCGAGCCCGUUGAAUGAAAUUUGAAAUGGGGCUUUCAUGGGUUCCUUAAUUUUACCUUUUUUUUUGUGUUGUUUUCAUUCUUCACACUCUGUUUUCUCGGUUGUAUCCCUCUGUUCUCCAUGAGAAAUUUUGAGUGCAUAAUCUUAUGAGCUUCACCAAAUGAUAAUGCCUGCUGAAACUUUGAUACCAAAGCUUGGAAUGCUUUACACCGAUUGAGACACGGAUUACCAGAAAAGUGGUGAAUACGUGGUCUGAGUUUCUUCAGCUUUGGGUCUCGCUGAUACUUCAUAAUUGGAGCUUAUUUUAUGAAUCUGGGUUAAUCGUGCGAGGAGUGUGUGGAAACGUGAUGAGUAACCAGAUGGCAUGCUGAAUUUUACGAAGAGAAUACCCCAUUGUUUGUGAACUUUGUUUAAAGUGGUCCUAUCAGAAUGACUUACGAUAUGCAGCCUCAUCAACCCUAGAAAAUUGGUGCAAGACCUUCAGCUAUGAAAAAGAUCACUAAGACAUCUAGGUAGCAGUCAACAUUGUCAGUGAAUAUCAUCCAGUUGAUGCAAGACAGAAUAUCAAGUCCAAAGAUACAAAUGUUCUCUUACAGUUUGAUUAGAAGGGAUCUCAUUCAGUAGCUUGUUUGCCUGCUUAGUUCCUCUUGGGUCGUACCUGCUUUCCAUUUGUGUUUCUCUCUUUCUCUUCGUGGAGGCCAUGGGGUCAGAAUUUAGAAUCCAUUGGGUUUGGAGAGAUUGCAAGAGAAAGGUGAGGUCAGUUCCAUGUGGAGGCUAAGAGGGAGGGGCCCAAUAGAUUAAAUGGUUAUCUUUCAGAAUUGGUUGCUGCCUCAUUUUCGUCCUUUGGUUCCAUGCUGAGAAGAUAGGGCAUUAUUGAACCAGUUCUCUUUUUUGUAAAUAUGGGUACAGAUUCACUCAUCCUCCUUAAAGAUCAGAACCAGACUCAGAACCAGAGCUCGUUUUAGCACUGAGGAUGUCUCUUGAUGAUAACCACGACUCUGUGGUUUUAGCUUGUGCCAAAGUUGUUCUGUGCAUACUAAGUUGUGAUACGAACGAGUAUUUCUUUGAUGCCUCAGAGAGACUAGCAACUUGCAAGAAAGUUGUAUGUACUGCUCCUGGUGUUUCGAAGUAGACCAGAGAUUGAGUUUGGUUUCCUUCACGAUGGAUUUUGGAAAUACAACACCAAACCUUGUAAUAUUUUUCCUUUAAGUGAGGAUAUCAUGGAUACCAAGAGUGAAGAAAAACUCACCAUUCAAGAUGAUAUUGUUGUUGCUGAACAAGAUUUUUGCUGCAGGUGUGAUUAGGAUGGGAAUCCUUCUCAGAAUUCAUUAUCUGUUAGAGACCGAUCCUACAGUAGCUUUGGAAGAAUGCAUGAUAUCUACACCUAUUGCAAUAGCAAAGAAUUCCCCGACAUGUGCAAAUGCAAUCAUAAAGUGUGAAAGGCUUGUUCACACGCUUAUUGGCAGAUUUGCUGAAAAGGAUAAGAUAGGAGUCUAUCCUUUUAAGAUAAAGCCAGUCACUCUCUUGAAGGUGUUGGCUCAAUCUGAUCAGAAGAAUUGUAUAGAAUUCAUAAAGAGUGGGAUUUUCCAGGAUGCAUCUUCGAAUUUGUGUCAAUGUCCAUUGUCCCUCGAUCAGUGGAUGAAAUCAGGGAAAGAAAACUGUAAACAUGCGUCAGCUUCGAUGGUUGAACAACUACGCUUUUGGAAGAAGCAUACGUCGUUCUGGAGUCUUUGGCUAGAAGACUUUCAAAUUGUAGUUCACAGAAGCAUAUAUCAGAGCUUGUGGAUGAUGACAAAGAGAUCUGGUCAUAGAGCCAUACGAGUCCUAUAGUCAGUAUAGCUUUGAAGUGGAUAGCUUUCAAAACCAAUCCAGACAUUUCUAGACUCUUUGACCAACAAAGAGGGAUUGAGAGCGAUUCUGUUCACAAAGAUUCGGAAAUGAGACCCCUGCUAUGGGUGAUUUCAGCUGCCAUGCACAUGCUUUCUACUGUGCCCAAAAGUGUGACCUUAGAAAAUACCAUCAGCUUGCCCGAAAGUGGCAGACUCCUGACAAGACUGCCUGAAUUUGUCUCCAAAAUUGGAUUAGAAAUAAUUAAUAAUUCGUUUUUGAGCUUCCCAGGUGUGAAUGACAAAGAAUAUGGAAUUAAUUCUUCAGCAGGUUGCUCUUUCAUUGAAGAAUUGUGUCAUUUGAGACGUCAUGGUGAUUAUGAAAUAUCCUUAGAUUCUACUUGUUUCCUUCAUGGACUACUCCAGCAGGUUGUUUCCCUUAAUAAUUUGAUCCAACUGGCUAAGACUGAGUAACAAACUCCAUGUUUCCAAGGACAGAGUUUUGCAAAGAAGGGAAAAGGGAUUACCCUCUGUUGUCUACAAUAUUCUCAGCUGUGAGAGAGCAAAGCAUGAAGUGAGAAUGGCUGUAAUGUUUGUGAAGCAAGAGCUACCCAUCCGUGAACCAUAAAGGGCUCCAAGAAACUCAAAGAGAAAAAUUCAGCAAUGGGUGAAGGAGGAAAAUCGUGAUGAUGAUGAUCCAGAUUAUGUGGAUUCCCCUUCAAGGAGAGGCGAACCUUUAGUUAAGAAAACGAAGGUAACUCAAGAAGUCAAGAGUUCCCAAGCUAGAAGGCCUUCAACCUUGCGGUGGAACCCCCCAAAUAAGGAAAGAGACACUGAAGAUGAGUUAGUAAUGACUGAAUGGGAAGAAAGCGAAGCAAUGGUUCUGAUGAAGAUCAAAUCAAGGAAACGUAAAACCGAAAAUCUUGAUGCUGUUACGAUGAAAAAGAUAGGCUCAAGUGACAGAGAAGAGAAAAUAUUUAAGUCCGUGAACUCUAUGAAUCCUUCAUCACCUUCGUUGACUUCAACCUCAUCGGAUUCUGCCUUGGGUAGUGAUGGAAAUAGCAGCUGUAGCUCCAGGAGAUGUUAACAAUGACUAAGAAAGGCAAUGGAGGAGAUUGUUUGAAGUGCCAUCAGUGCAUGAGAAGCGAUAGAAGAAUUGUUGUUCCCUGCACCAAAUGUAAAUCAAAAUUAUAUUGCCUACAGUGUGCAUCAAGCAAUGGUAUCCCAACAUGUCAGAAACAAAAAUUGCAGAGCUAUGCCCGUUUUGUCGUAGAAAUUGCAACUGUAACCUGUGCCUGCAUUCCAGUGGGAUGGUUAAGACGGUGAAGACUGAUAUCAGUGAUGGUGAAAAGGUUCAACACCUUCUUCAUUUGAUCAAGACACUCUUUCCUUAGCUUAAACAAAUUUAUGAAGAGUAAAAGCAGGAGAUAGAAGUUGAGGCUAAUAUUCAAGGAAUACCAUCUUCUGGAAUUACAAUACCAGUGCAUUCAUGCCCCAGUGAUGAGCGUGUCUAUUACAACCAUUGUGCAACUUCAAUUAUUGACCUCCACUGAAGCUUCCCAAAGUAUUAUUAUGAGCUUUGCCUCAGCUGUUGCAAAGAGAUUCGGAAGGGAAACCUUUUAAAGACGGUGUGAUUGAGAUGGAACAGGAUUUUGCUGCUGAUACAUUCAGUGUUAGUGAAGAAUCUGAAGAUGAUGACAAUGAGGACAGUAGGGAUGGGCCACUUCUACAAUAGGGAAAGCUACAGUUUUUAAUUGGUACAGCUCGACAUGAGAGUGAUUACAACAACAUUUUGCUAGUCCCUGUUUGUAAUAAUGGUAAUCAGAAAAGCAUUCCAAUAGUAGCACCAUCUAUAAUCAAUGUUUGACUAAUAGUGGCACUAGCUCCUACAGUCAAACCUUUGUUAAUGGCAGCCCCGGAAUCAACAGUCAGCCCAUCUGAAAUGGAAAUGCUGGCUUUGACAACCCAGUCAUUCGCAAUGAAGAUGUUGCCGUGUAUAGUCAGGCCAUGCACAAUGGUGAUGUUGAUUUGGAUGAAUACUCCCUAUGGGACCUUUUGGGAGUAGCAUCAAGUGCCUCAGUGGAUAGAAGCAGCGUUCAGACAGCAGAUGGAUCACUGGUUCUGAAGCCAUCUGCACAUUAGGCAAUGACUAAGACAUAAUUUAUUGCUCAGGAGGGCUGUGAAGAACAGAAAUUCAAGCCUGACUAGAAUCAGACAUGCUCGUGCCUUCGGUUCUCUCAAAAUCUACAAUCUGUGUAGCAGAAACUGCAUUCUUGCAUUCAUUGCUUUGCUCAAUUCAGUGAUGUCCAUGACGAUCCGGUGGCGAUUCUAUCGCUGAAUUACUCUAAAAACCUAUUAUCUCUUGUGAUCAUCGAAGUGUCUCAACAGUCUUACUCAUUCCAUCUCAUGCAUUACAGUAAUUCCGCAAUCUAGGUGCGAAGCUCUUAGCAAAGAGGCUGCAUAGAGGCACAUGAUAAUAUUGGUUCAACCAGAGCAAGUGAUAAUUCAAUAAUCAUUGAAUAUAAACUCAAGACGCAGCGUUGAUCGAUUAUACUUACGACAGAACUUUAUGAUUGUCAGUGUAUAUUUGAGAGCCUAUAACGAUCAACCAGACUUCGAGAUCAGUGAACCAGAAGCAGUCUGUGUUGCCCUUCUUGGUUUUACUUCAGUUUUAGUCCACAAUCAAGGUGCUGCAGUUUUGGAUGACCAGGACACACUUAACCUUGAUGGCUCAUCCUUCAAUACAUCUGAGGUUCAGACUGAUAUAGCAGACGGAUCAAUCAUUGUACAGAAUGUUUCUGAAUCAGUGAGGCAGAAUGCACUGAAAAGAUUCGUGAAGCUUACCAACCUCUUUGGCUUUUGUGAAGAGAUAUUGACUCGUUUCCGGGACUAUUAGCUGGAUGUGCUUUGGUAAAUUUCAAAAUUCUUGAGUGACUGACCAUUUCAGAAUUUCUAUGAAUAAAAAAGAGCAAGUGACAGGCAACACAAGUUGAAGCUGCGUUCGUGAGUCAGAGGUUGCAGGACAUCAGUACUUCAGAAUUUCAGAUUGGAGUUCUUCAGAAUAAAGUCUUUGCUGGAACUCAAAAUGGUUGAAGUCAGGAUACUGUCCUUAUUAUUGACAUCAGCAAGUGAGAAGUCGGAGGUGAAACAACCAUCUGUAGAUUGAAACACUGCAUUAGACUUCAGUUUUGUCCAUGUAAAUAGUUAAAAGAAGCAAGCCAAGCAAACACCACUGGUAAUAAGAUCUCAGAAUAUGAGUCUUUCAAGCUACACCUUGAGAUGUCUCACAGAGCUAGAGACGCCAAGAAAAUGAUCUUUAGUAGAUCCUCGCUGUUGUCAAGACAAUUUUAAUGGCCACAUCAACAAUACCAAAUAGAAACGAAAGUCUACUUCAAACACAGCAGUAUUCCGAUUCAGAAACUGAAGUCUUUGCUACAACUACAUCUUUGAACAAUAGAAAUGGGUCAUAUAAAUGCUAAUCAGUGAAACUUCCUCAUGCCAGCUAUCGAUGAUCAGUUAGUACUACUGAAGAGGUAAAAGAUGAAGUUCAUGAUGAGCUACAAAACAUAGAUUCUGAGCUACAGAAAAAUCUAGGAGAAAAUUAUGAGAAAAUUGACAAAUCAGACGAGUUUGUGAGCAAAGGUUUGAAACUUAAGAACGUAUGGCAGUAAAGAAAUCCGAUUUGGAACUGGACUUAACACACACAGGAAGCGUAAGUAUGCAGAAAAUGGUUUAUUCGACCACAAGCCACAUGAAUCGAACUCUAUUAUGGCAGAUUGAGGUAAAAGUUGAAAGGCUUAAUCAAUUGAAAGCUAGCAGAAUGCAGGGAACCUCUCAAUGUAGAAAAUUGGAAAUUCCGAACCUUCUAUUCAGUAUUUAACUUCUAUUGAGGAGAAUCCAGUUGAGCUUACAAAUCAAGAUGUCUUUUAAGUUGAAGCAUUCGACAGUUGAACACUUUUGCAGUGAAUUGGUCCCUUCUAUCCAAAAUUUACCGGCUUCACUUCAUAGCAACCUUACUACACACACCUCCUCUAUUUGCUUCUUUGAUUGGGAACUUACUGUUUUAAAGUGAAUUUUUGAAUCAUUUUUCAACUAAACAUUUCCAGCUUUGAAGAAUCCAUCUCUAAAACACUUCGAGGCAUAAAAUCCAGAUUUUAACAAAUCUUUGCUGCCAUUUUCCUUCCAGCACAAGGUUUUCACUAUUUCCUUUGAUUUUCAACCAUUUUCUUGAUUUUUCUCGAUUUUCCCAAGCAUGAACAAACUUCAUGAUUCGAAACAAUGGAAUUCAUAGAAUCAACUCAUGCGAAAUUAAUUAGGGCUUUGGUGGGGGCCCAACAUUCAUGAUACUCUCUUCAAUAUUGUUUGCUUGAUAUGUUGAUUUUUGAUUCUUCUUGAUGAAAUACUUGAAUUCGCUUUAUGAUUAUUGUUGAGAUAUCCUUGUUUCCCAUAGACGUGUGGAUGCUCGCUAAUCAGGUACACUCUUCCCACCCUACAACUUUAAAAUUCUAUGAAUGUGUACGUUAUCAUGAGCCAUGACCAUGUUUGAUGCCAUACUUGAUUGUCUUGAUGCUUGUUUGAUCAUCUUUGAUAAAAUACAUAUAAUGUGUCAUAUUUCCAAACUAAUCUCUUAUGUUUUAUGAUAGCGCUUGAGAAGCCGUUCAGGUACGCACUUCGACUCUCUCUUAUGGUUGGUUUUCUUGUUAGACAUGCUAUAUUUGAAAUCACCUAAUCUACUUAGGUAUCUAUAAUUAAUCAAUUAAUUGUCAUAUUUCCCUCAAUUUAGUCAGUAGAGACCUUUAUAGGGCUUAGAGGGAUGCUACCUUUUAAAGGUGCCUUCCUAAUAAGUAACCUGAUCCUCGGACUAAGACUCAGGUUUUUCAAAGACAUGUUUUUUCAAAAAUUAUGGAGUCACUUUUUAGGGUUUUUCUUUCUUAUUUUAUUUUCCCUUUAAAAUAAAAAUAAAAUAAGUGGCGACUCUGACUUUUCUAAAAAUUGAUUUUUCACAAAUAAAAAGCGAGUCUUGCCGAUUGAGUGAGGGCGCACAUGAAAAAUGCAGGUCCACAGGUAUGAUCCUCAUUCCAAGGUACUGGAUUUUUCUUAAGUCUUUUUCUUAAAGGAGCACAAAGCUAGCUUAAAUCCUAUAUGAAAUCUAACACAUAAUUAAGGCUUCUUAAGAAACGUUGCAACUGUUUCUUGUCUUUGAUCUCAUCAGGAAACUUAUCAGCAAAUUCUAAAGACAUUUGAAUGGGAGUGAUAGUUCCUUGGUGAAUAUGAUGACCUAGGAAUCUUACCUUAAUCUAGAAAAGGUUAAUCUUGGUGAACAUGCUCUUGUGCCUUAAGUUGGAUCUAUGGGUGUUGUUGGUAUCAGAGCCAUGGGAAGGGAAGUCGGGUUUGUUUUAGGUGUGUUGAGCUAUCCUAGGAUAAGUAGCAAUGUGUCUGGGAGUACAAGCCUUGCCGGUAUUAUUUCUUAAGUAGUAAUUGGUCUACUUUUCUCUCAUCCUAUUUCGAUACAUACAAGACAUAGAGCAAAGGUAUGUCUACUAUGUGAGCAAAACAAUGGUAGACGUAGAGACUUAGUACUCCAAAAUGGAGCAGACGACCUUAGCCUUGAAGAACAUCGCUUAGAAGCUUCGCCCGUACUUCUAGGCUCAUCAAGUGACCGUACUCACAAAUCAACCACUCCGAGCUACCCUACACAAAUCGGAUUUGUCCAGACGGAUGUUGAAAUAAGCCAUUGAGUUGAGUAAAUACAAAAUCAAAUACCAGCCAAGGUUAGUAUUGAAGAAACAAGUUAUGACCAACUUUAUAACCAAACUCCCUCAAAAACUAGCACAUCCAAUUGAGUCCUUUGGAAAGCAAUGGUGGACACUUCAUGUAGAUGGAACAUCCAGAGCAUCCGAUUCCGGAGUAGGUCUAAUCUUGCAAUCACCAACUAGAAAACUAGUAAAGCAGGCUAUUCGUCUCAACUUUUCUAUCUCCAACAAUGAAGCAGAAUAUGAAGUUGUCUUAGUUAGACUAGACCUUGCCAUAACAUUGGUUGCAGCAAGGUUGGUAAUCAAGAGCGACUCUCAGCUAAUUGUCGGGUAAAUUCAAAAAGAGUACGAAGUAAAGGGUAAACGCAUGGCUCGCUAUCUCACCAUGGUAGAAGAUCGCUUGAAAAAGCUAGACAAGUGGGUUGUUAGACGGGUACCUAGGAAAGAGAACUUGAAGGCAGACGCACUGGCCGAAAUAACUAUCACUCUUCCUAUAAGAGAGGCAUUAAUGUUGUCUGUCCACGUGUCCCUUUCAAGCUCAAGACCCCUUUUCCGUGUAGAACAAGUAUGUAACCCAUCUGAGAUCAUUCCAUCCAGGCCAAGAUAAGUUCUGUCUGGCACCAGAAGUGAGAGGAUUCCCUUCUCCCAUAAGGCUAGAUGAAAUUGACAGCUUGGACUCUUAGACGGGAAGGUCUGUCCAGUCAAGUCUUUAAGACUUCUGCCAUACGUGAUCAACCACGCUUGACAUUUGAGCGGCCGGCAAGACUCCAUUUAGCCUACAAGUCUAUGUCAAUUAGUUGUUGCACACAAUCCUAGGUGUUGACAGGCUAAAUGGAAAGACAGCUACACAAUCCAAGAUCUUGGAAAGUCAGUAGAUGGCACCUGCCAGCCACCCUUAACUGAGAUGAUUGUCCAGCCGCCCUGAAGACAAUCAUCAUUACAGAAAAGGUCAGAGUGCAUACUCAACACUACAGUGGCGGUGUCAUCGUCUCUAUAUAAACCUCUCAAAAAGCACGAACAAGGUACGCACGCGAGCACAAAUGCUCACUCUCUCCCACAAAAUAGUUAAAGUUACUCUUGUAUGACUUAAGCUUCAGAGGGACAUGCCCGGACCACCCGUUUGGAUAUCCUUUUGUGUAGGAAAGAAGCCCGUUUGACUCCAGUACAGCUGGACAAAUUCUUCGAGAGACACAAAGUAGGAGCGAAGUUCGUUUGACUUCAGCAAAGCUAGACAAACCUGACACUAGUUGGCUUGACCUCAACAUGGAGUAUAUUAAAAAGGUGAGGCAUACAAUAAAUGUAGAUGUGGAGAGCGUCAUGACCAAAGUAAUGGGCACAACAAAUACUUUAAAAGUUGUCAUGUGGAUUUAUUUCACAUAAACUAUUUUAAUAGCGCAAUAAUUAUAACGAUCUUUUAUAAAUUUUACUUUUUGAUUGAUUUAAUUAUAUGUGGGCAUAAUUUUAAAUACCUAUUAUUAAUUAAAGGGGUAAUUCCAACCAAGAUUUGAAAUAUCCAUAAAUACGUAUAUAUUUCUACUUAGAUUUUACAGAUAUAUUAAAAAUAUUAAUGAAAAUUUGGUGAAUAUUUUGACAAAAAUAUCAAUAAGGCAAAAAUUAUGCAAAAUUUAUGGAAAUAUUUGAAGAAACUCCGAAAAAAAUAAUAAAAUAAAUAAAAAUACACAUGUUAAGUUAUUUUUUUAAGUGUAAUUGGUAUAGGUAUGGUUAAAGAGAAAAAUAUUGGUAAGUAAGAAUAUAUCGAUAUUAAUAAUUUAUUAUUUAUCUAGUAAAAUUAAUUUUAAUUUAAAAAAUUUUAGAACUUAAUUAUUAUUUUAUAUUUUAGCAUAUUUUUGAAUAAAUUUGUAUUUUUAAUAUUUUAAAAUAAAAACCUUCAAAAUUAAAUAAAAUUAAAAUGAUAAAUAUAAAAAAUUUAAAAGUGAAGUGAUAGUAAUUUGUUAAAAUAUGAUUAAUGAGAUAAAUGAUAAUACAUUUAAUAUUAAAAAUAUAAUUUAUUUAAUUCAAAUGCAUUCAAUAAUGUAAAAUAAAUGAUGAUGCAUAUAUGACUUUUUAAUAUUUAAUUAUCAUAUAAAUUAUAUUAAAAAAUAUUUGUUAAGAAAAUUAUAAUGAUGAUUUUUAUACAUUUAUUAAUUAAUUAAAUAAAAAUUAAAAUAAAAUAAUUAAAUUUUUUUAAUUUAUUUUUUAAUAAUGAACUUUAACAUAUUUAUUAUCAUCAUAUAUUAAUGAGUUGGGACUUAGACCAAUGGCAAUCAAGCUUAAAUCUAAGUCUUUUGACCUAGGUUUGAAAAAAUUCAAAUCAUGUAGGGAGAAAAUCGCCCAAAAAAAUUGCAAUUUUUUUUAUUUCGGCAAUUUUUUUCAAUCUCCUCUUCCUGUCGUCAGGUCGGGCGUCGCCCCACGCUCGAUUUUUCGCUGAUAAAUCACCUCCAAAACAAUAUAUCGUUGAUAGUUUGACGAUUUUGCCGAAAUUCUUGUCAAUCGAUAAUCGGUGCCUGUUAUCAUUUCGGGCACCAUCAAUAUUCGAUAUUUUGUUGAUAUCUCGACAAAAAAAAAAAAAAAAAAAAACCAACAUUUCAAUCCUUGGCUCCAACUACCUACUACUCUAUAUUUUGUACAAGUAUUAAUCUAUGAAACUAAAGUCAAGACAACAUAAAAGAUAUUUUGUAAAAGAAAUUUCAAUUGAAGUGGUAGAUGUUUCUGUGUUAAACCCCUACCAACUUUGUUGUUAGAGUGAAAAGCCCCACCAACUUUGUUGUCAAAGUUAAAAGGAGUAGAUGGAACUUGGAAGUAGAUCAUAACUAACACAAUUGUUUAUGUGGAGUAAAGAUGAAAAUAUAGGUAAUCAUGAAUAUAUCGAUAUUUCGAUUUUACGAAUAUAUCAAAUAUAUUAACAAAUAUUUUGAUACAAAAUAUCAAUGGACCUAAAAUUGAUUAGAACUUAUAGAAAUAUAGGAAAAAACUUUUAGAAAUGAAAUUAGAAGUAUAAUAGAUAUUUUAAAGUUGUUUUAUUGAAGAAAUUAACAUAUGUAUGAUAUAAUUUAUUAUAUUUGAUAAUAAUAUUGUAUGUGUUGAUAAAAAAAUAUAAAUUUUAUAAGUGUACAUUUAUUAUUAAUCCUGGGGACGUCACCCCCAAGGGCCAAAUAAACAAAUGGCCCCUCAUAAGACUUUGCGCUGUCCGGCCCAACCCGGACACCAGAGCAAAAAAGGCCGACGUUUAUGUUGGGACGUCAUUUGUUUGUUUGGCCCUGGGCAGCCGCAUGGGCCGGAUACCAGAGUGGCCUCCCCAGGAUUCAAACCCAAGUCCAAGACUUAAGGACGAUAAGGUUNNNNNNNNNNNNNNNNNNNNNNNNNNNNNNNNNNNNNNNNNNNNNNNNNNNNNNNNNNNNNNNNNNNNNNNNNNNNNNNNNNNNNNNNNNNNNNNNNNNNNNNNNNNNNNNNNNNNNNNNNNNNNNNNNNNNNNNNNNNNNNNNNNNNNNNNNNNNNNNNNNNNNNNNNNNNNNNNNNNNNNNNNNNNNNNNNNNNNNNNNNNNNNNNNNNNNNNNNNNNNNNNNNNNNNNNNNNNNNNNNNNNNNNNNNNNNNNNNNNNNNNNNNNNNNNNNNNNNNNNNNNNNNNNNNNNNNNNNNNNNNNNNNNNNNNNNNNNNNNNNNNNNNNNNNNNNNNNNNNNNNNNNNNNNNNNNNNNNNNNNNNNNNNNNNNNNNNNNNNNNNNNNNNNNNNNNNNNNNNNNNNNNNNNNNNNNNNNNNNNNNNNNNNNNNNNNNNNNNNNNNNNNNNNNNNNNNNNNNNNNNNNNNNNNNNNNNNNNNNNNNNNNNNNNNNNNNNNNNNNGAAUCCUGGGGAAGUCACCCCCAAGGGCCAAAUUAACAAAUGGCCCCAUAAGACUUUGCGCUGUCCGGCCCAACCCGGACACCAGAGCAAAAAGGCCGACGUUUUUGUUGGGACGUCAUUUGUUUGUUUGGCCCUGGUCAGCCGCAUGGGCCGGAUACCAGAGUGGCCUCCCCAGGAUUCGAACCCAAGUCCAAGACUUAAGGACGAUAAGGUUGCCCUCCUGGUACCAUCUGUGCUCAACACAAAGGACAGAUUAAGAAUUCCGAAAGGACAUUGACACAUUUUUUUUUUAUUGCUUGGUUGUCUCUAUGCAAUUGUUGAUCAACUUGCACUGCCUUGAUGACGAAGCUCUACACAUGAGGAUAAACAUUGAAAGAAAACAGAAGGUUGAAAUGAUUUAUGGUGUCUUUUAUUACAGCAAAUCUAAAACUUGGCCAACCUCUGAGAAACUAAAGAGGCUUGGAAGAUAUGGCUUCUUAAGAAAUUAAUUUAUGCCUGAAAAUCCAAAGGGAACUUAAUGGUUUUUCCUUUUAUUGUUCCUUUUUCAAAGCACAAGCUAGAACAUAGAAAAUGAUUAUCACCUGAAUGGUACCUCCCUCCAUCUUCCUCAAUUACAUUAAUUUUCACUGCACUCAUUUGUGGAUCACUUCCCAAGGCCUUGGGAAGCCAUGCAAUGUUAAAGAACCUUUUUUCCAUGACCAACAUAGAAUAUCAUAAUUUUCUCUUACAUGCAAACAUAACGGUUUUGUCGUGUCCUAUGAUAUUGUGAGACUAGAUAUACGCACACNNNNNNNNNNNNNNNNNNNNNNNNNNNNNNNNNNNNNNNNNNNNNNNNNNNNNNNNNNNNNNNNNNNNNNNNNNNNNNNNNNNNNNNNNNNNNNNNNNNNAUUUUUGACAUUCCAUAAUUUCUACGUUCUUGAGCCAAAUUUAGAAAAUAAAUCAUUCUUGGACAACCUCGAUCCUGUGGGGUUUGGUUUUGGAAGCCAAAAGUCCCAUCUUUGUUGCUCUUUAGGGCUUUUGUAAAUGGAGAGGGAGAGAUUUGAGGAUGCCUGCAAGGUUGUAGUACAAGCUACAAAUGACGUAUCGAUCAUGCAAUUUUUAGUUGGUGACUCACCAUCCAUGCAUGGGCCGUGGUUUUAUUUUUAUUUAUCUAGGCUUUGGUUCACAAAGUAUUAAGAAAAAAAAAUAUUAUAAAAAAUGAUUUUUCAUAUUUGAUUUCACCAUUAAAAAUAUAUAAAAAAAAAUCAAAUAUAAUUAAAAUUAAUUAAAAAUUUACACAUUUUAAAUUCAUUUAAUUUUUAUAUCAUGAAGAAAAAUAAAUAAAAUAAAUUUAAAAAAAUUAUGGACCCCACAUUUUGCUCGAUGUGUUUCUACUCGAUGGUAAAACUUGUUUUUUUAUUUUAUUUAUUUUGCGAAAAUUAUGAUUUUUAGAAAAGACUUAGAGUUGCCACUUAUUUUUGUUUUAGUUUUUAAAAGGAAAACAAAAUAAGAAACAAAAAUACUAAGUAUGACUCCUUACGUGGAAAAACGGGUCUGUGAAAAAUUGAGUCGAGUCCAGGGUUGAGGUUACUUAUUGGGAAGGUACAAUAAAAAGAUCGAAAGCACCCAUCUAAGUCCCUAAAAACGGGUCUCUACUAAAUAAGGUGAGGUAAAUGUGACAAUUGAUAAGGAAAUCAAUGGAUACCAGUGAAAUAAUCAAAUAAUAAAGUGAAAUCAUGCAUCAGAAUAAGCGAAGUGGAAAUGAGAUCAUACCUUAACAGCAAUUAAUAGUGCGCUAUCAUGGAAACAAGGUUAGCUCAAGUAUAAAAUCAUUACAUACAUAUCAAAAAGCAAGACAAAAAUCAAACAAUAUUCAUUAAACAUAACAAUUGACAAUCAAAAGAGAAAACUCCUAUGUAGGGCCCCCACCAAAGCCCGAUUUAUCUUGUAUGAAUUAGUAUCACAAAUUCCAUUAUUUUGGAAUUAUGAAAAAAAUUCAUUCUUGCUUAUUUAAAACUAAGAGAAACAAAAAAUUAUUUGAAAAUAGAAGAAAAUUUGUACAAAUGCAUACCAAAAUGAGAAUGAUAACAGACUUAUUAAAAUUAGGAUUUUUGGCGACCUAAAACUCUAAUAAAGGUUGGAAAGUUGUAGAAUUAAAACUGUUCGAGAUAAAACUAGAGUUUUGAAAUUUAUUUGAAAAUUGAACUCUCGAAAAUUAUUUGAAAAUUGGAGUCUUGAAGAUUAAAUCUAAGAAUUGGAAUUUUGGAAAUUAAAUUUGCAAGAAAUUGGAAUUUUGAAAAUUAUUUGAAAAUCGGAGUUUUAAAAAUUAAAUAUGAAUUUGGAGUUUUGGAAAUUAAAUUUGAAAGAAAUUGGAGUUUCGAAAAUAAAUUGAGAACUGGAGUUUUGGAAAUUAGAAUCUUAGAAAUCAUUUGGAGAUGAUAUUUUAAAAAAUAAAUAAAUAAAAUAAUAAUAAUAAUAAUAAUAAUAAUAAUAAGCAAGUGUGAAAAUUGGUAUUUUGGAAAUUGAAAAUUAAAUUUGAAAAUUGGAAUUUUGAAGAAUUAUUUAAAGAUGAAAAUUUUAAAAUAAUAAUAAUAAUAAAUAAAUAAAUAAAUAAAGGGAAUAAUAAUAAAUAAUAACGAAAAUAAUUAUUAUUAAAUAAAUGUGAAAAUUGAAAUUUUGGAAAUUGGAAAUUAAAUUAGGAAAUCGGGAUUUUGAAGAAUUAUUUAAAAUGGAAUUUUAAAAAUAAAUAAAUAAUAAUAAUAAAGAAGAUGAUAAUUGUUAAAUAAAUAAAUGUGAAAAUUGAAAUUUGGGAAAUUGAGAAUCAAAUUUGGAAAUCGGAAUUUUGAAGAAUUAUUUAAAGAUGGAAUUUUAAAAAAAAUAAUUAAAUAAAUAAAAUAAUAAUAACGAAAAUAAUAAUGAUUAAAUAAAUAAAUAUGAAAAUUGGAAUUUUGGAAAUCGAAAUUUUGAAGAAUUAUUUAAAAAUGGAAUUUUUAAAAAAUAAAUAAAUAAAAUAAAAUAAUAACAAAAAUAAUAAUGAUUAAAUAAAUAAAUGUGAAAAUUAGAAUUUUGGAAAUUAUUAGAAAAUCGAAGUUUUGAAAAUUAAAUUUUGAAAAUUGGAAUUUUGAUGAAUUAUUUUAUAAUGGAAUUUUAAAAAUAAAAUAAAAUAAAAAAUAAAACGAAAAUAAAAAUAAAGAUGCAUGUCUAGUGGAAAAUGGUAGGAAUUCAUUUAUUAAAAUUCUCAAUUCAAAGAGAUGAUGGCCCAUUGGUGAGCCAUGAUAAUGUUGUGCUUCCAAGCAUUCUUACACCUAGCAAACAUGAAAAAAUUAACCCAAGAUGCACUUCUUACCCAUCAGCCACCUAAGUUGGAGCCCAUAAAAUCCAAAAAACUGCAAUGGAGAAAUGAAUGCAAGGUUGUGCACGUGCCAAUAACCAUAUCCUUCUAUCACAAGAAAUACGUGUGUAGAAGGACAUUCUACAGUCCUUAAAAACUACUAUUCGUGGAGUUUCGACCCAACAUUUGGUGAUAUAAAUGAUAGUUAUCAUUGCCAAGAUCCCAUUUGCUACGGAAGGAACAACCACACUUUUCUUCGCAUCACUACCAAGGAGCCAAUUUGCAAGCACUUGGCUUCCAAUAAAAGAUGCAGACUCAAAUAAUGUCAUUAACCAGAAAGUAUCAAUCAAAAAAUAUAACGUCUAUACCCAAGCUUAUCAUGUUCAACAACCAUCCAUGUUUCAAAACUGAAUGAAAAUAUUGAAGUGGCGAGAGAUAAGUAGAUAUUUGCUACCCAAACACUAGGUUACAGGGUAAUCCUCCUCCAUAUGCCAAUCGAGAGGUGUAGAACACAAAAUGACAAAAAAGCUUUCUUUUGAUCGAUGAAAUCACAAAGCAGACCUAAGGAAACACUAAAGAAAAAGGCAACUAAAUAUCCAACACAGAGAGACACCACCAAGUUCCCUUAUGAGAAUCUCACUCCCUUCAACAUCCAUCAUGAUCGCAACAGCAAAGCCCUUCUCCUCAAGGGUAUAAAUAGGCACCGGAACAGAGAGUAAAUAGCAAGGGAACAAGCAUAAAAAAAAAAAAAAAAAAAUAGAGCAUCAAAUGAACCAAAGAAAACAUUAACCCGAGCCUCAUCUCAUAUUGAAAUCAAUGGGCUUACGUAUAGGUGAAAAAANNNNNNNNNNNNNNNNNNNNNNNNNNNNNNNNNNNNNNNNNNNNNNNNNNNNNNNNNNNNNNNNNNNNNNNNNNNNNNNNNNNNNNNNNNNNNNNNNNNNAACUCAAUGAAAAUCAAAUGCGAGAAAGAUGUGGUCCAGUAGAAGUUCCCGAAAAGACUCCCCUCCGGCGAGACUAGCUGGGUGUCAAGUUGCUUUAUUUCGUCGUUUCUACUUCAUACCAUUUGCAGUUUACUCCAGAAAACAUUUCUUCUCUCUAAAAAAAAAAUGCAUUCGUUCUCCUCCUCGUUUCUCUCAAGGCUUCCCCAUUUUGUUCUGCUUUUUUUCAUCUCCAAGCUUUUUCCAACCCUACCCGUUUCAGUGCUCCUUGCUCAAAAGAAGUCUCGUCUCAACCACCCCCAUGGCAAGGUGGUGGUCCCAACCACUCAUCCAUGCAUGGAGCUUCAUGGAAGUUGUCCCCCACUUCAAAUGAAAUGCUCUCCAACUCCUUCCAGGUGGUAAAAAAUAAAAAAAGAAUAAAGAAAGAGAAAAAAAAACUUUGGUUUAAAAAAAAAAAAAAAAAAGGUCUACAAAUAUGCCCCUCUUCGGUAGAGUUCACGAGUGUAAGAAAUAUGAACACUAGAGUGAAAAGAAAUUGUAAAUAGUGAAUGAAAUGAAGUGGACUCUACCGAAGAAAAAGAAAGACCCCUAAUGGCGCACAAGUAUAACACAAACUUGCUUAAUCCAAUAAAGGAACAAAAGAGGUUCCAAAAUCCCAAAAGAAUGGUAGCUCUCAGAGUGCCUUUAAAGCUGCACUAUGAACUUAGGCUUCCUCUAAGAUGUCUCCAGAAGUGACUUGAAGAUCAAUGUCAGAGAUGAGUAACGGUCAAACCACCUUGGGGUACAGGAAAGAAUGCGUCCAAAGGGGACUACCCUAUGCGAACUACAUGAGAACACUAAGUGUAAGGUACCCAGCAACAUGACUGAAAUAUGUGUCAUGAACUCAAAGAACUAUGUCAUGUGCAGUGGAAGGAGAAGUCUAGAAGAGCAUGAUGGACAAGCAAUAAGCACAAGGUAACAAGGUAAGGAAAAUGAUGACGAAUGUAAAAUUUGUGAAGGCAAGAUGUACAAUGCUAAUGAAUAUGAAUGCUAGGAGCUAUGACUUUAAAUGAUAAGGUUGGGGAAAAAUGACUUUUGAAUGCCAAAAUGAGGAAAAGUGGUGACUCAAAAUGUAGGAAUGAGUAUGCACAAUGGCUCUGAACGUCAAAACUAAAUAAAGAUGUUGACACUGAAUGCUAAGAUGAAGGAAUAUGAUGGCUCUGAAUGUUAAAAUGAAGACACGGUUUUGAAUGCUAAAAUGAAGAAAAUAAUGGCUCUAAAUGUCAAACUGAAGACAUGGAUCUGAAUGCCAAACUGAAGAUAUGAUGGCUCUAAAUGUCGAACUAAAACCAUGGCUCUAAACACCAAACUGUGAAGAGAUGGUGGCUUUGAACGCCAAACUAUAAUGAGAUGGUGGCUCUGAAUGCCAAGUUGUAAGGAAAUGGUGGCUUUGAACACCAAACUAAGAAAUGAUGGUGGCUCUAAAUGCCAAACUGAAAAGAGAUGGUGGCUCUAAAUUCCAAAUUGAAAAGAGAUGGUGGUUCUGAACGUCAAACUGAAGAUGAUAUGAUGACUCUGAAUGUCGAGCUAAAACCAUGGCUUUAAACGCCAAACUAUGAAGAGAUGGUGGCUCUGAAUGUCAAACUGUAAUGAGAUGGUGGCUCUGGACGCCAAGCUGUAAGGAGAUGGUGGCUCUAAACUUCAAACUGAGAAGAGAUGGUGGCUUUGAAUGCCAAAACCUAUGAAGAGAUGAUGGGAUGGCUCUGAAUGCCAAGCUAAAACAAUAGUUAUGAAUGCCAAAUAGAAAGAAAGGCUCUGAACACCAAACUGAGAAGGACGACUCUGAACGUUGUAACGGAGAAGAUAUGGCGGCUCUGAAUACCAUAACUAAGAAGGGAUGGCGGCUCUGAAUGCCAAACUGAAAAAAGAUGGUGGCUUUGAAUGCCCAAAGUGAGAAGAGAUGGUGGCUCUGAAUGCUAAAUUGUAAAGAGAUGAUGGCUCUGAACGCCAAGGUGUAAGGAAAUGGUGGUUCUGAAUGCUAGGAAUGUAGCCCUGAAUGUCGAAAAGGUGGCAACAAAUGCCCAACUGUGAUAGGAUGAUGGCUCUGAAUGCCAAACUGUGAAAGGAUAGUGACUCUGAACGCUAAACAGGAGAUGCGGCUCUGAACGCCCGAACUGAGAAUGGAUGGUGGCUCUGAACGCCAAACUGAAAACAUGGCUCUGAAGGCCAAACUGAGAAGAUGUGGCGGCUCUGAAUGCCAAACUAGAGAUGCGACUUUGAACAUCAAAUUGAAGAAGAUGAAGGCCUUGAACACCAUAACUGAGAAGGGAUAGUGACUCUGAAUGCCAAGCUGGAGAUACGGUUCUGAACGCCAAACUGAAAAAAGAUAGUGGCUCUGAACGCCCAAACUGAAGAUGCGUCUCUAAACACCAAACUGAAGAAGAUGAAGGCCCUGAACACCAUAAUUGAGAAGAGAUAGUGACUCUGAAUGCCAAGUUGGAGAUGCGACUCUAAACUCCAAACUGAAGAAGAUGAAGGCUCUGAACGCCAUAAUUGAGAAAGGAUGGUGACUCUGGACACCAAGUUGGAGAUGCAGUUCUGAACGCCAAACUGAAAAAGAGAUGGUGGAUCUGAAUGCCAAACUGAAGAUGCGACUCUAAACGCCAAACUGAAAAAGAUGAAGGCCCUGAACGCCAUAACUGAGAAGGGAUAAUGACUCUGAAUGCCAAGUUCGAGAUACGGCUCUGAAUGUCAAACUGAAGAAGAUGAAGGCUCUAAAUGCCAUAAUUGAGAAGGGAUAGUGACUUUAGACGCCAAGGUGGAAAUGCGGUUAUGAAUGCCAAACUGAUGAAGAUGAAGGCUCUAAACGCCAUAACUGAGAACUAACAUCUCUGAAUGUCAAAUUGAGAAAAACGACUCUGAACGUCGUAACUAAUAAGCGAUGAUGGCUUUGAACGUUGAGCUGUAAAGAGAUGGUGGCUCUAAAUGCCAUAAUUGAGAACUAACAUCUCUGAAUGUCAAACUGAGAAAAGAAGACUCUGAACGUCGUAAAUGAGAAGCGAUGAUGGCUCUGAACGCUGAGUUGUAAGGAGAUGGUGGCUUUGAAUGCCAAACUGAAAAUGUGGCUCUGAAUGCAAACCUGAGAAGUGAUGGUGGCUCUGAACGCCAAACUGUAAGGAGGACAACUCUAAACAUCAAACGAAGGACAACCAACGGCUCUGAACACCAAACUAAAGAUAUGGUUUUGAACACUGAGAUGAAAUUGCCACUCUGAACGUUGAACGGAAGGAAGACAUGAUGACUCCAAAUGUCGAACUAAGAACAAACAAUGGCUCUGAACGCCAAAAUGAAGAUACGGCUCUGAACGCUAAAAUGAAAGUACGGCUCUGAACGCCAAACAAAAAAAUGUGAUGGCUCUAGAUGUCAAACCAAAGACAAACAACGGCUUUGAACAUCAAACUGAGAAUAUGGCUCUGAACGCCAAACGGAAAAGAGACAUGAUGGCUCUGAAUGUCGAACUAAGGACAAACGACGACUCUGAAUGCCAAACUGAAGAUGCGACUCUGAACGUCAAAAUGAAAAUACGGCUCUGAAAGCCAAACAGAAAAGAGACAUGAUGGCUUCGAAUGUCAAACUAAGGACAAACAACGACUCUGAAUGCCAAUUUGAAGAUGUGGCUCUGAACACCAAAAUGAGAAUACGACUCUAAACGUCAAAAUGAAAACAUAACUCUGAACAUCAAACGGAAAAGAGACAUGAUGGCUCUGAAUGUCGAACUAAAGACAAACGACGGCUCUGAACGCCAAACUGAAGAUGCAACUUUGAACGUCAAAAUGAGAAUAUGACUCUGAACGUCAAAAUGAAAAUGCGACUCUGAACGUCAAACGGAAAAGAGAUGUGAUGGCUCUGACCGCUAAGCUAAAAAUGCGAGGAGAUAAUGAGGAGGAAAUAUGCCCCAGUGUAGCAUGCCGCUACAACUCUCAAUUCAUAGGAAGGGUCUGAAAGAGACUCUAUGAGUCUCAAAAGAUGCUCCACUGACGAGUCGGAACGGUCAAAUCGACUAUAAAUAUGGCCUCACAACCCAUUUAACUGAAUCACGAGACCUGAUGAUGUGUCACAAUAAGUCGGAUGCCUUUAACUCAACAAGCUCUACUGGAGGAACCCAUUGUCGUUUCAAAUGAGUGAUCCAAUAGGGAAUCUCAAGAGAAUAGUCCGCCAGGGUAACUACUACAACCUUAACACAAAAAUCUACUGAAAAGUCAUGGAUAACGUGGUAGUCAAAACCCAGAAAGUCGUGCUCCUUUGGAGGCUCAUCUCGACCAAAGUCAUCAAAACCGUGCCCAAUAAUGCAAAGAAAUAUCCCUCGUCCAAGUAAUGAAGGCUGUAACAAGUCUGUGAGAAAACAAUCAUCUCUACAGCUAAAAGAGGAAAAUAUGCCCUAGUAUAGAAACUAAGGCAUCCGGUCUAUCCUGAUAACUCGAGAAUAACUCCAUGGGGAUGUAUAAGAUAUUUGACAUGUACUUCAUUGAAAUGAUGAUAUAGGAGUCUAUGCACCUGAGGUAACUCCAUCUAAGAAUUGUGACAAUAUAAGAAAAUAUGAGCUUGACUGAAUGACUCGAGAAAGGCUCCAUUGGGUAAUCAAGACAAAAUGAAAGCAAACCAUCAGCUCUCUUUGUGAAAGCUGAUACGGAGAGGAUCACGACUAUGGUGUCCGUCACAAUAAAUGCUUUGAAAGCUGCUCUCUUUGUUAAAAUUGCCAUGCCAUUGUCAUUGUAACCUCCAGGCAAGGUGAAACCCGCAGCAAAGGUUACAGUUGCUACAAGUGCUGCCACUAUCAAAUGGUUUCACCUUUUCUUUUUAUGUUAGAGAUGCUUUUGUCUUUUCUGACGUCUUUGCUUUUACUACUAUUACUAGUACCACCACUGUCUUUAUUGAUAGCCUCCUGCCAAGUAAAGGGUCCAACAACUUCUUUCUCCCAUUCCCUCAAUUGUCUUCGAAAUUCUUCCUGAAAUUUGAUCAAAAUAAAAACAAAUAAACCUUUUUCCAUAAAAUAAAAUAAAAUAAAAAGAAGGGAAAGAAAGAAGGAAAAAAAAUGUAGUUCAUGUGUCACUGUUUUGGCUUUUUGCUCUUCCUUUUUAUAAAAAGAUUUUCUCAUCUUCCCUCAAAAUGUUUUUCCAUAAGUCUACAAUUUAAAUCCACAAGUUCUACAAAUUGCCUUCAUUAUGGUAAUUUGGUACUUAAUUUCUAUUUUAAGCAUGAUUGUCCCUAUCGAUAAUAAAAAUAGAAAAAAUGAUGAUGAUGAUGCCCGGGGUUUUUAAUUCUACCAUCGUGAUGGAGUUUUUCCAUAUCAUUACUAAUAAAAAGAUUAGGUUAGGAUCCUUACUAUGAUCAUAUAUCCUGGAUUAAGGUUAGCCCUUGAAAAAAUGUCUAGGGCGGUUAACUUAUCCUUGUUGAGCGCCAUUUUAUCCACUCUAUUGUCUUCUGAGAAAGAUGGAUCAAAAAGUUGGUAAGAAGCAAGCAGGUGGAGGGGUGUGUCUCCUUUAGCGUCUUUCUCAUUCAUAAGUCUUCUCACCCUUAACAAACUAUUGUCAUUCAAGAUAUUACGAGUAGCAUGAUAUCGCUCGCUCAUAAUGGCAGAGUGAAAAACAUUAUUUCCCUUAUCAUCCACUUGCUCGCAACAAUCUGGGGAGUGUGACAACAGCAGCUUUGCUAUAUCUUGAUGGUUACGGUUAGCUGCAAUGUGAAGUGUUGUUUUCUUGCUGUCCUUGAUUCCAAGAUAAGUUACAAAUUUAUCUGGUGAUUUGCCUAGUAAUUGCUCCACAAUUGCAGUAUGACCCAAGUAUGCAGCACAGUGAAGGGGAGACCAUCCAUUCUCAUCCACUUCUUUUGUCAGAUCUGGCUUCCAUUCCAAUAACCUCGCUGUCAUUUCUGUAAACAAACGAACCAACAAAAAACAGAGAAAACAAAUUGAAGAAAAUUAAGUGAAUCAUUGAAGUUCCCUCUAGUGAAGCAUGACUCCUAGAGGUGAUCAUGUUUUCUAACAAUAGGUUGCAUGACUAUCUAAUCACAUGGGAAUCGAGAUUCAGGGGAAGGAUCUGCUUAUGUGAUACCUUAGUCAUUGCGAAUUACAGCAGCAUGUAAAGCCGUUCUACCCAUCAUGCCACUAUGAGAUGGUGAAGUGCAAGUUCCUAUGAUUAAAUUCACCAAAUCUUCAAAACCUAUCUCGGCGGCCAUGUAAAGAAGAGUGUAGCCUGUAAUAUUAGCCCCAUAAAUAAACUCGGGGUCUUCCUCGUUCAAUGACUUCACAACCUCUGAAUGAUAAUACCUCACUGGCUCAUGCAAGGCUGUGUUUUCCAGGGUUCAAAGUAUCGGCCGAGUCCGGUACAACUCGGCCGAGUCAUAUCCGCCUCAACACCUGCCGCAACGAGACCGAUACCAGAUACAGUAUAAUGCACGAACUCGACUAGGAAUCGGUAAAACUCGGCUGACUAGUCUGAGUUUUCGAGUUAACUCGGUUAGGUUACAGAGAAUUUUCAAAUUUUAUUUCCAAUCACAAUAAAACAUCAGAACAUUUUCAUAUAAAAAAAAAUCAAAGAUUGCCCUUUCAAAAGCAAGCACAUAUUCUGAAAUUUUAAACCAUCAAUGAGAAUAUCAAAGAAGACGAAGAAGAAAUAAUCCAACCCGUGACCCGUUUGGAAAUAAGUGGAGAAACCAGCGAAGGAUGAGGGCAUGAUUUAGGAUUUACUUACCUGAUUUUCCUCAAAAUCGAGCAUUACCAGAGGGUGGAGCUUUGGUGUUGACGGUGGUGACUCGUCAAGUGGACUGGAUCUUUCACCGGCGACGUCGACGAGACAACCCCUUCACAGUCAAAUUGCUUCCCCUCCCGUGUUGGGUCUUGCACGGUUGCAAAUUUGCAAUUGCAGGUGGUGUUGUGGGUCUUGACGGCAAUUUCUGGGGACAGGAUGAUUGAAUGCGUUUGUCCAAGCAAAUAUUAGGGCUACGCUCAUUUGGCUAAUUAUGGGCUGAGCAUGGGCCAGCCCAUUUUUUAACUAUUAGCUGUAACUGGGCCGUUCUCUGAUUUAUGUCAUAAAUCUCUUCAUCUUCAUCAAAUUUUAUAACUCGGAGAUUUUUAUUUCACACUCCAUUUAAUAAAGUUUAAGUAAGUUUCAAGUUUCACAAAUUUAAUUUUUAAAAAUUAUAUAUAUAUAUAUAUAUAUAUAUAUAUAUAUAUAUAUAUCUUCUUCCCUUUUCUUUUUUUAAGUACAAAUUAUUUAUCCUUUUUAUUUUCAUUUUUAUUUUUCAUCAUCUUUCUUUUUACAAAUUAAGUAAAAUGUGUUUCAAUUAUAUAUUAAAAAUGUUAUUUUUUUAAAUUUAUUCUAAAUAAAAUAUUAUUAACAAUUAUUUUUGUAAAGUGUUAUUAUUUAUUUUUAACAAAAGAAUUAAUUACACUUUCAUAAAGAUAUCAUUAUCCAUACAAUGUAUAAUAAUCAAAUUAAUCGUAUGUCAUUUAAUAAAGUUUAAGUCGGUUUCAAGUUUCACUAAUUUAAUUUUAAAAAAUUAAAUUAGAAGUUAUUGAAAAUGACAAAUAAUUUUGAGCUAAAUGUGAAAAAAAAAAAUUGUUUUAUUAAUUUUUUUCAACUUAUUCAAUUAUAUCUAUUUUUUUAAUUUAUAUAACAUUUUCUUAUAAUUUUUUGAAAUUUCUAAUUAUCUUAUUUUGCGUAUCGCCCGAUACCGAACCGAGAUGUCGAGACCGAUAUGCCUCGUGGCCCUCCGAGUCAAUCACCGAUACCGCGACUUUGAACCAUGGUGUUUUCCUCCUCAUUUGUCAUCCUCAUAAUCGCCUUUUCUCCUCCAACCCCACUCUCGAUCUCUUGGUGAAGUCGUUUCGCAGCAUCAAUGAGUGCUUUCACGACUAUCAAAUGGCCUUCUCUCGCUACAAGGUGAAGUGGAGUGUCGCCCUUCAGAUUGGGCUUAAGCAGGAGAGACGAAGAUGAAUUCAGCCCCAGGAUAUACUGAACACAGUCCAAUUGACCGAAUUGAGCUGCAAUGUGGAGGACGGUAUUCUUAUUUGGGGUUAAUUGGACCACAAAAUGAUCUUCUGACAUUUGUUCCAAGACAUCGAUCCUGCCAUAUGCUGCGGCCUCGCACAAAGCAGCAUCCAUGCAAGUGAUCGGAGUUUGGCUGCCAUCUGCAUCUGCCGCCUGGUUCAAGAUUGGCUACCGUCUUGAGCUGCAAGCUGUUCCAGGUAAAGAGUAUGUGAUUCUGCAGUGUGGAUGGAAGUGGAAAGAUCCAUAGGUGCUUCAGCAAUCAGCACUAUCCUCCU
rnacentral:lncRNA from 1 species